rnacentral:lncRNA from 1 species
UCAAAACUCGGCGUUACCUAGUGAAUCAUAUAAUAUUCAAUAAUGCCAUACCAUUUGAAUGGAUCGAAGAUUUCAAAUUGACGACAUUUGUGCCCGUAACCUGUGUAUUACAAGGAUCAUUGAGAAAAUACAUACUUUCACAUUGUGCCGGUAGCUUUCAUUAGCAAUGCUUCACAAUUUACAGGUACGAGGGCUUGACCAGCAUCUCCUCCGGAUCUUUCCACACUGGGGAGUCCUUAACUGUACAAAUAAGAUUCACAUACGCAAAAUAUGUGCUAGACUACGCACUGCAAAUGGAAACAAGUUGUCACCCCUAUUUAUCCAAAAAUAAUAUACUUGUUAUAGAUAUCCGUGUAGAAUAUUAUAUUACGAGGGGCAGAGAGCGUGUGUACGGCAAAGUAGGAACGGGUACAGCAGCAACGUAGCAGCACAAGCAAGAGGAUGAUUGGAACUGCAACUUACCCCCACACAUUCACAGAAGCCUUUUUCUUUCCCCUGCUGGUGUUCAUGAAAGCACUUUGAAGUGAAAAAGCCAUGAAAUUACGAAGGCAAGAAUCAUGCAGGCAAGAAGGAAAUUCAUAAUGCAGCGGCCAUGCCACAUGGUUCAGGUUUCAACCUGGAUCAUGGGUGCUGCUGGUACUGAUGCGGCUGUGGCAGUACUGCUAUUUGCCUCGUUUAUCUGGCCACUGGAAAUGUUGAAUGCAGUUACUCCACAGAUCUCGCAGGUUCUGCAAAUCAAAUCAAUAAAAUUAUGCAUAGGCAGAAAAUAACAUAUCAGUCAGACAUGACAAGCAAUUACAACCAUAACGCAACAUAAUAAAGAAACGUACCAUGAGGAUUUUGAACAAACAUAAUGAAGUGUAACCAACAGCAUACAAAUUUAAAAAAUAUAGAAGAAAAUGCUAUACAAUCACUGUAAGUGAUUUCAAAGGUCAUCAAUCUUCUAUUUAUGUUUCUGGAAAAAAAGUCAUGUCGUCAAGAUGUCGUUCCAUUUGCUUACCAUGAUGAGUAAAUUGAAAUUUGAACUAGCUUGCUGUUCUUGCAUAUCUUCUCCUCAUCCUGGUUACCAAGCAAGUCAGUCUUGACCAAUCCAUCUAUGAUGUAUUGUAUUAUCAUGUGAUGCAGCUUAUCUAGAUUAUAUUUCAUGUAGCCUAAGUUUGGAUAUUUCCUUUGCAGAGGGUAUAGCGUGCAAAUGCUCAUCAUCAUUUACUAAUCCAUAUGCAUAAUGUAAACAUUUACAUCUUUAUUAGAAGCAGACAUAAAAAAUACAUGGCACACAAGAUAUCCACUUUUCGACAUAGGAGCUCAAUUCUUGCAUACAAACACAUUUCCUUUAGCUUGCAUUGGACCUCGCACUUUCCACUAAUGUAAAUGCCACAGAAAGUGUGACUGUAAAAACUAUAAACGUAGAACGAUCAAUAUGUUUGAGUUCAGAUGGACUGCAAUAGUGGUGACUACAAGCUUUGUUCUUUUACUAGAUUUUCUCGUAUUGCAUAUGAGCAUACGCAUUCUACUAUAUACGUGAUCUGCCUCAUUCAGCAUUCCAGUAAGAAGCAAAAUGAUAAGAACAAUUGUGACAGUUACAUCAAAAGAAAGAAGCUAAUUAGCAAGUAAUCAUUUGAAUAAGCUGAACUCACAGAAGUAGGAACCUAAAAACUAUCAAGAUGGUCUUUGUUGUAGCAUGCCCAUAGUAAGAUCAUAGUUUGAAGUAUGUUAGGAUGCCACUUGUCAUCAUCUCAAUAUGACAAAUGUAAGGUUGAGAUGCUAUAGUAGUAGAUAAGAUGGUUGUAAGUUGUUAGAUGAUAGCUUACAAAGGAAGCUAAGUAGUUUACAUAUAAGGAAGUCGGUUGUAAUUGGGAGGGGGUCAUUGGAAUAAUCUCUGUUUAAUACAAGAAAGUACUAUGCAAUUGUCAAGAAGUCGAGCAAGGUUUUAACAUUGGUAUUAGCCAGUGUCGAUUCCUCUCAAUCUUUCAUUGUUGUAUGCCUCGCCGACCCUGGAACACCAUGGAAUCGCGAGUGUCAACUUUGGAAACCAUGCUCGCCAAUCUCAAAGCUAAGCUCAAGAACAACCAAGAGAUGAUCAUGAUGCAGCUGCAAUCUAUGGCAGCCAAAGGCGGUUCUUGCAGCGGCGAAUCGUCCGAGGCAACACCGCUGAAUCCUCAGAUACAAGGCGAAGUACAAUGUGGUAGCCACGAUUUGGGUCUUCAAAAUUGCUGGGCAUUUCUGAAAAUGGACUUUCCAAGGUUCAUGGAAGGUGAUGAUCCUUUGGGUUGGGUCUAUAAAGGCGACCAUUAUUUCGAUUUCUACCACAUCGAAGAUGCUAAGAAGGUGAAAAUGGCUUCAUUCCACAUGGAAGGGGAAGCUCUUCAAUGGUUCCAGUGGGCCAAUUGUCUAACCAAUUAUCCUAAUUGGGAGGAUUUCACCAAGGUUUUUUGUCAAGAAUUUGGACCUUCCGAAUUCGAGGACUCUGCUGAAAGUUUGGUCAAGUUACGGCAAACUGGGACACUCCGAGAUUACUUGUUGGAAUUUUGACAUUUAUCGAAUCGUACCAAAGAUAUCAGCCUUGCUUUGUUGAAAUCUUGUUUCAUCGGGGGUCUUAGGCCGGAAUUGCAACUUGAUGUGAAGCUCUUCAAACCUAAGGAUGUGCUGGAAGUUGCUGCAUUAUCUCAGCAGAUCGAUGCCAAGCUUACAGAUCUCAAGGCGAAAACUUUCUAUAAAUCACCUACAAUUCAACCCAAUUUUAGAUCACCAGUUUUGCAGAAUGUUAGUAACCAAACAUUGGCUGAUAUUCGUACUAAACUCCUAAUGUAUGACGAUUGACCCCAGAAGAAGUGGAUUAUUGUUGAAAUAAUGGAUUGUGUUUUCACUGUAAGGAGAAAAUAUGUGAGGGGCCAUACUUGUGAAAAGAAACAGUUGCAUCUUCUUGAUGUUCAAGACUGUGAGAUGGGUGAUGAGUGUGCUGAGGAAGUAGAGAAUGAGGAACCAGAGAUAACUGUUUGUGCUAUUUUUGGCAUCCCAGCUCCACCUAUAAUUAAUACUAUGAAGGUCAAUGGAUUUGUUAAAAACUGUCCAGUCACUAUACUCAUUGAUUCUAGUAGUUCUCAUAACCUUGUUGAUUUGGGAUUAGUUAAAAGACUCAGGGGGUAUCUUGAUACUGCAUAUCUUUUCAAUGUUAAACUGCAAAUGGUGGACGAGUUGCUACGAAAGGAACAUUAGCUCAAACUACUGUGAAAAUUUAGGAUUUCAGUUGUAUAACUGAUCUCUAUGCCAUUCCUUUAGGGGGUUGUGAAAUUGUAUUGGGGGUACAAUGGCUUCGAACCCUUGGCCCCAUUCUCUGGGAUUUCGAUAAACUUUACAUGAAAUUCUUAAAUGGGUCUCAUACAUAUUGUAUUACAAGUCCAGGAUCUUCCUUACAUCAGCUUGAAGACAUAUCAGCAUUGCAGAUGCAAAAACUUUUGCAGUAGGAAAACACAAUAGGAGCAGUUCUUUAUCAAAUGGGACCUACUACUAUGCAAUGUUAUUCUCCGGAGCAAACAUUGGGGGAUCUAAGUUCUCAACAUCUCACUAAGCUGCAACAACAAGACUUAAAGUCCCUUUUGGGGGAAUAUGAGAUAUUGUUUGCAACCCCUAAUACCUUACCUCCUAAUAGGUUGCAUGAUCAUAGAAUUCCCUUGAUAGCAGGAAGUAAACCUCCAAAUACGCCUUAUAGAUAUGGUCCAGUGCAAAAAUCAGAGUUUGAAAAAUGUGUUCAGGAGUUUUUACAAGCUGGUUUUAUUAGGGAAAGUAAUAGCCCUUAUUCAUCUCUAGUAAUGUUAGUGAGGAAGAAAGAAGGGACAUGGAGGAUGUGUAUGGAUUAUAGGGGUCUGAAUGGCAUCACUAUCAAAGACAAAUUUCCAAUUCCUUUGAUUGAUGAACUUCUGGAUGAAUAGUUUGGUGUUCAAUUAUUUCUAGAUUUAAGAGCUGGUUAUCAUCAAAUUAGGAUGUAUCAUAAUGAUAUAGAGAAUACAGCUUUUAGAACACAUGAUGGCCAUUAUGAAUUUUUGGUCAUGCUAUUUGGUUUAACGAAUGCUCCUGCCACAUUUCAGUGUUUGAUGAAUGAAAUUUUCUGACCAUUUUUGAAAAAGUUCAUCUUGGUGUUUUUUGAUGACAUUUUGGUAUAUAGUGCUACUUGGGAAUUGCACCUGCAACACUUGAGGGUAGUAUUUGAUCUGUUGAAAGCUCACAGUUUGUUUGUUAAGAAAUCGAAAUGUGCCUAUGGGAGGGAUAAAGUUGAAUAUUUGGGACAUAUUGUGUCCAAAGAUAGGGUAGUUGCCGACCCUACCAAGUUGGAUUCAAUUGCUAACUGGCCUAUCCCUACUACAGAAAGUUUUUUCCCCAUUUUGGCAAAAUUAUAGGUCCCUUGAUUGCCUUGACCAAGAAGGACAGUUUUAUUUGGUCUGAGGAAGCUACACAGGCCUUUAACACUCUUAAAGUAGCCAUGCUUUCCCCUCAAGUUUUAGCUCUACCUAAUUUCAGUAAGCCCUUCAUUAUUGAGAGUGGUGCAUCUGGACAUGGCAUUGGAGCAAUAUUACAACAAGAAGGCAGGCCCAUUGCUUUUACAAGCAAAGCCCUUAGCCCCAGAAAUCAAACUAUGUCAGCAUAUGAACGGGAAAUGUUGGCAAUCAUUCAUGCAAUUCACAAAUGGCAGUCUUAUUUGGUGGGGAACCAUUUUAUAAUUCUCACACAUCAUCACAGCUUGAAAUAUUUCUUACAAGGAAGAGCUCACACACCUUUUAAGCAAAAAUGGGUGUCUAAACUCAUGGGCUUCGAUUAUGAAAUUCAAUAUAAGCAAGGUUGUGACAACCAAGCUGCUGAUGCAUUAUCAUGUAGUCCUUUAACUACUGAUCUAACUAUUGAGUUCCGGUGUGAUGAUUCCAUUGUUUGUGCAGCUAUUUCCUACCCUUAUUCAACAUGGAUUGAUGACCUUAUGAGACAUGUUGAAAAAGACACUUGGGUGAUUGAAAAAAACACAGAAAGUUCUUAGUGAUACCUCAGAUGGGGGACCACUUGGCAAUCUCAGGUUUCAAGUGGAUAAUGGGUUUUCUUAAGUACAAUGGUCAAAUUGUACUCAGCCCUUGUAGUUCAUGGAAAUAAAAAAUCUUUGAGGAACAUCAUGCAACCCCACCUGAAGGCCAUGAAGGUUUUCUUAAAACCUAUGAAAGAAUCUCACGAUCAUUCUAUUGGGAAGGAAUGAAGAAAGACAUCAAAAAGUUAGUAGCAUCUUGUAGUGUCUGCCAACAACAUAAGUAUGAAACCUUAUCUCCGGCUGGUUUCCUUCAGCCAUUACCUAUUCCAUCCAAAGUAUGGUCUGAUAUCUCCAUGGAUUUCAUUGUGGGGCUUCCUUCUUGCAAAGGGAAAACAAUGAUCUGGGUUGUAGUAGAUCAGCUAUCCAAGUAUGCUCAUUUCCUAGCUCUAUCUCAUCCUUUCACAGCAUCCAUGAUUGCACAACUUUCCAUUGAUAACAUUUUUAAGUUGCAUGGUAUGCCCAGUUCUAUCAUCAGUGAUAGAGAUCCCAUUUUUAUGAGUAAAUUCUGGAAAACGUUUUUUGCACUAUAAGGGUCAGCUCUUUGCUUUAGCUCAAGGUAUCACCCUCAAACCGAUGGUCAAACAGAAGUGUUGAACAGGUGUUUUGAAACAUAUCUCUGGUGUUUUUGCAGUUUGCAGCCUAAACAAUAGCUACAUUGGUUGUCUUGGGCAUAAUGGAGUUUCAACACUAGUUAUCACAUUGCCACCAAAUUAACACCUUAUGAGAUAGUGUAUGGUCAGGCUCCUCCAGUGGUUCCUUCUUAUGGAAAUGGCACUACAAAGGUAGGCGCAGGGGCUUGGAGUUUGAUGGAUGGAAUCAGGGAAAUGGAACGGAACUGUGAAAGAAAGAAAUGAGAUUUGACCUAAAACAAAUACACGGCACGGAUUAAAUCUAAAACAAUAAACAGUUCAAAUAAUUUUCUUAAAAUAUAUAUAUAUAUUUUUUCGGUUCGGUAUGGGAAUACCGAAAAAAUGAAAUGCAAAACCGAAUCCCAUACCGAAAUUUUCGGUUUGGUUUGGGAUUAUAUCCCGAAAAUUUCGGGAAUUUUGGUUUGGGAUAUUUUUGGUUUGGGAUCGGGAUUUUUUUGGUUUGGUUUGGGAUUUUUGGGAUUUUUUUCCAGCCCUAAAAGGAUCUAAGCCUAAAAAGAAAAAUCAUCCACAGAGCCCAGUCAGUAAGGUUCUAUACGCCAUAAGAUUGAAAUAAAGCAUUUUAUUGUGCACCAUAAGAUUAGGAGAAUCAAUCUUAUACCUAGCCAAUUACCAAUGGCUGAUCAAAGUUCUAGCUCAUAAAUAUUAAGUACAAAUGUGAAAAACAAACUGAAAUCUAUAGGCCAAAUUGAAAAAAUAAAUAAAUAAAAAAUAAUAAAAAACAAACUGAAAUCUAUAGGCCAAAUGGAACCACGUGAUCCCGACGUCCAAUCCUUCCAACGAAGCACUCCGAGCUUCCUUGGGACCUCACUAAGCUCACUAUAAGCUUAGAAUUCCCUGAAACACGACAUUUUACGUGUGCAUGAACAGUAACUCAAAAAUGGAGGUUCGGGUUCCACGUGAUUUCGAGGGUUUCACUUCCUAAACCUAGUACCAAUGAACUCAGAACGUCAAGAGGAUGAAGAUGCAUACCUUGGUUGCCUCGAUCCGUCGAGUUUUUGGAGGAUUUGGGUGUGUGCCGUACGUUUUGGGUGAGAGAGAGAGAGAGGGUCGUGAGGGAGGAGAGAGACACGGGGGAGGAGAGAAGGAGAGGGUUUUUCUGUGUGGUCCAACCAAACCAAUCCUCACCAUCCAAAACCUUUCCUAAAUCCCUAACCACACAUAACAAAAUCAAACUUUCAAUAUAUUCCAACUUACUAAUAUAUAAUUCUCCCAACUUGAUUAAUAUUUGAACCAAAAUAACGUCACAUACCUACGUACCUUAGUACCCGUCAAGGGUAAAAUAGUCAUUUCACGCCCCCAAUAUAUAAUUCUCGGAACGGGCUGUGACAUGUUAAGGGCUUAUAGACGAGAAAAUGAUGUUAUUACACUCUAAAGUGUGUUAAGUGAUUUAGGUUGGCAAAAAAUUGAAGAAAAUAGCUUUGAAUAUAAUAGUAGGGAUGAAAUUAGCAAUUUCUAAUGAAUUUAGAGACUUAUUUUAUCGAAAAUUAAUUUAGGGACUUAAUUUUCACUGAUGUGAUAGUUCAGGGACUAAAUCGACACUUCACCCUGUUGUUUAUUCAUCUCCCGUAAAAAUAAUAUCGUUUUGUUCAUAAAAAAAAAAAAAAAAAAGUAAUGUGAUGUGUACAAAAUAAUACAUAAAAUAUUAUCAAAACACACAUAAAAGGAUCUAAGCCUAAAAAGAAAAAUCCUCCACAGAGCCCAGUCAGUAAGGUUCUAUACGCCAUAAGAUUGAAAUAAAGCAUUUUAUUGUGCACCAUAAGAUUAGGAGAAUCAAUCUUAUACCUAGCCAAUUACCAAUGGCUGAUCAAAGUUCUAGCUCAUAAAUAUUAAGUACAAAUGUGAAAAACAAACUGAAAUCUAUAGGCCAAAUUGAUAAUAAAAUAAAAAUAAAAAAAAUAAAAAAAGAACAUCUGCACGCCCGCACCGGCAGUAAAGCUAGUUUAGUGGAAUUCUUUUCUCUCUUCUAUCCCAAUUUCUUUCUCUUUUUUUUUUUUGGUCAAAGCCCAAUUCUUUUUCAUUCACGAAGUUUCUAGCAACUUCUGUUUUGCCUUCAUUGCUGUUGGGUUUCAUGCUCUUCCUAGUUUUCCGGCACCUGGAAUUUUCCAGAAACGUCUUUGACUCGUUAUAAAUACGUCACUAACCCACGCCCUUCACCAACCAGUGAAGCCAAGCAAGAACUCUCCCUACCGACUCCAAUUUGAUUCCCUAGGCAGCCAAACAAAACCACAUCAAGUUUUUUUUUUUUUUUUUUUUUUUUUUAGGUUUCCCAUGAGCGGUAGGUCUCGGGUUCGAGACUUGGGAGCAGCCUCUUCAUAAAUGGGGGUAAGGCUAGCCGACAUUCACCUCUCCCAGACCCUGUGUAAAGCGGGAGCCUUGUGCACUGGGUACGACCCUUUUUAGGUUUCUUUGAAUAAAUUAUAAAAAAAUUAUCUCAACCAUGAAUAGGUUUUUGGGAACUUUAACGAAAAAUUUCCGGUACUGUUCACUUUAACGAAAAAACAUAUUUUUACACUAAAAAGUCAAUUAUGGUACUAUUCAUUUUACCUUUUAUUUUGUCCUUAUCGUUAAACUUCAAAGUUUUCAAACUCUUUUCAUUAGUUUUCCUUAGGUUUUUUUUGAAUAAAUUAUAAAAAAAUUAUCUCAAUUAUGAAUCGAACCACAAUCUUAUAUAUCAUGUUUUAAACAUUAUAAUGUCAUACCUCAACUUAUGAAUUCCUUUAAAUAUUCUAUCAAUUUUAAAUGUUAAAUGAUGAGGUGCUAGGAGUGUAGCUCACUCUUUUGACGCUCACUCUUUUGACAAUUGGAAUAAAAAAUUAAUUAAUUAAUAAAAAAUUAUUAAUUUUCAUUUACAAUUAAAAUCAAUUUUAAAAAACCUCUCUCAGCCGCAGCCCUCCUCCCCCCUUCAUCCCCAAUCCUCCCUUAACCCCCCACCCCCCCCACAAUUUUCCGAGCAACCAAACAAACCAAAGCAUAUAAUUUUUUCCAGAAAGAAAAUUCAAAACCCAAUUUUUGAUCCAAAAAACGUGAAUUGAAUGUGGAUCCGGCAAUUACAAGCAGGACGCGAUUCCCAAACCUCACAAAUCAAAAUUUACAAACCCUUAAAAUCCCAAUAGAUUUACGAGUUCCCGGAGUGGGAUUCAAAUCCCACGAAACCUUCAUGGCCACUGGACCAAAACACUAGACUAUUUCUCUACCAGAGAAAAUUAAGAUUUAAUUUUAAUUUAAACCCAUGAUGUUAUGGGUAAAAUGAUUUUUGGGCAUCGGUGGAGACUAUGCGCAAAUGAAGGAGAGAAGGGAAUAGAGAAGACUCGCAGACUACCUCACCGAAAAGAUCUCAUCCCCUGACUCCAUCGAGUUCCUCCUCCUUCCCUAGAACGACGCCUUCCACUACUCCAAAAUUCCUAGGUACUCGAUUCCACCAGCAGCGACAACCACAUCAGCAACGGCGAUAAUGAUCUUCAAAUUCUCAUGAUGCACUCGAGAGCUCCCUUGCUGAUCUUUAGAACCUUGACGACGGAUAAAUGAGGAUUGGAAAAGUCUCGAUCAUCGCCAGGUCUAGGAAUCGCGGGCGGGAAGCUCAUACGGUAGCCUGAUCUCGAGUUCAGGUGGUUUCCAUGACAGAGGACUCGCCGCAGACAACCAUCAAGAAGCAACGAGAGAGACACGAGGAGAAAUGGGGUUUUUAAUAAUUUUAAUUUUUUCAGAUUAAAAAUUCUUGACUUAUUUAAUUUUUAAAUUAUGAGUGGGUCCCAUUAUUGCCAAGUUAUCAUUUAACAAAUUUAAUGGAGGUUGGACAUUGCAACGAAUUCAUAAGUUAAUGUAUGACAUUGUAAUAUUUAAUACAUAAAGUAUGAGAUUGUGGUUCAACCAUAGUUGAUGUAGUUUUUAUAAUUUAUCUUCUUUUUUUUCAAAAUGUUGCUUAUCCCCAACUCUCAACAAGGCAACAGCAUCUUCGACCAAUUCUCUCUCAACUUGUGUGACCCUUUCAAGGAUUUCCCAUUCCCUUCAUCCUCAUCACUCUCUACAUUCCCUGAUUUUUCUCGGGAAAAUCGGCUUUUAUGAACACUACAGUCGACUGGAAGGAGACCCCCGAAACCCACGUGUUCAAAACAGACAUUUUGGGGCUGAAGAUGAUGUGCGGAAGCGUCAAAUAUGAAACCAAUAAACUACAACGGCAAAAUAUGAUAAGACAAAUAAUCCAAAUGACACAAGGAUUUAUACUGGUUCGACGAAAGCCUACGUCCAGUUCCGAGACGGCGAGGAAAUUCCACUAAUAUCAAAAGGAGAUUACAAAUAGAGUUUUAACUCUCAAACCCAAAUCUCACAUACACCCAAUAGCUCUCACUCUCACAAAGAACAAUUUGGAGAAGAUGGACACACAUCAAAUACCAUCACUCCCAAAAGCUACACAACAUGUGGCAGCAACAUCUUUGAUUGAGGGAUUACUAACAAAAGGGGAUUACAAACAAAUGGGAAGGAGCAUCACUGUUUCAAAUGGGAGAGCCGAACGCUCUCCCUGGUAUGGCUCUUAUCUGAUGCCGCUCCCCCCAUCUCUCCCACAUUCGGCUGCAACCUUUAUCCAUACAAAAGCAUCCAAUAAAAAAUCCAAAGUAAAGGAAUAAUCAUUACUUUACAAACAUCAUCAUGACCUUCCUUUUUUUUUUCAACAAGCAUCAUCAUUGUGUCUUUACUCAUGAUGUCCACCAAACUUUUCUUUGUUUAGUUUACUAGCCAAAAGGCAUUUGGCUUAUUGUCCACUUGGCCACUAAUUUGGCCACUAUCCAACAGAAGAAGGAUGAGGUGAAGGUGGAGGUGGAAGACAACAGGGUGCUUUAGAUCAGCGAAGAGAAGAAUGUGGAGAAGGAGGACAAACACGACAAGUGGCAUAGAGUGGUAAGGAGCAGAGGCAAGUUCUUGAAAGAUUUCAGCUUCCGGAGAAUGCAAAGGUCGAUCAGAUUAAGGCUGCCAUGGAGAAUGGAGUUCUGAGUGUGAUCGUACCAAAGACAGAGGUGAAGAAGCCUGACGUCAAAGCCGUUGAAAUCAAUGGUUAAUUAAUAGUGAAAUAAUAAGAUUAUGAAUGUUGUGUUCUUAGGAAAUAAGAUUAUGAAAUAGAGUGCCCAAAAAAGAGUGAUUUGUGUAAUUGUUUGUAAAAUAAUGACUUGUGCGUGGUUAAUUUGAUACAAAUUUGGAUUUACGCGUUUGAAAAUAAUAUUAAGUGAGGAUAAUCGGAAAACAGCUUUUGUAGUAAAAAUUUAGAUUUAAACUUUUUGGUAAAGUUCAUUAGGUUUCAUGUUCGAAUGUGAAAGUUAUAUUAUUUUUCUGUUACUUGUCAUUUCACUCUAUAUUUUUUCACGCGGUAUCAUACCAUUGCCAAGCCCCUUUCUCACUUCUCCCUCUUCGUCUCUCUACACCUACAUCCCGUCUUCUCUCUCCUCUGUCUCACUUUCAAUGCGCAAAACAUUUUUGUGAGUUUUUAGAUUUUAAAGCUCUGAUUGGAUCAGUUUGAAUGAAAAGUUUUAACCAAGCUUCUAAAACUGGAGAAAGGAUUUCUAGGCAGCAAAAGGCAAGACCCAUGGCGUACAAUUGAGAUUUUAAAAAAAAUGGCUUUGAGAUUUGUUGGUUAGGAUGUCCUUCCCUCAAUUGUGAGCAGCUCUUAAUAUGCUUUCUUCGCAGGCAGGCGAAUUGGAGACAAUAGUAUGCUUUUGAAGGAGUUUCUUAAAAAAACACUUUCAAACAAAUUUGUAUAGAAUUUAUAUGCUACGACUAAUAGUAGCCCUACUAUUGUUCGAAAUAGAUUACCAAUUCUAAUUGUGAUGUUUGUACUGUAAAAUAAUGUGAUGCCUCGAACGAAUGAGGAUGGCUCAAGCCAUGUAUUGUGCCUUGAGAAUGUGGGGUUGGGAAGCAAUGCAUCCAAUUUUUCUUUCACUUUAUCCUUCUUCUUUUUUGUUAAAGAAAGUACCAUAUGGUUCGUAAGCAAAGUAUCCAAAUCUUUUUCACUUUUUUCUUGAUAAAGAGAAAUACAAAAUGGGUUCGAAAGCAAUGCAUCCCAUUCUCUUUCCCUUUGUCUUUUUCUUGUUAAAAAAGAAUGAAAAUACCUUACUUCAGAAUCACCUCCUCUUGAGGUAAUGCUCGUUAAAUAUUUUUUUUUUGCUUCUCUAUUUAUAUUGUUAGAGAACUCUUAUUAACCUUUCCCCAUUGAAGUUAUCUGCUCAUUGCAUUGCUGAGGUAACAUAAUAUGUCCUCCUUGUGCAUGAUACCAUUCAACAUUCAUAUUUUCUAGCAAAUUCAUGAAGUAACAAUGUCAGCACCAGACACAUGAGUUGUUGUUGAAUAAGGCAUAGAUUUCAAAAUUUCACUUUUACUCUAGCGAACUGUUGCAUUGGGUUGAUUUACAAUACAGGUACGUAUGUACAUCUUGGAAACUUUAUUUCUUUUCAAUAUUUGUUGUUUUAGGUGUUUAUUUUUACCCAUGUGUGACUAAGAAACAAAAGUGUUUGGUUUUACAAUAUAUUUUCUAGCAAAUUCGUGAAGUACCAGAUCCAGCACUAGACAUAUUGUUAUUGAACAAGGCAUAGAUUUCACAAUUUCAUUUUUUUUCCCUACCGGUUAGUUGCAUUUGGUUGAUUACAAUAUAGGUACGUAUGUUCUUAGAAACUUCAUUUCUUUUCAAUAUUUGUUGUUUUAGGUGUUUGUACUAUAUGUUUAUGCAUUUUGAUGUUCAUCCACGUCAACUGAAAUUGAGCUAAUCCCCCCCUUAUAAUCGAAUUUUUACUUUUCUCACUCAAUACAAAAAGUUUUAAAUCAUGUCUGCUAUAUGGUGGUGAAAUGUAAACUAUUAGAAAUUUGUAUGCUGUAAAAUAAUAAUGAGUAAAUAAAUAUACACAUGCAGUGAAACUGUCAAUUGAAAAUAUAACUUUACCCAUUGAAAUUCAAUUUUCUUUAACUAAAACUCAUCAUAGUAUAUUUUCCUAACAAAAACUCAUUGACUUUACCUCUUGAGAAAAAAAAAGGGCCUUCGGGUUUUUUACAUAUAUAUUUUUUUUCACUUCUCCUAUUUAUAUUGUUAGAAAGCUCUUAUUAACUCUUCCCCAUUGAAGUUAUCUGUUCAUAUAUUUGCAUUGAUGUGCAUCAUCUUUCCUCCUUGUGCAUGCUAACAUUCAACAUUCAAAUUUUCUUGCAAAUUCGUGAAGCACCACUACCAGUACCAGACAUAUGAUUUGUUGCUGAACAAGGCAUAGAUUUCAAAGUUUCAAUUUUACUAUGUUGGACAAUUGCAUUGCGUUGAUUUACAAUACAGGUAUGUAGUACUUCUCGAAAACUCUAUUUCUGUCCAAUAUUUGUUGUUUUAGGCAUUUAUUUUUAUCCUGCUUGACUAAGAAACUAAAAUGUUAGUUUUAUAAUCUAGUGCCCACCAGAUAUUCUAUUUCAGGAUCCAGCUCAACAAUUUUAUUGAUUAGGUUUUGACUUCACACAAUUUUGUAUUUUUAGAUGUUUAAAAUAUCCCUAGUAACUCAUGUCAGAUUAAAAACAAAUUUUAAUAUCAUGAUUUCAUUGCAUAUUAAUAAUAAAAGUAUAUGAUUCUACGGUUUUCAUUUGUUUUAUUUUAUUUUUUUUCCUUUUUAAAUUCCCUAAUUGCUUUUCAAAUUUUCAUAAAUUAGGAUUUUUUUUUUUGGUUUAAUUUUUCCGUUUUCAAAAUAUGGGAGCAUUAGUUACCAACAAAAUAUAAGAAUGUUAUUUUUUUUUCAAAAUUAUUUAAUUAUAUUCUAUAUAGAUAUGGGUAAAUUAUUUUACUACACAUAUAUAAUAACAAUCAAAUGUGCUUAAUGUAUGUAAUAAUACAUGCAAAAUAAUUUACCUACAACAUAAAGGAUGUGAUUUGGUUCAAAUUUAUUUUACCUACAUUUCACAUAUAGAUAUGGGGAAAUUAUUUUAUGUAGAUUAAAGUACCUACUUAAAGAUGAAGAAUGUGAAUUGGUUCAAGAUUUAAUUUACAAUUAUUUCAAAUAUAUAGAUAUAAGUAAGGGGAAUUUUGAUCUAGGUGCAACAUCCCUAGCAUUUAGACUUUUUUAUUAAACUAUUUUCUACAAUUUUGGUGCCAUGUUUUCUAAAAUGUCCUUCUUUUUGAAAUUCAAAAUUACAUGAAGUGCCAUUGAUCCACCAAUUUAUUCAAAAAGUAGCUCCGAAAUCUAGCCUUCUUCAAACCAAAUUUAUUAUUUUUAUUAAUCCAAAACAAAGACACAUAUUAUUAAGUUAUCAACCAAUGAUAUGUGCCAAAAAUUAAAAUUAAAAUAACCAAAACUAAAAUAAAACGUACCAUAAACUAGAAUUAAACGUACCAACACUAAAACUAAACGUACCAAUCAACGAUAUAUACAAAAUAAUUCUCUCACUAAAAUGUAUACAUAAUAAUUUCAAAAUAUAAACAUCCACCAUUUUCAUUAUCUUGAAGGUAAAAUUAUAUUUUAAUUUUAGGAGAAAAAAAUAUUUUUUACGAAGAAAUUAUAACAAAGAGAUAAUUUGAUAAGCAUCAGGUGGGACUUUGUGGCAAGGCUUCAUAUCGUUUCGGGUUUGAACUAAGUGAUGCUUAAGCCUUAAGUAUGAGUCAUAGAGGAAAAAUAACAAAGAUCUACACAAAACUCAAACAAAAGAUAAAGAUAGAGAAAAAAAUAGAUAAGUUUUCUGUCUGGGCUCAAAACUGUCAUAAAUAGUGGGCGAUGGAGGAAGGAGACGCUUGAAUUUUGAAACGAACCAUGAGGGUUGCUGAAAAAAAAAAAAAAAAAAAACUAGAGGAGGUGUGGGGUCUAUGGUAAUGGGAUAAGGAUGAAUGAAAAAAACAAUAAAUCAAAAAUAUAAAGAAAUAAAAUAAUUGAAAAAACCUGAUAUAUCACGUUGCUUGCUGUAUGGUGUAAGCUUUACAAUGGGCUUACAAUAAUGUUGUUUAAAUUCAUCUUUUGCAAGAAUCGAACAUAAAGCCUUUAACUUACAAGUAAAUAGAAAUAUCACUAAAAUCCUUAAUGAAUCCACGGGUAUUCAAUCAGGAUUUUAAGCGAUUCUCUGAAAUUCAAUGUGUAUUCAAUCAGGAUUUUAAGAUAAUUUAUUAAAAUCCUUAGAAAUCUGGGUGUAUUCAAUUAGAAUUUUAAAGAAGUUUAUAACAUUCCAGGUGUAUUCAAUUAGAAUUAGAAUUUAAAGAAUUUAGAAAAGUUGAGGAAUUAGAGGGAAUUGGAGAGAUUUUGUAGUGUAUUUUAAGCAUUCACAAAUCUCACCUCUUCCCCAUGAGAUUUCGAGGGAAUUGAAUCAAAAUUUUACAUGGAAUCUCUACAAAUCAGGUAAACUCCAAAAAAAUUCAUAAAUUUAUAAAUCAAUUAAAAUCUCUCAAAUUCCUAAUUGAAUACACCCCCUUUAUAUUUAAACAGGACAAAAAUAUAUGAUUAUUAAUGUUGUGUUGGGGUGCUUCUUUGGUUUAGGCAUCAGAGCACUGAGCGCGGGACUUAAAAAAGCCACCAACAAAGAGAAGCAUUCCAGCCGUAGUCCUUGAUUUCAAAAGGAAAUGGAAAUUAUAAUUGCAAUUGCCUCAAAAGUUGGAGAGUGCUUGGUCACACCAAUAGGAACAGAGUUUGGCUAUUUGAUUAAUUACCAUUCCAACCUGGAAAAUCUUAAGGGUGAGAUAAAAAAGCUUUUUGACAAGAAAGAUGGAGUGCAAGGAUUGGUAGAUGCUGCCCAAAGGAACAGUGAAAGGAUCAAACCUGAUGUUCAGAGUUGGCUAAAUAAUGUGAACGACGACAUGGUCAAAAAAGUGUUGCAGUUUGAGGAUGAAAUUAACAAGAAAAGGCGAUGUGUGUAUCGAUGGAGCUUGAGUCGGAGAGCCUAUAAGAUUAAACAAGAAGUUCUUCAGCUCCAAAACGAAGGAAGAUUUGAAAAUGUGGCCUAUCCUGCACCUCCACCAGAGAUAUGGUCAACAUUCGAAAAUGUUUUUAAGGAUUUUAAGUCCAGAAGGGCAAAGAUGAAUGAGGUGAUAGAGGGUUUUAAGAGGGAAGAAGUACGAAAGAUCGGGAUUUGUGGAAUGGGGGGUGUGGGUAAAACCACAAUGGUGAAAGAAAUCAUCAUAAGAUUGGCAAAACUGAACCUGUUUGAUAAAAUUGUAAUGGCAACUGUGUCUCAAAGUCCAAGUAUUAGGACGAUCCAGUUGGAAAUUGCAGAGGAAAUAGGUUUGGAAUUGAAGGAGGAAACCCAGUCCGGAAGAGCACGAAGGCUACAUAGGAGACUCAUGGAAAUAAAGAGGAUCCUGAUUGUAUUAGAUGAUGUCUGGGCAGUGCUUGAUUUUGAGGCUAUAGGACUCCCUUCUGGAAAUGCUCAUGAAGGGUGCAAAGUUUUGUUGACAUCACGAGAUUCGGACGUUUGCAACAGGAUGCGAAGUCAACAAAUUAUUGCAGUCCCGAUUUUAACACCAGAAGAAUCACAGGAGCUCUUUCGAGAAAUGGUGGGUGAAUCCUUUAAUGAUCCUGAUUUACGUUCCACUGCAAAAGAUGUAUUGAAGGAAUGUGGAGGUUUACCUAUUGCAAUUGUAACUGUUGGAAAAGCCCUAGAAAAGAAAAACAAGCAUGAAUGGGAUGAUGCCCUUAAUCAGAUGCGAAAUUCUACCCCAGUGAACAUCCCUGGAGUGAAUGACACAGUUUUUUCUAGCAUAAAAUGGAGUUAUGAUAGAUUGGAGAGUGAUGAAGUUAGGUCAUGUCUUUUACUUUGUUGUUUAUUUCCAGAAGACUAUGAUAUUCCAAUUGAGUAUUUGGUUCGAUAUGGGUGGGGUCGAGGAUAUUUUAGCAGCAGCGUUACUUUGGAAGAUGCAAGAAAUAGAGUGCAUUCUUUGGUUGACCAACUAAAAAGAAGGUUUUUGUUGCUAGAUAGUGGCAAGAGUGAGGCUACAAAAAUGCAUGACGUAGUUCGCGAUGUUGCCAUAUGGAUUGCUUCAAGAGAUAAAAAAGGAUUUUUGAUAAGAAGUGAUGCUGAAAAUAAAGGGUGGCCAAAUUUAGCUACAUAUGACCAUUACACUACAAUCUCACUUGUUGGCGAUUUGGAGAUUCCAGUUGGUUUGAAAUGCCCAAAACUUGAGCUUCUACAGACGAUGGAAGGACUUUUUUCAGAAGGUAGCAUGAACAACAUUUGUAAGGCGAUGAAAGAACUGAAGGUUUUAGCUUUGGUGGGAAAGGAAAUGAAAAACCGAGUCUCAUUAAGAUCACUGAAGAAUCUGCGGACCUUGUGCCUAGAUGGGUCUAAUUUUGAUGGCACGUCUACUGAUGUUAUUGGGAGUUUGGAGAAUUUAGAAAUCCUCAGCUUUCGGGAUUGUUAUUCCAUGCGUGAGUUGCCGAGGGAAAUUGGACGACUUAAACAGUUAAGGUUGUUAGAUACGACAAACUGCGAGGAACUUGAGGUGAUUCCACAUGGUAUCUUCUCCAGCUUAUGUAGACUUGAAGAGUUGUAUAUGGUUAAUAGCUUUAACGAAUGGGAAAUUGGAAGAGGAAGAGAAGAAAAGGGGAUGGCAAGCAUUUCUGAGGUGAUGUCUCUGUCCGAUCAUUUGAAGGUUCUAGCCAUAGAGAUACCCAGUGUCAUCCACUUGUUGACAAAAGACAUAGUCUUGAAAAGCCCAACAAUAAGAUUCCUUAUACGCUGUGCAACAUGGGGACGGCUUUUUUCAGAGAUGAGUACUUAUGCAUUCGAAAAUUGUUUGGAGAUUAGUGAAAGUGAUGCAAGGGAGUUGGAGGAGAGUCAAGCAGUCAAACUUUUGUUGAAAAAAUCUAAAAAAUUGUAUUUGUCGGAGGUUAAGAAUUUCUCUGUCCUCACUGAUUUAGACCAAGAAGGAUUUCAAGAUUUGAAAGAUUUGCAGCUUUGGAAUUGUCCACAUAUCGAGUAUCUUGCAAAUGGAACAAGUGGGUUUUUGACCAACCUAAGAUUCCUUGAAUUGGUAUUUUGUGGUGUCUUAAAAUAUGCCUUUUCAUUAUCAGUAGCAAGAAACUUGGUACAACUCAAAGAAUUAAACAUUGAUGGAUGUGGUCAAAUGGAAGAAAUUGUGUCGAAGCAGGGGAGGGAACAUGAGGAGGAAGCCGAUAUGAUAUCUUUCGAUAAAUUAACCAAUUUGACUCUCGAGGGUCUAGGGAGUUUGGUUGGUUUCUUCCAAGCCAAGAAGCUAUACUCCAACCAAGAGGUAUGUCCCACUCUCCAAUCUCUAUGAUAUGAGGAGGCAGCCGAUAUGUGGAAAUUUGAAAUUGUUUAACUGAUAAUGAUUUUUCUUUUUCAGGAAACAACGGCAAGGGUUGAGCAUCAAUCUGCAGGCGUAUUUGAAAAAGCAAUAUUUCCAUCAAAGUGCAUUUCAUGGUUUCCAAGUUUAGAAGAGGUAGUAUUGGGACGUAUGAAGUUUGAAGGUGUGCUAUUUGAUUUGAAAAACAUUCCAUCUGGAUUUCAAGGCUUCCAAAAUUUGAGAUAUUUGGAAAUGAGAGAAUGUUCUGGUCUAGAAUAUGUGUUCUUGCAUUUAAUUGCCCGAAAACUUUUGAAUCUUGAAGAGGUAAAGAUAUUAAAAUGCCCGGACAUGGAAGCUAUAGUCAGAAUCCCAGAGGAAAUUGAAGAAGAGGCGACAAAAUACAUGAUUUUGUUUCCGAAACUGAACACAUUUGAACUAGAAGACCUGCCUCGUCUCACAAGUCUUUGUCCAGAGGGAUUUACAUUUCUACGGUCAUCCACAAAAAAAAUGCACGUGAAAAGAUGUGAAAAUUUGAAGACAUUGGGUGUUGUAAUUCCACAAAGAAAGAAGUUGGAGAAUAACUUGAAGAAGGAUUCAACAAGUCAUGAUUUCAGCACUUCUCCAACACGUUCAUCAAAUUGGUGCCCUGCUGGAUGUGGAUGCGCACCAUAUUCAAGACCAAACGCCCACCGCCCCAUUGAAAUAUUGCCACGUCCAAUUAACCUGGAGGUAAGCUUUUAAAUCAGGUUCAAUUAACCUCUAUAAGUACAACUUUUAAUCAGUAUUGUAUCAUCUUGUUGAUCGUGCUUAAUUUUCUAGGUUACACAAACUAAUCUUGAGGACUCAAAUGAUAAUGAUAAUCUCGAAAAUCUUACUGUAAGUGACUGUAAUUCGAUGGAAGUGAUUUUCCAACUCAAGGGACCGAAGCAUGAAGAAAGUAGUCACUCCAUUGAAGCAUUCAAUAAAUUGAGUUCCUUGCGGUUAGAUAGAUUGCCAGGUUUAACGCGUGUUUGGGAGAUGGGUAGUUCACAACCGAUGUUGACAGGAAGCAGCUUCGGAAACUUGAAAUCGCUGGAGGUUGGUUUUUGCAACCAGUUGAAAUACUUGUUUUCAUCGUCCAUAGUCAAACUUCUCGUGAGUAUAGAGGACAUAGAAGUUCAUAACUGUGAGAAGAUGGAAGAAAUCGUUGCCGCAGAAGAAGAAACUGAUGAAACAAUUACAUUACCUAAAGUGAAGUCCAUCAAGCUUGAAAGUCUGCCAAAACUCAAGUAUUUUUGUGGUGAAGCUUAUACUUUGAAGUUGCCGUCUUUGGAGUUAUUGGAGUUUGAUGACGUGCAAAACUUAAGCUUAUUAGCUCCAAAGCUUAUUGCCACACAUCCCCGAUUGCAAGUACGCACCGCGUUGGGAGUGGCUGAAUGGAAGGGGGACCUCAAUGCCACUCUUAAGGAAUAUUUACGUCACAAGGUAUGCUUUAAUAUAAGGUUUUUAAUUUCCAAUCAUUUAUGGCAAACACCACAAAAAUUCGACAACAAAUUUAGGCAAAGCAUAAUCAACAGUUCAGAUUUAGUUUGACGAAAGUGUAAUCAAAAUUUAGUCAAAAACCAUACACACACACACACACAUAUAUGUAUGUGCGUAUGUGCACACUAGAGUGUAUUUAGAUAUGUUUUUCUUCUUUUGAAAACUCAAUUAGAUCUCAAGAAAAUAUCUGCCUUUUAUUUCUAACACAGGAAGGGUGAAGAUGAUGAAAUCGAGAGGGAGGACGAACACAAUUAAUUGAUCAAGCACAAAGGUUAACAUGUCUCCAUCUUCAACUUCUUCUAGGCUUAGUAAAAACUGCUAUUUUCGGAAACACAUAUACAAUAAGCAUAACCGUUUCAACUUAUUUGAGUUUCAGUGAUUUCUAAUAUUCUCCAAUGCAUGCAGAACAACAAUUCAAAGAAGGUUGUGGCUUCAACAAUUCGUUUACCAUCUCAUAUGUACAAACCAAUAAAAUGUCAUUUGUUGCAUCAGACUUUCAUUCCAAAAAUACUAUUUAUGUUGCUUAUUUUAUGCAUGUAUAAUAAAUUUCGAGUGUGAUUGUUACUGUUUGUAUCUAAGUUCGCAUUAUUAAUGUAUGUUUAUUUGCACCAAGAAAUGAGAAAUGCUUAUGUAAAAAUAAAUGAAUAAGAUUAAACAAGAAAAACUUUACGCUACUCAAACUUGCAAACACUCAAACUACAAGCAUUAUGAAUAAACACGGAAUCAGGCUACGCAAUUGCCUUCAUCAUAACAUGAUUUUGGCCCCCAUUUUAUAAUUUCCUACCACAUUUUCACAUUCUUUCCAUGAAUUUUAUAAUCAUAUGCAAAAGAGUUCAAUCUAGGGGCUCCAAAAAUAUCACAGACAGAACAAUUAACACAAAUCGAAUAAAAAUUUGAAAUCAUGAAUCGAUCCCAAAACUGAAAGUUGAAAUUUUUGAAAAGAACUUACAUUGGAGGACAGCCCACCGGGACAGGAUCAUUUAUACCUCUUGGGUCGAGAAUAUUGGCCGGAAAACCGCGGUGACCGUUUCUUUGAUAUGAAAUUGAGGAAAUUUGGCUACGGAUCUGUAGAAACUAACUUGGGAGUUGGAAAGAGGAUGGAAAGAGGAGUCUGGAUAUGUAAUUUGACGGCCGUUGGUGACCCGUGGGCGAAAAUAAACUUCAUGCGAAAACAAGACCAGAUUGAGGUAAGAAAGAAAAAUACAUACGCAGAAAUAACAUGUCAGUCAGGCAAGACAAGUAAUUGCAACCAUAACACAACACAAUGAAGAAACAUACCAUGAGGAUUUUGAACAAACAUAAUGAAGUGUAACCAACAGCAUACAAAUAUCAAAAAUAUAGAAAAGAAUGCUAUACAAUCACUAUAAGUGAUUUCAAAGGCCAUCUUCUAUUUCUGUUUCUGGAAAAAAGUCAUGUCGUCAAGAUGUCAUUCCAUUUCCUUACCAUGAUGAGUAACAUGAUAUUUGAACUUGCUUGCAUUCAGAGAUCAAACAUGGUGGGGUUAUAGAGCAGGUGGAGAUGUUUUUUCUCUAUCCUCAAUCAAAAUAUCAAUGUCUCCCUCCUCCCUCGAUCACUGUCUUUAUUUGUGUGUCAGUUUCAAGCAAUGGCUUUGCUGAACGAGAGAGGGAGAGGGGAAGGAGUUCCCAAGCAAAUUAUGAGGAGGGUGGUGGGGGCAGACUGCUCCGAUCACAGAUAUAUUUCAAGGAUCACAAUUAAAGACUUGCAAUCUUUUAUGGCUGCCAGUUGUGGGACACUCGCAGUCAGACACACACAGAUGGAGAUUGUAAAAGACUUUGAAUUAGAAUUAGUAAAUUUGUGUGUGUAGGGGUGGCUCUGUAUGGGGUUCCAAACUGAAAAUGGAAUUUCGAAUCCCAAAUCGAAAAUUUUCAAAACGAGAAUUUGAAAACCAAUCUUGAAUCAAAAUUUCGGUAUUCCUAAUUUUCGGGAUUCACAAAAUGUUUUCGAUAUCAGGAUGCGUCGGGAUUGAAUUUUGGGUUUUGGGCUGAAAUUUGAGUUCAUCAUAACAUGAUUUUGGCCCCAUUUUCUAAUUUCCUACCACAUUUUCACAUUCUUUCCAUGAAUUUUAUAAUACCUAUGCAAAAGAGUUCAUUCAUUGCCUAUUUCAAAACAAUACAAGGUUCUACAGAGUUCAAUCCCACAUCAUGUUAUAGACAUGCUUCAACUACAGAGUGCAAUACCAGAAGUCUCAUCUCCGACAUUCAUACAGAAUAUCGAAUAAAAAUUCGAAAUCAAAAAUCAAUCCCAAAACUGAAAGUUGAGAUUUUAGAAAAAUAACUUACAUUGGAGAACAGCCCACGAGAAGAGGAUCAUUUCUACCACUUGGGUCGAGCUCCAAUUCCGGCGAUAUGGCCGGAAGUUGGCCGGAAACCCUGGGUCACCGUUUCUUAAAUUUGAAGUUGAGGAAAUCGCCUACGAAUUUAUAGAAACCAACUUGGGGAUUGGAUAAAGGACGGCAAGAGCAUUCUGGAUGUGUAGUUUGAGAGCCUUUGGUGACACGUGGACGACAGAGCUCUUGCGCCGGCACUCGGCAGUCGUCGGCUUGCUGUUUAAUGGGCUCCUGUUGCGGCUCAAAAGACGAGGAGGAGAGAGGAUACGGGAGGAGGAGAGAAAAUGGGUUUCUCACACUUUUUACAUCUUAAUUCUUUUCCGUAUUUUUUUUUUAUAGAAUAUACGAUAUUAUCUAUCACCAAAAUUGAUUUUGGUAUGUGAGAUGAGGUGGAAUACGUUUUAAUGAUAAUUGUGGUUAGAAAUAAUAUAAUUUAAAUUUAUAUAUGAUAAUAAUUGAAUAUAAAAUUUCUUACUUACGAGUUAUAAAUAAAAAAAAAUACCAUUAAUUUUACUUUUAAUCUAAAUAAAAAGAAACAAAAUGAAAAGGAAAAGAAAUAAAAUAAUUUGAAAUAGAAAUGAAAAAUAAAGGUUAACUGACAGAGCCCACCAUGAUUUGCUGGAUUUUGCAAUAUGGCAUCCAUGAUUUGCAGAGCCCACCAUCGCAAAGAAGGAAAAUUUGGAAAGCUCAAUCCUUGUCUUUUUCUUAUGUAAGUGUCGUUUUAGUGAACCGAAUGUUCCGAUUCCAACAUCCAAAAUACCGCAAUGUGAAUUUUUUUCAUACUACAAUUGGAUUGUAUCUUAAAAUUAUGAAGUUUUGGAGCAUUGGUCACGCCAUCAAGCUCCUUUGUGUUGGAUUUCGUUAGAGAUCGUAAUUAAUCCAUUUCCUUUUUUGUGUCUCCCUCCAAAACCUUAAAUUGAAACAUGAACUCCCUAGCAAAUAAGAGCCCAAUUUGACAACCAAAAUCUUCAUCGUUCGAGCAUCAAUGUUCUCUUAAAUUCGCUGCGAGCAAACCACCAUGAAAUCUCCUUCAUGUGCAUCUCAUAAAAUUAGAACAAUGCAGGGAAGAUUAGUGUGGCUCCUAAGCUAGGAUUACACUUAUGAAUCGCAAAAUAAUUCCUCCUCCACUCUUUGAUUCUCUCUUUCACUGGCUAACAAUAUUUUACUCUACCGUUUCACCCCUAAGUAAGAAAUAGCAUCUUUUUGAAAAUUUCACAUUUGACCUUAAUUUAUCUCUUUUGCACUAUUUGACUGAACGACAAAUUUUGAUUGUCUAAAUAUUUAUAUCAAACUACAAAUAAUAUUGAUAUUAUAUAUUAAUAACGUAACUGGAAUUGUAGUACCCAACAUAUCUAUCUUGAAAUAAAUUUUGUUGUCUAUGAAGCGGCCUACUCGACUCUCUCUUGUACUCUUUAGUCCAGUCCAUUUUGAGUUUGUGUAAAUAGAUCAUUGUUUAACAAUUGACAUUCAAUAUUGUGAUUUAGUGGUAUUCAUCAUCACUUGUAAGUGAGAGAUAUUAGGUUUGAAUCUUGGAGUGACGAGUUUGUGUAAUCAUUGUAUUAAAGAAAAAAAAUAUUUUUGGUCGGACAAAAACACAAAAAUGCCCUUAAAGCCCAAAGUGCCCCCACUACCCUAUCACUGCCUGCAAGUUCUUUCCUCGCCUUUGUUUCCCUCCCUUUCUCCCUCUCAGACAUUUGAGGACUCAAAAACUCUUUUAACUCUCUUCUUCUCACUCUCAAAUGUCACCCUUUCUCAAUCAUACGCACGCCCAGUGAUCUCUGAAGCACCAAUUUCUCUUCCCUUUGGCUCUCUGCAUCUCACCAGAGGUAAAAAGCCCCUGGUUUUUUUAUAUUUUUUAUUUUAUUUUAUUUUUAUACUUUUUCCUCAGUAAAUUUAAUCCAAUGGAUUUUUCGUGUACCCUUGCAGUAAUACAGGAAGAUUUUGUAGUAUUUCUGGUUGUUGGAUGAUACUGGAAUAAUUAUUGGGAUUUUGAAGAAUUUCUGGUUCGUAUGAUAUAUUUGCUAAAAGACCCAAAAUUUUGAAGCAGAGCGGCCAUGGAAAGGUGUUUGAAAAGAAAAUCAUAUGAUGAGUCAAUGGAGUCGUCAUCGUCUCCGAAGGAGAAUGACAAAAGCUCGAAACAAGCUUGCGUCGAAAUCAACUUGGAAGGUCUUCCUGUUGAUGCCUUGCUGCGCACUCGAAUUUGGGAUUAGCAUCCAAAUGUUCGAGUUCGAGAGCAAGUUCGAGGAGUAUAUAUGCAAAAAGGUCAUUUUCAGACUCCAGACCAGGACUUCCCCCACAAGAAUACUAGUGGGGGACCGAGAAGGUUUAUAUCUGCUUGGUUUAUGAGUUUCUGACUGGUUGGAAGAUAGUAUAGCGAAAGAUGCUUCAUGUUGUCUAUGCUGUUAUCUGUUUAAGCUAAAUACAGGAGAGCAAGCCUGCGGUGAUUGCUUUGUUAGUAAAGGGUUUUGAAAUUGGAAGAAGGAAAGGUUGGAGGGUCAUGUUGGAGGACGGAAUAGCGCCCUCAACCAAGCUUGGAGAACCUAUGAUGCUUUAUUAAAGCAACACCAAGCACGAAAGGAAUGUAAAACUAUAUUAGGUGUAUCAAUUGUUUGUAUGAGGUUUCUCUUGCAUCAAGGGCUUAUAUAUUGCGGAGACGAUGAAUAUGAAGGUUCAAAUGAUGAAGGAGUUUUUCCUGGACUCUGGAAUUUCCAAUGUGGUCGCCACGAAGAGUUAAAAGCUGUCACAUUGAGAAAUCAUCCUUUAGGUCUGAAGUUGGCUUCACUUGAUACUCAGAAGGACAUCAUAAUUGUUUUUUCAAUGGAAAUAUCAAUGCAAUCGUUAAAGAUAUUGGUAGUUCGCACUUUUCCAAUCUUAUCGAUGAGCGUCAUGACUUGUUUUCAAUGAAGCAAUUGGCCAUUGUAAUACGUUUUGUGGAUAAAGGUCAAGUGAUUGAGCAUUUUUUUAUGCAUUGUGCAAGCCACUGAUAAUACUGCUGACUCACUUAAGGUGGCUAUUGAUGAUUUCUUUUCUACCCAUGGAUUAAGCAUGUCAAAGCUAGGGGACAAGUAAUAUGCUUGGUGAGUUGAAUAGUAUUAACUAUUAAGACAAUUAUAAUGAAGGAGAAUGAGUGUGCAUUUUACGUUCGUUACUUUGCUCACGGCAGCGAGAGACACGAAUUUCGCUUUAUUUACGAGCUUGCCACCGGGCUGAUUUCAGCCCAAAUUUUGCUUUAUUUACAAGAUUGCCAUUGGGCUUAAGAACGGGUUUCCAGUCUUUCGGUUGGAUCCGGGCUUUGACUUGGGGAGAGAGAGGGAAUGGGGGCAGAAGGGUUGACGCCGGGUUGGAUGGAGAGGUUCGCCAGGAUUUGGGGGAGAGGAUUUUCGGCAUGGAGGUGCGGGUGGGUGUGCCUGUGGCUGAUGCAUCGGUCAGAGGGUUGUUGGGGAGGAGAGGAGGGGCACAGAGUGAUUGACAGAUUGGAGAGAGAUGGGAGCUACGAGUUUCGACUAAAAGAGAGAGAUUUAGUUAGGUCCUCUGCCAGGACCUAUGACAUUUUCUCCAAUUUUAGAGAGAGAGAGAGAGAGGAGAAAGCAUGGCUGUGUCCAUUUUUUGGGGUUAAUGGGUUACCGCACAGGGUCGGUGAGGAGAGAAUGGCAGAGGGAGGUAUGGGAGGGAAUGUUGUAAUCCCCUUUUCUUCCCUCUUUUUCUCUCCCGACUCUAUCUCUGUAACCAUCCCUCCCUUUUCUCACUCUAUAAUUUCCCUCAAAUCCCCCGCCGAUUCUCUCUCUCGCCAUUCUCAGUCUCGACAGCCGCGAAUCCUUACAGCUCCAUGCUCCGCCUCCAGAUUCGUCGAGAUGAGAGCCCCAAGACCGUCGCCUGCACCACCGUCUCAGAAAAGUAAGCCAAAAUCUCGCGAGAAUCAGGCUGCACACGAGCGGAUCCAAAGGCCAAACCCGAUCUUGAAGUCGACACAUCCAGAGGUAAAAAUUUCUCAUCUUCGAUUUCAUAUAUGUUGUUAGAUUAAAAGGGAAAAUAUGAGAACUAACUCAAGCAAAUGUUCUGGAUGUAAGCUAAAAGAUCAAUUUAACUUUUCUUCCCUGUCAAUUUAGUGCUUUUUUCUUUUCUUAUUACUUUUAGGAGUUAAUUUUGGAGAUAUAUUAUUACUAACAAAUUUAAUGUUGCCUCUGUCAUAUUUUUUGCUGAAGAUUUCUUUUUUGAAAACCGUAUGCCAUGACAAAAUAAAUUUACAAAUUGCUAAUUUUUCUGUUUUGUAUAAAAAAAUCUUUGUUCACUCUACCUGAAUAGGUACACUUGACUGAGAAGGAAAGUCUUUUCAUAUUAAAUCCAUGUUAGCCUGACUGCUGCCACCCUGGAACCAUCGCUCUUCGGUAAGUUUUCAACACAAUAUAGUUCAAAUCCUCUUAACCAUGUUCUUGAAUUUUACUAUAUGUAUCAUGUUCUUUGCAUUUCAUUAUCUGAACUCUGUUAUUUGAAUUUGGUUACCUGAAUCGUGCGGCCAGUGGCUUUGUAUGGCUAACUGGUGUGAUUUGGGAGUGUUUUUAGUCAAUGGGAGACAGGGGACAAAUGUGUGGACAGCGAAGUCAAGUGGGAUUAGGAAUUUAGGAUAGUAGAAUUUUUGCUAAUUUAUGGGAUUAGAAGUCUUCCUUUAUUUUUGUCUUGGUGUGAUCAAUUGUAACAAAGAAUUUUCAUUAAAAUUGAGGUAGUGAACCAACGAAUUUUCAACUUUUGUUUAUCUACAGUCGUCUCCAUUGUCUUGGUAUUGGACCAAGCAUGAAAUCCCAAGCACUAUAUCACCACAAAGCAAGCAAGCUGAAAAGCAAUCCAACAAACCCUUUUUCCAGAAACACUUAACAGAACCUUUCUAUGGGUUAAUUGUUGUUUCAAUUAUACCAGAUUGAAAACGAGUAUGGAACCAUUGAUCAAGCAUACGGGGCUGUUGUCCAAACCUAUAUUAAGUGGGGAGCAAGCAUGACUGUUUGUCUUUAAAUACAGGGUGCCCUGGGUCAAGUGGCAACAAAAAGAUGCUCAUGCAUCCGUAAUGAGGCUUUUGUAGUCAGUUUUCAUUUGCAUUGUAUUGACUUUGACCUUUUUUAUCAAAGUCCAAUAGCAAUAGGUGCAGUAAUUCUCAAACCCUAAUUUGUUAGCCAACAUCCCAAGCCCCGUUACAACCUUUGACUUCAAUUUUGAGUGUUAUGUGUCUCAAUUUGUGGAGUUUGAAUUUGGUAUGAGCAUAUGGUGUCACUGGUUCUCGCGUCUAAGUAGUAGCAUUCCAUUCAUGAGAUCAUAUCUAAACAUGCUUAUUAACUCCAGAAAUUGCUUUCUUGGUAAUACAUAUAUGUGAGCAUUCGUUUUCAUAUCUACAUCAAUCUUCUCACAUAUAACUAGCAUAGGGUGUGUGGUUAGAAAAUCUGAGUGAAAAUUGAGUGCAUAUCUUGUAAGGAAUUGAGCGAAUUCUCUAAGGCAUGUUCUUACAUUCAAAACAUUGUUUUAAUUGAUUAAUGUGAACAAGUAAGUAGUGACUAUGAUUAAGUAUGUGCUUAAGUGUAGAGAUGACUCAAAUCUGUGGGGAUGAUGAUCUUUAACAUGUCAUGUGCUUUGGAAAUCCCUGAGGCAAAUGUUGGAAGGUUUAGGUUGUGUUUUAUUUGUUUUGUUUUGUUUUAUUUCUUUGUUUUGCUCGAGGACUAGCAAAAGCUAAGUGUGGGGGAAUUUGAUAGGAGCAUAUUUAUGCGACUUAAUUGGCUUGUUCUCGUGCAUUUACGUUAUGUUUCCUUAGUUAUUUUAGUGUUUAAAGUCACUUUUGUGUGUUUUCAGAUUCCAAAGCCAAAGUGUGCAAAAUGAUGUAAUUUGGAGCCUUUUGGAGCAAAAGGAAUGGAUGAAUGGAAGACUUGAAGACAUUAGGAUUCCUAAUUGACGAAGGAUUCCUAAUUGAAGAAGGAUUCCUAAUUGAAGAUGGAUUCCUAAUCACAUGAGGAUUCCUACUUGAAGUAGGAAAGUUAAGCCAAGGUUUCCUACUUUGGUUUGAUUUUUCCUAAAUGUCCCUAAAAGUUCCAGCCACUUUGAAGACCUCAUACACACUUUAGGACAUAAAACAAAGAUUCCUUGCACCAUUCAAGGUAGUGCCGCACCUCACAUACCCUUUCCACACUUUCCCUAACCCUUAUCUUCCUUGCCGUGCAAAAGAAAGCCCACCUUCCCUAUUUCCUUGCAUUUAAACCACAUUCCCUUUUAGUUUAAGGAGUGCCGCAUAUUUCCUUGCCUUUCCCUUAGUUUUUGACCUUGUUUUCCUUUUCCCUCUAGGUUGUGACUUAAAUAUUUGUUACUUAAAAUAUUUCCUAGCCUAAAACAUUCUAAACUUUCUGAAUAAAUACCCUAGCCGCACCUCUAGUCAAUUUCCCUUAAGUUUCUGAUUUUUGUUUCCUAAUUCUAGAAGCUUUAAACUUAAUUCCUGAUUACCUAAUUAGCCUAGGGUUUUUAAUGUCCUAAUCCCUUUAAAUAAACAUCCUUGUGCAGCCACAAACAGCCCCAUUCAUCCAGAAACUCAUCAUUCACGCCAGAAACUGAACUCCAUCUUCAACAGCCCCAUUCCUUCACCAUUCACCAUAUUUUCUGACCCAAAACCACCCUAGCCGCACCACCCAUCAACCCUAAACACUUCCAUACGUCCCCCAUCCAUUCUACAUCAUUCAAUAACCCAAGAAACCACCAACAUCCAAUCUGCCGCAAGCAAGGAAAGGGGACAGAUUCACUCAAUUGUUUGGCUCUUCAUUCUGAGUUGUUGAACAAUUUUAGGUGUAUUCUAUCUUAUAUUUCAAUGUCUAAUUCAUGUAAUCUUUGUUUUGCUUUAAGUAUGAUUGGCUAAAUUCGUUUUGGCUAAGGGUGUAUUCAAAACCAUGAUUAUAUAUGUGAAAUAAGUUAAUUACUUUCAGUUAUCGUUGCAUAAGUCGUGAAUACAAUUUGCUUAACCGUUUGAUUUAGAACUUAUUCUUGUAUGUUGAUUGAAAGUGCACGCUUAAUUUGCAUGCUUGAAUUUGGUGCUAGGAUAUAAGUUUGUUUCACCUAAUCGUUAUGAAUUUAUAUUCGCAAGUAGUGAAGAUCGCUAGUCACGAUCGUAAGUAGAUUCCUGGCAAGAGUAUCAUGUUUUUCAUAGUUAUGAAUGCCUUGUCGAUGCUUAUGAUUUCCACAUAACGUAAUGAUUCUAACUUGUAUCUUUAUCAUGCUAUUCAUAUAGAGAACUUGUUAGGAAUAAUUUGUUUGCGAUGCAUAUUCAUCCAAUUCAAUGAUUCUAGGGAAAUCUGAAGGUUAAUUUAAGCGGACCUAAUUAACUUGGAGUGUCGAGGUUCACAACUUAUUAAAUUGAUAACUGGAAAUCGAUUUACGUUGCAUAUAUUUCAUGUGUGGAGAAGAACCCCUUAGCUAUUCCAUCAUCCAUUGAUUCAUCACAAUUUUGUCUUACAAUCUGUUUUCUUUUUCAAUCUGCCCAUUUAAUUAUUUUCGUCCAAAAUCAAUCCCACCUUAUUUCUUUGAGUCAUAUUAACUAGAACUUGUCUUAGAAUAUGUUUUUAGGUGUUUUAGGUCAUUAGAAAACCAAAAUUCGUCCAAUUUGUGUUAGAGUCCCAAAACUGCCUAGAAAGUGGUUUUUAGGCAGUUUUGAGUGUUUGUUUGCUGUUUUGAGUCUUUUGAUUUGUUUUAGUGUUUUAGAGUUUAGUUUUGCAUUCUUUGAGUCUAGUUUAGUAUUUUAAACUUUGUUUUACAUAUUUGAGUCAGUUUAGAGUGUUUUAGCAAUCCUUCCUAAUCCCCGGUUAAAAAAGUGAAGGUUGAAGGUGCUGUGGGUUGAGGAGCUGUUGAGGAAAUUGCUGUGGAGCGAGUUGAGAGAAAGCUUGAAGAAGGCUGUGGUGCAGGUGGACAUGAUUGAGGAAAUGGCAAGGAGAACUCAGGUGAUGGAGUGGAGGGGACAGAGGAAGAACACUGUGAAGAGCUACUGUGAUGAAGAAAUGGAAAAUGAUCUUCAUUAAAGAGAACAUGCCUUUGAAAUGUGGAGACUCUGUUAGAAGACACGUCCAAACACCGCCGAUAACCUUGUGUGUUGAAGGCUAUAACCGAGAAAGACACAUGGUUUGCUUUUACCAUCCAAUUUUUGAUGCAUAUGCUGAGCCUGAGCAAGCAGAUAGCAGCAAAAGCAACACCAAAAACCUUUAACUUGGAAUAAUCAUGAGGCUUUUUGAAAAAAGAAUUUCCCAUGGAGACUGAGACUGAUCCAAAAGAAAAUGAAAUUAAGAGGUAUCUGAUUGAUCUGAUUUGAUAAGAAAUACAAUGCAGUAAAAAAGGCUUCUACCCAAAACUUGUGAGGAACUUUGGAAGCAACAAGAAGUGUCCGAGCAGUUUCAGUAAGAUGUCUAUGCUUGCGUUCCACACACCCAUUUUGCUCAGGUGUGUGGGGACAACUGUAUUGAUGAGAAAUACCAUGUUGAAGCAAGAAUGAAGCAAAAGCAGAACCAGUGAACUUACCCCCUGAAUCUGUGCGAAGAAUCUUGAUUUUAUGGCCAAGUAAGUUUUCAACAUAUGCUUUGAAAAUGACAAAAGUAUAGAAGACUUCAGACUUGUGUUGUAAAGGAAACAUCCAACUGUAUUUGCUAUACUCAUCCACAAAGAGUACAUAGUACUUAUAGCCACUAAUUGAUGAAACUGGACAGGGACCCCAGACAUCACAAUGAAUUAAAUCCAAACUAUGGGAUACAGUGGUAGUACUAAAAGAAAAGGGCAGCUUAUGAUUUUUGCCAAUAGCACAGUCUGCACAAAAAAACUGAACAGAAGCUGAAGUAUGAGGAACAAGCUUAUUUGUAUGUAAAAUCCUUCGGAGAAUGGCUAUGGAAGGAUGACCGAGUCGUUUGUGCCAUUGUUGUAAAGAUGCUUGAGUGCUUACAAGUGCAGAAUAUGAAGCUUGGAAUGGCUGACCAUGCAGAGGAUGGAAACCAUCCCUAACUGGGCCUCGAAAAAGCAUCUUCCCAGUGGAACGGUCCUUGAUGACAGAACCAUCAGAAUCAAGAGUUAAAGAGCAAUAAUUGUCUCUUAGAAACUGAUAUGCAGAGAGCAAAUUGAAUUGCAUCAUUGGCACAUGAAGAACAUUAUUUAAUCGAAAGGCAGCAUGUGGUGUUUGGAGAAUAGAAGAACCUGUAUGGUGGAUGGGCAUACCUUGGCCAUCACCAGCAUAAACCUUGUCGUCACCAGAGUACAGAAUGGGGGAAGUGAUAGCGGAGAUAUCAUUGGUAACAUGAGCAGUAGCACCAGAGUCCAGAAGCCAUGUAGGCUGAGAAGAAGAGGCAGUAGAAGCACACAUAGCAGCAAGCUUGGCAGGUGGAAUCUUUCCAGCAAAGGCAUGAUUCAUGCGAGCAUAGCAGUCAAGAGCCUCAUGAUCAAAAGAAUUGCAUAUUUGACAGGGAGACCGAGUUCCAGAAGACCGAUUAAAGCCACCAGAGUGGCGAUUAUAAUGACUAGUAUUAUGAUGAAAGGAACCAUUACCAGGGCCAGAGUUAGUAUAAUGUCCACGAUAGUUGCCUCGACCUCUGUUGUUCUUCUGAAAAUUGCUUCGGCCACGAUUAUUGCGCUGAAAAUUGUUGCGAUUGUUGUAGGUAGAAUAUGGAACAACAUAUGCCUGGGAGGGAGGAGGCGUAGGUAAGAGACCUUGCUGGAGAGGCAAAGCUUGAGCAGCAAAUGCUUGAAAUGGUUCAGUGAGAGACGACGAAUGAGCUUUCUUCUUGCGAUGCAUAAAGAUCUCUUUGUUCAUGAGUAAGCCGUGAAGUUCAUCUAAAGAAGUAGAUGAAAUGCAAAGCAUUAUCGAAUCAAUGAAAGAUUCGUAAUCAUCCGAGAGGUCAUUUAGUGUAACAACAAUGAGAUCUGGUUCCGACACCAGGGCUCCGGCAGCCAUAAGAGCAUCAGAGAUGCAUUUGAUACGCUGCAGAUAAUCAGAAAUUGACAAAUCACCUUUUUGAAUCGCAUGAAGACGCGAUCAGAGCUGGUGAAUGUGCGCCGCCGAGACUCCGCCAAACUGUUGUUCAAGAAUCUGCCAUAAUUCUCGAGAUGAGGUGACGCCAACGGUGAACGGAAUAAGAUCUUCAGAGAGAGUGGAAUUCAACCAGAUCAGGAUAUUUUGAUCCUUUUCAAACCAGAUCUCGUAAUCAGGAUUAGGAACAGCAGUACCAAUACCGUUUUGAUUGAGAAGAAAGGGCGAUGGACAUUUCUCCGAUCCAUCGAUGAUACCUGUAAGUUUGUAGCGCCGGAAAAUUGGAGCGAAAAGAGCUUUCCAGGCAAGAUAAUUGUCCUUCUUAAGCUUUGUAGGAACCAUACAACUGAUGUUUUGGAUUGGAAUUGAGGAAAUCGAAGAAUUAGGGUUUAUCGGAGCUGAAUUUGAGGAAAUGGGAGUAGGAUUCUGAGCGAAAACUUCUGGAUUUGCAGGCGAAGAGGUAGAAGACGCCAUUGUCGAUCAAGGAUUUGCAGAGAGAAAACGAAAUUGGGAAGAAAAAUCAAAGAUUGCAGAGGAAGCUAGGAUCGGUGCGUGAGCAGAGAGGCGAGUGAUACCAUAUUAGAAAUAACUCUGGUAUUUUCAUUUCUUAAUGAAUAAGGAAUUACAACUGGUUUAUAUACAUUUGUGAGAAAUAGUUUAGCGACUAAUUACCCUUGGUUAACUGACUAAUCUAGUGAUUAGUUACAUAGACAGUUGUAACAGACUUGUAACCAAAAUACAACAAACUAUAUAUGUGACUCUUUACUUAGCCCUUGGUUUAUAAAUCCCAACUUUAAAAUUCCAAGUAGAUGUGUCUGUUAAUCGAUUGCAUUUGGGAUGGAAAUGGUUUUGAAUGAUUUGGAUUUUCAUUAAUUUUAAUUCAUCUGCUAAUCAUAGUUUCAUGUAUUAGAUAGUUGCUUUGCUCUCACAAAUUUUGUUGGUAGGGGUUCAGCAAAGCUUUCUAGGGCUAAAUCUUCAGUUUGCUGUUGGGUAUGUUUACUUUAUGCUUUUGUUUUUUGUUUUUUGUUUUUUGUUUUUGUCUGGAGUAAAUAUGCUUAAGAUGUCACAUGAUUAAAGGUGGAGAAACCACCGUCCCUUUUUUCGUAGAAAUUUGUAAAUUUUUUUUAAAAUAUGUGUGGGUUGCUGAAACUAAUUAUUUGAUCAGUGUGAUUUUUUGUAAUUGAGAAUUUAGGACCUUGGUAACUUGAUUAAAUAGGAAUUUUGUGAUUAGGAAUUUGUGGGUUUACCUCCUAAUUUAAUCCCUUUCUUAAGAGGGAUCUGGUCGUAACACACAAUGGGGGGAAGAGAAGCGGCACCAGGUUCGGCGAUCAAUCUGAAGAGGAAGAGGUCAAUUUUGAGCACAAGUCCAAUCCCCGGCCCAAUUUUGUAUGAUCAUCUAAUUUCAUGUUUCCUUUCUAUUCUGAUUCCAAAAGUAUGUUUCGAAAUGAUUAGGGUUUCAGUUUUUGUUUUAAUCUUAGUUGAAGGAAGAUAUAGGGUGUGGUUUUGUUAAUGGCGGUGGAUGAUUUGGAUGAAAGUAUGUAUCCUCGGGAUUUUUUUGCUUGCAGUUGUUUAGGCCCGGACUGAAGAAGUUUUGUGGAAUGAGAUUCCUAUAUCGAAUUGUCUCUCUGUUUAUGGCAGGUAAUAAAGGUGUUCCAACCAGUAGCUGAUAAAAUGUCUUUAUGUAUAUGCUUUUGUUGAUUUCUGCUGCGAUAAUGAGGGAAUCCAGAGGAUUGAGGCCAGUUAAUCUGAGGUUUGUACUACUCUAUCCCUUUCUUUCUUUCUUUCUUUCUGUAAAUUUCUUGAAAUUGACGACGCACGUUCUGAUUCUUGCUGUGUUUGGGAGCGGAGAAAGCUCUGGAUUAGCUUUGAUCACUUGAAUUUUGUCUUAUUUAGUUCAGCACAGUCGGACUACAUAAUCCUACCAUUGGGCUAUUUCUAUAGAGGGUUUAUGUUGACUUUUGUUGGCCUGUUGACAGUCUGGUAGGUCUAUCAUAUUGAUGGAACUAAAUUGUGAGUUAGUUAUGGUUUAGAUUGUUGAAUUUUGAAUUUGCAAUUCCCUUUGAAACUGUCACAAGCGAUGUGUCUGUUGUGGCUACAGGAAUCAAAAGCGAGUGAAAGGUAAAGCUUUUCUCUCCAAGCAUUCAUUGCCAGAAAUUGUAGUACCUCUUUUAAAUUCAAUUUUUUAUUUAUUUGCAGAAUUGUAUUAUCCUUUUGAAGCAGUGGGGAGCCGCGGGUUCACUCACGCUUUCAAAUUUCUCUCUCUCUCUCUCUCUCCCCCCAUUGUAUUUGGGUUUUUCUCCUAUUUCUCUUUUUUGUUGAUCUAAUUUGUGGUGAAGUUGUUGAGUUUGCUUGAAUUGGAACGUGGGUUUAAUUGAGUUUCCUUUACGGCCACUUUGUGUCUGGCAAAGGUAAUAAUAUUACUCUUCAUUCCAUAAGCUUUAUUUUUAAUGCCCAUAAAAAUUUGGAACUGAGAACAUGAUGGGGUUUUAGGCAAUACCCAAGUUCUAUAAUUUUCCCCGCUUGUUUUUAUUAGUAAUUUCUUCAAUCAUGUUAGUUUGAUAGUGUUUUGCUGCCCAGAAUUUUUUUGAAUUUAAAAUAUCAUGGGAUUGGGGUUUUAAGAUUUUAACAACAAUUGAUAUGAAUUUUGGUGAAUUUUGAUGCUCAAUGGACUUUGUUAACGGCUUCUAACUUUGUUAUGCUUUGGAAUAUUGGUGGGUUUUCAUCAAAUUUUGCUUAUAUCUUUGUGCGGUGUGUCUGUUGUAUUAUCUGGUCAUAGAUACCUUCGUUCAGUAAUUUGAGAAGCAUGGGGAGAUAAUAGACUAAUCAAAGAGAUGCAUGUGAUCAACGAUAAAUAGGUAAGCAUCAUCCUUUUCCUUCUUUUGUUAUGAUUGGUUGUAUAGAGGAUUGAGAAAAAAGUUGAAGACAAUUCCAUGCUUUUGAGUUAUAGCAAUUAGUAAAUAUAAAGUUCAUUGAAGUUUUGAAUCCUUCGUUAGUUUAUUUAUGGUGCGUGCUUGAGAAUGAAAGCAAUGGACAUUAUAUGGAAUUGAUGUUCCUUUUAAUGUCAGUAAAGAAAGGAAUUGUUCCUUUAUUAGCAAUUAUAUGAAGUAGGCAUAUUAUGCAAUACAAUGUCUACAAUCGACUAUUUUACUUUUUGUAUACAAGUACAAACUUUUGAUCGAAAGCCACAAAAACUACCUAAAGGCCAAAGAACUGUGUGUGUUAGAAGAACAAAAUAUGGUGUAAAGCUUAAAUUUUGGGCACUUAAAUAUAUGUUUUAUUUUUCAAUUACAAUAACUUGCAUGAAAAUUCAAUUGGGUUUGUUCUGGUCUCCAAGAAUUUUGCUUUGUUUGGUUACUGAUUAAUUUAUGUGGUGGGAGUUUAGUUUUUGCAUUUCUGCCUAUGUAUAUAUGAUUCGAAAUGGACUGUUCAAUUAUAUAUUUGUAAUCGAAAAGCUCGAAGGAGAGGUGAAUUAUAUUACCGACACCGUUCAUUUAUCUAUCCCUUUGCUCAUUCAUGAUUAUGUAGAAUUUUUUUCCAGGUUAAAUGUGUCAUAUUCAUGUAGUUAAGGCUGAUGCAUUUAAGUCCCGCAGUAUCGCGUGGGCCAAUUUACUAGUGUAAACGAAAAUCGAAAUCAAAACACGGAGAUUUUUACGGUUUUAAAACGACUUCGGUUUGAAUCUGAACUGUAGCAUGAAAAAACAGGUUGGUUUUGCUUUUGAACAUCUGAAAUCAAGCCGAAACUGAAUCACAUUGCCAAAAUACCUGAACGAAAAGGCAUAGAGUACGUUCCGCAUAAUGCCCAAAACCAAAAGCCGCAAGGGUGACGCCGAACCUCCGCUCUGUGUAUGAUAGCAUGCCCACCGGACCUGAUGCUCCGCCGCAGCAUGUAAAUCUUGGAUGAGUGGUACACCAACAUUACAAUGCAGUGGUUUAUAUGAUGACGAUCCCAACUGUUAGGUACUCAAGCCCAAGGGAAGAGCCCAACCCAAAAGACUAGUCCAAUAGGUGGGAGGACCCCAAGGACUUAAGAACCCCUACACCCCCAUAAGUGUAGUCGAUGUGGGAUCAUAACAUUACACCACCCUUCGGAAGCCGACGCCCACGGCGGCCCUUACUCUGAUGGCUUUCACUCUUAACGGCAGUGCACCCUUUGGUCAUCCCGUUAAGGUAGCCCUUUCCAGGUCACCCCCUCCGCAGCGUCGGGAACCUAGGCUCUGAUACCAAUGUUAGGUACUCAAGCCCAAGGGAAGAGCCCAACCCAAAAGACUAGUCCAAUAGGUGGGAGGACACCAAGGACUUAAGAACCCCUACACCCCAUAAGUGUAGUCGAUGUGGGAUCAUAACACCAACAUUUCAAAUUCAUUUUCUUAAUCCUUCUUCAGGUUUGUCCACACAACAAAUUGGUGGCAUAUUCAGAAGACACCAAAGGAAAUGAAAUCUAUACAGUUUGUGUCGUUGAUGCCGAGACAGGUGCUCAUGUGGGUCUGCCUCUAGUUGUUACAACAUCCUAGUUUGCAAAUGGUUUGAAACCGAAAUUAAAACCGUUUGAAACCGAACUAAAUCGCAACCAAAUGGUUUGGUUUUAUCUUGAUUCGUUCAAGCUUCAAAUUCACACCGAACCGAACUGGCAAAAAAUUCAGUUUCACUUUAAAACCGCACAUAACCAAACCGUGUCCAUCCGUGGUCUGCAUUGGAGGAAAACUGGGGAAAACCUCCCGGUAACCUCAACUCUGAUGGAGGAAAUGUAUUGGAGAUUGAAGAUUGUGAAUUCUUGUUUUUGUUUUUCUCCAUAAGAUUUCCAUACAAAAUUUCUAUACGAUUUUUGCCUUCUCUUGUAAUUUCAUUAUGACUACAUACUACAAAUUUUUGGUGACCCUCCGACAGCCACGGAAACGACAACCCACUUCUGAGAUCGGAAGCUAGCGUAUGGAGACGGCGUGUCGGAGAUUGUCUUGACGGUGGAUUCGAGCUGUGGCGUCGAAUAUUAUGUUUUUUGGUCAAAUAAUAAAUUUUGUUAAAUUAGUCAUCAAUGGGUGAUUAGCUAUCAAUAGGUUCGGACUCAUAACGUCAUGCAAAAGUUUAACAUUUUUCUACCAUUAUGAUAAAGUGGUUAAUCACACCGAUGAAUGAUUAGUCACAGACGAAUUAUUCUCUAUCAAUCAUACAAAGAUUUAAGGAUCUGUUUGGUAUCUUAUUUGAAAAUUUUAUUAUUUCUCAAAACAUUUCUUAAGAACAUUUCUUGAAAACAAUUUUCUUUAAGACUCAAAAACUUGAUUGGUUUGCGAUUUAAAUUUUUUAAAUCUUAUGACUUAAACUAGAUAAAUAGAUCUAAAAAUAGGGGGUCGCAUGAGAGGAAGAAAAAGGAGAGAGAAUGAAAGAAAGUAAGAGAGGAGUGAAGGCAAGAGAAAGAAGAGAGAGGAUUGGACGAGAUAACGAGGAAGAUGAGUGAGAGAAAGAACCAAGAAAAUAAAAGGAGCUGAUUGGAGGAGAGACGAAAAAGGUUACAAAAAAAAAGGAGAAAGAAAGAAGAAAAGAGAGAGAGAUAGGUUUGAAGUGAGAGAGGAGAAGGAAGAGAAAAAAAAUGAGUGAGUUUAAGUUUAAAAACUCUAAAAACUCACUUUUUAUGUUUUUAGAUAAUAUACUAUAUUUUUUAGUUAGUAUUGAAUUCAGUUUUUAAAAAUAGUCUUACAAAACAAGUUUUUAAGGCAUAAAACUUAAAAAUUAUUUUUGAGUUUAAAAAAUUAAAUUCAAAUAGAGUACCAUAACAUUUUUUUACUAUUUGUGAUAAAGAAGCACUUGCUACCCAUGCGAGCUGGUUGGAUAUAUACAAAAGGGUCCUUUCAGCCUUGGUGCCACUGCCAGACAGAAAACAUGGAAAGUAAAGAAGAGAAAAAAAAAAAUAAAGCAAAAGAAGGUGAUGGUGGAAUUGCAGAAAGAAAUGAAGGAAAAGGAAAGGGGGAGUCCACGUGAAGAAAAGGCAGAAGAAAGACGAAAGAAAACAAAGAGAAAACAAAGAGAAAAAAAAGAUGAAUGAGGAUUUUCGUAGAAUUCUCCUCGUAAAGAUUCUAAAGAUUCUUUAAUCAUAUCCAUUUAUCGUAUAUAUGUUAAAAAUUAUUUUAAUUAUUUUUAUUUAAAAUUAAAUAUAAACAAUACCAAAUAAAAAUUAAUCGUGCGAUAUAUUAUAAACGAAUAUAAUUAAAGAAGUAUCAAAAUUCUUUAAAAAAAAAUCCGACCACGAUCUUCUUUCAAAGUAAAAGUUGAGACAGAAAAGAAAAAGAAAGAGGUUAAAGAAAGAGAAAAAAAAAAAUGGUGGUGCCUGGCAUACAAUACAGAAGUAAAAAAGUGAUGAGAUUGUGGCAGACAAAUAAAAAAAUGUGAAGAAAAAGUGGAAGAAAAUAAAAAAAGGGGUGGAAUGAAAAAGUGAGGUGUGUGGCCAGUGGCCACGUGAAGAAAAGAAAAAGAAAAGAAAAAGAAAAGAAAAAGAAAAGAAAGUGGUGGCAACCACAUGUGAAAUGGCAUGUACCAUCAUGUUAGCAGAUCUAAUAAAGGUCGCCUUUUAUCAUGGUAAUAUAAAAGUUGCGCAUCUUUGCAUUCUUACGUGAAUUCGAGUUUUUUUUGUUUCUAAAAGAUUGUGUGUUCUUAUAUUUCAGCGUGAGUUCGAAAAACCAACAAAAUCAUGAAGGGAAUGAAAACAAGUAUGAAUUCCAUUAGAACCAUCCUCUGAGUGAUCUUCCUUGUCAAAAUUCCCACACGCCAUUAACUUAAUCAUUAACUUAGCAUAUGUAAAGAAGAGCUCAAAAAGUGGUUGAUUCUUUACUCACUCAGGUUUUUUUUCUGUAUGUGACAAACAUCAGAUUAAAGUUCCUAACAUGAAUGACAUCUUUCAAACUAUAGGGAUAAAAUAACUUCAGCGGGGACUUGUAUGCAUCAUUAUCACGUUGAAAUGUUUUGUAAUGUUAUUGAUAUGCAACUUCAAGAGCUAAAUAUUCGUUUUGCUGAGACGAAUAUUGAGUUGCUUCUUUGUGUGAAUCCAGGUGAUAUUCGUUCUCUGCUUUUGACAAACAAAAGUUGAUUCGGCUUGCUCAGUAUACCUGAAUGGCUUUUCGGCACUUGACUUGAUGAUAUUGUUUUUUUAAGGAGCUUUUUGACACUUGACGAUACUUGAAAAUCAGCUUAAGAUGCACAUUAUGGACAUGCGCUCCAGCAUUGAGUUUUUAGGAUUGAAUGGGAUUGCGAAUCUUGCACAAAAAAUGGUUGAGACAAAAUAAGAAACUGUUUACCCAUUAGUUUACUUGAUGUUGACAUUGGCACUCAUGUUACUAGUUGCAUCUCCCAGUGUAGAGGGCGUUUUGUGCUAUGAGGAUUGUGAAGAAUUGAUUACUCAAUCAAAUGGAAGAUCAAGGGACAGAUGAUUGUUGAAUUGCCUAUAUUGAGAAAGACAUUCUCGAUGAUAUCAAACAUGAAGUUAUUAAGCAACGAUUUCAAAAUAUGAAAACUCAUCCAUGGCAAAUAUUAUUGUAACUAAUGGAUAUAUUAUCAAAUAAUGCUGAUUUGUUGUCGUAGAAUGGGCUUCAGUUUUAUUUUUCCUUAUUUAGUUAAAAUAUUGUUAGUAUAGAUAUGUCUUUGCAUCCCAUCCCUUUAAUUUUAACAGGUUCGAUGAUGACCGCUUGCUCAAGAAAAAUGACUGCAGAACAUUAGAGUUACAGGUUAGUGUCGAGAAGUAAUGUACUUGAAUGGAUGACCAUAGGUUGCAUUUUGCAGUUAGUAUUUGGCAUUAUAUGUCGUUUUGUAUCGGAAAAUUAUAGAGCUAUACAGUUGAAUUGAAUUACAAUUGAAUUGAAGGAGAAUGAGUGUGCGUUUUACGUUGAUUAGUUUGCUCACAAUCUUCAUUCUACACUUGUAGAGAUGGCAAAUGAUCAUUCUGAAAUCUAUUGUCUCUUUACUUCAGUUGCUAAUUUGGCAAAAUGAUGCACCAAGCUAAAGUUUGAAACUAAACUGAACUGAAUCCUUUUGGUUAUCUAAUUUACACUGAAAUGAUGCACCAAACCAAAAUGUGUAUUCUAAUUGGUGAGGUAACAUAAUAUGUCCUUAUUUCCAAAAAAAAAACAUAAUAUGUCCUUGUCCUUGAUAGCAUUCAACAUUCAAAUUCUCUAACAAGUUUGUGACAACCCGUUCCAACUUUAUCAAAUUUUAAUUUUGAAAGUGAGAAUUGACUAAAAUGCCUCUGUUGGGUUCAGCUGAUACGUGGACGUUUGAGCCAGUGCUUAAUUUGUCUCAUUUCGUAGUAUAUCGAGAUAGUACUCAUCGUUACUAACGUGUGAGCGCUAACUAGACCCAAAUUAGAUUUGUAACAAAGAAACUACACUUGUUAAUAAACGGGUAAAUAUGUACACAAAAUUGUGUGAAAUUCACAGAGUGUGCAUGUGAGAAACUGUAACCAUUAUCCUUUCCGAAUCCUUAUUUGCGUAUUGCGGAAAAUAUCAAUUCAUCAUAAUCGUUCACUACACAUAUAAAUGAUUUUAAAUAUUUUAUUCUUUUUCCAGCUUGCACGCACAAAUAACGGGCCCCAUUCUUUUUUCGUCACUUUGUAUCAGAUGCUUUAUCCAUCUAAAAUGGAUCAUUAUUGAUUGAAUGAUAACAACCACCACUCUUACAUCACACAGUACAUAAAGACUUCAUUAUUUAUUUAAAGUAUCUGUUAGCUUUUAAAAAUUUGUCAUGUUGUGAGAUUUUUCUUCCGUUAAAUCACGCUUUUGUUUCGUGUGAGAAUGUGAAAAGUUUGUCUAUUUGUAUGAUUUAAAUAUGUGAGAUAGGUGUGUGUUUCUGAUGCUUUUAGCUGAGAUUAAUAUCAUAUGUAAUGUCAAAUUGGAUGUUGCGUAUAGGGAUGGGCAACGGUUAUGACAGGCAGAUAACCGCAGUUAUUUACCCAUAACUAUUUUUGCUCAUACCCGCAUAACCGUUUAUCCGUUGGGUAAUUGCCUAAACGGUUAUACCCAUACCCAUAAACAUUUAUAAAUGGUUAACCAUACCCAUAACUGCAUACCUAUUUAACCGUAACCGUUUAAUACCCAUUUACCCAUUUACCAUUUUUAACCCGUUUGUCUUUUUUUUUACCAUCAUCCAUUUUUCACCCGUUUACAUGUUUUUUAACAACUUGAAAUUUUAAAAAAAAAUGUCAUAAUUUUUUUUUUUGACAAUUAAACACCGUUAUAGGUACAUUCAUCAUACAUUUCCGUAUUUUAAUUUUUUAAGUCCUUAUACCAUUCCAAUAAUUGAAAUAAUAAUUUACGGAUGAUAUUUUUAACUGUUACCAAUGAAAGUAAAUAUAAUAUUUGCCAAGUAUUAUUGGGUUACAAAAAUUGUUUAGAAGACAUUUCUGUCAAAGCAUUUAUGUCAAUUUCACGGUUACCCACAAAUAAUUUAAAUUAAUUUGGAGAAUUCCUUGAUGAUGAGAAUCAUCAUUCCUGUAGCAGUGUUAUUGAUAAAAAGACCGAUGAAUUCCUUGCUAAUUUAUUGGGUGCUAAGUAUUAUUGGAUCAAGAACUUGGUUUGUGUUAGUUUUACAUAUAUAAAAUAAAUGGGUAAACGGUUACCGGUUUAUAACCACGGUUAAUACCCAUAACCGUCCAUUUAAAUUUCGCGGGUAAACGGUUAUACCCAUAACCGUUUAUUAUCUAAACGGUUAGUCAUAACCAUAAUCGUUUAAUUUAAAUGGGCGGGUAACCACGGUUACCCUUAACCAAUGGGUAUUUGCUCAUUCCUAGUUGUGUAUAAUUAAAUUAGUGUAAAAUAUCACUUUAUGAGUGAGUCACGAGAGCAAAUCCCAUGCGAGAAUGUGUGCGUUGAAUGUAUUGAGUUAUGCAAAGAGUAAAAUUGUAGCAGUUGCAUUGUUAAUUUGAUGCAUUUACUUAUGUAGUUUUAAUUUUGGCUAAAAAACAUUAUUUUAAAGGAUAAAAAUUAGUAAAGAUGUGUUAAAAGUAAAAAUAAAUGCGUUGAUAGUAUCACUAUUUUAAAAUUGUUCAUUCAAUUUGCAUGACUAACAAUCUCAAAAUGAAUAAAUUUACCUUACUUUUGGGCUUGUUUCUUUACUUUACUUUUGAAAAUGACUGCAACUUUACUUUAGUGUGCUUUUAACAAACUAUAGUUUAAUUUGUUUUAUCUUUAAUAAGAUUAGUUGUUUGACCGAAAACAAAAGAAUAACUUUUUUUUUGAGAUAUUUUUACACAAUGAUAAAAAAAUAUGCAACUCUAAUUGCGAUGCUUCUACCGUGAAAUGAUAUAAAAUUGUAAUGCCACGAGAGAGUGAGGAUGGCUCGAGACAUGUAUUGUCGUUUGAAAAUUUGGGGUUCGUAAGCAAUGCAUCCAUUUCUCUUUCACUUUUGUCUUUUUCUUGUUAAAGAGAAUACAAAAUGACAAAACUAAUCUUGUUGGGUUUAAUGGAAUUUUGAGCCAAUGCUUAAUUCGUCUCAUUUCUUACCAUAUUUGGACCGUCAUGAAAGCAUAAAAAAAAAUGAACUUUAAUGAAAAGUUCUCAGUACUAUUCAUUUUAACGAAAAAUCAUAUUUUUACAUUAAAAAAUCAAUUCUGGUACUAUUUAUUUUACCCUUUAUUUUAUCCGUUAAAACUCAAAGUUUUCAAAACUUUUUAAUUAGUUUUUCAUAAAAAAACCUAGACCAAAAUCAAACUUAUAACGAUUUAAUGAUCGAUAACAAGCAAUAAAUUUGUACACUUGUGUAAAUUCGCACAUGUGUGCACGUAAGAAAGAGUCGGCAGACACUGUUGGAGAAAUUAUCUAUUGGCUUUUGAAAAUUUGUCCUGUUGUGCGAUUUUUCUUCCGUUAGAUCAGGCUUUUCCUUUACGGAAAGCCACCCACCCCACCAAUCAAUCACUCUGCUUUUUCUCCCUUUCUCUCAGGGUUUCUCCUCCCAGUAACAUCUCUCUCACUCGCUAAACCCUCUCUUUCUACCUCUCAAACUCUCCCGUCCUCUCUUUUCUUUGUAACGCAGCGAAAGUCACCAAACCUUGACGAAUCAACGCUCAAACCACCACCACAUCCCACCCUCUUGACCUCGCGAGUUCGAACCCGAGCUCCGUUUCGUAGGAAACAGAGACUAGAAGCUCUAGCUCGAAGCUCCGACGAGAAAGAAACUUCCCGACGAAGUUCCCGACACUUUUCCGACCACUCCACACCGUUUUGGAAGAGUUGGAAGCCACCACACAACUCCCUAACGUCCCUGGGUCAAGUUUGAGGCAAUCCCCAACUCGAAAACACACGGUUUCGAAGCUUUGGGUUUUUGGCCGAGACUUUCUGGCCAAUUUCAGUACAUUUACGUCUACUUUUUGGAGUUCCAAGAGGUAUAAACUUGUUCCUUGUGCUUCAUUUCCAUGUAAAGAGCGUAAAAUGGUUGAGAAAUGAGCAAGUUAUGACCUUUUGAAAUUCUCCCCAGUUUCCGUCGAUUUCAGGUUCCUUCCGUCCUGUUUUUGGCUAAAUCAUGGCGAGUUAGCCAUUGCUAUGGGUACCAAUCUGUUCAUCUCAUUCUGAGGUAUCAUUUCCAUUCUGAAUCACUCAACUUCGUUAAGAUAUGCGGAAGUUAUGAUGAUUUAAAAAUUUCCCAGAAAACCGGCGAGAAACUGCAUAAUCCGGCGACCAGCGACCGGAAUCUGGUGAAAAGUAAAUGAAAAAACGCAGUUCUAAAACAACUAAAUACGUAAUUGCAUAUCAUUCAAAACACAGAAACUUGUGAGAGUGGCCUGAACAGAAAGAAAAAAUAUGAAAUGAAGUUCCUUUAAAAUCUUAUCCGGUAAAAGAAUUUUUCAUUAUGAUGGAACACAGACGGUGGAAAGUGUUUUUACGGAAGUGAUAGAAAUUUUAUUCUUAACUGUUUAACACAAAUAUUUUUUAAUUUGUAUAAUGACACGUAUUGUAUCAUUUUAUGUGUCGAUCAUAUUAAAAAAAUAAUGUUCAAGAAGGGUAACAUCACAUAUCUAACUUAAACUAGGGAAUGUCAUACUUAAUGUGAUCAUAACUAGUAACUUUUUAUUUUUUACCAACUGCUAAUAAAUUAUAAAGCACCAAGUAUUUGAAUUUUUUAAUUAACCUGGUGAGAUAUUCCCCAAGUUCUGACAUCCACGCCAAUCAAUGUAGUAAUUCCUAAUCUUGUAGUUUGUAAAAUUAUCUUUCCCACCUAGAAUGCGAAUAAGGGGUACAUUUUGCACAGUGCACCCUCACUACUAGUUUAAAUGACUUAUAAGCUUUGGUUUUAUUUAUUCAAAUUUUUGCUCAUCAUCUAUACUUUAUGAUUUUUGUCACUUUUCAGGUGUCCGCUAGUACACUUUGACUUCAGUUGGGGUCUGUCAAAGUUCAUGAAGCACCAUUACUAAUUCCAGACAUAUGAUUUGUUGCUGAACAAGACAUAAAUUUCAUAAUUUCACUUUUACUCUGGACAGUUGUAUCGUGUUGACUUACAAUACAGGUACUACAUAUUUCUCGAAAACUAUUUCUUUCAAAUAUUUGUUGUUUUAGACGUUUGUUUUUACUCUGCCUGACUAAGAAAUAAAAGUGUUGGUUUUACAUUUUAGUGCCCACCAAAUACUGUAUUUCAGCUGAGCUUCAAUACUAACAAACCUAAGGAAACCAUCAUGUAUUAAAAAAUAAUCAACUAAAAGUGAGCUAAUCCCCUUAUAAUCAAAUUUUAUUGUUUUCUAAACAAAAAAAAAAAGAAAACUAAUGAAAAGGGCUUGAAAACUUUGAGUUUUAAUGAUAAGGACAAAAUAAAGGGUAAAGUGAAUAGUACCAGGAUUGACUUUUUAGUGUAAAAAUGUGGUUUUUCGUUAAAGUGAACAGUACCGGGAGCUUUUCGUUAAAGUUUCCAAAAAAAAAUGGAUUGGGGUAGCUAGCAGAAAUAAACAAAUAAAAUAUCAUGUGACAGUGAGUUUGGGGACCAUACAAAUGCAUGUGUUAUUUUUAUCAUGCAAUACAAAAAGUUUGAAACCGUUCUGCUAUGCAAUGAUGAAAUGUAAACUAUUCAAAAUUUGCAUACUGUAAAAUAAUAAUAAUAAUAAAAUAAAUAUACACAUGCACUAAAACGAUCAAUUGAAAAUAUUGCCCUCAAAGUUCGAUUUUCUUUAACCAAAACCCACCAUAGUAUAUUCUCCUAACAAAAACUUAAUAACUAGGCUCCAAAUUGCCCUUAAUGUUCUUAUUUUAUUGUAGAAACUUCAUCGUAAGUCCGAAAUCAGUUCCACUUGCGUCCACGCAUUCGUAAUAACGAGCACUACGAGGAUAUGCUAAAAGGAUGGGUCUAUUCACUUGUGUGUGUGUUUAGGUCAACCCCAAAAAAUAAACUAAUUAGGCAUUAUGCCAAAUUAGAAAAUAAUAAAACAUAUGGACCAACUUGCCCACUUGUUUAACAAGUCUAGCGAGCAAACCAUCAUUGUCACAGUCUGCAACCAACGAUACUAACAGCGUACUUGAAAACAAGUUGUGAAGUCUUGAGGGUGCAAAAUAACCAUUUUGCCCAUCGUCGUGAAACAUGUGCAACUCUUUAGUAAGGACGAGUACUAUCUCAUAACGACAGAACAUGGACAAAAGUGAAAAGAACUCAAAUGUCAACAUAGAAUUUUCACUUAGCCUGUCAAGGGUAUUUUCGUAAUUUUAUAAUGUCAAAGAAUAAAAUACAAAGGAUAGGAUGUAACAAUCUACCUCUUUAAAGAAAUUUUGUCCCUAAAAAAUCAUAUUAUACAAGAUCUUACUCGAAGAACAAGUAUGCAUACAGACCUCUCAUGUGCCUUUUAUGCCUCUACGCUGCUACCUGACGCUUAUCUGGUAUUCUAGUACUGUCCAACUCCAUACCACCUAUAUCCUGGUCCUAAGGCAUGACUUCUUGUUACUGCAUAGUAUUUCUAGUAUAAGGAACCAUACCGUGUCCUGGUAGUGGAUAACGCAACACCAUCAUAGCAGGUUGGCUUCCCAUGAGUAAGUUUGGUUGAUAGAGAACUGCUCUUGUGAGCUACUUUCGUUGUUUUGGGGCACACUUGUUGGCCCAAUAUUCUUGCUGACCGCAUAUAUGACAACCUUUACUCCCUUCCUAUACUUGUCGUAAUGAUGGGUGUUGUAUUGGAAGCAAUUAUUGUACUGGUGUUACUGGAAUUACCCUAAGGGCGAAAUUUAGAAGCUGUUGGAUAUACUUCCAAAAUCGAGUUUACUGGAACUUGAUUAUCCAUUAGAAGAUGUGAAAUUAUAGUUGUUUUUAUUUUUUGAAACAUUGGUUCUGUUGUGGAUAAAAAGAACACUAGUGUUCUUCUGUUGAGUGCUACCACUCUCAUCACCAACAUUGUCACUCGAGACAUUAUCGAAAUUCUCAAUGCAAAGUAAAGCCUUGUAGAAUUCCUUGUAUGUGGUACAUGAUAUAGGUGCUGCCAAGAAACAAAACUGCUUGCGGAUCUGUUAUUUGAACUGGUGGAGCCUCUUUGAAUGGUUAGUAGCGAUUGUUGGACAAUAGCAUGACAGAUCGUUAAACUUCCGAUGGUACUUAGCUACCGAUGUUUUGCCUUGUGUAGGUCCCUAAACUCAUCUUCUUUUUUUUUCGAGUCUUGUACUCCGAAAACUCCGCAUGUGUAAGUUUAUCUUACAUUGCCAGUCCCAAGCCCGGAUAAAAGAGGAGGGGGAGGACAUCAGGUAAUUGAUAGCCGGCACUCCUAUUUUACGUCAAAUUCUUAUGAUAAUGAAUCCUGAACCAAAUUGCACUAAAGUUAGGUCAUUACCCGUAAGUGGCGCGCUGUGGCCCGAGCAUAUUAAUAAGUGAGCAAGGGUCGUCGUAUCUUCAUCAACGCUCGGAUGCAGUGUUAAAUGAGUAAGGAGGCCAUAUAAACUUCUUUUUGAACGACUCCACUCAAAGUUGUUUGGAAGCAUCUGCUCCUAUCAACUUUGACCUUAUUGGACGGGGGAUGGUGAAGAAGCUAGGGCAUGAGGGUAGAGUUCAAGAGAGUAAAAUGCGUUUAGGAACGUGGAAUAUAGGAACCUUAACGGGAAAAUCUGUGGAAGUAGUGGAAGUUAUGGUGAGGAGAAGGAUAAGUAUUAUAUGUCUACAAGAAACUAAGUAGGUUGGUCUUAAGGCAAAGGAUCUCGAAAACUCAGGUUUUAAACUUUUGCAUUUGGGCACAAAUAGAACGAGAAAUGAUGUUGGCAUCAUCGUGGACAAGACCUUGACACAAGAUGAUGUAAACAUCAAGAGGGUAGGAAAUAGAAUUAUGGCAAUCAAAUUGUAAUAGGACAAGAACUCAUCAAUGUGAUUAGCGUGUAUGCACCUCAAGCAGGGUUGGAUACGAGAUUGAAGGAGAAAUUUUGGGAAGAUCUUGGAGACUUGGUACAAGGAAUCGCUCAGAUUGAGGAGAUUUAAAUGGACACGUGGGCAAUGAGACAGGCCAUGGUUUUGGGGAGAGAAACUAGGAUAGGAAAGCCAUCUUGGAUUUUGCAAUGGCAUACGAUCUCUUCUUAGCCAACACCUUCUUUAAGAAGAGAGAAGAACAUGUGAUCACCUACAAGAGUGGGUCGUCAAAAACACAAAUAGAUUUUCUUCUAAUGAGGAAGGAGGAUCGUAUAACUUGCAAGGAUUGCAAAGUUAUACCAGGAGAGAGCUUGGCUAAUCAAUAUCGCUUGUUGGUGAUUGAUGUACAUAUCAGAAGAGAGAAAAAAGAACAAGACCUUGAAGUGCCCAAGGACUAGAUGGUGAAAUCUAAAAGGAGAAAAACAAGCCAUUUUCAAAAAGAAAAUAAUCACCUUAUGCGUGUGGGGUAAAGAGGGGGAAGCUAGCCAAAUGUGGGAUUCUAUGGCUAGUUGUAUCCGAAAAGUAGCAAAAGGGGUAUUAGGAAAGUCCAAGGACUUUGCUCCACACCAAAAGGAAUCUUGAUGGUGGAAUGAAGAGGUAGAAACAAAGGUUAAAGCUAAGAAUGAAUGUUGUAAAGUCUUAUACAAGGAUAGGACCGAUGAAAACGGCGAAAGGUAUAAAAUAACGAAGAAUGAGGCGAAGAAAGCUGUGAGAGAAGCGAAACUAGUAGCUUUUGACGAUAUGUAUAAGCAACUAUAUACCAAAUGAGAGUUAGAUAUCUAUAAACUAGCUAGAGCAAGAGAAAAGAAGACGAGACCGAAACCAAGUAAGGUGCAUCAAUGAUAAGAAUGGAAAAGUUCUUGCUACAGAGAACACGGUCAAAGACUGAUGGAGUGGUUAUUUUCAUAAUCUUUUCAAUGAAAGACAUGAAAUGAGUACUUCUUUGGGGGAGUUGAAUAACUCAGAAGAGUAGAAACUACUCAUUUUACCGCCGAAUUAAGAAGGAAUAAGUGGUUGUAGCUUUGAAAAAGAUGAAGCAUAGAAAAACAAUGGUCCCAGAUGAUAUACCGAUUGAAGUGUGGAAAGUCUUGAGAGAGACGGGUAUAACAUGGCUCAUAGACCUUUUCAAUAGGAUUUUAAAAACGAAGAAGAUGCCAAAUGAGUGGCGAAAGAGCUCUUUGGUGCCUAUCUACAAGAAUAAGGGCGACAUACAAAAUUGCAUGAACUAUAUGGAUAUCGUAACAUCCCACAUCGCCCAGGGGAGUGAUCCUUAAAUGUAUAUUCUCAUUCCUACCUAGCACGAGGCCUUUUGUGAGCUCAUUGGCUUCAGGUUUAGUAGGAACUCUGAAGUUAAGCGAGUAGCGCGCGAGAACACUCCCAUGAUGGGUGACCUAUUGGGAAGUUGCUCGUGAGUUCCCAGAAACAAAAUCGUGAUGGCGUGGUCGGGGCCCAAAGUGGACAAUAUUGUGCUACGGUGGUAGAGCGGGCUCGGGAAGUGGUCCACCCCGGGCUGGGAUGUGACAAUGGUAUCAAAGCCAAUCCUUGGCCGGAAGUGUGCCGACGAGGACGUCGGGCCCCUAAGGGUUUCGAUUGUAACAUCCCACAUCGUCUAGGGGAGUGAUCCUUGAAUGUAUAUUCUCAUCCCUAGCUUGCACGAGGCCUUUUGGGAGCUCACUGGCUUCGGGUUCCGUAGGAACUCCGAAGUUAAGCGAGUAGCACGCGAGAGCACUCUCAUGAUAGGUGAUUCACUGGGAAGUCGCUCGUGAGUUCUCAGAAACAAAACCGUGAGGGUGUGGUCGGGGCCCAAAGCAAACAAUAUUGUGCUACGGUGGUGGAGUGGGUCCGGAAAGUGGUCCGCCCUGGGCCGGGAUGUGACAUAUAUUAAGUUAAUGAGUCAUACAAUGAAGCUCUAGGAGAUGAUAAUUGAGCAUAAACUGAGGCAAGAGACAUGGGUCUCGAACAACCAAUGCGGGUUUAUGCCAAGGCGCUCAACCAUGAAUGUAAUCUAUCUCUUACGAAGAUCGAUGAAAAGAUAUAGAGAUAUGAAAAAGGAUUUGCAUAUGAUCUUUAUAGAUUUGGAAAAACGUAUAAUAGGGUCCCAAGAGACAUUUUUUGGAGGAUUUUAGAGAAGAAAAGAGUACAAGUAGCAAUAUCCAAGCUAUAAAAAGAUAUGUAUAAUUGAGCAAGAACUGUCGUAAGAACUCAUGAAGGACAAACCGAAAGCUUCCCCAUUACUGUAGGGUUACAUCAAGGCUUAUCUUUAAAUUCUUACCUUUUUGCAUUGGUAAUGGAUGAGUUAAUGAGACAUAUUCAAGAUGAUAUUUGUUGGGGUAUGUUUUUCGCAGACGAUAUAAUAUUGAUAGAUGUAACUAAGGAAUGAGUAAAUGCGAAACUUAACCUUUAGAGAGAAGUGUUGGAAUAUAAAGGUCUUUGCCUAAGUCGGUUAAAGACAUAGUAUAUGGAAUGCAAGUUCAAUACAAAUGGAGGCUCAAAUGAGUUAGGGGUGAAGAUUGGAGACCAGGAAGUACCAAAGAGCGACUGCUUUCACUACUUAGGAUUUAUCUUGUAAAAGAACAGAGAAUUGGAUGGAGACCUCAACCAUAGAAUACAAGUUGGAUGGAAGAAGUGGAAGAGUGCAUUUGGCGUGUUGUGUGAUCGUUGUAUACCACUAAAGCUCAAAGAAAAAUUUUAUAGGACGGCAAUAAGGUUGGCAAUGCUUUAUGGCAUAAAAUGUUGGGCGUUGAAGCAUCAACACGUACAUAAAAUUGGUGUAGCGGAGAUGAGAAUGCUUCGUUGGAUGUGUGGGCACACGAGAAAGAAUAAGAUUAGGAUGAGGAUAUCCGAGGUAAAGUUGGAGUAGCCGAAAUUGAAGAAAACAUGAGAGAAAAUCCAUUACGGUGGUUUGGACAUGUGAAACGAAGGCUUACUAACGCUCCGAUUAAAAGAUGUGAUUACGGGACAGGUCUAUGACCGAAGGAGUAGAAGAAGACCUAUGAAGACUUUGGAAGAGACUUUGAGAAAAGACUUAGAAUGCUUGGAUCUAACGGAAGACGUGACACAGAACUGAACACAAUGGCGUUCUAGGAUUCAUAUCAGGAUGGAGAGUUAAAAGAAUAAAUGAGUAAAUGAUUUAAAGUGCUGCUAUUAUCUUGUGAUAAAUGAUGUUGAGAUUUCCCCGGUUGUCGAAGUCAAAGAUGUUUGCCUGGGGACUGAGAACCUUUAGCACUCGAUACAUCUAAUGGAUGUUCAUCCCCCAUCUCGGUAAGAGCCGCUCGGUCUGCAUCGCGCUCCAAGUUUUUUUUCUUGGUACCCAAGAGUAGAUUAUUCUCCAGGAACAGAUGAUGGAGAAGAAUCCUCCAAAAUCCACGACUAAGGGUUGGUUUUAUGGUUAGUGAAAAAGGUUGACAAUCAACUAGACUAGCAAGUCACCAUUGAGCAGGUUGGUGGAGUCAGCAAAGUUGUCAUGAUCAGCGGCAUUGCUACCGACUAACUAGGAGUAGUCUUAAGCCUCAGCCAUCAUUUUCUGAAUUUAAAGCAGUCGACAUUGUGUAUGUUCGGUAUUUACAGGUAGUGUAUGGAUCUCAGAAAUAUAAGGGAAGAGAAUCACAGUAGAGUAAGGUGUAGUUACUCAGGUGAUUAAGCACUCGUCUCAUUUAGACAACUUAGGCUAGUUGGUCUACCAAUUAUGUGGAUUUCUACUUUAUCCUACAGACUAGAUUUACCGAAGAUGGUCGGCGCCGACAUUUACUCACACAGGCGACAACCAAGAAUUUGAAUUUCUUGGAAAAAAAUUACAAUUACAUCUAAAGGUUUCGAAUAGUUCACAAACAAAAAGAAAUGCAAGUGUGGAAAACUUGGAGAAACAACGACAAAGAUUAAAGGCUUGAGGAGGUAGCUCUCAAGGUCAACGGAGAAAUUGUAGAGCAAAUUCGACAGAGUUUCGACAAUGAAGUCAAAUUACAAAAUGAAGGUAAUGCAAGGGUAAGGUUUAUAUAGCAGGAGGCAGAUUCUCUGCUUUCUUUUUCCAUACACUUCUCAUAAUCUCCUAUUUGUGCGGUCACGGUUAAGCCACGUCAACAUUUUAUAUUAAUUUUUUUAUAUAAAUAAUAAGACAAAAAGACGUACCUUAAUUGUGACCGAACAAAUAAAAGGGAAUGAGAAGUGUAUGAGAAAAUGUGAGCAGAGAAUCUACCUCCUUAUACAAGAGGUCACACUUGCUUGCAACGUCUUUAUUACACAUACGCCUCGAUUACCCCUCCAACCAAUGGCAAACACGUACGCUACUGGCACCGUUGUCACGACCGCCUAUUUGAGCGGUAGCCAUACUAUCAGAGCCAGAGCGCUUGGGAAGGAGGAAUACCCAUGUUACCCUUUGAACCAUAUAUUAUUUUAAGGUCCGAUCGACCGUUUCGACUCCAUGCCCAAGAAGAAACCUUUAAACAAGGAGUUGGGGACUUGUUAACACAAGAUCUUUUUAGACCCUUAAAAAUAGUAUAGGCCGGGAAAGAGAUCGAGAAAGGCCCAGGAAAGAUAAGGCCCAAAGGAGGAAAGGAAAUCCAAACCCCAAUGAAUUAGAAAGAAUCAUUUAUCGAGCGCUAUAGUUAACCGCUCACUAGUUUGGGUUGACUAGAGCAACAGAAAGUACUUUCCCGACUGAGAACUUUAUGGCACAAAGCUCUAGGAACAGGUCUACUCAGACACCAUAUUAGGCUAUAUGUCAGUGACCAAUGAAGGCAGAAGUCUAGGAUGAGAUGUAAAGGUAGUCGGACUAUCACUCGGAAAAAACUCCGUUAACUUGUCAAGGCCAAGCAUGUCACUUGGUACACACUGGCCCAGAAAAACAUGUAAUCUCGACUAAACAAUGUUACUUCAUAGCCAAAUGUUGACUGAUGAAUGAUAAAGCUCUCAGCAUGCUAGUCUAUGUACGUAGCUCAUUUAACGCUAGAAUAGUAAAGUAAGUGAGCUCAUCACUGUUUGGACGCAUUAAGGGCCUAUAUAAAGGAGUGAGCACCUCUUUUAAAGGGGUCAAACGAUUGUGAGAUUAGCCGAGCACUUAUUGUAUUCUCCGAGUGAAUAUGUACUAAGCAACACAGUGAAUAUAGCACAGUUUUGAGUGGUAAACCAUUAAAGUCCAUUAUUUCAUAGCUUUAAUCCUAAAUCCAACAGGGGUUAAUUAUUCUUGUUUGCUAGUGUGCAAAUUUUGAGCUUUAACAAUACUUGAAGAUAAAGAAUGUCAUUUGGUUCAAGAUUAAAUUUACCUAUAUUUCACAGAUAUAGAUAUAGGUAAAUUAUUUUAUGUCGAUUAAAGUUACUACUUGAAGAUAAAGGAUGUAAUUUGUUUCAAGAUAAAGGAUUUCAAAUGUCAUUUGGUUAAAAAAAAUAUAGGUAUAUUAUUUUUACGAAGAUUAUAAGGAAAUAUAUUUUUAUAAUAAUAAUAAAAUAUAUAUAUAUAUAUAUGUAUGUAUAUUGUUUCAAUUGUAGCCUACAAAACUGAAAUUUUGAACAAGUGCUAGCAAAAACAAUUAUAAAGUGUAAUGCACCCACGUGAUGAAUUUUAAAUGCUUGCCAAAAAAAAAAACAACCGAAAGAAAUGAGAUGAAAUUUAGGAUUCCAUCAAUACUGUAGGUAUUAAUAUAUUUAUUGAGAUAAUUAAGGUGUUUUGGCAUAGAUUGUAAAUAGUUUGUAAUAAUAGGUUAUUUCUUUGUCUACAUGUCAAUUUGAAUUUUGGGGUUUAAUAAGAUAUUUAAAUAUAAGUGGGUUUUGUCUAAAAAUAAAAAUUAUGGGUUGUGAUUUUCACACAAUUUCAUAUAAUUCAAGUUCAGCAACAUGAUAAACUCAAAUAAAAAUUCAAAUAUUUUAAACAUCAUGAUGAUCUUAUAUUCAAAUGCUAUCAAAGCAUCAGCACACAUUUUUUUUUCCUAAAAUAAAAAUAAAAAUACAACCUAGAUUUAAACAAACAAAAAAUAUCCGAUUAUUAAUGUUUAUUGCUCGUUUGGUUUUCGGCAGUAGAGCACUGAGCGCGAGACUUACAAAGCUAUCAACAAAGAGAAGCAUUCCAGCCGCAGUCUUUGAUUUCAGAAGGAAAUGGCAACGGACAUUAUAAUUGCAAUUGCCUCAAAAAUUGGAGAGUGCUUGGUCAAACCAAUAGGAACAGAGUUUGGCUAUUUGAUUAAUUACCAUUCCAACCUUGAAAGUCUUAAGGGUGAGAUAAAAAAGCUUUUUGACAAGAAAGAUGGAGUGCAGGGAUUGGUGGAUGCUGCCAAAAGGAAUGGUGAAAUCAUCAAACCUGAUGUUCAGAGUUGGCUAAAGAAUGUGAACGACGACAUGGUCAAAAAAGUGUUGCAGUUUGAGGAUGAAAUUAACAAGAAAAGGCGAUGUGUGUAUCGAUGGAGCUUGAGUCGGAGAGCCUAUAAGAUUAAACAAGAAGUUCUUCAGCUCUAGAACGAAGGAGCAUUUGAAAAUGUGGCCCAUCCUGCACCUCCACGAGAGAUAUGGUCAACAUUCAAGAAAGGUUUUAAGGAUUUCAAGUCCAGAAUGGCAUACAUGAAUGAGGUGAUAGAGGGUUUGAAGAGGGAACGAGUACGAAUGAUCGGGAUUUGUGGAAUGGGGGGUGUGGGUAAAACCACAAUGGUGAAAGAAAUCAUCGAAAGAUUGGCAAAACUAGACUUGUUUGAUAAAAUUGUAAUGGCAACUGUGUCUCAAAGUCCAAGUAUUAGGAUGAUCCAGUCGGAAAUUGCAGACAAAAUAGGUUUGAAAUUUGAGGAGGAAUCCGAGCCCGGAAGAGCACUAAAGCUACGUGGGAGACUCAUGGAAAUAAAGAGGAUCCUGAUUGUAUUAGAUGAUGUCUGGACAGAGCCUGAUUUUGAGGCUAUAGGACUCCCUUGUGGAGAUGAUCAUGAAGGGUGCAAAGUUUUGUUGACAUCACGAGAUUCGGAAGUCUGCAACAGGAUGGGAAGUCAACAAAUUAUUGCUGUCCCGAUUUUAACAACAGAAGAAUCACAGGAGCUCUUUAGAGAAAUGGUAGGUGAAUCCUUCGAUGAGCCUGAUUUACGUUCCAUUACAAAAGAGGUCGUGCAUGAAUGUGGAGGUUUACCUAUUGCAAUUGUAACUGUUGGAAAAGCCCUAGAAAAGAAAACAAGCGUGAAUGGGAUGAUGCCCUUAAUCAGCUGCGAAAUUCUACCCCAGUGAACAUCCCUGGAGUGAAUGACAAAGUUUAUUCUUGCAUAAAAUGGAGUUAUGAUAGAUUGGACAGUGAUGAAGCCAGAUCAUGUCUUUUACUUUGUUGUUUAUUUCCAGAAGAUCAUGAUAUUUCAAUUGAGUAUUUGGUUCGAUAUGGGUGGGGUCGAGGAUAUUUUAGCAACAGCUUUACUUUGGAAGAUGCAAGAAAUAGAGUGCAUUCUUUGGUUGACCAACUAAAAAGAAGGUUUUUGUUGCUAGAUAGUGGCGAGGAUAAGUUUACCAAAAAGGUUGACAUGGUUCAGUUUACAAAAAUGCAUGACAUUGUUCGCGAUGUUGCCAUAUCAAUUGCUUCAAGAGAUCCACAUCGAUUUCUGGUAAGAUGUCAUGCUGAAAAUAAGGGGUGGCCGAAUUUAGCUACAUAUGACAAUUACACUACAAUCUCACUUGUUGGCGAAUUGGAGAUUCCCGUUGGUUUGAAAUGCCCAAAACUUGAGCUUCUACAGACGAUAAAAGGAAGUUUUUCAGAAGAUGGCAUGGACAUCAUUUGUGAUGCGAUGAAAGAACUGAAGGUUUUAGCUUUGGUGGAAAUGGAAGGCCUAGACUCAUUAAGUUCACUAGGAGUACCGAAGAACCUGCGGACAUUGUGCUUAGAUGGGUCUAAAUUUGAUGGCAUGUAUACUGAUGUUAUUGGGAGUUUGGAGAAUUUAGAAAUCCUCAGCUUUCGGGAUUGUCGUUCCAUGCAUGAGUUGCCGAGGGAAAUUGGUCGACUUAAACAGUUAAGGUUGUUAGAUACGACAAACUGCAGGAAACUUAAGGUGAUUCCACAUGGUAUCUUCUCCAGCUUAUGUAGACUUGAAGAGUUGUAUAUGCUUGAUAGCUUUGGUGAAUGGGAAAUUGGAACAGGAAGAGAAGAGAAGGGGAUGGCAAGCAUUUCUGAGGUGAUGUCUCUGUCUGAUCAUUUGAAGGUUCUAGCCAUAGAGAUACCCAGUGUCAUCCACUUGUUGCCAAAAGACAUAGUCUUGAAAAGCCCAACAAUAAAAUUCUAUAUACACUUAGGAUGUGACAAUGUAGUUCCUGAGAAGAUGACACUGGAAAAUUGUUUGGCGAUUUAUGGAAGUGAUGCAAUGGAGUUGAAGGAGAGUCAAGCAGUUAGACUUCUGUUGAAAAAAUCUAAAAUUUUGAUUUUGGACAGUGUUAAGAAUUUCUCUGUCCUCAUUGAUUCAGACCAAGAUGGAUUUCAAGAUUUGAAACUUUUGCAUCUUAAUAAUUGUCCAAAUACCAAGUAUCUUGCAAAUAGAACAAGUGCGACCCAGCAGACACUCUUUCCUCGCAUACAGUCAGUUAGUCAGUUCCCGGAUAACUUUUUGUCCAACCUAAGAUUCCUUUAUUUGGGAAAUUGUGAUGUCUUAAAAUAUGUCUUUUCACUAUCAAUAGCGAGAAACUUGGUACAACUCAAGGAAUUAAGUAUUGAUGAAUGUGAUGAAAUGGAAGAAAUUGUGUCGAAGCAGGGGAGGGAACAUGAGGAGGAAGCCAAUAUGAUAUCUUUCCAUAAUUUAACCAAUUUGACUCUUAAGGGUCUAGAGAGUUUGGUCGGUUUCUUCCGAGCCAACACGCUAUGCUCCAACCCAAAGGUAUGUCCCACUCUCCAAUCUCUAUGAUAUGAGGAGGCAGCCAAUAUAUGGAAAUUUGAAAUUGUUACGAAAUGCUCAAGUUGGUGCAUAAUUUUUCUUUAACUGAUAAUGAUUUUUCUUUUUCAGGAAACAACGCCAAGGCUUGGGCAUCAAUCUGCAGGAAUAUUUGAAAAAGCAAUAUUUCCAUCAAAGUGCAUUUCAUGGUUCCCAAGUUUGGAAAAGGUAAAAUUGGAGGAUAUGAAGUUUGACGGCGUGCUAUUUGAUCUGAAAAUCCAUAUAGUUAUGGAUGGGCAGACAACUCCAACAUUUCCCCAUUUACGUAAGUUGAAGAUACUCAAUUGUACGUAUACACACUUGUGGAAAAACAUUCCGUCUAGAUUUCAAGGCUUCCAAAAUUUGAGACAUUUGGGAUUGAGAAAAUGUUCUGGUCUAAAAUAUGUGUUCUCGCAUUUAAUUGCCCGAGAACUUUUGAAUCUUGAAGAGAUAGAGAUAUCAACAUGUCCGGACAUGGAAACUAUAGUCAGAAUCCCAAAGGAAAAUGAAGAUGAGGCAACAAAAGACAUGAUUUUGUUUCCGAAACUGUCCACAUUUGAACUAGUAGACCUGCCUCUUCUCACAAGUCUUUGUUCCGAAGGAUCUACAUUUCUAUGGUCAUCCACAAAAAAUAUGCACGUGGAAAAAUGUGAAAAAUUGAAGACAUUGUGUGCUGUAAUUCCACAAAGAAAGAAGUUGGAGAAUAAGUCUGAGAAGGAUUCAACAAGUCACGAUUUCAGCACUUCUCCAUCAAAUUGGUGUCCUGCUGGAUGUGGAUGCACACCAUAUUCAAGACCAAACGCCCACCGCUCCAUUGAAAUAUUGCCACGUCCAAUUAAUCUGGAGGUAAGCUUUUAAAUCAGGUUCAAUUAACCUCUUUAAGUACAACUUUUAAUUAGUAUUGUAUCAUCGUGCUGAUCAUGCAUAAUUUUCUAGGUUACACCAACCAAUCUUGAGGACUCAAAUGAUUAUGAUAAUCUCGAAAUUCUUACUGUACGUGAUUGUAAUUCAAUGGAAGUGAUUUUCCACCUAAAGGGACCGAAGCAUGAUAAAAGUAGUCACUCCUUUGAAGGAUUCAAUAAAUUGAGGUCCUUGUGGUUAUAUAAGUUGCCAAGUUUAACACGUGUUUGGGAAACGGGUAGUUCACAACAGAUGUUCACAGGAAGCAGCUUCGGAAACUUGAAAUCAUUGAAGGUCAAUUGUUGCAACCAGUUGAAAUACUUGUUUUCUUCGUCCAUAGUCAAACUUCUUGUGAGUGUAGAGGACAUAAAAGUUGAGAAGUGUGAGCAGAUGGAAGAAAUCGUUGCCGCAGAAGAAGAAACAGCUGAAAUAAUUACAUUACCUAAAGUGAAGUCCAUCAAGCUUAAAAGGCUGCCAAAACUCAAGUAUUUUUGUGGUGAAGCUUAUACUUUGAAGUUGCCGUCUUUGGAGUUAUUGAAGGUUAUUAAGGUCCAAAACUUAAAGCUAUUUGCUCCUAAGCUUGUUGACACACAUCCCCGAUUGCAAGUACGCACCGCGUUGGGAGUAGCUGAAUGGAUGGAGGACCUCAAUGCCACUUUAAGGAACAGUUACGUUCUGGUUGAUAAUUUACAGUAAGCGAGCUACAAGCAUAAUUUGGCACUUUAUAUGCUCAAUCUUAAAUUUCUAUUUAUUCAACCAACAAAUACGUUCUGGUUUUGAGCUACAAGCAUAAUUUGGCAAACACCACCAAAAUUUUGAAUACAAAUUUAGGGAAAGCAUAAUCAACAGUUCAUAUUUAGUUUGACAAAAGUGUUCUCAAAAUUUAGUCAAAUACCAUAUAUAUGCAUAUGUUCACACUAAAGUGUAUUUAAGUAAUUUUAUUUUUUAAAACUCAAUUCUAUCUCAAGAAAACAUCCGUCUUUUAUUUCUAAAACAGGAAGGAUAACGAUGACGAAUUGUACAGUGAGGAUGAAAAUGAAGAUGACGAACUCUAUGGUUACAUGAAGAUGACUAACACAAUUGAUUGAUCAAGCACAAAGGUUAGCAUGUUUCCGUCUCCCACUUCUUCUAGGUUUAGUAAAAACUGAUGAAAUUAUCUAUAAAGUACUCAAAAAAUUAUUCUACCAUGUUUGAUAGAAUAUAUACACAUACAUGGAUGGUACUUAAAAAAUUGAACAAUAAAGGGUCGUCGAACCACAUUCUGCUACCUAAUUCAUUUUUUCAAGGAACCCAAUGCAAGUCGAUCUAUAAUAUGCACUCUAAAAGUACUAACCUUGAGAAGCCAUUGAUAUGAACAAGAUUGAACCAUGAUCAGCAACGAACAAGCAAAGAUCUUCAUCUCUCUCUACACGCCUUAUGCACUCCUAUAUGGGGUAGUGUUUUGUGCUUUAAUAAUGUGUAUAAAAGUGGGGCCUAAGCCUUAUAUUUAUAGGUGAGAGUAUUAGGUUUCUUGCCCAUAAAGAAAACCCUAAUACAGAUCUUUAGCACCUCUAAAAUCCAUGACCUAAUAGGAUUGAUAUUCCCAAAAAUUAUUGCUAUACUUUACCAUAAGUAAUCCGGAAUAAUCAAAUAUUAAUUCCCUUCUUUUAUCCUUAAUCAAUUAGGACUCCUAAAUAGAUGUAAGCCCAAUAAAAGUCUUACACCCAAUAGCAGUUAAGAUGGAAGAAGCUUUUAGGAUUAGCAACUGCCUCAAGAAACCUUUAUCAGAUUCCACAAUAAUAUUGGAAUAACCUUUUUCUGUUAGCAUGUCUCGCCUGAUCUAAAACAAGCAUAACCGUUUUGAGAAACACAUAUACAAUAAACAUAACUGUAGUGCUAAGUGACUUGAAAAUUAAUUUAGUCCUUAAACCGCUAUUUUCUGAAACACAUAUACAAUAAGCAUUACCAUUUGAACUUAUUCCAAUUUCAGUGAUUUCUAAUAUUCUCCACUGCAUGCAGGACAAGAGUUUACAGAACGUUGUGUACAAGCCAAUAAAAGGUCAUUUGUUGACCAGAAUUUCAUUCCAAAAUACUAUUUAAAUUGCUUAUUUGAUGUAUUAUAAAUUUCGAUUGUGAUUAUUACUGUUUGUUUCUAAACUAGCGUUUGCUUAUUUGUUAUGAUAAUUUGGAAAGGUUGUCUCUAGCUACCAAUAUUUGCAUUUCAAUUUAUAAUGCUAAAAGUUCUGUAAUACCAUACACGUGUAAGAUGAAUGGCAUGUAUGUAGAAUGACACGUGUAAUAUUGAUCAUACAUGUAAGCUAAAUAAUAUUAUGAUACACUAGCUAGCCGCAACUAAUGUAAGCUGAAUAAUAUGAUCAUUCACUAUAAGGUCUGAUAUUAAUUCAUAAAAUCUGGUUUUCCCCCUAAACGUAACGGAAAUCAUAUUUAUCACACUUCCGGCUAGCUCUCCCUUGAGGAGCCUUGUCUACCAAAUAGGUAAGUUCAAGCAACUUCAAGAGAGAGUUUCCUCCACAUUAAGUCUUAAACAUCUACUGGACAGCAGGCAAUUCAAAACCAAAGUAAGCUGCUGAAUACAACUAGAAUAAACAAGGAAUCGGGCUAAGCUAUUGUCUUCAUCAUAACAUGAUUUUGGCCCCCAUUUACUAAUUUCGUACCACAUUUUCACACUCUUUCCUUGAAUUUUAUAAUUCCUAUGCAACAGAGUUCAUUCAUUGCCUAUUCACAACAUUACAAGGUUCUACAGAGUUCAAUCCCACACCAUGUUAUAGACAUGCUUCAACUAUCAACCUGGAACGUAAUCGUUAGGGUUUCAACAACUUCAGAGAUACAACAAUUACCAUAAGUCUCAUCUCCGACAUUCAUACAGAAAAUCGAAUAAAAUUCGAAAUCAAGAAUUAAUCCCAAAACUGAAAGUUGAAAAUUCGGAAAAAGAACUUACAUUGGAGAACAGCCCACGAGAAGAGGAUCAUUUCUACGUCUUAGGUCGAGGUCCAAUUACUGCGAUAUUGGCCGGAAGUUGGAUGGAAAACCCUGGGUCACCGUUUCUUAAAUUGGAAAUUGCGGAAAACCGCCUACGAAUUUAUAGAAACGAACUUGGGGAUUGGAUACAGGACGGCAAGAGCAUUCAGGAUGUGUAGUUUGACAGCCUUUGGUGACCUGUGGACGACAGAGCUGUUGCGUGGCAGUCGUCGGCUUGGGCCGCUGUUGCAGCGUGUGAAAGAGAAGAGGGAGCGAGGAGAGAAAAUGGGUUUCUCCCACUUUUUGGAUCUUAAUUCUUUUCCACAUUUUUUUAUAUAGAAUAAACGAUAUUAUUUAUCACUAAAAGUGCGUUUGGUAUGUAAGAUGGGACGGAACACGUUUUGAUGAUAAUAAUAGCUAGAAGUAAUAAUGUAAUAUAGUUCAAAUUCGUUUUUGAUAAUAAUCAAAUAUAAAAGGGAAUUGUUAUUAGCAUUCCAAAAAUCUCAUUCUACACUCCUCACAAGUGUAUUUUUCUUUCUAAUUAUAGAAAGUUUAGAGUGCCAAAUGAGAUUUUUGAAUUGCUAAUAACAAUUUCCUAAAUUCUCUCACUUAUAAAUUACAAGUAAAGAAAAAUACUAUUAAAUUUUUUCCACUUUUAAUGCAUAUCUAAAUAAAAAGAGACAAAAUGAAAAGGAAAAGAAAUAAAAUAAUUUGAAAUAGAAAUAAAAAUUAAGGGUAAAUCUCAUAUUACUAACCUCAUGUUUCGUGGUUUUCAACAUUUAGUACAUCAAGUUUUUUUUCGUCCCAGAGUCAUACCUAAAGUGUAAAUUUUGGGACAGUCUCAGACAUUCGUUAGUCAAACUGUUAAGUCUCCCGUUAACUGAUGACAUGGCGUCCAUGUGGACAAUGACUGGGUUCCAUGUGUCAUUAAGGGGUCCACGUGGAUUUUUUUUUUAGAGAAAGAGUUUUAAAAAAAAAUUUCCUGCCCAAAAUUUUUAACCCAUAAUCGUGUACCUUACAUUUUUCCCGCCAAAUUUUUUUGGAAAAAAAAUAAAAUUAAAUAGGGAAAAAACACCAACUUUCUACUCCAAAUCUGCAAAUUCAAUUCCAAAAAAAAUUUGAAUUCUAAAUCUGCAAAUUCAUCAUUUAAACUACCAACUACCAACAAAGUUCAAUUGUCAACAACUUUCAAUUCAUAACAAAGUUCAAUAUACACCCUCCAAUUCACACGAAAGUAUCAAAAGACCACAACUUUAACAACUAAUGGGUUAAGGUGUUCUUCCAAAAACCAAAAUAAGAGUACCAAAAACACCAAAGAUAUGUCCAAAACACUAAAAUCUAUCAGAAAGUUGUUUCCAAAAAACCUAAGGGCAUAUUCAACUAUAACAAAAUGAACCCUUAAACAACCUAAAGCAUUAAAGCAGCAUCAUGGAACAUUCCUCCUCCUUUUCUAACCUCUUGUGGUAGACUUUGAAGUGGUUUGAGAGGCUUGAGUUGGAUGAGAUAAAGGUUGUGGAGCUUUCUGAGUGCAUAUUGGUUGUGAUGACUGAGAGGGUUGUGAUACCUUAGAUGUUGAGGCCUAAGUAAUGAACCCAAAUAGCAUUAGCACUGACAGAUACUACACUUCACAAAUAACAAAUUCACUUAAGAAAUGAAAAAUCAACAAAAAAAUAUCAAAAUUAUACCUCAUUUUUCUUGCUUUUUCUUCCUUUUCUAGCAGUUGAAGGAGGAUGAGUGGUUGGGCAUCUAGCCUUGUUGUGUCCCGAGUCCUUGCAAACACUACACUUCACACUUUUUUUGCCCUCUCUUGCUUAACUUGAUUCAUUUUCAUCAUCCUCCCUAUAUCUCCUCUUUUUUGGUUUCCCAGGUUGCCUUUUAAAAGUUGGAGGAAGAAUGCAUUUGUUUUCAGAUGGCUCCUAAAAUUUCAUGCCUUGGAUGGGUUGAAUCAAGUUUUCGUAAGCUUCAAAGUACUUCUCCUUCUUGUACCAAGAGGAAACAAAUUCCUCAGGUUGUCUCCUUGCAUAAUAGAUGGCCGAGCAACCAUGUAUGCAAGGAAAGUCUGUCAAAUCCCAUCUUCUACAUAAGCAAGUGCAGCCAUUCAAAUCCACCACAAAUAUAUUGCCUCUGCCUUCAUCCACUUCAAAAUUUUCUCCUCCAGACCAUGUAGCUAUAGUGUGUGAGCUUUUCAGUUUGAACUCUUCCAACAUCUUCUGGAUUUUUUGGCAGAUAGCUCCUUUAUCCUUCCACAUUGCAUCUUUUCUUAACCAUAUCCUCUUCAUCAAUAAAACUCUUAUAGUUUCCAACAUGGUAAUAAUAGGCUUAUCCCUAUACCUUAGGAUAAAAGAAUUAAAGCUCUCACAGAGGUUGUUUAAGAGAAUGUCACACUGAGUGUGUGUCUCAAAGUGUGAUCUACUCCAAUACAAGGCUGGUCUCUUUACCAACCAUUUAUAAGCUUCGACAUUCAGCCUAUUCACCUCAGCCAUACUCUCUCUAAAAUCAGUGAUGGUUAUUGCGUUGGCAGCAUUCCACAAGGCAUCCUGUAAUCCUUUCCCUUUAAACCCAUCUGCCUUGUAGUUGGUGUAUAAGUGCCUAACACAGAACCGAUGAUUACAAUUAGGAAGCAAUUUCUCAAAAGCUGGUAUUAAACCUUUUUGUUUGUUAGAAAUGAAAGUCUAAGCACGCUGAUUCACAAUUCCCAAGUCAGCAGCUAGCAGCUCCAGAAACCAAACUCAACUGUCCUUGUUCUCGAGCUCUACUAUGGCAUAUGCAAUAACCCAAGUUUGGUUAUUUUGCAUCUAUUCCCUGUAGACAGUAGGCCUUUGAACCUCCUUCAAGUGACAACAUCCAAUAGCUGCCUUCCAUUCUUAAAUCCAUUUUUGUAAGCCCCUAAACAAAUAUAAAUCCUCUGAAAUAUCACAUGAGCAUCAUCAUAGGGCAACACCUUCAUCUGAACUGUACAAGUGACAACCACUUUGCCUUACAAGCUUUACUUUUUAAAUCCUCAAGCCCUAAACAACCAUAUAUAUUUUCUCUUUUUGAGUCACUUCAUACUCCAACAACAUGCAUCCUUUGUGAGUUAGGAUCCCCUAAAAUCUCGGACAUUCUAUUUCCAACAUAGGUUCUCGUAUGCGCAUGAUUAUUCAUUGUAAUUUGUUAACUAAAUCCUCCAUGAUAUAAGUUUUUCUCACACCUUGCACUAAUAUUUGUACAUCUUUUUUUAGUUAUAGUGCACCAUGCUUAUAGUGACAUUUUUUUUAUCUUCAAUGCUUAAUGAACAUACUGCCUCUCUUCCAAUCAUCUUGAACUUCAAUUUCCUUGUCAUCUUCCUUUCUUUUUAGCUCAGGGUAGAAUCUCUCAUCACAUUCUGACCUGAAUCGUAACACUGUGCAGGCUAUUUAAGUCUUGUCUCUCAUCAAGGGGAGUCUAUACAUACCUAGCAUCAUAACGUCUUCUGAAUGUUGUCCCAUACCCUUUCCCCCUCAGCAUCUCCAAUUUUUAUCAGCGUAUCAUCUCUUACGCGAUCAUCAUCUAUAUUACUUCACCUGUCCCACCUAACUCAUAUUUGUUAAAAUCCUCUUGCAUUUAAUUGACAAAUAAAUGCAAAUUUGUAAAAAUAAAACCUUUAAGAUAUUAAACGGCCUUAAAAUAUUAACUUUAUUAGCUUCUGACUUCAUUUAGUUUCAAUACAUCACCUUUUUCUCUCAUCGCUUUCAUUAUCAGCAUUGGAUGAAUCAGCCUCAUUCACUUCCACUUCCUCCCUCAGUUGCUUGCCUCAUAUUCUCUCAACCAUGUGCUAUGCAUUCAAAAGCACAGCCGGUUUUCUGUAUGCCGCACCCUUUGCCUUCGCUUCUUCAGUUUUAUCCACUUUCCCUUUGUAAUCGAAAUCGCCUCUCCCUCAAUACUUCAUAAUAAUGACACCGUUUUAAAUAUGCACUCUCUCUAGAUUUCAUCAAGCUUAUGAUUUCAAGCAGCUUGCUUCGACUUGAUUGUUCUAGUAAUUUCUAUUUACCUACCCGGAACAUAAUUGCCCACUUUCACAUAUCUGGCCUGUUCGUUAAGCUUAAUCCUCCUAUAGACAUCACAGAAUUAUAGGUACAACAAAAAACCCAUCAAUAGAAUCCUUACCAUUUUCCAAUCUCGAAAAAAAGUCAUGAGAUCUUUGUCUACGUAAUCAUCUAAGCCUCAAACUUCCCCGUGUAUAUGCAUUUAAGACCACUUCCCAUGCUGCAAAGUAAGGAGAAAGGUGAAAAACAUAAAAAUAAUCUAAAGGAUUUAAGGGUUUAUAACAAAUACAGGUUAACCCAAACCAAUUGAGACCAAGAGGAAAUGGUGAAUACAAAACAUGGGAUAAUGAAAACAGGGUUUUUUAAGGUUUCAUAUAGGAUCGCCUUGCAGACAAAGAAACAUUUUGAAAAAUCGGAUACAACCUAAACCCAUAUCUAUCUAAUACUUCAAAAAAGGUGGUAGGUUUACUACAUUAAAAAGGUAGUGUCUUACACCACACUUUUUUUCCCCCACCCAUCGCCAGCGCAUGGCUUAACGAAUCAAGUGACCCAGAGUAAACAGUGGGUUCUUUGAGUGGCAAGGGUGUGCGAAAUGUUACGACGGCUUGUGAGUGGGUCCCCUGAAAGUGAAAUAUUUGGAGGGUUUAAAUUGUGCCAUUCAUGUCCACAUGGGCACCACGUCAUUCAGUUACGGGAGACUGGUAACAGUUCAGUUAACUUAACAGGGUGAUGAACUGUCCAAAAUUUACACUUUAGGUAUACAAACUGGAACGAGAUGUAAACUUACCACGAUAACAGAGGUGAGAAACCCCAUCGAACACAUGAGGGUCAUAAUGAGAUUACCCAAAAAUUUAAAGGUUCUGAUUCGUUCUGCUUGCGAAAACACGUUCGUAAUUGAGAGCAUUGAAUGACUAAGGAAUAUUACGAUGAUAUGUCAUACGUGAGUUUUCGCUGAAAUUUUUUUGAUGGGAUUUGCAUUGGCAGCCAAUUUUGGAGCCACCCAUCGUAAGGCAGGAGAAUUGGAGAUAAUGUUGUGUUUGAAAGGAGUUUCUUAAAAAAUACAUAGAAUAAUGUCCUCCUAGAUGUGCCUUGCAGGGUGGAAUCGAUAGCUAUGAUACCUUGUUGGAAAAUGGGCGGUUACUAGGGUUCAUUAGGCUGGUAAUAAAAAAAAAAUUUCCAUUUACUAAAACACUUUCAAGAAACGAAUCGCACAAAAAUUGUAUGAUUACCACUAUUGUGAGCUUUGACUAUUGUUUCAAAGCCAUCGAGAAUUUACCAAUUCCUAUAUUGAUGACGUUUUACUGUGAAAGGAUAAAUCCACAAAGAAUUGCUCAAGCCUAUAGUGAUGAAAUUGAGAAGUGGGUUUGAGGAAAGCACUUGCAUUCCAUUAAUUGUACUUUCACUUGGUCAUUGUUCUUUUGUUAAAAGAGAAUAGAAUUUAAAAGCACUUUCUUUUGUCUCCACCUUUCUGAGAGACACUAUGGGUUUGGAUAACUUCUCUUUCCCUAUAGUUUUUUCUUUUUCUUUUUACCAUUUACUAGAACACCUAGUGUUGGAUACUUAGAUAAUGUUUAUUGCAAAUUAUUAUAUAUUGUACAGACACUUUUGUUGUUUGAACAAGGCUAGAUGAUCUUUAUAUUUGCACCUAGACAUAAUUUGUUUACAUACAGCGUAAUAUAUUUCUCUAGAAAAUUUUUUGUACCUUUAUUGCAUUUUAUUUCACUAUUCACUUUGUUUCUGUUAACAGUUUAGAAAUUUAUUUUUACAAUCACAUUUGUAAUUUGGAAUCAAAGUUUUGAAAUAUUUCGGUAUAAGGUGUUUGAAUGUACUUUGUGAUUAAGAAACCUAAAGUGUUGGAUUUUACAACAUCAUUUUUCUUGCAAUUCAUUCCUUUAGUACCAUAUUAUUGUUUUUUGAACAAAAUACCAAAAACAGAAUUUCAUUUUUUCUCUACCUGUUGCAUAUUUGAUUCUACAAUACAGUCCGUCAUAUUUAUUUGCCACUUGAUGUGCACCCUGAUCUGCCUCCAAUAUGCAUGCUAACACUUCGGCAAAAUUAAUUUAUCUAUGAACCAUCAAUUUGUGAAGCACCACUCACAAUUAGUACCAUGACUACACCUUGUGCUGAACAGUUGUAGAAAGACUGAUAAAAGAAGUUUCAAUUUUAUUUUUGCGGGACCAUGCAUUGGCAUUCGUUGCAUUUUGACACCACUACUACCUGCAUAUGACUUGUUGCUGAACAAGGCAUAGAUUUCAAAAUUUCAAUUUUAAUUUGCCGGACAAUUGAUUGCGUUGAUUUACGAUACAGGUACGUACGUACUUUUCUAAAACUCUAUUUCUUUCCAUUAUUUGUUGUUUUAGACGUUUGUUUUUACCCUGCCUGACCAAGAAACAAAAGUGUUAAUUUAACAUUCUAGUACCCGCCAAAUAUUGUAUUUCGGCUGAGCUCCAACACUAUGACUAGGCGCCAACUCAACAAUUUUAUUGAUUAGCUUUUGACUUCACACAGUUUUGUAUUUUAGAUGUCUAAAAUAGCCCUAGUAACUUAUGUCAAAUUAAAAACAAAUUUUAAAAUCAUGAUUUCAUUGCAUAUUAAUAAUAAUAGGAUAUGAUGCUAGGGUUUUCAUUUGUUUUAUUUUUUUCCCUUUUAAAUUCCUUAGUUGCUUUUCAAAUUUGCAUAAAUUAGGAUUUUUUUUGGUUUAGUUUUUCCGUUUUCAAAAUAUGUGAGCAUUAGUUACCAACAAAAUAUAAGAAUGUUAUUUUUUUUCCAAAAUUAUUUAAUUAUAUUCUAUAUAAAUAUAGGUAAAUUAUUUCUCUACACAUAUAUAAUAACAAUAAAAUGUGGUUAAUGUAUGUAAUAAUACAUGCAAAAUAAUUUACCUUCAACAUAAAGGAUGUGAUUUGGUUCAAGAUUUAUUUUACCUAUAUUUCACAUAUAGGUAUAGGUAAAUUAUGAAAGAUUCUUUUUUUUUCUUUUUUUCUUUUUUUGUCUUUUGGCUUAACAUAUAUAGAUAAGUAAAUCAUUUUUUGUCAUUUGGUUUGAUAUAAAGGAUGUCAUAUGUCAUUUGGUUCAAAAAAAUAUAAGUAAAUUAUUUUAUGAAGAUUAUCAUUAUAUAAUAAUAAUAAAAAGGAGAAUAUAUAUAUAUUGUUUCAAUUAUGUAAAUAGUUUGUAAUAUGAGGUUAUUUCUUUGUCUACAUGUCAAUGGAUUUAGAUUCCGUUUACAAGAGUUAAUACCAAACAUACAAUUUCAGUUGUCCUUGGACAGAAGCCACUAAAUGAGUAAAGGACAACGGGACGAAACAACCUUCUACCUGGCGUAUGUACCUUGCCACUUUCAAUAAAAACAGGUGUGUUUCAAUUUGAUAUUUAAAUAUAUGUGGAUUUUGGGCUGCUUAUUAUGUGAUUUUGCCGAACUCCCCCUCCCAUUAAUGUAAAAAUAUCGAUGUACUAAAAAAUAUAUAUGUGGAUUUUUGUUUAAAAAGUAAAAUUACAAAGGUCUAUUUCUAAAGAACCCUAUGUAUCAACAACAAUUUCAACUAAUUCAAGUCCAGCAACACAAUAAACUCAAAUAAAAAUUCAAUUAUUUUAAACACAGUGAUGAUCUUAUAUUCAAAGAUAAUUUUGAUCUAGGUGCUUGAUUUUUGAAUUUGAUAGACCCAACAUCCCUAGCUUUUAGACUUUUUAUUAAGGAAAAAUUAGUAUCUGGUCCCUAGUUCUUACUGUUCAUUGACUAAGACCUUAUUAGUUCUCAAAUUUUGAUUCAAGUCCCUAGCAUUAAUGUGAUAAUGAAUUUACAUGUUUAUUUGUUAAUUUUUUAAUAUAAAAAUUAGUAAUUAAUUUAGGGUUUAAUACUCACACCUCUAUUAAACUUCUAAUUAAUUUUCAAUUCAAACAUUUCCAAAAUAAUAAAAAAUUAAAUUAAAUUAAGUUUGUACCUAUUAGUUUAUAUAUAUAUAUAUAUAUAUAAAGAUUCUCAAUUUUUUAAUCUUAAAUGUACCCAUUCAUAUAAUUUUUCAAUUUUUUUAAUCUUCAAUGUACCCAUUCUCAAAUAUAUCAAUUUCUUAUAUGUAAAAUGUACUUUUUUUUUAAUAUAAAAUCCAUUCAAAUUUUUUAAUCCAUGUUUAAACUUAUAUGGGUACAUUUUUUUCGUUGAUUUGAGAAUGUAUCCAUGUUUUGGUACAAUAACUUUUUUUGUUAAUUUUGGUUAAUGUACCCAUACAUAUAUGUACACACACACACAAUAUAAUAGAGAGUAUAAUUUAUAUUUUAUUAUUUUUAAUCCCAUAAAUUAUGGGUUUUAUUUAAAAUCUCAUUAAUAUAAACAAUUACAAAUUUUAAUUUUUAAUUUUUAAUUUUAAAAAUAUAGUAACUUACAUUAUUACAUUAAUGUCAGGGACCUCAAUCAAAAACUAAAAACUAACAAGAUUUCAAUCAAAGAAUAUUGAUAGCUAGGGAUCGCAUCCAAAGUGUCCCAUUUAUUAAACUACUUUCUACAAUUUUGGUGCCACGAUUUUUAAAACGUCCUCUUUCUAAAAUUCAAAAUAACAUGAACUGUCAUUAAUCCACCAAUUUAUUCCAGAAACAAUAUCCAAAGCUCCUAAAUCUAGCCUUCUUUAAACCAAAAUUAUUAUUAUUACUCCAACAUAAAAAUACAUAAUUAUUAAGUUAUCAAUCAAUGAUAUGUACCAAAAAUUAAAAUUAUACAUACCAAAAACUAAAAUGAAACGUACCAUUAACUAAAAUAAAACAUACCAAAUACUAAAACUAAACAUACCAAUCAAUGGUAUGUGCACAACUGAACAUACCAAAAAACAAAAUUAAGUAUGAAAACCAAUAAUAAACGUACCAAUAAUGUAUACAAAAGAAUUCUCUUAAUAAAAUGUAUAUAUAACAAUUUAAAAAAUAUAAACAUCCACCAUUUUCGUUAUCUUGAACAUAAAAUUAUAUUUUAAUUUUAGGAGAAAAAAUAUUUUGUACGAAAAAAUUAUUAAAAAGAGAAUUGGAUAAAUAUAUUGAAUGAAAAAUCAAGAUUAUCUCCAAAAAAAAUCGCUUAACUAAUUAAAGGACAAAUUAAGAAACCAAUAUACAGUGAGGUAUAUGGUAAUGGCAUGAGGAUGAAUGAAAAAACAACAACAACAACAACAACAAAGCCUUUUCCCACUAAGUGGGGUCGGCUAUAUGAAUCCUAAAACGCCAUUGCGCUCGGUUUUGUGUCAUGUCCUCCGUUAGAUCCAAGUACUCUAAGUCUUUUCUUAGAGUCUCUUCCAAAGUUGUCCUAGGUCUUCCUCUACCCCUUCGGCCCUGAACCUCUGUCCCGUAGUCACAUCUUUGAACCGGAGCGUCAGUCGGCCUUCUUUGCACAUGUUCAAAAUCACCGGAGCCGAUUUUCUCUCAUAUUUCCUACAAUUUCGGCUACUCCUACUUUACCUCGGAUAUCCUCAUUCCCAAUCUUAUCCUUUCUCGUGUGCCCACACAUCCCACGAAGCAUCCUCAUCUCUCCGCUACACCCCAUUUUGUGUACGUGUUGAUGCUUCACCACCCAACAUUCUGUGCCAUACAACAUCGCUAGCCUUAUUGCCGUCCUAUAAAAUUUUCCCUUGAGCUUCAGUGGCCUACGACGGUCACACAACACGCCGGAUGCACUCUUUCCAUCCAGCUCGUAUUCUAUGGUUGAGAUCUCCAUCUAAUUCUCCGUUCUCUUGCAAGAUAGAUCCUAGGUAGCGAAAACGAUCGCUUUUUGUGAUCUUCGCUAGAUUGCUCCGGUCAUUAGUGUGGGUAAGUAUAUAAAUGGAUAGAGAUAGGAAAGCAAACACAAGAUGUACGUGGUUCACCCAGAUUGGCUACGUCCACGGAAUAGAAGAGUUCUCAUUAAUUGUGUGAAGGGUUUACACAAGUACAUAGGUUCAAGCUCUCAUUUAGUGAGUACAAGUGAAUGAUUUAGUACAAAUGACAUUAGGAAAUAUUGUGGGAGAAUGAUCUCGUAAUCACGAAACGAAACUUCUAAGUAUCGGAGUGUGGUGUCGUCUUGACUUGCCUUAUCUGUCUCAUAGGUAGAUGUGGCAUCUUCUCUGGAAGUACUCUUCCUCCAUCCAGGAGUGGUGGUAUCUUUAACUGGUGGAGAUGCACACAAGGUAAAUGUAUCAAUUUCAAUUUCACUUGAAGCUUACUUGUAGUUUCAGGCUUGGUCAAGCGCGAUACAAACCAUGUAGUAGGAGUCCCCCAAGUCGCCGAGCUAGGGGGUCUGCUGAAAGAGGUGACAGACAAGGUAAGCAAUCAGAGCUCCGACUGAUUGUUCACCUUCUCCCCAUCUUGCAGCAGCAUGAAGGAUAAAGAGAAGAAAAAUGAGAAGAGAUGAUAUGAGAUACUUUUGCUUUUGAAGAAGUAACUUUCCACAGGCUUAUUCUUGAACUGAGCUGGAGGGUUUUCUGGUUUCCUCCAGAGUAUAAGGCCGACUGAAGAAUUUGAGGGUCAAAACAAGUCCAUCAAAUCUAGAGUACGUUCCACCCUGCUGAUAUGGGAUACUUUUGCUUUUGACAGAGUAAUAAAUGUAUCGGCACGUGUGCUGUUACGCUUGUCUCCACAUGCUUCCUUGUAUCCUUCGCACUUGCCCUAUCUGUUCCUCAAGCAGAUGCGGAAUCUUCCCUGGAAACAUAAGAUGUUGAAGAUGAGUACUCGAGAGCAAUGCCAGGUAAGUAAUCAGGUAAGGGGUUCCAGGCAGUCAGUUCCUGGCUGGAAGCUUGAUUCCAAGUGCUGACUGAUUGCUCUCUUUCUCCUUGUCUUGCAGGUAAAAACAAGGCCAAAAGAAAAGACAGGGAAAAAGCAUGAUAUGGGAUACUCUUGCUUUUAACCCUGAUGAUAUGAGAUAUUCUUGCUCUAGUAUAGCUUGUUUGCAGAGGUAUUAUCAGGGGGAAAGAAAGCUGAAUAUUUCGAAAGGCUUCGUUGGGAGUGUCCUCUCAGAUAUGAUGAAGGGUUGAGCAUUUUUGCAGGUCUGCCUGUCCGUUGGGGAUGGAGGUCGACAUAUAUAGGAGUCUCCCUAACAACAAGUAGUAAUGUUAUUCCUUUACCCUGCUUGGUCAUAGCACGGUAGUGGGAGCUGCCAGUUUCACAUGUUUUAACUCUGUCAGAGCACUUUGAAAAAGUGGUCUGUGGUAUCUGGCUCUCGAGAUUCGGAGAACGAUGCCUCUUCGAUUUUUGAGAAAGCAAUCAUGCUGGGGGUAUGACUCUCGAGAUUCGGAGAGCAGUGUCUCUUCGAUUUUUGAGGAAGUAAUCAUGUUGGGAGUCUGGCUCUCGAGAUUCGGAGGGCGGUGCCUCUUCGAUUUUUGGAGCAAGCAAUCUUGUUGGGAGUGUUGUCUCGAAUGUGAGUAAAGGUUGGGCAUGUUUGCUAGUCUACCUUGCCACGAAGCACAAAGGUUGACACACAGGGACUUUCCAAUUAUCCAGCAAUGGUACUGUUCCUUUACCCUCUCUUCGAUUUUGAGAAAGUAGUCAUGUUGGGAGUCUGGCUCUCGAGAUUCGAAGGACGGUGCCUCUUCGAUUUUGGAGCAAGCAAUCUUAUUGGGAGUGUUUUCUCUCGAAUGUGAGUAAAGGUUGGGCAUGUUUGCUAGUCUACCUUGCCACGAAGCACAGAGGUUGACACACAGGGACUUUCCAAUUAUCCAGCAGUGGUACUGUUCCUUUGUUCCACACAGUUGUGGGUAAUAAUAUGGUAGCUAGACCUUCAAAAUUUAUGUGUCUAAACUUUUGUUAGUGCUGUUUCUUUGCUAUUCUUUUACCUUUCUUGGUCAGAGCGAUGUAGUGGGAGCUGCAAGCUUCACGUGCUCAACUUUGGCAGAGAACUUUGGCAAAGUUAUUUGUGGUACCCAUGAGCUAUUGUUGCGUGUGGGAAGUGGGUGAUUGAACAGUAAGAUUCAUGUGCUUUCUACUUCACCAGAAGUCUUCGACAGAAUGCCCAUAAUUUCUGCAAAGCUGAGUGUGCGUGUGACAGUUGCUGACAAGGCUAGAAAAGUAGGUGCCUCUUCGAUUUCUGAGAUCGGCCCUCGUGGUCUCUGAGCAGCCCAGCUUUUGAGAAAGCGAGCGCCUCUUCGAUUGAUUCGGAGAACGAUACCUCAUCGAUUUUUGAGAAAGCAAUCAUGCUGGGGGUCUGGCUCUCGAGAUUCGGGGAGCAGUGUCUCUUCGAUUUUUGAGAAAGUAAUCAUGUUGGGAGUCUGGCUCUCGAGAUUCGGAGGGCGGGUGCCUCUUCGAUUUUGGAGCAAGCAAUCUUGUUGGGAGUGUUUUCUCGAAUGUGAGUAAAGGUUGGGCAUGUUUGCUAGUCUACCUUGCCACGAAGCACAGAGGUUGACACACAGGGACUUUCCAAUUAUCCAGCAAUGGUACUGUUCCUUUACCCUCUCUUUCGAUUUUUAAGAAAAAGUAGUCAUGUUGGGAGUCUGGCUCUCGAGAUUCGAAGGACGGUGCCUCUUCGAUUUUGGAGCAAGCAAUCUUAUUGGGAGUGUUUUCUCGAAUGUGAGUAAAGGUUGGGCAUGUUUGCUAGUCUACCUUGCCACGAAGCACAGAGGUUGACACACAGGGACUUUCCAAUUAUCCAGCAGUGGUACUGUUCCUUUACCCUUGUGGGUAAUAAUAUGGUAGCUAGACCUUCAAAAUUUAUGGGUCUAAACUUUGUUAGUGUUGUUUCUUUGCUAUUCUUUUACCCUUCUUGGUCAGAGCGAUGUAGUGGGAGCUGCAAGCUUCACGUGCUCAACUUUGGCAGAGAACUUUGGCAAAGUUAUCUGUGGUACCCAUGAGCUAUUGUUGCGUGUGGGAAGUGGGUGUGAUUGAACAGUAAGAUUCAUGUGUUUUCUACUUCCCCAGAAGUCUUUGACAGAAUGCCCAUAAUUUUCGCAAAACUGAGUGUGCGUGUGACAGGUGCUGACAAGGCUGGAAAAAGGCUGGAAAAGUAGGUGCCUCUUCGAUUUCUGAGAUCGGCCCUCGUGGUCUCUGGGGAGCCCAGCUUUUGAGAAAGCGAGCGCCUCUUCGAUUUUUUGAGAUCGGCCUUCGUGGUCUUUGAGCAGCCCAACUUUUGAGAAAGCAAACGCCUCUUCGAUUUCUGAGAUCAACCCUCGUGAUCUCUAAGCAGCCCAGCUUUUGAGAAAGCAAACGCCUCUUCGAUUUCUGAGCAGGCGCCUCUUCGAUUUCUGAAGCUUCGUCGAGUGCAGAUUUUUAUAGGGGUUGGCAUUAAGUUCCAAAGCACACUUGAAUCUCCACCAGUAGAAGCUUCAUUCUUGCACUUCUAAGAUCUUGAUUUGUCCGACCUCUUCUCUCUUCAACACCUUUGAAAAUGUCUGGCCCCUCCGACCGUCGUUUUGACUUGAACCUUGUUGAAGAGGCAGCCCCGCCUUCUCCAGACAACAUAUGGCGCCCAUCCUUCGUCUCCCCUGGUCCUCUUACCGUUGGGGAUUCCGUGAUGAAGAAGAAUAUGAUAUGACCGCUGCGGUGGUGGCCAGGAACCUUCUCACUCCCAAAGAUAACAGACUACUUUCCAAACGGUCUGAUGAGUUAGCUGUUAAGGAUUCGCUGGCUCUCAGUGUUCAGUGUGCAGGUUCUGUGUCUAAUAUGGCCCAACGCCUAUUUGCUCGAACCCGCCAAGUUGAAUCAUUGGCGGCUGAAGUGAUGAGUCUCAAACAGGAGAUUAGAGGGCUCAAGCAUGAGAAUAAACAGUUGCACCGGCUCGCACAUGACUAUGCUACAAACAUGAAGAGGAAGCUUAACCAGAUGAAGGAAACUGAUGGUCAAGUUUUACUUGAUCAUCAGAGAUUUGUGGGUUUGUUCCAAAGGCAUUUAUUGCCUUCGUCUUCUGGGGCUGUACCGCGUAAUGAAGCUCCAAAUGAUCAACCUCUGAUGCCUCCUCCUUCUAGGGUUCUGUCCAGUACUGAGGCUCCAAAUGAUCCCCCUCCGGUGCCUUCUCUUUCUGGGGCUCUACCGACUGCUGAGACUUCUCCUAAGCAACCUUUGUGAAGGCUCCCUCUUGUGUGCUUAUUUUUGACUCAUGUAUAUGUACAUAUUUGUAGCUUAUCGGGGAUAUCAAUAAAUAAGCUUUCCUUCAUUUCAACGUAUUGUGUUAAAUACACCAAAGCCUUCUUCGCUAAGUUCUUUGAAUUUUCUUUUGUUAAAGCUUGUAUGUUGAAGCUUUCUGAGUGGAGCAUGUAGGUUGGGGUAGUGUUCCCUUAAUUUCCCGAGUGAGGAAAACUUCUCGGUUGGAGACUUGGAAAAUCCAAGUCACUGAGUGGGAUCGGCUAUAUGAAUCUUAGAACGCCAUUGUGCUCGAUCCUGUGUCAUGUCCUUCGUUAGAUCCAAGUACUCUAAGUCUUUUCUUAGAGUCUCUUCCAAAGUUUUCCUAGGUCUUCCUCUACCCCUUCGGCCCUGAACCUCUGUCCCAUAGUCGCAUCUUCUAAUCGGAACGUCAGUAGGCCUUCUUUGCACAUGUCCAAACCACCGUAACCGAUUUUCUCUCAUCUUUGUGACUCAUUUCGAACUAAUACUAACUAAUUGUUAGUCAAGUGAGAAAUUUUCUAAUUAGAGAAAAAGGUCCUAAAUUUGAAUCGUAACUCCAACUUUGAUAAAAUAAAAAUAAAAAUAAAAAUAAAAUACCACUUAGAUUUAAACAGGACAAAAAUAUCUAAUAUUGUGUUGGGGUAGUGCUUCUUUGGUUUUAGGUAGUAGAGCACUGAGCACGAGACUUAAAAAAGCUACCAACAAAUAGGAGCAUUCAAGCCAUGGUCUUUGAUUUCAGAAGGAAAUGGAAAUUAUAAUUGCAAUUGCCUCAAAAAUUGGAGAGUCAUUGGUCGCACCAAUAGGAACAGAGUCUGCCUAUUUGAUUAAUUACCAUUCCAACCUAGAAAAUCUUAAGCGUGAGAUAAAAAAGCUCUGUGACAAGAAAAAUGAAGUGCAGGGAUGGGUAAAUGCUGCCAAAAGGAACGGUAAAUUUAUCCACCCUGAUAUUCAGAGUUGGCUAAAGAAUGUGGACGAAAUGAUCCAAAAAGUGUCGCAUUUUGAGGUUGAGAUUGACAGGAAAAGGCGAUGUAUGUAUCGAUGGAGCUUGAGUCGGAAAGCCUAUAAGAUUACACAACAUGUUCUCCAGCUCCAAAACGAAGGAACAUUUGAAAAUGUGGCCUAUGCUGCACCUUCACGAGAGAUAUGGUCAACAUUCAAAGACGGAUUUAAACAUUUCAAGUCCAGAAUGGAAAACAUGAAUGAGGUGAUAGAGGGUUUGAAGAGGGAAGAAGUAAGAAUGAUCGGGAUUUGUGGAAUGGGGGGUGUGGGUAAAACCACAAUGGCGAAAGAAAUCAUCAAAAGAUUAGCAGAACGGAACAUGUUUGAUAAAACUGUAAUGGCAACUGUGUCUCAAAGCCCAAGUAUUAAGACGAUCCAGUUGGACAUUGCAGCACAAAUAGAUUUGAAAUUUGAUGAGGAUUCUGAGUCCGGAAGAGCACUAAAGCUGCAUGACAGACUCAUGGAAAUAAGGAGGAUACUGAUUGUGUUAGAUGAUGUAUGGACAGAGCUUAAUUUUGAGGCUAUAGGACUUCCUUAUGGACAUACUCAUAAAGGGUGCAAAAUUUUGUUGACAUCACGGAAUUUGGAAGUCUGCAAUGCGAUGGAAAGUCAACAAAUUAUUGCAGUCCCAACUUUAACAACAGAAGAAUCACGGGAGCUCUUUAGAGAAAUCGUAGGUGAAUCCUUCGAUGAUCCAGAUUUCCAUUCCAUUGCAGAAGAGGUCGUGAAUGAAUGUGGAGGUUUACCUAUUGCAAUUGUAACUGUUGGAAAAGCCCUAGAAAAGAAAAAGAAGCACGAAUGGGUUAAUGCCCUUAAUCAGCUGCGAAAGUCUAUCCCAGAUAACAUCCCUGGACUAAACGGCAAAGUUUAUUCAAGCAUAAAAUGGAGUUAUGAUAGAUUGGAGAGUGAUGAAGCCAAGUCAUGUCUUUUACUUUGUUGUUUAUUUCCAGAAGAUUAUAGCAUUCCAAUUGAGGAUUUGGUUCGAUAUGGGUGGGAUCGAGGAUAUUUUAGCAGCAGCGAUACUUUGGAAGAAGCAAGAAAUAAAGUGCAUUCUUUGGUUGACCAACUACAAAGAAGGUUUUUGUUACUAGAUAAUGACUGGAGUGGGACUACAAAAAUGCAUGACAUAGUUCGCGAUGUUGUCAUAUCAAUUGCUUCAAGAGAUCCACAUGGAUUUCUGAUAAGAAGUAAUGCUGAAAAUAAAGGGUGGCCAAAUCUAGCUACAUAUGACCAUUACACUACAAUCUCACUUGUUGGCGAUUUGGAGAUUCAAGAUGGUUUGAAAUGCCCAAAACUUGAGUUUCUACAGACGAUGAAAGGACGUUUUUCAGAAGGUAGCAUGGACAACAUUUGUAAGGCGAUGAAAGAACUGAAGGUUUUAGCUUUGGUGCAAAUGGAAAUGGAAGACCUAGGCUCAUCAAGCUCACUAGGAUUACUGAAGAACCUGCGGACCUUGACCCUAAAUGGGUCUAAAUUUGAUGGCAUGUCUACUGAUGUUAUUGGGAGUUUGGAGAAUUUAGAAAUCCUCAGCUUUCGGGAUUGUGAUUCCAUGCGUGAGUUGCCGAGGGAAAUUGGACGACUUAAACAGUUAAGGUUGUUAGAUACGACAAAUUGCAGGAAUCUUGAGGUGAUUCCACAUGGUAUCUUCUCCAGCUUAUGUAGACUUGAAGAGUUAUAUAUGCUUGAUAGCUUUAAUAAAUGGGAAAUUGAAACAGGAAGAGAAGAGAAGGGGAUGGCAAGCAUUUCUAAGGUGAUGUCUCUGUCUCAUCAUUUGAAGGUUCUAUCCAUAAAUAUACCCCCCAAUUUCAUCCACUUGUUGCCAAAAGACUUAGUCUUGAAAAGCCCAAGAUUCGCUAUACGGCUUACACCAGCAAGGUAUUGUUUCCCCACAACUUAUGCAUUCGAAAAUUGUUUGGCAAUUGAUGAAAGUGAUGCGAGGGAACUGAUGGAGAGUCAAGCAGUUAGACUUUUGUUGAAAAAAUCUAAAAGAUUGAUUUUGAACUAUGUUAAGAAUUUCUCUGUCCUCACUGAUUUAGACCAAGAGGGAUUUCAAGAUUUGAAAGUUUUGGCUCUUUUGAAUUGUCCAAAUACCGAGUAUCUUGCAAAUGGAACAAGUGCGACCCAACAGGCACUCUUUCCUCGCAUACAGUCAGUUAGUAAGCUUUCGGAUGGCUUUUUGACCAACCUAAGAUGCCUUUAUUUGACAAAUUGUGAUGUCUUAAAAUAUGCCUUUUCACUAUCAGUAGCGAGAAACUUGGUACAACUCCAGGAAUUAAACGUUAAUGGAUGUGAUCAAAUGGAAGAAAUUGUGUCGAAGCAGGGGAGGGAACAUGAGGAGGAAGCCGAUAUGAUAUCUUUCCAUAAAUUAACCAAUUUGACUCUCGAGGGUCUAGGGAGUUUGGUUGGUUUCUUCCAAGCCAACAAGCUAUACUCCAACCAAGAGGUAUGUCCCACUCUCCAAUCUCUAUGAUAUGAGGAGGCAGCCAAUAUGUGGAAAUUUGAAAUUGUUUAACUGAUAAUGAUUUUUCUUUUUCAGGAAACAACGGCAAGGGUUGAGCAUCAAUCUGCAGGCAUAUUUGAAAAAGCAAUAUUUCCAUCAAAGUGCAUUUCAUGGUUUCCAUGUUUAGAAGAGGUAGAAUUGGAAGAUAUGAAGUUUGAAGGCGUGCUAUUUGAUCUGAAAAUCCAUGGCCAGACAACUCCAAUAUUUCCCCAGUUAAGUAAGUUGGAGAUAAUCCAGGGUUCGUUUACACACUUGUGGAAAAACAUUUCGUCUGGAUUUCAGGGCUUUCGAAAUUUGAGAUAUUUGGCAAUGAGAGGAUGUUGUGGUCUAAAAUAUGUGUUCUCGCAUUUAAUUGCCCGAGAACUUUUGAAUCUUCAAGAGGUAAAGAUAUCUAGAUGUCCGGACAUGGAAACUAUAGUUAGAAUCACAGAGGAAAAUGAAGAAGAGGCGACAAAAUACAUGAUUUUGUUUCCGAAACUGAACACAUUUGAACUAAAAUACCUGCCUCGUCUCACAAGUCUUUGUCCAGAGGGAUUUACAUUUCUAUGGUCAUCCGCAAAAAAUAUGCACGUGAAAAAAUGUGAAAAUUUGAAGACAUUGGGUGCUGUAAUUCCACAAAGAAAGAAGUUGGAGAAUAAGUCUGAGAAGGAUUCAACAAGUCAUGAUUUCAGCACUUCCCCAACAAGUUCAUCAAAUUGGUGCCCCGCUGGAUGUGGAUGCGCACCAUAUUCAAGACCAAACGCCCACCGCUCCAUUGAAAUAUUGCCACGUCCAGUUAAUUUGGAGGUAAGCUUUUAAAUUAGGUUCAAUUAACCUUUAUAAGUACAACUUUUAAUUAGUAUUGUACUCAUCUUGUUGAUCGUGUUUAAUUUUCUAGGUUACACCAACUAAUCUUGAGGACUCAAAUGAUGAUGAUGAUAAUCUCGAAAAUCUUACUGUAAGUGACUGUAAUUCAAUGGAAGUGAUUUUCCAACUAAAGGGACCGAAGCAUGAAGAAAGUAAUCACUCCAUUGAAGCAUUCAAUAAAUUGAGGUCCUUCCAGUUACAUAAGUUGCCAAGUUUAACGCGUGUUUGGGAGGUGGGUAGUUCACAACCAAUGUUCACAGGAAGCAGUUUUGGAAACUUGAAAUCGUUGCAGGUCGAUUGUUGCAACCAGUUGAAAUACUUGUUUCUGUCCUCCAUAGUCAAACUUCUCGUGAGUAUAGAGGACAUAGAAGUUAAGAAGUGUGAGCAGAUGGAAGAAAUCGUUGCCGCAGAAGAAGAAACUGAUGGAACAAUUACAUUACCUAAAGUGAAGUCCAUCAAGCUUCAAAGUCUGCCAAAACUCAAGUAUUUUUGUGGUGAAGCUUAUACUUUGAAGUUGCCGUCUUUGGAGUUAUUGAAGGUUAUUAAUGUGCAAGACAUAAGGCCAUUUGAUUCUAAGCUUGUUGACACGCAUAAUCCCCGAUUGCAAGUAAAACCCACAUUUCGACAGGAAUGGACAAGGUAUGCUUUAGAUUAAUGGACAAGGAAUCAACAGUUCAUAUUUAUUUUGAGAAAAGUGUUCUCAAAAUUUAGUCAAAUACCAUAUAUAUGUGCAUAUGUUCACACUAAAGUGUAUUCAAGUAAUUUUAUUUUUUAAAACUCAAUUCUAUCCCAAGAAAACAUCUGUCUUUUAUUUCUAAAACUGGAAGGAUAAUGAUGAUGAAUUGUACAGUGAGGAUGAAAAUGAAGAUGAGAAUUCUAUGGCGAGGAUGAAGAUGACGAAAUCGACGGCGAGGAUGAAGAUGACGAAAUCGACAGGGAGGACGAACACAAAUGACUGAUCAAGCACAAAGGUUAGCAUGUUUCCAUCUCCAACUUCUUCUAGGUUUAUUAAAAACUGAUGAAAUUAUCUAUGAAGUACACAAAAAAAUUUUCUACCAUGUUUUAUAGAAUAUGUACAUACAUGGAUAGUACUUAAUUAAACAAUAAGGAUCGUCGAACCACAUUCUGCUACUAAUUCAUUUUUUCAAGGUACCCAAUGCAAGUCGAUCUAUAAUAUGCACUCUAAAAGUACUAACCUUGAGAAGCCAUUCAUAUGAACAAGAUUGAACCAUGAUCAGCUACGAACAAGCAAAGAUCUUCCUCUUUCUCUACACACCUUAUGCACUUCUAUAUGGGGUAGUGUUUUAUGCUAGAAUAAUAUGUAUAAAAGUGGGACCUAAGCCUCAUAUUUAUAGGUGAGAGUAUUAGGUUUCUUGCCCAUAAAGAAAACCCUAAUACAGAUCUUUAGCACCUCUAAAAUCCAUGACCUAAUAGGAUAGAUAUUCCCAAAAAUUAUUGCUAUACUUCACCAUAAGUAAUCCGGAAUAAUCAAAUAUUACUUCCUUUCUUUUAUCCUUAAUCAAUUAGGACUCCUAAAUAGAUGUAAGCCCAAUAAAAGUCUUACACCCAAUAGCAGUCAAGAUGGAAGAAGCUUUUCGGAUUAGCAACUGCCUCAAGAAACCUUUAUCAGAUUCCACGAUAAUAUUGGAAUAACCUUUUUCUGUUAGCAAGUUUCACCUGAUCUACAACAAGCAUAACUGUUUUGAGAAACACAUAUACAAUAAACAUAACCGUAGUGCUAAGUGACUCGAAAAUUAAUUUGGUCCUUAAACCGCUAUAUUCUGAAACACAUGUACAAUAAGCAUUACCAUUUGAACUUAUUCCAACUUCAGUGAUUUCUAAUAUUCUCCAAUGCAUGCAGGACAAGAGUUUACAGAACGUUGUGGCUUCAGCAAUUCGUUUACCAUAUCAUAUGUACAAGCCAAUAAAAGGUCAUUUGUUGCACCAGAAUUUCAUUCCAAAAAUACUAUUUAUGUUGCUUAUUUGAUGUAUUAUAAAUUUCGAUUGUGAUUAUUACUGUUUGUUUCUAAAUUAGUGUUUGCUUAUUUGUUAUGGUAAUUUGGAAAAGUUGUCUCUAGCUACCAAUAUUUGCAUUUCAAUUUAUAAUGCUAAAAGUUCUGUAAUACCAUAGACGUGUAAGAUGAAUGACAUGCUGGAGGAAUGACACGUGUAAUAUUGAUCAUGUGUAACCUAAAUAAUAUUAUGAUACACUAUAAUAAUAUGAUCAUUCACCAUAAGGUCUGAUAUUAAUUCAUAAAAUCUGGUUUUCCCCUAAACGUAGGAAAUCAUAUUUAUCUAGGCAUGCUUAAUAUUUCAUAAAAGAAAAAACAUUUCUUAAAUAAAUGUCCACUCACACCUCCGGCUAGCUCUCCCUUGAGGAGCCUUGUCUACCAAAUAGGUAAGUUCAAGCAACUUCAAGAGAGAAUUUCCUCCACAUUAAGUCUUAACCAUCCACUGGACAGCAGGCAAUUCAAAACCAAAGUAAGCUGCUGAAUACAGCUACAAUAAACAAGGAAUCAGGCUAAGCUAUUGUCUUCAUCAUAAAAUGAUUUUGGCCCCCAUUUUCUAAUUUCGUACCACAUUUUCACAUUCUUUCCAUGAAUUUUAUAAUUCCUAUGCAACAGAGUUCAUUCAUUGCCUAUUCACAACAUUACAAGGUUCUACAGAGUUCAAUCCCACCGUGUUAUAGACAUGCUUCAACUAUCAACCGGGAACGUAAUCGUUAGGGGUUUCAACAACUUCAGAGAUACAACAAUUACGAUAAGUCUCAUCUCGGACAUUCAUACAGAAAAUUGAAUAAAAUUUGAAAUCAAGAAUCAAUCCCAAAAGUGAAAGUUGAAAAUUCGGGAAAAGAACUUACAUUGGCGAACAGCCCACGAGAAGAGGAUCAUUUCUACCUCUUGGGUCGAGCUCCAAUUCUGGCGAUAUUGGCCGGAAGUUGGCCGGAAAACCCUGGGUCACCGUUUCUUAAAUUUGAGGUUGAGGAAAGUCGCCUACGAAUCUAUAGAAACUAACUUGGGGAUUGGAUGAAGGACGGCAAGAGCAUUCUGGAUGUGUAGUUUGAGAGCCUUUGGUGAGCCGUGGACGACAGAGCUGUUGCGUCGGCACUCGGCAGUCGUCGGCUUGCUGUUUAAUGGGGCUCCUGUUGCAGCGCAAAAGAGGAUACGGGAGGAGGAGAGAAGAUGGGUUUCUCCCACUUUUUAGAUCUUAAUUUUUUUCCCUUUUUUUAAUUUUUUUCCCUUUUUAUAUAUCGUUUACACACUUGUGGAAAAACAUUCCGUCUGGAUUUCAGGGCUUCCAAAAUUUGAGAUAUUUGGCAAUGAGAGGAUGUUGUGGUCUAAAAUAUGUGUUCUCGCAUUUAAUUGCCCGAGAACUUUUGAAUCUUCAAGAGGUAAAGAUAUCAAAAUGUCCGGAUAUGAAAACUAUAGUCAGAAUUACAGAGGAAAAUGAAGAAGAGGCGAUAAAAUACAUGAUUUUGUUUCCGAAACUGAACACAUUUGAACUGGUAGACCUGCCUCGUCUCUCAAGUCUUUGUCCAGAGGGAUUUACAUUUCUAUGGUCAUCCGCAAAAAAUAUGCGCGUGGAAAACUGUGAAAAAUUGAAGACAUUGGGUGCCGUAAUUCCACAAAGAAAGAAGUUGGAGAAUAACAUGAAGAAGGAUUCAACAAGUCAUGAUUUCAGCACUUCCCCAACAAGUUCAUCAAAUUGGUGCCCCGCUGGAUGUGGAUGCGCACCAUAUUCAAGACCAAACGCCCACCGCUCCAUUGAAAUAUUGCCACGUCCAGUUAAUUUGGAGGUAAGCUUUUAAAUUAGGUUCAAUUAACCUUUAUAAGUACAACUUUUAAUUAGUAUUGUACUCAUCUUGUUGAUCGUGUUUAAUUUUCUAGGUUACACCAACUAAUCUUGAGGACUCAAAUGAUGAUGAUAAUCUUGAAAAUCUUACUGUAAGUGACUGUAAUUCAAUGGAAGUGAUUUUCCAACUAAAGGGACCGAAGAAUGAAGAAAGUAAUCACUCCAUUGAAGCAUUCAAUAAAUUGAGGUCCUUCCAGUUACAUAAGUUGCCAAGUUUAACGCGUGUUUGGGAGGUGGGUAGUUCACAACCAAUGUUCACAGGAAGCAGUUUUGGAAACUUGAAAUCGUUGCAGGUCGAUUGUUGCAACCAGUGUUCUAAAAAUCGGCCUAGGCGGCCGCCUAGGCGCUAGGCGGUGGGCAACCGCCGGGAUUAACGUAAAAUCGGAAGAAAAAUCGGGACAAGGAUUAGGCGGGUGUCGAGGUGGCCUGAGCGGCCCUUGGGCGGCCUAGGAGGGCAACUGGGUGGCCUAGGCGGUCUGAGAAUUUCAAUUUUUCUAUGUUCGAACUUGAGAAAGGAUGAAUGCUUCUGGUUUUUCUGGGCUUCUGGUGGUCUGUGUUCGCGAAGGAGGAAGAAGAUGAGAGAAUUAGUUUCUCUCUCUUCUUUCCAUACCCACGCACGUGAUGUAUUAAACUUUUUUUUUUAUUUUUUAUUUUUUAUUUUUUGUCCAUUAAAAUGUGGACAGCUAGCCUUGACUUUUCUUAAAGAAUAAAGGUUGUCAGGCUAUUAAUUUUUGUGUCAUCCAUCAAGUGCUAUGGAUUUUUUUUGUAGAUAGCGAUGGAGCACUCAUCUCUUCCUGGACAAAGGGCAGACUAGCUGCCAUCUAUAAAAAAAUUAAUAGCCUGACAAAAAAUUAAUUUUUUUCUCAUUAAAAAAACAUUGAUUGUCAGGUUAUCAAUUCAUAGCAUCAAGUGAUAUGGAUUUUUUGGACUUGUUAGAUAAGCAUUUUAUUAUUCUUUUACUAUCUUAUUCAGAGAUUUCAUAUAAGUAUAAUUUUUUGUAAGUAUCAGUAUACAUUUAUUUACAAGAUAUAUAAGAAAUUUACCUAAAUCCGCCUAGACCGCCUAGGCGCCCGCCUAGACCCCGCCUAACCGCCUAGGCGCUAGGCGCCAGUUCACCGCCCGACUAGCGCCUAGCGUUUUUUAGAACCUUGGUUGCAACCAGUUGAAAUACUUGUUUCUGUCCUCCAUAGUCAAACUUCUCGUGAGUAUAGAGGACAUAGAAGUUAAGAAGUGUGAGCAGAUGGAAGAAAUCGUUGCCGCAGAAGAAGAAACUGAUGAAACAAUUACAUUACCUAAAGUGAAGUCCAUCAAGCUUGCAAGUCUGCCAAAACUCAAGUAUUUUUGUGGUGAAGCUUAUACUUUGAAGUUGCCAUCUUUGGAGUUAUUGAGCGUUAUUAGUGUGCAAGACGUAGGGCCAUUUGAUCCUAAGCAUGUUGACACGCAUAAUCCCCGAUUGCAAGUAAAAACCGCAUUUCGACAGGAAUGGACGGGGACCUCAAUGCCACUCUAAGGAACAUUUAUGACACAAGGUAUGCUUUAAAUUAAUGUUUCUAAUUUGCAGUCACUUUUGUGUCCACCUGGAAGACCGCAUCAUCAAUAUACAACCACUGAACCAACAAAUAUUUUCUCCUAAACAAUUACAAUUACGUCAAUAUAAACUUUUAGAGACUACAGUAAUGCUUCAUGCUGUUUGUUCCAACUCUUUCGAUCCUUGAUGCAUGCGUGGGAUUUCUAAUGUUUUUACGAAGGACUGAAGAAUAGCUAGGUUGAUAAUUUGCAGUAUGUGAGCUAUAUAUGCUCAAUCUUACAUUUCUAUUUAUUCAACCAACAAAUACGUUCUGGUUUCGAGCUACAAGCAUAAUAUGGCUAACACCACCACAAUUUUGACUACAAAUUUAGGGAAAUCAAUAUCAACCGUUCAUAUUUAUAUGUGCAUAUGUUCACACUAAAGUGUAUUUAAGUAAUUUUAUUUUUUAAAACUCAAUUCUAUCUCAAGAAAACAUCUGUCUUUUAUUUCUAAAACAGGAAGGAUAACGAUGACGAAUUGUACAGUGAGGAUGAAAAUGAAGAUGACGAAUUCUCUGGGGAGGAUGAAGAUGACUAACAGAAUUGAUUGAUCAAACACAAAGGUUAGCAUGUUUCCAUCUCCAACUUCUUCUAGGUUUAGUAAAAACUGAUGAAAUUAUCUAUAAAGUACUCGAAAAAUUAUUCUUCCAUGUUUUAUAGUAUAUACAUAAAUGGAUAGUACUUUAAAAAUUGAACAAUAAGGAUUGUCGAACCACAUUCUGCUACCUAAUUCAUUUUUUCGAGGUACCCAAUGCAAGUCGAUCUAUAAUAUGCACUCUAAAAGUACUAACCUUGAGAAGCCAUUGAUAUGAACAAGAUUGAACCAUGAUCAGCAACGAACAAGCAAAGAUCUUCCUCUCUCUCUACACCCCUUAUGCACUCCUAUAUGGGGUGGUGUUUUGUGCUAGAAUAAUGUGUAUAAAAGUGGGAUCUAAGCCUUAUAUUUAUAGGUGAGAGUAUUAGGUUUCUUGCCCAUGAAGAAACCCCUAAUACAGAUCUUUAGCACCUCUAAAAUCCAUGACCUAAUAGGAUAGAUAUUCCCAAAAAUUAUUGCUAUACUUCACCAUAAAUAAUCCGGACUAAUCAGAUAUUACUUCCUUUCUUUUAUCCUUAAUUAAUUAGGACUCCUAAAUAGAUGUAAGCCCAAUAAAAGUCUUACACCCAAUAGCAGUUAAGAUGGAAGAAGCUUUUGAGAUUAGCAUCUGCCUCAAGAAACCUUUAUCAGAUUCCACAAUAAUAUUGGAAUAACCUUUUUCUCUUAGCAUGUCUCACCUGAUCUACAACAAGUAUAACCAUUUUGAGAAACACAUAUACAAUAAACAUAACCGUAGUGCUAAGUGACUUGAAAAUUAAUUUAGUCCUUAAACCGCUAUUUUCUGAAACACAAAUACAAUAAGCAUUACCAUUUCAACUUAUUCCAAUUUCAGUGUUUUCUAAUAUUCUCCAAUGCAUGCAGGACAAGCGUUUACAGAACGUUGUGGCUUCAGCAAUUCGUUUACUAUAUCAUAUGUACAAGUCAAUAAAAGGUCAUUUGUUGCACCAGAAUUUCAUUCCAAAAAUACUAUUUAUGUUGCUUAUUUGAUGUAUUAUAAAUUUCGAUUGUGAUUAUUACUGUUUGUUUCUAAAUUAGUGUUUGCUUAUUUGUUAUGGUAAUUUGGAAAAGUUGUCUCUAGCUACCAAUAUUUGCAUUUCAAUUUAUAAUGCUAAAAGUUCUGUAAUACCAUAGACGUGUAAGAUGAAUGACAUGUGUAAGCUAAAUAAUAUUAUGAUACACUAUAACAAUAUGAUCAUUCACUAUAAGGUCUGAUAUUAAUUCAUAAAAUCUGGUUUUCCCCUAAACGUAACGGAAAUCAUAUUUAUCUAGGCAUGCUUAAUAUUUGAUAAAGAAAAAAACAUUUCUUAAAUAAAUGUCCACUCACACCUCCGGCUAGCUCUCCCUUGAGGAGCCUUGUCUACCAAAUAGGUAAGUUCAAGCAACUUCAAGAGAGAAUUUCCUCCACGUUAAGUCUUAAACAUCCACUGGACAGCAGGCAAUUCAAAACCAAAGUAAGCUGCUGAAUACAACUACAAUAAACAAGGAAUUAGGCUAAGUUAUUGUCUUCAUCAUGACAUGAUUUGGCCCCCAUUUUCUAAUUCCGUACCACAUUUUCACAUUAUUUCCAUAAAAUAAUUUUAUAAUUCCUAUGCAAAAGAGUUCAUUCAUUGCCUAUUUCACAACAAUACAAGGUUCUACAGAGUUCAAUCCCACACCAUGUUAUAGAAAUGCUUCAACUAUCAACCAGGACGGUAAUCGUUAGGGGCUUCAACAACUUCACAGAUACAACAAUUACGAUAAGUCUCAUCUCCGACAUUCAUACAGAAAAUCGAAUAAAAUUCGAAAUCAAGAAUCAAUCCCAAAACUGAAAGUUGAAAAUUUGGAAAAAGAACUUACAUUGGAGAACAGCCCACGAGAAGAGGAUCAUUUCUACCUCUUGGGUCGAGGUCCAAUUCCUGCGAUAUUGGCCGGAAGUUGGCCGGAAAACCCUGGGUCACCGUUUCUUAAAUUAGAAAUUGAGGAAAAUCGCCUACGAAUUUAUAGAAACUAACAGGGAUUGGAUAAAGGACGGCAAGAGCAUUCUGGAUGUGUAGUUUGACAGGCGUUAGUGACCUGUGAACGACGGAGACGUUGUGUCGGCAGUCGUCGGCUCGCUAGGAGAAGAGGGAGAGAGGAUGCAGGAGGGAGGAGAGACAAAAAGAAAAGGAAAAGAAACAAAGAAAUUUAAAAUAGAAAUGAAAAAGAAAGGUAACCGGACUGCAAAGGUAAUCAGCAUACAAAAUUAUCAUACUAUCCUUAAACUUUGUAGCUAUGUGAAAUCUUCAUUUUAAUUCUAAAUUUUCUUAUGCUUGCGCUCACAGGUUCUUAUUAGAGCAGUUCCACCGGAGGUGGAAUAGCCCAGUACCCAGUCAAAAAAUCAGGUUAGCACCCUGUUAAUUCACUCCAGCCCGUGAAAUCGACUAGCACCCAGCCUAAGCCAGUCUACGGGCCGGCCUAAAAUCGACAGACCUUGGGACCGACCUAUCUGACGUCAGCGUGGCGUCGGAGGGCAUAUGACGUCAGAGAAGGAGUUGUUGUGGAGGCUGAGGAGCAGAGCUGGUUGAGGCGGGAGAGGAUGUCGAGAGGGAAGGAACCAUGGAGGGAGAACGACGGAAGGACAAAGCGACAGCGUCGGAGGUGUGGAGAUGCAGGAGGACGAAUCGACGGUGUUGAAGGACAGGAGGUGUGGAGACGCUGUAGAGGAGCUAGUUGUUGAGAUGUGGAGAUGCAGGAGGUGAGGAGAUGCAGGAGAUGUAGGAAGUGCAGGGGUGGAUGGCGUGCAGAAAUGGAAGGGAAAGGAGGUGUGGAAGAUGAGAAAAUAAUAAUAAUUUUUUUUUAUAAAGUUAGAAAUUAAAAAUAAAAAUAUUAUUUUUUAUUAUUUUAUAAUAAAAAAUAAUAAUUUUUUAAUAAAAUUGACUAGGCUAUUUUUUUUAGGGAUAGAGAUGCAUUGGCCUAUUGCUGUUCAUUAUGGUUUAUCACUGUUCACUUGAGUGGAUAAAUGCACUGGAUGCUGGCGUAAAGUCUUUAGGGGUGGACUUGCUCUUAUGCGCACUACGAAAAGAUAUUAUGUGAGUUUUCGUUGAGAAUUUUUUUGAUGGAGGCAUCCAUGAUUUGCAAGGCCCACCAUGGCAAAGCUAGGUAUCGGCCUGACAUGUGAAGACACCAUCGCGGAGAAGAAUCUGGAAAGUUCAAUCCUUGUAUUUUUCUUAUAUAAUGGUGUCGUUUUAGUGAACUGAAUGUUUCGAUUCCAACAUCUAAAAUACUACAAUUGGAAUUUUUACAUACUACAAUUGGAUUGUAUCUUAAAAUUCUGAAGUUUUGGAUUGAAUUACCACUACCAAAAAUGUGAGCAUUGGUCACAAUCAUGCUGCUUUGUGUUGGAUUUCGUUAGAGAUCAUAAUUAAUCAAUCACCCAUAUUGUGUCUCCCUCCAAAAGCUCAAACUGAAACCUAAACUCCCUCGUCGACCAAAAAAAAAAAAACAAUCCUUGAACUCCCUAGCAAAUCAGAGCCCAAUUUGACAACCAAGAUCUUCAUCGUUCGAGCAUCAAUGUUCUCUUAAAUUUGCUGCGAGCAACCUACCAUGAAAUCUCCUUCAUGGACAUCUCAUAAAAUUAGAAUGGUACAAAGAAGAGUAGUGUCACUCCUAAGCUAGGAUUACACGUUUGAAUCGCAAAAUAGUUCCUCCUCCACUCUUUGAUUCUCUCUUUCACCGGCUAACAAUAUUUUACAUUACCAUCUUUUGCUCUAUUUGACUGAAGGACAAAUUUUGAUUGUCUAAAUAUUAUAUUAAACUACAAAUAAUAUUGAUAUUACUUUAGUCUAAAGAAGGCUUUUCAAUUGCAUUGUACCAAUGAAUAGUGUUUUGAACCACAUUUCAGUUUAUUUACAAGACUGCCACUGGGACGCUUUUAGCCAACUUUUGCUUUAUUUACAAAAAUGCCACUCAGGCUUAAGACUCGAUUUUCAGCCGCUGCAUCUCAGGUUUUUACUAGGGGAAAGAGAGGGGAGGGGGACAGAACGAGCAGAGAGAGAGAGCCUGCGGCUUGCAGAAUUACGAUGAUAGAAGAAGAAGCUCAAAAGUUUGAUACGCCAAGUCGAAGGAACCCUAAAAACCAGAGAAGAAGAAGAAGCUCAGAAAUCGGGUGAGGAUGUUGACAAAUCAGCAAGCCCAGUUUUAGGCGACUCUGCAAAACCAACAACCUAACCUCCGACGAACGAUGUUAGAGGGGAUUCGUCAGAUUCGAGUCGAACCGAGGCCGUCGUCGACUAAGAGAACAUUAUCGAUCCCGACUUUUGGAUCGACUCCCUUUACCUGCUCCCUGUCUGUUACUCCUGCUCCGUCUCUCUUCUUGCAAGUUCGCUCGGGUUCUUCUCCCCAGUUAUUUCAAGCACAAAAAAUUCUCCAGUUUCAUUCGUCAGCUCAUACAUACGUAAGCUCUUCGCCUCUUAAUAUUUUGAUUUAGGUUAAUUGUUAAAUUCUUGAAAAAAAUUGAAAGCAUUGUUCAUUUUUGUCCCAAAUUGGUUUGGUUCUGGUUUGGAAACAGAAAUUAAAACAUAUACUCCUUCAUCUACGAUUCACUUAUUCCAUUCCAGAUAUUUCUCCAUUUCUCUCUUAAUUUCUUACUUUUUGAUUCAAGCGUUUAAUUUUUUAUUAAUUAAAUUACAAAUAAGUAUUAUUGACUUUCAUUUGGUACCAAUCAAUCAAGUGAGAGAUGAGUUGUUUGAAUGUUUGAUUUUACUUGAAUCAGAGUCUCCAAGGAGGAGAAAGAGAAGGAUCCGAAUGAUUUAGGGUUUAGGUCUUAGCGUGUGAGCAGGCGUAUUGAUGACUGUAAUCAAGGUAUCACUUAAGCUCUAAUUGUGACUAGUAAAUUUUGAAUGACUGCUGGUUACUGUUAAAACCCCAAAUGUAUGCAAUCCCACGUUCCAAUUUGUUGUGUGAAGAUGCGGACCACAAUUGCUUCCUCUCAGCACAAUUAGUUUCCACGAUUACUCUUAAACCCUAAUUGUCUCUCCUCUAUCUAAAAUCCAUUUUUCGAUUUUUGAAUACGGUAAAUGGAUAUUGUUUCUAUGUGCAGGUGUUACUCGGAGAAGUUUGAAAGGCCCUGGGACAAUGAGGAUUGCAUUUCAGAGUAGCAGAAAUACAAGGCCACCCUCUCUUUGUGUAUCCAAUCUUACCCUUCUCCUAAAUUUUUAUCAAACUAUAGGAUUUAUUUUGCUGAUUUUAUUUUUUGCGAUUUGAGUUUUUAUCUCCUGCUUAUUUUUUAUUUUUUUGCCGAGGUAUUACUUUUCCUUUGACUAGAAAUUUUAGUGUUUUUAAAGUAUAAUGUUAUCAAAUUCUAAUUUUCUAAUUUUCUGAUUUUGGCCUUUUGCAGGGAGUGCUAAGAUACUAAAUUUUUGGGAUUUUUUAUCUUUGCAUGAUUUUUGGUCUUUGAAAUGGGUAUGUGCUGUUUUUAACGUUUUGGUUCUCAAAUGUUUCGUUCUUGAUUUCUGUUUUCUGCCUCCUUCUAGGUUGCUUCGUGAUUUUCAUUUUCCAUUGUUGGCUUAUGGAAUUUAUAAAAAUGGUUGUAGUUUUGUGACCAAAUCCCAAUAAGAGUAUGCCGAAACACAGAUUAGCAUGUAGUGAACAUACGUUGAAUUAGAACAAAAUUUAAUAUAUAAGUGAAGGCAUGUGCAGUGAACAGACAUUGAAUUUAAAAUUGAUAGGGUAGUUAAGCUUCUGCCUUAGUUAUUCUUUGUCACUCACUUUUGGAAUUUAAUUCAUUCAUUUCAAAGUCACUCAUGUACUCUGUCUUACUUUAUUCACUCAUGUUUAGUAUGCACCAUUGAAUUUUUUUGUCAUAUAUUAUUCACUCAUCUACUACACUAAUGUUGAGAUUUGGGUAUCAUUUGUUUUCUCAUAUGUCAUGUUUUUAAGCCAAAUCUAAUAUAUAAAUGGAUCCAAAAACUCCUGAUGUAGCACAUUUAAUUUGUUCAAAUAUUGAUUCUUUUCCCUCUAUUCACUUCAGUUGUCGUGUUCUUCUUCGUUCUUUUUUCAACGGCAAAGCUGGACGAUCCAUGGAGCACAUGUUGUUGAGCCUUUUGCCACUACUGGUCUGGUCCAAUUCGAAGGAGUUGUUGGAGUACAAUCUUUAGGCCCUUUGGAGGAGCUGAAAAACCAGUCUCGACUCUGCUGACCUAGACAUAUUCCGAGAUAUGCUCCAGCUCCAUAACGAAUCGGACAUCAGCCCGGUUCACUACUCUCACUCUUUCCUGCUUUCAUUCUCAAUUUUUUUUUGGAAUUUUGCGCUGAAUUUCAUUUGGGUAAUUUGUGAAGUUUUGUUUUUUUUUCUUCUUUUGUUAGGCAGCUUUUGGUGUGCCUGCGAAUGUUGAUUCGGCGAUGCGUUUACAAUAACGUCAAGAGGGAAAAGAUUCAAAAGAUGUUCCCAGUGUAGCUAUUUUAUAAUUGAUGAGGCUGUUGGUGCUUUUGAUGCGGAAGUUUCAGCGAGAAUGACGGCGAGAUGCACACAAGGAUCAGGUUAGAGAUCUGUGUUGUUUGACAUUUCUGUGUAAACAUUUUUGAGUAUCAAAUAUAUCUCAAAUUUAGGGUGUCGGUUAUGGGCUACUAAAGCGGAAAGUUCUUUUGGCUCAUACAUUAAAGCGGCAUGUGCUUUUGGCUCAUACAUUUAAUUUGUUCAAAUAUUGAUUCUUUUCCCUCUAUUCACUUCAGUUGUCGUGUUCUUCUUCGUUCUUUUUUCAACGGCAAAGCUGGACGAUCCAUGGAGCACAUGUUGUUGAGCCUUUUGCCACUACUGGUCUGGUCCAAUUCGAAGGAGUUGUUGGAGUACAAUCUUUAGGCCCUUUGGAGGAGCUGAAAAACCAGUCUCGACUCUGCUGACCUAGACAUAUUCCGAGAUAUGCUCCAGCUCCAUAACGAAUCGGACAUCAGCCCGGUUCACUACUCUCACUCUUUCCUGCUUUCAUUCUCAAUUUUUUUUUGGAAUUUUGCGCUGAAUUUCAUUUGGGUAAUUUGUGAAGUUUUGUUUUUUUUUUCUUCUUUUGUUAGGCAGCUUUUGGUGUGCCUGCGAAUGUUGAUUCGGCGAUGCGUUUACAAUAACGUCAAGAGGGAAAAGAUUCAAAAGAUGUUCCCAGUGUAGCUAUUUUAUAAUUGAUGAGGCUGUUGGUGCUUUUGAUGCGGAAGUUUCAGCGAGAAUGACGGCGAGAUGCACACAAGGAUCAGGUUAGAGAUCUGUGUUGUUUGACAUUUCUGUGUAAACAUUUUUGAGUAUCAAAUAUAUCUCAAAUUUAGGGUGUCGGUUAUGGGCUACUAAAGCGGAAAGUUCUUUUGGCUCAUACAUUAAAGCGGCAUGUGCUUUUGGCUCAUUUCUUUACAAAAGUUGAAUAUUUGAAUCUGCUUAUUUAUGUUUUGAAAUGAGUGUGUUUGUUAUUCAUGUUUUGGGAAUGUUAAAUCUUUUUAAUUUUUUCGUUCCAGGACGAAAAUAUUUAACGAAAUGAAUUCUGACUAUAAAGUUAAUUGAAGCUCUGAAAAAUUUUGUGGUCGAAAAGGAUGACAGAUUACUAUAGUUUUUUUUCCUUCCUAUCCAAAAACUACCUUUGAUUUUCUUGAUUGUGCGUAUAUUUAAUAUUUGCUAUUAUAAUCGUUCCCAGUAUAAUAGCAGAACCUACUAGACGAGCAGGACCAAGUACCCGACCCUCUACAACAAAAUCAGCCUGCUCAGAAACCCUAGCUUGAAUGCGGUUCCAGAGCUCGACGACUGGGUCUACAAUGGCAACAAAGUCCGAGUCACCGAGCUUCAGCGCAUCAUUCACGACCUCCGAAAGUGGAAACGCUUCUCCCAAGCCCUCCAGGUUUCCAUCUUUCUUUCUUACCUUGCAAUUUGUGUUAUCCCCUGUUUGGUUGCUCAGAAAAUGAAAGAAAAUUGAAAGAAGAAUCAAAGUAAUUAAAUUUUAGUUAAAGAAAGUGAGUGAAUGAGGGAAUUAGGAUUUUUGUUAGUUUAUGUGUUUGUUUGUAUCAUAAGUAAUCGGAAUUUCCUCUGCUUUCAUAAUAAUGUGUUUUAGGUUGCAGAUUUCAGAAUGGAUGAAUCAGAAGGGGAUAUGCAUAUUUUCGCCGGUUGAGCAUGUCGUGCAACUGGAUUUGAUUGGGAAGGUAGAAUUUUGCACGAAUUGCUGUCAAAUAAAGCCAGUUUGAGCCUAUGGGUCGAAUCCUAUUGGACAUUGUUGCAUCAUGGAGCAUGUGAUUGUUGGGAAGUUUAAGCUGGGGAGGAAGAUUGGGAGUGGGUCUUUCAAAGAACUCUAUUUAGGUAUGGUAAUCAGUGCUUGAUAUCCUUUUUUCCUUAGAAAAUUAUUCAUUGUGUUAAUUUAAUGUGUUUUGUAAUGAAAUUGCUCUUCUGGUGUUAGGUGUAAAUGUACAUGGUGGGGAGGAGGUUGCUGUUAAGCUGGUAUGUGAUCGAUCGUCAAAUCUUAUAUUUAGUUCUGAUGUUUGGUUUAUGGCUAAAUGUUUGCAAGCAUUGUAUAGUUUUGUGCCUGAUUGUAAAUGGGCGGCUUCAUUAAUGUACUAGGGUAUGUUGAGUGUGAGCUUCUGGUAAUUCAUUAUGAUUUCAUGUGUGCUUCCAUAUAUAUUGAAAUUGUCCAGUUUGCUCAUGGAUGUUUCUGUAUGAUUUUGCAUGUCUCCCUUGAUAAAAGCUUGAGCAAAAUAUGCUUAUGAAAUCGAUAUGUGGUUUAGCUUUAUAAUUGUGCCUGCAUCUGUACUGCUUAUUUGCUACCCAUCUAAACAUAUAACUUUAUAUGAGAUAGCCCCCCAUUUGAAAAUGAGUGUUUUUAUGCGAUGUUUAUAUUUGUAGGCACUGGAAUUAGUGUCUUUUGUUUUUAUUUUGAUCUCAGUUACUCAAAACUGAAUUUUUUGUUGGUGUGAAUAUAUAUGUCAACAUUUAAUAUCAGCAUUUGGAGUGAAUCAAAUUCAUUUUAAAUUUUCUUAAAUUUAUUGAUUAUCAGAUGACAUAGUUAACAACUUCUGUGAUUUUAAAACACUUGGAGGUGAGAUUUACAUAAUUAAAUAGUCAAUUGAAAAAUUGAAAUGAGAUGUUAGUUUUACCUGACUGAUUUCUUUGUUGGGUUUAUUACUGCUCAAUGUUAAAACCCAAAAAUGGUUUUUUGGGCAAGUGGUGAUUGGCCCGCCUGUGUCAGGAAAGACCACUUACUGCAAUGGCAUGUCUGAGUAUAUCUAGCUCAUCCGAAGGUAAAAAAUUUCACUCUGAAUUCUGGGUUUUCAAGUUUUUCCAUGGCUUCAAUUUUGGUUUUUGAAUACAUCUGAAAUAUUUACAGUGGCAAUUUGUUGUUUUGGUGUGCAGGAAAGUUUUUGUGGUAAAUUUGGAUCAUGCAGCCGAUGCAUUGCCGUAUCCUUUUCGGGGUUUUAUUUUUUUCAUGUUUAUUGUUCGUAAUUUGUAGUGUUGCACUGCAUUCCAAUGUCGAAUAUUGAGGGUAAUAAAGUAGAGCUACUGGUUCAUCUUUCAUUUGAUCUUCUACUAAUUUCGAUUGAAUUCCACAAAUUUUUUUUAUUUGCUUAGUUUAAUUUGUUGUUGUUCAAUUGUUAUGAAGAUCUGUGAAUGUGUAUGAAUUAUUGGUUCUGAUUUUUGUUGAACAAUGUGAAGUUGCUUGGUGUUUUAAGUUCUUGAUCCAAAGAAAGUUGCGUUAUUUCGUAAUGACAUUGCCGUUUGUAGUGGUUGUUUGGAUUACUGUGUCAUUUUAUUUAUGCAACACUUAUAUGAUACCUUUCUUAUUGGCUGUAUGUAAAUCAUCAAUAUCUUAUGGAUUAAUAUGCUUACCAUUUCGUAUACAUAUGUUUUUUAUUCAUGUUAAAACUUUUUGUAUUAUUUUUGUGUUUGUCAUUGGCAGGUGAAUUUGUAAACAUUCAUAGUUAUCCAUAGGACCUUGAGGGAGUAUGCAAUUAGUAUUCAUAUAGAUGGUUAUUUGUGUUAACGAUGAAAGCAUAUGGUUUAGGUUUGUCCUCAAAAUUUAUGCUUAGUUGUAAUAAUGCUUUUGCUUAGUUGUUCAUGUAAAAAUGGAACAAUUUUUUUUUGUACAUAUGUCAUUUUAUAUUCGUUUAAUGUUUGAACUUAUGCUUAUGAACUUGGUUAUUGGUAGGGCUCUUCUAGAGGCAGUGUUGGCGUGUAGAUGAUGUGGAAGUAGGCGAUGAGGAGGAAAUGACAAAGGUGGAGGACCAAAAGGUCUUAUAGAAGAAGAAGAAGCUCAGAAGUCUGAUACACCAAACAACUCCAUCUGAAAGAGGAAGAAUCCAAGGGUAAACCCCUUCAAACUCUUCGAUUAUGGUGUUCUUUAGUCGAUUGCAAGACUAGAACUUGAAAAACUAACACAUGCAUAUAAUUUUUUUAUGAAGGAACUGCAGUCCAGUGGUUGUAUAAAACAAAAGGACAACGCAUGCUCUCUCUCUCAUAGUAGCUCUGUGUUCCUCUCCCCCCAAACCUAAUGGCUUCAUCCCAAUUCGGAGCCUGCUCGAAUCGGGACUUCUUGGAGAUUCGGAUCUCCAGGUGAGAUAAUUUUCCCCAAAUUGUAUUCAAUCUAUGUUGCUUCAUUUCAUUUUCCAUUUUAAUUUGGAAUUGUUGAUAUUUUAGGCGGGUAUUGCAUGUAUAACCACAACAAUUUUUGUGUUGGAUUGGGGUCAAAUUGUCCAGCUUUAUUAGCUAUUUGGUCGCCUUUGUAUUUGUAAUCUGAAUAAUAUGAAUUAGGGUUUUUCUGUUAGUGUCCAAUUGGUCAAGAAAGGAUGCUUCUUUUUUGUUAUCAUGCAUAUUUAAGCUGUAAACAUCUGAAAAACUGCUUAAUUGAAGUGAUAUUUCCAGUUUUUUAGCUCAGUUUCAGGUUUUGACCUUUGAAUUUGUUUACAUGUAUCCCAGCUGAAGCUAUGUACAUCGUAGUUUAAGGGGAUUUUGCUCAAAAUCUGGAGAGCUCUCUCGCUUUGCUCUCUAUGUAAACCCGAGAGAAAUUCCAUGGAAACAUCACGCCUGCAAACGAAGUUGCAGGCCUACACACAAGCAAACUCCAUCUGAAAGCCAAAGAAUCCAAAGGUAAAUCUCUUCAGCUUUCUUAGCUAUUUGGUCCUGUGUAUUUGUAAUCCGAAUAAUAUGAAUUAGGGUUUUUCUGUUAGUGUCCAAUUAGUGAAGAAAUGAUGCUUCUUUUUGUUAUCAUGCAUAUUUAAGCUGUAAACAUCUGAAAAAGCUGCUUAAUUGAAGUGAGAUUUCCAGUUUUUGAGCUCAAUUUCAUUUCUUAUAGACAAUUUUUUUUCAAGAUUUCUGGGUUUCUUUUUGCUGCUUCUUUGUUAAAUUACUCAUCUGGAAGUUAAAUUUUGUUCAAAUACCAAGUAUUGUUCUUCAAUUAAAGAUUUAUGGGUUUUUUUAUUGCUUCUUUUCUGUUAAAUUACUCAUCUAGAAGUUAAUUUUGUUCAAAAACUUACUGUUCUUCAAUUAAUCUUACAAGAAAGCAUAUGAGAAUGUGGCACAUUAGGUGUUCGAUGAAAUGUGUCUGAGAAUCUGUCAGUAUGAUAUAUUAUAAUUCUGAAUCUCCUCUUCAGCUCUGGCCACAGGUGCGCGAAGGCGACAUGAUCCUGGUCGACAGUUCGGAGCUCUGGCGAUUCUGACUAAGAAAGAGGUCAAUAACAACAAGGUAAUGGAAUUCAAUGUUUUGUGUUUGUUAUAGAGGCAUAUUUGCAACAGUAUAUCAGAUAAUAAUUCUAGAUAGUAUGUCCAGAUGGCAUAGAUUGUGUUUCAUGAUGCAUAUGGCUGAAGCGGUUUUGGCUACUUUUUUUAUUGCUCAUUAAAUUUUUUGCUGCCUUUGGCUGGUACAAAUAUAUAUAAGAAGUACUAUCCUUUUAUCAACUUUUACCAAGUCAAAUUUAGGAUCCAUUUGUACUCAUGCGCCAUUGGGGUAAAGUGCAUGUGCUUUUUUUUUCUGUUGUAUAUUUUCAUCUAGGGGAUAACGUUUUGUUGUUUGUUGGAAGGAAUAUUAAAACACAUCCACACCCUAUUUUGUCAUUGUUCUAAAGUAUCUCAUGCUGGUUUUAGAAUUCUCCCGACUUUCUAACUCAAAUAUGUGCCAAGAGAACCCAACUAAAGUGGUUCGCCGCUCCAUGUAUGAAGUAUUAGUGAAUUAUUUGUAAUUUUACAUAACCAAAAGAAAAUUUUUGCGUUGUAUGCAUACAUAUUGAAAUUUAUGUUAUAAAUUUUUUGAAAAGAAACAGAUGUAAAUUAGAAUCAUACUAAUAUAGGUAUGCUGUAUACAUAACUUUGAUAAUACCAUAAGUUCAGAAUUAAUCUUUAGUGUCAUUAAAAAAUUUAUGUAAAUUUAUAUACAUAAAUUUGAUAGCACCAUAAACUUGGGGUAUUGUUAUAUUUAGUACAGGCAAUAUGAUGCCGUUCAGGUGUUUUUAACUAAUAUCUGCAGUUUUUCAAUUCAUCUGGGGUAUUUGUGAUUUGAACGACACUAAAAAAUUUUAUGGGUUAUAGGAACUGCAGGUUAAAAAAAUGGGUCAAAUUCAGAGCUGCAUUCGUCUUCCCUCAAAAUAAGAAGAAAAUGCUUCCUCAACUACAUAUUUUGCAACCUCAGGUAUAUUUGUGUUCUAAAGGCUUUUACUUCCUCCGGUUUCUUCAGAGCUAUUAUUUUACCCAUAUAUGAUUUGUAAAGUGGAAGAUUGGAUUUCAUAUGUCUGAGUAUUUAGGGUUUUGCACAAUGCAAACUUGAGCUUUUGAUCCAAAUGGCUAGAACAGUGUACUCGACCAAUUUCAUAUCCUCUUGGGCUAAUGAGAGUAUAUUACUUGCCACUGGGGAAUUCACUUCAUAUAAGCCAUAGAGAGAGAGAGAGAGAGAGAGAGUCACAUUUUUGUUUUUUUUUUUUUGGAUUUGGUAACUGAAAUUUUAUAUGUGUGAACUACAUGUUUCUUCUGUUUCUUAAGGAAACAGAAAUUUUUUGGAAACCAUCUCUUUCUAAUCAAAGACAUUGUGCAAUGUGUUUAUAUGCCAACUCACUUGAAUGUAUAUAAAAGCAAAACAGCUUCACUUAUUGACCUCAAUUCACUCAUGUAUCCCUCUGUUUGUUCACGAUUGUGUUGAAUUUAUUCAAUUUAAAUAUAUUUUAUUCAUUUGAUUAUACCUGAAACAACAGGUUCCCGCAACAACGUGCGGGCAUAUUUUCUCGUUAUAUAUAUUACAAUGUGACUGGAAUUGUAGUACCCAACAUUUUGUUGUCCAUGAAGUGGCCAACUCGCCCUCUCUGAUAUUCUUUAGUCCGGUCCAUUUUGAGUUUAACCAAACUCAUUCUUUUAUAAGCAAUGUAUUGUGGGCAUCGUUGGAGCACGAGACAUUAUUUUAUAAUUCCUCUUUGGUUGAGCUAUUAAUGUCAUUGUUUAACAAUUUAGUGAUAUUUAUCUUUACUUGUAGAUGAGAGGUUUCAGGUUCGAAUCUCGGGAGUGAUGAUUUGUUGUAAAUAUACCAUAAAAGAAGAAGAAAAAAAAAAGCAAAUCAUCAUUUACCACAGUAGUAGAAAGGUGUUGAGCCCUUGUAUAUGAUGGCGUGAGUUUGAACGUAGUUGGUAACUAAUCUAACAUGUAAUCUAACAAAAUUUAUCAUUUGAUAAAAAAAAAUAUAAUACAAAAACACGAAAAUGCCCUUAAAGUCCAAAGUGCCCCCCUCUGCCCUGCCGCUUCCUGCAAGUUCUUUCCUCGCCCCUAUUUCCCUCACUUUCUCCCUAUCAGACGUUCGAAGACUCAAAACUGUUUUUAACUCUCUCCCUCUCUCUCACUCUCUCCUUCUCACUCUUAAAUGUCGCCCUUUCUCACUCAUACGCACGCUCAAUGAUCUCUGAAGCACCAAUUGCUCUUCGCUUUGGCUCUCUGCAUCUCACCAGAGGUAAAAUGCCCCAAAUUUAUUUAUUUAUUUUUUUACUUUUUCCUCUAAAUUUAAUUCAAUGAAUUUUUUGUGUACCCUUGCAGUAAUACAGGAAGAUUUUUGUAGUAUUUCUACUUGCUGGAUGAUACUGAAAUAAUUAUUGGGAGUUUGAAGAAUUUCUGGUUUGUAUGAUAUAUUUGCUAAAAGACCCAAAAUUUUGAAGCAGAGCGGCGGUAUUUGAUAAGAAAAUCAUCUGAUGAGUCAAUGGAGUCGUCAUCGCCUCCAAAGGAGAACGAAAAAAGCUCGAAACAAGCUUGCGUAGAAAUCAACUUGGAAGAUCUUGCUGUUGAUCCCGGGCUGCGCACUCGAAUUUGGGAUUAGCAUCCCAGUUCAAGUUCGAGAGUAAGUUCGAAGAGCAUAUAUACAAAAGGGUCCUUUUCAGAGUCGAGACCAUGACUUCCCCAGCAAGAAUACUAGUGAGGGACCGAGAAAGUUUAUAUCUGCUUGGUUUAUGAUUUUCCGACUUGGUUGGUAUUGUCUAUGUUGUUAUCUGUUUAAGCUAAAUACAGGAGAGCAAGCCGGCGGUGAUUGCUUGGUUAGUAAAGGGUUUUCGAAUUGGAAGAAGGAAAGGUUGCAGGGUCAUGUUGGAGGACGGAAUAGCGGCCUCAACCAAGCUUGGAGAACCUGUGAUGCUUUAUUAAAGCAACACCAAGCAUGAAUAUGAAGGUUCAAACAACGAAGGAGUUUUUCUUGGACUCUGGAACUUCCACUGUGGUCGUCAUGAGGAGUUAAAAGUUAUCACAUUGAGAAAUUCUCCCUUAAGUCUGAAGUUGACUUCACCUGAUACUCAGAAGGACAUCAUAACUACUUUUUCAGUGAAAUUAUCAAUGCAAUCGUUAAAGAUAUUGGUAGUUCGUACUUUUCCAUUCUUAUCGAUGAGCUUCAUGACAUGUCUUCAAUGAAGCAAUUGGCUAUUGUAAUACGUUUUGUGGAUAAAGGUCAACUGAUCGAGCCUUUUUUUUAUGUGUUGUACAAGCCACUGAUAAUACUGCUGACUCACUUAAGGUGGCUAUUGAUGAUUUCUUUUCUACCCAUGGAUUAAGCAUGUCAAAGCUAGGGGCAAGGUUAUGGUGGGACUAGUAAUAUGAUUGGUGAGUUGAAUAGUAUUAAGACACUUAUAAUGAAGGAGAAUGAGUGCAUUUUACGUUCGUUACUUUGCUCACGGCAGCGAGAGACACGAAAUGCCCACGCCCUCACGAAAGUACUGUCGGCGUUCUCCAACAAGGACGUAGUCGUCUUGCUUGAGGACGAGCGAGUGCUCCAGAUAACUGUUCGCCAUCCGAACCACCCACAAGAAAGGCUGCUUGCUGUUGGCCAGACCCCAUGCCAUUGCAGCUAGUUUUUUACUGUCCAUGAAUGCUGUGCUUCCUAGGCUUACAUAGAUGACAGAGUUGUGUGCUUGUUUAACGAGCCAUGACGUACAACUCUGGUCCUCUUUCAACAAGCUUGUAGACGGGGAUGGAACAGUUUUGUGCAGAGGACCGGUAGGAAAUAACGGAAUUUGGUACUCUUUUUGAAGCCGUGCCAGCGAUGAUUGUUCAAGGCCGUCCCGGUGUUCCAAAUGACGGCUGAAGAUGACCUUUGAAUCGUGUGCUUUCACUAGUAGUUGCAGUAAGCCGUCCAAAACUCUGCCAUCUUAAUGGUUGGAGUCCUGGUGCCAGUUCCAGCAUUAUAGAAUCUGUACACAGAAUGGUCAAGCAUCAGAGAUCUUAAGGUUAGUGCAGACAGUUGCAAAAGUUAUAAAAAUCAUAGAGUCAUCGAGUCUUUUUCCCUUAAAAAGGUUAAAAUCAAUCAAUUAAUUGAUCAAUUUGAUGCAUUUACAUCUCAUAGUUAUUGUGUCAAGACGGAAUUCGAAAAAUUUGAGAUGUCUGAUUGUUACCUUGAAUUGAAAAGUAACCAUCUUAUAGGAAUUACUUGGUAAGUCAUCGUGUUUGCUGCACUGCUAGUAGUCAAUAUAAUGCUAGGCAACCCUAGAUGAUUAGCCACCUCUACUGUACUCAUCAUAGAUGAUGCAUGAAAUCUUGGAGUGGGGACUUGCAGUUAGACAUUAAAGCCUAAUAUUGCAGCAAUAAAAUUGUGGGACGAGAUAUUUUUCUCUCAUAAGCCAUCGGAUAUCUCUAAGAAAUCGAAAUCAGGGUAGUUCGAAGGAAAGUUGAAGUUGGUGUGAGGGACUGUGAUGUAGAAGCCCUCGGAGUGAAAGAUAGCGCCCAGUUGAAGUAUUGGAGUUAUGUUCCCUUGGAAUGGGCAUGGAGCCAGCACUAAUCUGUGGCUUGUACGUUGUGUUUCCAUUGCCCUUAAGAUUUGUGUAGCUAAAAGGAGUACUUCACAUGGUGGACAUUAUGAAGGCUUAUGAUAUUCUGGAUUGGGAAUUUCUUUUAGACACUCUUUCAGAUUUCCAACUUCUAUGAUUAAUUGAAUUUGUUGUUGUGUGAAUAGUACUAAGUUUUUAGUUUCAGUUAACGGCAAGCUAGCGAGUUUUUUCUCCUAGUAAAAGGGGGCAAAGGCAAGGGGACGCUCUAGUUGCUACAACAUCCUAGUUUGCAAAUCGUUUGAAACAGAAAUCAAAACCGUUUGAAACCAAAUUGAACCGCAAUCAAAUGGUUUGGUUUUAUCUUGAUUGGUUUAAGCUUCAAAUUCACACCGAACCGAACUGGCAAAAAAUUCAGUUUCACUUUAAAACCGCACAGAACCAAACCGUGUCCAUCCCUGGUCUGCAUUGGAGGAAAACUGGGGAAAACCUCCCGGUAACCUCAACUCUGAUGGAGAAAAUGUAUUGGAGAUUGAAGAUUGUGAAUUUUUGUUUUUGUUGUUCUCCAUAAGAUUUCCAUUCAAAAUUUCUAUACGAUUUUUUGCCUUCUCUUGUAAUUUCACUAUGAUUACAUACCAUAAUUGAAUAGUACAAAUUAGUCCCGCCUGUUGCCUUGUGGGCUUCAAGUCCUUGGUGACCCUCCGACAGCCAAGGAAACGACAACCCACUUCUGAGAUCGGAAGCUAGCGUAUGGAGACGGCGUGUCGGAGAUUGUCUUGACGGUGGAUUCGAGCUGUGGCAUCUGAAUCUUCUUGAAACCGGUACCUGGCUGACUUGCAGAGCCACCAUCGCAAAGAAGAAGAAUCCGAAAAGCCCAAACCUUAUCUUUUUCUCCUAUAACGAUGUCGUUUUAGUGAAUUGCUUUUACGUUCUCAAACGUCCAUGUCAAAAUUCAAUUAAACCCAACAAUAUUCAUCACAAUUUACAUCAUUUCAUGGUAGAAACGUUGCAAUUAAAAUUGUGCAUAUUAUUGUAUAAAAAUAUCUCGAAAAAAAUUUAUUCUUUUGUUUUUGGUCAAAGAACUAAUUUCAUUAAAGAUAAAACAAAUUAAAGUAUCGUUUGCUAAAAACACACUAAAGUAAAAGUGCAGUCUUUUACAAAAGUAAAGUAAGGAAACAAGCCCCAAAAGUAAGGUAAAAUUUAUUCAUUUUGAUGUCGUUUAGUCAUGCAAAUUAAAUGAAUAUUUUUAAAAUAGUGGUGUUAUCAACACUUUUUUUUUUAGAAAAAUUAAUGAAAAAUGUUUGAAAACUUGAGUUUUUACGAAAAUGACAAAAUAAAGGGUAAAGUAAAUAGUACCAGAAUUGACUUUUUAGUGUAAAAAUAUAAUUUUUCGUUAAAGUGAAUAGUAUCAUGAGUUUUUGUUAAAGUUUUUUUUUUUUUACUUUAACACAUCUUUACUAAUUUCUAUCCUUUAAAAUAAUGUUUUUUUUUUGGGGGAAAACUUAAAAUAGUGUUUUUUAGCCAAAUUAGAACUGCAUAAGUAAACCUAAUACAUCAAAUUAACAAUGCAAUUGCUAUAACUUUACUUUUUGCAUAUCUCAAAACAUUCAACGCACACAUUAAAAUCCCACGUGACUCACUCAUAAGGCGAGGUUGAGAAGACUCGCUAGACACGUAGCUUGCCACUUCAAGAGUAAUUGCAAUGUUUGAGUCCCACUAAAAUAAAAUAAACAAUAAAACUCGAAAUUAAAAUUAAAUUUCUCCCUAUUCCAACCUUCUCUCUCCGAUAAAAUGCAAAUGCCUUUAACUUAUCAUUCUAAUUGCACAAUGUAAAAGAUAAUAUCGAAUGUAAAGAUUUACAUUUUUUUACAGUGCGAUAUUAUACACUAGUUUAAUUAUAUAGAGCAUCCAAUUCGACAUUACAUGUGAUAUUAAGUCUGAUUCUACAGAAGAAAAAUCUCACAGCGGGACAAAUUUUUAAAAGCCACAGAUACUUUAAAUAAACAAUGAAGUCUUUAUGUAUUGUGUGAUGUAUUAGUGGUGGUUUUUAUCAUUCAAGCAAUAAUGAUCCACUAGCCUCCAUGCGCGCUCAUGCACGUGCAUAAAGUAUCACGGUAUGCUAUAUGAGAUUUACACGUUUUAAAUGUAUUUAUAUGCGUAAAUUGAUAAAAAGAAAGUCAAAUAUUUGAGAUAAAUGAAUAAUUUUAAAUCAUGCUAGAAGAAACCCCUCAUAAACCAAUUAAAGCUGAAUCUACAUAAUAUUUAAUAAAUAACUUAUUGAAUCACAUUAUUGCUAGCUCAUUGUGAGGCUAAGCACACCCUCUCCCUUUCAUUUAGAUAAUCUUGUUUGUUUAAAAAAAUCAUUUUACAACUAAUUUGAUCACAUUAUUAUUCACGUGUGAAAGACUUUUUUUAUAACUGGCAUUACACGCCUCUUUAGAUGUUUUGAACGUGUUUAAAAAUAUAGAAAAGAAUAUUGAAUGAACAACUGAUUGAAUCACAUUAUUGCUAGCCUAUUGUGAGGUACUUAUUAAAAAAAACAGUACAAAAAAUUAAUUAUUAAAAAAACACUACUAAAAUGAUGAAAAUACCAUGCCACAUUUGAUGUCUUAUUUUGGGUUGCUUUUGAAGUUUUUUGUUUGAGGGGCAUUUUUGUCCAAUUAUUUUUUGUUGAAGCUUGUGACACCAAAAAAACAGUAUUCACUUUAUUGUUGGCUUUUUAUGUAGAUACUUUUAAGUUUUAUACGUAGUAUACUCACGUGAGCUGGUUAGAUUAGUCAUAAAUGGGUGAUUAGCCACUAACAGAUUUGGACCUACGUCGUCAUGCAAUGCUUAACACCUUUCUACCAUUAUGAGAAAGUGGCUAAUCACACCGAUGAGUCAUUAGCCACCGACGGGUUCAGACUCACGACGUCAUGUAAGAGCUUAAUACCUUUUUGUUAUUAUGGUAAAGGACCACUACCACGCGAGCUGGUUGGAUAUAUACAGAAGGGUCCUUUCAGCCUUGAGACCAUGAAUUUCCCCAUUAGGCUUGGCGCCAGACAAAGGAAAAAUGGAAAGUAAAGAAGAGAGAAAAAUAAGAAAAGGAAAAGAAGGUGAUGGUGGAAUUGCCGGACAAAGAAAAAAUGGAAAGUAAAGAAGAGAGAAUAAAAAAGAAAAGGAAAAGAAGGUGAUGGUGGAAUUGCAGAAAGAAAUAAAGGAAAAGGAAAGAGGGAGUCCAUGUGAAGAAAAGGCAGAAGAAGAAAGAAAACAAAGAGAAAAAAAAAAAGAUGAAUGAGGAUCAUAGCCGUUAUUAGGAUUCUGGAAAUCCUUCAAUCACAUCUAUUCAAUUUAUAUUGUAUGGUCAGAACUUAUUGUAAAUUUUUUAUUUAAAAUUAAUAUAAAUAAUGUCUGACAAAAGCUAAUUGCAUAAUGUAUGAUAAACAAAUGUGAUUAGAGAAUUUAUAGAAUCCUUACAAAUAUGAUCCGACGGGGACCUCCUCUAAAAAAAGAUGGUGAAAGUUGAGACAGGAAAGAAAAAGAAAGAGGUAAAAGAAAGGGAAAAAAACAAUGGUGGUGUCUGGCAUGCAAAUACAGAAGUAGAAAAGUGAUGAGAUUGUGUAGAAAAAGUGGAAGAAAGAAAAAAAAAAGGAGUGGAAUGAAAGUGGGGAGUGUGGCUCUUUACCACAAUGAUGAAAAAGUUAUGCGUCUUUGUAUUUCUACGUGAAUUCAAAUCUAGUUGGCUCCUCCAAGGUUGUGUGUCCUUGCAUUUCGGCGUGAGUUUGAAACAUCAACCAAAUUAUGAAAUGAAUGAAAACAAGUAUGUAUUCCAUUAGAACCAACCUCUGGGUGAUCUUCCUUGUCAAAAUUCCAACACGCCAUUAACAGUCAUUAACUUAGUCAGCAUAUGUAAUGAAGAGCUGAAAAAGUGGUUGGGAUUCUUUACUAAAUCAGGUUUUUGUGACAAACAUAAGAUUGAAGUUCCUAACAUGAAUGACAUGUUUCAAACUGUAGGGAUAAAAUAACUUCGGCGGGGACAUAUAUGCAUCAUUAUCAUGUUGAGAUGUUUUGUAAUGUUAUUGAUAUGCAACUCCAAGAGCUAAAUAUUCAUUUCACUGAGACGAAUAUUGAGUUGCUUUUUUGUGCGACAUGUAUGAAUCCAAGCUAUAUUUAUUCUCUACUUUUGACAAACAAAAGUUGAUUCGUGGCUUGCUCAGUAUACUUGAAUGACUUUUCGGCACUUGACUUGAUGAUACUGUUUUUUUUUUAAGGGACUUUUUGGCACUUGAUGAUACUUGAAAAUCAGCUUAAGAUGCACAUUAUGGACAUGAGCUCUAACAUUGAGUUUUCAGGAUUGAAUGGGAUUGCGGAUCUUGCACAAAAAAUGGUUGAGACAAAAUAAGAAACUGUUUACCCAUUAGUUUACUUGUUGUUGACAUUGUCACUCAUGUUACCAGUUGCAUCUCUCAGUGUAGAGGGCGUUUUGUGCUAUGAGGAUUGUAAACAAUUGGUUACUCAAUCAAAUGGAAGAUCAAAGGACAUAUGAUUGUUGGAUUGCCUAUAUUGAGAAAGACAUUCUCGAAGGUAUCAAACAUGAUGUAACUAAGCAACGAUUUCAUAAUAUAAAAACUCGUCCAUGGCAAAUAUCAUUGUAACUAAUGGAUAUUAUCAAUCAAUGCUGAUUUGUUGUCCUAGAAUGGGCUUCAGUUUUAUUUUUCCUUAUAUAGUUAAAAUAUUGUUAGUAUAGAUAUGUGUCUUUGCAGGUUCGAGGAUGACCCCUUUAAUUUUAACAGGUUCGAGGAUGAUCGCUUGCUCAAGAAACAAUGACUGCAGAACAUUGGAGUUACAGGUGAGUGUUGAGAAGUAAUGUACUUGAAUGGAUGACCAUAGGCUGCAUUUUGCAGUUAGUAUUUGGCAUGAUAUGUCGUUUUGUAUCGGAAAAUUAUAGAGCUAUACAGUUGAACUGAAUUUCAAUUGAAUUUGUGCGUUUUACGUUGAUUAGUUUGCUCACGAUCUUCAUUCAACACUUGUAGAGAUGGCAAAGGAUCAUUCUGAAAUCUUUUGUCUCUUUAUUUCAGUUGCUAAUUUGGCAAAAUGAUGCACCAAGCCAAGGUUUGAACGAACUGAAUCCUUUGGUUAUCUAAUUUAUAUGCUGAAAUGAUGUACCAAACCAAACUGUAUAUUCUAAUUGGUGAGGUAACAUAAUAUGUCCUCCUUGUCAAUGAUAGCAUUCAACAUUCAAAUUCUCUAACAAGUUUGUGACAACCCAUUCUGACUUUAUCAAAUUUUAAUUUCGAAAGGUGAGAAUUGACUAAAAUGCCCCUGUUGGGUUCAGCUUAUACACGGACUUUUGAGCCAGUGCUUAAUUUGUCUCAUUUCUUAGUAUAUCGGGAUAGUAAUCGACGUUAUAAAUGCAUGAGUGCAAACUAGAUCCAAAUUGGAUUUGUAACAAAGAAACUACACUCGUUUAAUAAACGGGUAAAUAUGUACACAAAAUUGUAUGAAAUUCAUAUUUCUAGGUAAUCAAAACCUAAUAAUUUCACAAACCAAGUUUGGAAUAAAAAAAAAAAUUCUAAGGAAAAGAGAUUAAAAAUGGAAACUUUGAAUAUUAUUAAAAAAAAUGACAACUAACGAAAAGUUCAAAAAAAAUUCUCACUUAAUGAAAAACUCUUUUUAAAGGUAUAGUGAAUAGUGUCAAUUAAAUGUAAAAAUGUAAUUUUUCGUAAAAAAUAAACAGUACCUGAGUGUUUUGUUAAAACUCCCUUAAAAAAAACCCAACAAUUUUGUUCAAGAAAAAUAGAAAGAUAGGAAAAAAUCUUUACCUUCCAGAACAUUGAAGUGUGUUUGGAUCAAAUGAGAGAAUCAAAUUGUUAAAUUCAAAUAUCUAAGCGGAUCUGUGUGAAUUUUGUAAGUUAUUUACAAGUUGAGGUCGGUGCCGUUUCUUAUUGUUGGCGAAGUGAAUUUUGUAAGGGGAGGAGUCGCAGAAGGUGGGAUAGAGACGACGGAGGGGGACCUGGGUUCUCUGUGGAGGGAGGUAUGGAGCCGUUGCUGAUCUCGGUCUUCUUGGAUUCGGGUUCGUUGGGGAGUUUGGGUGUGGUGGGUGGGUGAAAAUGGAGGGUUUGAUUUCUGUGAAGACGUUGGUUCUGGAUGUGGUGGGUGGGUGAAAAUGGCGGUUUGGGGAGUUUGGGAGUGGGUUGUCGGGAGGAGAAGUGGGUGUGGGAUAUAGUUGGCCGGAGAAGAUAGAGGCGACAAGGUGGGUACUUUGAAGAAGAUGGAGGUGGGUGGGACGCGGAGGAGAGAAGAGGGGGAGAUCGAACUCUUCUUAUCGGAGGAAGACGAUUGGGCCCAGAUUUCUAAAUUUUUUAUUAUUUUUAUUAUUAUUCUAAUUUUUUUAAAUAUCCAUGUGGACAUAUUGACUCGUAGCCUUAUGUCAUUGUUCAUGCAGGUGUCAUGUCAUAAAUUAACGGUUAAUUUAACAGUAAUCCUAACGGAUAUAUGAAAAUAUUCUACAAUUAUGACUUCAUGUAUCACUUUGGGAUAAAAAAAAUUUGAUGUACUAAAUGUUGAAAACUAAGAAACGUAAAUUGAGAUUAACCCUUAAAUUAAUGUAAAAUAUCGUUUUAUGAGUGAGUCACGAGAGCAAAUCCCUCGUGAGAAUGUGUGCGUUGAAUGUAUUGAGAUAUGCAAAAAGUAAAAUUAUAGCAGUUGCAUUGUUAAUUUGAUGCAUUGAGUUUACUUAUGCAGUUUUAGUUUGGCUAAAAAAUAUUAUUUUGAAGGAUAAAAAUUAGCAAAAAUGUGUUAAAAGUAAAUAAAAAAAAUUGUUGAUAUCACCACUAUUUUAAAAUCAUUCAUUCAAUUUGCAUGACUAAACGAUCUCAAAAUAAAUAAAUUUUACUUUACUUAGACUUGUUUCCUUACUUUACUUUUGGAAAAGACCGCACUUUCACUUUAGUGUGCUUUUGGCAAACGAUACUUUAACGUGUUUUGUCUUUAAUGAGACUAGUUGUUUGAUCGAAAACAAAAGAAUAAAUUUUAGAGAUAUUUUUACACAAUAAUAAAAAAAAUGCGCAACUCUAAUUGCGAUGCUUCUACCGUGAAAUGAAGUUGUAAUGCCGUGUGAGAGUGAGGAUGGCUCGAGCCAUGUAUUGUCAUUUGAAAAUUUGGAGUUCGUAAGCAAUGCAUCUAUUACUUUUUCACUUUAUCUGUGACAUCCCACAUCGCUUAAAUAUAUAUUUUCAUCUCUACCUAGUACGAGGCAUUUUGGGAACUCACUCGGAAUCCGAAGUUAAGCGAGUAGCACACGAGAGCAUUCCCAUGAUGGGUGACCCAUUGGGAAGUUGCUCGUGAGGUCCCAAAAACAAAACCGUGAGGGAAUGGUAAGCCCAAAGCGGACAAUAUCGUGCUACGGUGGUGGAGCGGGGCCAGGAAGUGAUCCGUCCCGAGCCGGAAUGUGACAAAUGGUAUCAGAGCCAAUCCCUACCCAGAAGUGUGCCGACGAGGACGUCGGGCCCCUAAGGGGGUGGAUUGUGACAUCCCAUCGCUCAGGAGAGUGAUCCUUAAAUGUAUAUUCUCAUACCUAAUAGCAUGAGGCAUUUUGGAAGCUUACUGGUUUUAGGUUCUAUCGGAACUUCGAAGUUAAGCGAGUAGCGCGCGAGAGCAAUCACAUGAUGGGUGACCCACUGAGAAAUUGCUCGUGAGUUUCCAAAAACAAAACCGUGAGGGAAUGGUAAGCCCAAAAUUGACAAUAUCGUGCUACGAUGGUAGAGCGGACUUGAGAAGUGAUUCACCCUGGACCGGGAUGUGACAUUAUCUAUUUCUUAUUAAAGAGAAUACAAAAUGACAAAACUGAUCUUGUUGGGUUUAAUGAAAUUUUACAUAGAAGUUUGAGCCAGUACUUAAUUCGUCUCAUUUUUUUAUUGUAUUUAGAUAUUAUUUGUCAUUGUAUGAACGCAUAAACACAAACUAGAUCCAAAUCAAACUUGUAACGAUUUAAAGUAUUGGCUUUUAAAAAUUUGUCCCGUAGUGAGAUUUUUCUUCCGUUAGAUCAGGCUUUUGCUUUACGGAAAGUCACCCCACCUAUCAAUUGCACUAUGCUUUUUCUCUCUUUCUCUCAGUGUUCUCCUCCCACUCUGUAACAUCUCUCUCACUCACUCAACCCUCUCUUUCUCCCUCUCAAACUCUCCCGUCCUCUCUUCUCUCUGUAACGCAGCGAAAGUCACCAAACCUCGACGAAUCAACGCUCAAACCACCACCACGUCCACCCUCUUGACCUCGCGAGCUCGAACCCGAACUCCGUUUCGUAGGAAACAGAGCCUAGAGGCUCUAGCUCGAAGCUCCGACGAGAAAGAAACUUCCCGACGAAGUUCCCGACACUUUUCCGACCACUCCAUACCGUUUUCGAAGAGUUGGAAGCCACCACACAACUCCCUAACAUCCAUGGGUCAAGUUUGAGGUAAUCCCCAACUCAAAAACCCACGGUUUCGAAGCUUUGGGUUUUUGGGCGAGACUUUCAGGCCAAUUUCAGUACAUUUACGUCUGCUUUUUGGAGUUCCAAGAGGUAUAAACUUGUUCCUUGUGCUUCAUUUCCAUAUAAAGAACGUAAAAAAUGGUUGAGAAAUGAGCAAGUUAUGGCCCUUUGAAAUUGUCCACAGUUUCCGUCGAUUUCAGGGACCUUCCGGCCUGUUUCUGGCUAAAUGACGGCGAGUUAGCCGUUGCUAUGGGUACCAAUCUGUUCGUCUCAUUCCGAGGCAUCAUUUCCAUUCUGAAUCACUCAAUUUGGUUGAGAUAUGUGGAAGUUAUGAUGAUUUAAAAAUGUCCCAGAAAACCGACGUGAAACUGCAUAAUCCGGUGACCCGCGACCGGAACCUGGUAAAAAGUAAAUGCAAAAAACGCAGUUCUAAAACAACUAAACACAUAAUUGCAUAUCAUUCCUAAAACACAGAGAAAUUUGUGAGAGUGGCCUAAAUAGAAAGAAAUGGAUAUGAAAUGAAGUUCCUUUUGAAACAUUGGUCCUGUGGGGUUUAAAAAGAACACGGGUGUUCUUUCGUCGAGUGCUACCACUCUCAUCAUUAACAUUGUCACUCUAGACAUUAUCACAAUUCUCAACGCAAAGUAAAGCCUUGUAGAAUUCCUUGGAUGUCGUACAUGGUGUAGAUGCUGCCAAGAAACAAAACUGCUUGCGGAUAUGUUAUUUGAACUGGUGGAGCCUUCUUGAAUAGUUGGUAUCGAUUGUUGGACAAUAGCAGGACAAUUCGUUGAACUUCCGAUGGUACUUAGCUACUGAUAUUUUGCCUUGUGUAGGUCCAUGAACUCGUCUUUUUUUUCUUUCCCGGGUCUUAUACUCCGCAUGUGUAAGAUUAUCUUACAUUGCCGGCCCCAAGCCCGGAUAAAGAAGGAGGGGGAGGGCGUUAGGUAGUUGAUAGCCGGUACUCCUAUUUUACGUCGAACCUUAUGAUAAUGAAUCCUGAAUGAAAUUGCUCUAAAGCUAGGUCGUCACUCGUAAGUGGUGCGUUGUGUCCCGAGCACAGUGAUAAGUGAGCAAGGGUCGCUGUAUCUCCACUGGUGCCCGGAUGCAGUGUUAAAUGAGCAAUAGAGCCAUAAUAACUCCUUUUUGAACGACUCCACUCAAAGUUGUUUGGAAGCAUCUGCUUCUAUCAACUUUGACCUUAUUAGACGGGGGAUGGUGAAGAAGCUAGGACAAGAGGGUAGAGUUCAAGCGAGUAGAAUGCGUUUAGGAACGUGGAACAUAGGAACCUUAACGGGAAAAUCUAUGGAAAUAGUGAAAGUUAUGGUGAGGAGAAGGAUAAGUAUUAUGUGCCUACAAGAAACUAUGUGGGUUGGUCUUAAGGCAAAGGAUCUUGAAAACUCAGGUUUUAAACUUUGGUCUUCGGGCAAAUAGAACAAGAAAUGAUGUUAGCAUUAUCGUGGGGUAGGAAAUAGAAUUAUGGCAAUCAAGAUUGUAAUAGGACAAGAACUCAUCAAUGUGAUUAGUGUGUACACACCUCAAGUAAGGUUGGAACGAGUUUGAAGGAGAAAUUUUGGGAAGAUCUUAGAAACUUGGUGCAAUGAAUCACUUAGACGGAGAAUGUAUUUAUAGGAGGAGAUUUAAAUGGACACGUGGGUAAGAGGAUAGGCCAUGGUUUUGGGAAGAGAAAUGAGGAUGAGGAAGUCAUCUUGGAUUUUGCAGUGGCAUACAAUCUCUUCUUAGCCAACACUUUCUUUAAGAAGAGAGAAGAACAUGUGGUAACCUACAAGAAUGAGUUAUCAAAAACACAAAUAGAUUUUCUUCUAACGAGGAAGGGGGAUCAUAUAACUUGUAGAAUUGCAAAGUUAUACCGGGAGAGUGUUUGGCUAAUCAACAUCGCUUGUUGGUGAUGGAUGUACAUAUCAAAAGAGAGAGUAAAAAGAACAAGACCUUGAAGUGUCCAAGGACUAGAAGGUGGAAUCUAAAAAGAGAAAGACAAGUCAUUUUCAAAGAGGAAAUAAUCACCCAAUGCGUGUGGAUAGAGAGGGGGAAUAUGGGCCCACAUAGAUAUUAAAAAUUACAUGUCCUUAGUUCACCCAAAUUGCAUAUCCCACAAACCAGAAGAUCCAAAACUUCAAACAUCAAGAAGCCGAAUUUCAUAUGUUAAUAUAGAAUAAAAUAAAGGAAAUUCUUACCUUCGAAUUAUCAGAGACAGAGGACUGCCACUACUGUUAUUGUGAGACAAAGGAGUGAAAUCAAUCAAUGAUUCAGUGGAACUUCUUCAGGGCAAAUUUUGUAAUUUUUAUUUUUUGGGAAAACAAAUAGUACAAGGAGUGAAAGGAAAAAGAACCUCAAAGGAGGAAGCAUCAAUGAAGCACAUAUGGAUUAAAAAAUUGGUUUUUCCUCCAAAACCCAGAUGGAAAUUCAAUAUUCAGAAGAGAAAAUCACCAAAAGGGAGAAAAAAUGAGGGUUUUUCUUAAUCCCCAAAUGGAGAAAAAGUUUUUUCUAAUAUUUUCUUAGUACCAAGAAUUUCGAGCCCGACCGGCGAGCGAGCAGUGUAAGCCCCCCCGAACCGUACUGCAUUGAAUUGGAGUGGCUGUGACUCGGCGUCAUGGAUCGGACCCACGUCCACCUCCCGAGUUGUAAAACGAGGAGGCCGAGAGCCAGCAGGAGCGCGGAAUGAUCCGACCGUUGAUCAACGAAGAAGAAGAAGAGGUUGAGGAAUAGGUCCACUAGUCGGGCUCGGCGGGGACGGAGUUGAGGAGGAGGGAGCACUGGGAGGCAGGGGUGGAAGGCAGGCCAGGUGAGGAGGAUGAGGGGCUUGGAUUUGGAGGGUUUGAAUUUGGGCGAUGGUGGUGAGGAAGGCGACUAUGAGGAAGACAAUAGGGUUUGGGAUUUUUCUUUUUUAUAAAUUUUUAUUAGCAUUUUUAUAUUUCUAUAUUUUAUUAAUAUUCAUGUCGGCCUAUAUUAACAUGUGGCGUCUAGUUAUUGUUCACAUAAGCGGCAUGUCAUCAGUUAAAAUAGAUUCUAAUGGAAAUCUAAACAGAUAUAUGAAAGUGUAACUUUAAGUACCAGAUUGGAACGAAAAAAACUUAAUGUAUGAAAUGUUGAAAACCAAGAAACUUCUAGAUAGUAAAUUGAGUUUAACCCUUUAAGCACACAAUUUUUUUUUUUUCAUAAAAUAAAAAUACAACCUAGAUUUAAACAGGACAAAAAUAUAUGAUUAUUAAUGUUGUGUUGGGGUGCUUCUUUGGUUUAGGCAUCAGAGCACUGAGCGCGGGACUUACAAAAGCCACCAACAAAGAGAAGCAUUCCAGCCGUAGUCCUUGAUUUCAGAAGGAAAUGGAAAUUAUAAUUGCAAUUGCCUCAAAAGUUGGAGAGUGCUUGGUCACACCAAUAGGAACAGAGUUUGGCUAUUUGAUUAAUUACCAUUCCAACCUGGAAAAUCUUAAGGGUGAGAUAAAAAAGCUUUUUGACAAGAAAGAUGGAGUGCAAGGAUUGGUAGAUGCUGCCCAAAGGAACAGUGAAAGUAUCAAACCUGAUGUUCAGAGUUGGCUAAAGAAUGUGAACAACAUGAUCCAGAAAGUGUUACAUUUUGAGGAUGAAAUUAACAAGAAAAGGCGAUGUAUGAAUCGAUGGAGCUUGAGUCGGAAAGCCUAUAAGAUUACACAACAUGUUCUUCAGCUCCAAAACGAAGGAACAUUUGAAAAUGUGGCCCAUCCUGCACCUCCACGAGGGAUAUGGUCAAAAUUCAAGAAAGGUUUCAAGGACUUUAAGUCCAGAACGGCAUACAUGAAUGAGGUGAUAGAGGGUUUGAAGAGGGAACAAGUACGAAUGAUCGGGAUUUGUGGAAUGGGGGGUGUGGGUAAAACGACAAUGGCGAAAGAAAUCAUCACAAGAUUGGCAAAACUGAACCUGUUUGAUAAUAUUGUAAUGGCAACUGUGUCUCAAAGUCCAAGUAUUAGCAAGAUCCAGUCGGAAAUUGCAGACCAAAUAGGUUUGGAAUUGAAGGAGGAAUCCGAGUCCGGAAGAGCAAUAAAGCUGCAUGGGAAACUCAUGGAAAUAAAGAUCCUGAUUGUAUUAGAUGAUGUCUGGACAUAGCUUGAUUUUGAGGCUAUAGGACUCCCUUCUGGAGAUGCUCACAAGGGGUGCAAAGUUUUGUUGACAUCACGAGAUUGGGAAGUCUGCAACAGGAUGGGAAGUCAACCAAUUAUUGAAGUCCCGACUUUAACAACAGAAGAAUCACAUGACCUCUUUAAAGAAAUGGUAGGUGAAUCCUUCGAUGAGCCUGAUUUACGUUCCAUUGCAAAAGAGGUCGUUUAUGAAUGUGGAGGUUUACCUAUAGUCAGAAUCACAGAGGAAAAUGAAGAAGAGGCGACAAAAUACAUGAUUUUGUUUCUAAAACUGAACACAUUUGAACUAGAAAACCUGCCUCGUCUCACAAGUCUUUGUCCAGAGGGAUUUACAUUUCUAUGGUCAUCCACAAAAAAUAUGUACGUACGAAAAUGUGGAUCAUUGAAGACAUUGGGUGCUGUAAUUCCACAAAGAAAGAAGUUGGAGAAUAACUUGAAGAAGGAUUCAACAAGUCAUGAUUUCAGCACUUCUCCAACACGUUCAUCAAAUUGGUGCCCUGCUGGAUGUGGAUGCGCACCAUAUUCAAGACCAAACGCCCACCGCCCCAUUGAAAUAUUGCCAUGUCCAAUUAACCUGGAGGUAAGCUUUUAAAUCAGGUUCAAUUAACCUCUAUAAGUACAACUUUUAAUUAGUAUUGUAUCAUCUUGUUGAUCGUGUUUAAUUUCCUAGGUUACACCAACUAAUCUUGAGGACUCAAAUGAUGAUGAUAAUCUCGCAAAUCUUCGUGUCCAUGACUGUGCAUCAUUGGAAGUGAUUUUCCAACUAAAGGGGCCGAAGCAUGAAGAAAGUAGUCACUCCGUUGAAGCAUUCAAUAAAUUGAGGUCCUUGCGGUUAGAUAUUUUGCCAAGUUUAACGCGUGUUUGGGAGACGGGUAGUUCACAACCGAUGUUGACAGGAAGCAGCUUCGGAAACUUGAAAUCGCUGCGGGUCUUUGAUUGCGACCAGUUGAAAUACUUGUUUUCAUCGUCCAUUGUCAAACUUCUCGUGAGUAUGGAGGACAUAAAAGUUCAGAAGUGUGAGCAGAUGGAAGAAAUCGUUGCCGCAGAAGAAGAAACUGAUGAAACAAUUACAUUACCUAAAGUGAAGUCCAUCAAGCUUGAAAGUCUGCCAAAACUCAAGUAUUUUUGUGGUGAAGCUUAUACUUUGAAGUUGCCGUCUUUGGAGUUAUUGGAGGUUGAUGACGUGCAAAACUUAAGCCUAUUAGCUCCAAAGCUUAUUGCCACACAUCCCUGAUUGCAAGUAAACACCGCGUUGGGACUGGCUGAAUGGAAGGGGGACCUAAACGCCACUCUUACGGAAUAUUUACAUCACAAGGUAUGCUUUAAUAUAAGGUUUCUAAUUUUCAAUCGCUUAUGCGUGCAUGUUUAAAGAUGUUUUUUUUUUUCAACAUCUCUCUUUUAAAUCUUGAUGUAUACGUGGAAUUUCUGAAGUUUUUACAAAAGACUAUAUAAUAGCAUUAUAUUAAUGUAUAUGUGUGUGUGUAUGCGAGUAUGUGCACACUAAAGUGUAUUUAAAUAUAUAUAUAUAUAUAUAUAUAUAUAUAUAUAUAUAUAUAUAUAUAUAUAAUUUUAGAAAACUCAAUUAUAUCUCAAGAAAACAUCGUCUUUUAUUUCUAAUACAGUACGGAUGAAGAUAACGAAAUCGAUGGCAAGGAUGACGAUGACAAAAUCGACGGCAAGGAUGAAGAUGACGAAACCAACAGGGAGGACGAACACAGUUGAUUGAUCAAGCACAAAGGUUAGCAUGUUUCCAUCUCCAACUUCUUCUAGGUUUAGUAAAAACUUAUGAAAAUUAUAUAUAUAGUACUCAAAAAAGUAUUCUACCAUGUUUUAUAAUAUAUACAUACAUGUAUAGCACUUGAAAAAUUGAACAGUUUGGAUCUAAAACCACAAUCUGCUACCUGAUUCAUUUUUUCGAGGUACCUAAUAGCAGUUAAGGUGUGAGGAAGAAGCUUUUUAGAUUACCAACUGCCUCAAGAGAAACCUUUAUCAGAAACACAUAUACAAUAAACAUAACCGUAGUGCUAAGUGGCCUAAAAAUUAAUUUAUCCUUAAACCGCUAUUUUUGGAAACACAUAUACAAUAAGCAUAACCGUUUGAUUUCUAAUAUUCUCCAAUGCAUGCAGGAAAAGAGUUUAAAGAACGUUGUGGCUCCAGCAAUUCGUUUACCAUAUCAUAUGCACAAACCAAUAAAAGGACAUUUGUUGCACCAGAAUUUCAUUCCAAAAAUACUAUUUAUGUUGCUUAUUUUAUGUACCAUAAAUUUCGAUUGCGAUUAUUACUGUUUGUUUCUAAAUUCGCAUCAUUAGUAUUUGCUUAUUUGUGCUCGAGGUUGAUUAUACACGUGUAAGCUGAAUCACAUGUUUGUAGAAUGGACAAGCUGAAUAAAAUCUGUUUGCCCCCUAAAUGUAAUGGAAAUCAUAUGUAUCUAGGCAUGCUUAAUAUUUGAUAAAGAAAAACAUUUCUCAAAUAAAUGUCCACUCACACCUCCGGCAAGCUCGCCCUUGAGGAGCCUUGUCUACCAAAUAGGUAAACAUCUACUGGACAGCAGGCGAUUCAAAACCAUAGCAAACUGCUGAAUACAACUAGAGUAAACAAGGAAUCAGGCUAUGCAAUUGCCAUCAUCAUAACAUGAUUUUGGCCCCCAUCUUCUAAUUUCCUACCACAUUUUCACAUUCUUUCCAUGAAUUUUAUGAUUCCUAUGCAACAGAGUUCAUUCAUCGCCUAUUCACAACAAUACAAGGUUCUACAGAGUUCAAUCCCACACCAUGUUAUAGACAUGCUUCAACUAUCAACCGGGAACGUAAUCGUUAGGGGUUUCAACAAUUUCACAGAUACAACAAUUACUAUAAGUCUCAUCUCCAACAUUCAUACAGAAAAUCGAAUAAAAUUCGAAAUCAAGAAUCAAACCCAAAACUGAAAGUUGAAAAUUUGGAAAAAGAACUUACAUUGGAGAACAGCCCACGAGAAGAGUAUCAUUUCUACCUCUUGGGUCGAGGUCCAAUUCCCGCGAUAUUGGCCGGAAACCCCUGGGUCACCGUUUCUUAGAUUUGAAGUUGAGGAAAAUCGCCUACGAAAUUAUAGAAACUAACUUGGGGGAUUGGAUAAGGGACGGCAAGAGCAUUCUGGAUGUGUAGUUUGAGAGCUUUUGGUGACCAGUGGACGACAGAGCUGUUGCGUCGGCACUCGGCAGUCUUCGGCUUGCUGUUAAAUGGGGCUCCAGGAGUCGCAGCGCAAAAGAGAAGGAGGAGAGAGGAUACGGGAGGAGGAGAGAAAAUGGGUUUCUCCCACCUUUUACAUUAAUUCUUUUCCACAUUUUUUAAUGUAAUAAACGAUAAUAUAUAUCAUCAAAAGCGUGUUUGGUACGUGAGAUGAGAAUGAACGUGUUUUAAUGAUAAUAAUGACUAGAAGUAAUAUAGUUAAAAUUCGUUUUUGGUGAUAAUCGAAUAUCAGAUUUCUUAUCUACAAGUUACAAAUAAAAAUGAAUAUCAUUAUUUUUUUUUCACUUUUAAUACACACGUAAAUAAAAAGAAACAAAAUGAAAAUGAAAAGAAAUAAAAUAAUUUGAAAUAGAAAUGAAAAAUAAAGGUAAAUUGACAACAUAAGGUAAUCAGCCAUGGUAAUACAAAAUUAUUAUACUAUCCUUAAACAUUGUAGUGCCAUGGAAUCUUCAUUUUAGCUCUGAAUUUCCUUCUGCAUACGCUCACGCGUUCAUAUUGAUGAGCACUACGAGAAAAUAUUAAGAUGAUAGGUCAUACUCAUACGUUCGUUUUUGUUGAGAAUUUUUUUGAAGGAUUUUGCAAUAUGGCAGCCAUGAUUUGCAAAGCCCACCAUCGUAGAACUCGAUAUCGGCCUGACUUGUGGAGCCACCAUCGCAAAGAAGAACCUGGAAAGCUCAAUCCUUGUCUUUUUCUUAUAUAAGUGUCAUUUUGGUGAACCAAAUGUUCCGAUUCCAACAUCCAAAAUACCACAAUGUGAUUUUUUUCAUACUACAAUUGGAUUGCAUCUUAAAAUUAUGAAGUCUUGGAGCAUUGGUCAUGCCAUCAUGCUGAUUUGUGUUGGAUUUCGUUAGAGAUCGUAAUUAAUCAAUCACCCUUUUUGUGUCUCCCUUCAAAAGCUCAAAUUGAAAUCUGAACUCCCUAGCAAAUAAGAGCCCAAUUUGACAACCAAAAUCUUCAUCGUUCGAGCAUCAAUGUUCUCUUAAAUUCACUACGAGCAAACCGCCAUGAAAUCUCCUUCAUGGACAUCUCAUAAAAUUAGAACGAUACAAAGAAGAUUAGUGUGACUCCUAAGCUAGGAUUACACGUAUGAAUCGUAAAAUAGUUCCUCCUCCGCUCUUUGAUUCUCUCUUUCACUGGCUAACAAUAUUUUGCUCUACCUUUUCACCCUAAGUAAGAAAUGAGCAUUUUGUUAGCAUCUUUUUGAAAAUUCAAAUUUGAUCCUAAUAUAUCUCUUUUGCACUAUUUGACUGAACAACAAAUUUUGAUUGUCUAAAUAUUUAUAUCAAACUACAAAUAAUAUUGAUAUUAUAUAUUUAUAAUGUGACUGAAAUUGUAGUACCCAACAUAUCUAUCUUGAAAUAAAUUUUGUUGUCUAUGAAGUGGCCAACUCGACCCUCUCCUAUACUCUUUGAGUUUGUAUAAAUAUAUCAUUGUUUAACAAUUGACAUUCAGUACUGUGAUUUAGUGAUAUUCAUUAUCAUGUUCGAAUCUUAGGAGUAACGAGUUUGUGUAAAUAUAUCAUUGUAUUAAAGAAAAACAAAAAAAUAAAAAAUAAAACAAAAUAUUUUUUUUUUUGGUCGGACAAAAACACGAAAAUGCCCUUAAAGCCCAAAGUGACCCCACUACCCUGCCGCUGCCUGCAAGUUCCUUCCUCGCCCCUGUUUCUACGUCCAAUUAAUUAAUUUGGAGGUAAGCUUUUAAAUCAGGUUCAAUUAACCUCUAUAAGUACAUCUUUUAAUUAGUAUUGUAUCAUCUUGUUGAUCGUGUUUAAUUUUCUAGGUUGCACAACCUAAUCUUGAGGACUCAAAUGAUGAUGAUAAUCUCGAAAAUCUUACUCUAAUUAACUGUAAUUCGAUGGAAGUGAUUUUUCAACUAAAGGGACCGGAGCAUGAAGAAAGUAGUCAAUCCGUUGAAGCAUUCAAUAAAUUGAGGUCCUUGCGGUUAGAUAUAUUGCCAAGUUUAACGCGUGUUUGGGAGACGGGUAGUUCACAACCGAUGUUCACAGGAAGCAGCUUCGGAAACUUGAAAUCGCUGCGGCUCGUUGCACCGAUGAAAUAAUUACAUUACCUAAAGUGAAGUCCAUCAAUCUUAAAUGUCGGCCAAAACUCAAGUAUUUUUAUGGUGAAACUUAUACUUUCAAGUUGCCGUCUUUGGAGUUAUUGGCGGUUACUGACGUGCAAAACUUAAGCCUAUUAGCUCCAAAGCUUAUUGCCACACAUCCCCGAUUGCAAGUACGCACCGCGUUGGGAGUGGCUGAAUGGAUGGGGGACCUCAAUGCCACUCUAGGGAAUAUUUACGUAAUCACUUAUGCGUGCAUAUGCGCACACUAAAAUAUGUUUUUUUUCUUUUUCCUUUUUGGAAACUCGAAUUAUAUCUCAAGAAAACAUCUCUCUUUUAUUUCUAAUACCGAGAAGAAUGAAGCUGACGGAAUUCUACUAGACACCAUAUAACGAGGAUGUUAACAAUCACAAAAGGUUGUGGCUUCGGCUAUUCGCUUACUUUCAUAUGUACAAACCAAUAAGAUGUCAGUUCGCCAAAAAAAAAAAAAACCAAUAAGAUGUCAUUUGUUGCACCAGAAUUUCAUUCUAAAGAUUCUGUUUCCGUUGCUUACUAUAUGUAUAAUUAAUUUCGAGUGCGAUUAUUACUGUUUGAAUUCAUCUCUCGACUGCCUAUGGGGACGUCAAGGUGGACACCAAAAUGGAGGUGUGAUGACCUGCAUCUGGAAAGUGACGUAACCAUAACGUGCAUGCAAAUAUAAUUUAAUAAAAUAACUUCAAAUGAUCUACUGAAAAAUCGGCACAGUUUCCUUUGGAAUUAGGUUUUGGCACCCAAAUUUAAAACCUGCUGAAAAGUUAUAAUUAUUUCAAAACCACAUCCCCGACACCUAAUGGGUUAUCAACCCUCCACUACAUGCACGUAUACUCCAAUAUACUUACUGGUGGUAUAGCAUACAAUUUCAUACACUAGUCAUAGUUAGUGUAAGGUUACACACACAUGAUACAUGCUAGUGUAAACUGAAGAUAAAACCAUACAUUAGAUGUAGCUAGUGUAAGCUGAAAAAUAUAAUCAUACACUAGCCGUAGCCAGUGUAAGCUGAAUGGGCAUGCUCACAGUAGGGACAAGAUGACUAUACUGUAGUAUAAAUCAUACACGUGUAAGCUGAAUAACAUGUCCGUAGCAUGGACAAGUUGAAUAUUCUUUAAUAUUAACCAUACACAUGCGGAAUGACAUGUUUGUAGUAUGGACAAGCUGAAUAUACUGUAAUAUUGACUAUACACGUGUAAGCUAAAUAAUAUUAUCAAACACUGGUUAUGGCUAGCUAGUGUAAGCUGAAUAUGUUCAUACACUGUAAGGUCUGGUAUUAAUUCAUAAAAUCUAUUCUUCCCCUAAACGUAAUGGAAAUCAUAUGUAUCUAGGCAUGCUUAAUAUUUGAUAAAGAAAAACAUUUCUGAAAUAAAUGUCCACUGACAGCUCCGGCUAGCUCUCCCCCUUGAGGAGCCUUGUCUACCAAAAAGGCAAUUUCAAGCAACUUCAAGAGAUAAUUUGACCACGUUGCGGAAGUAUGACACCAAACGGUUGAGACCCAGAAGACAUCCAAGAGUUUUUGGAGAAACAGAACGCUCACUGAAGAUAUGUGUUCUAUUUCUAUAGCACGCUUACCCCAAACAAAACACAGGUUAUGGAAAGGAAAAUAACAUUAAGAAAUGCAAAAGAUUGGGGAGAUGCUAAAGAACUCAUCUCCGGUCCUGGAAAUAAUGCAUACAAUAUUGCUCUACCAAUUAAACCAAAUCUUAUGACUCUAGUGACAAGCUAGAAAGCCACAAAAACCCCAAGCCUUGCAGGGAACCCAAAACCAAAGCAAACUACCGAAAUGAACCCGAUUCGAGCCAAGAAAUGACAAUUGCUUAUGUAAAAAUAAAUUAAUCAAAUUAAACAAGGAAAACUUUACACUACUCAAACAAGAAAUGACAAACCCGAUUCUAGUUGAAUACAACUAGAAUAAACAAGGAAUCAGGCUAUGCAAUUUCCUACCACAUUUUCACAUCAACGUGAUUGUUAGGGGUUUCAACAACUUCACAGAAUUACCACAAAUCUCAUCUCCGGCAUUCAGACAGAAAAAUCGAAUAAAAGUUCGAAAUCAAGAAUCGAUCCCAAAACUGAAAGUUGAAAUUUUGGAAAAAGAACUUACAUCAGAGGACAUUCCACGGUGAGCCUGCAUAAAUGAACCAAUUAAACAAAGAAAUGAAAACCGAAUAACUCGGAAGCUAAAGUAUCACAGAUAGAAAAUUGCAUAUACCUAACUAAAAAUGCACAACCUAAUGAGAUGUGGUAGUUUAAGUGUAUAACACAAGGGUGAGAAGUACUCUAGUGCUCACACACUGAAGCCACAAGACUACCAAAUAAUGUAGCUUUAGAAAUAUCAUUCGUUGUUUUGCACACAAUCAUACAUGCUCAUCAGAACAUAGUAUGAUCUCCAACGGAAAUAGAAGUGACACAGGUGAAAGUCAAAAUAAACAAACAAAUAAUAGUGUACGAGAAGGCCCUAAAGAAUUGCUCUAACUAAGAGACAAGCUUAAAUUAGAGUAAAUUGUAGCUAUGGUCCCUUAACUUUAACUCAAUUGGAGCAAUGGUCCCUCAACUCAUCAAAACAUGCAGCUAUGGUCCCUUAACUAAAAAUCCAUUACCAUUGGUCCCUCAACUCAUCAAAGCGUGCAGUUAUGGUCCCUCAACUAAAAAUUCAUUACCAUUGGUCUCUCAACUUUAAUUCAAUUGGAGAAAUGGUCCCUUAGCUUUAACCCAAUUGUAGCAAUGGUCCUUCCAACCAAGGUCUAAAAUAUCGAUGAUAUCCUGAUAUUUCCAUCGAAAUUUUCGUGUUUUUGGACUACCGAUAUUUCCGAUAUCAUCGAUAUUUUAGACCUUGAUAAGAACUCUAUGUGGUACUAAAUUACUCAUAUAUCUUACCAUGCAAUGUAUAAAGUGUAAAAUAUUGUACUAAUUCAUUAUAUAUAAAUGAUUAUGGUGUGUUUAAACUUGUUUCAUUAAUUACUACAUAUUUUCUACACUCACAAUGUUUGCCAGCUCGCUAUAUAAUCAACUUAAAUCAAUUAAAUCCAUCAUGCAAUGCAUUUCCUUCCAAUUUUUUGUGAUAAACUAAUAGAUAAUUGACUAAAUAAACAUCCUGCAAAGUUUCAAUAAAAAUUUCCAAGUUUUUCUUACAAUUUCCGUGGUUUUUAUUCAAUUUUUAUCGAUAUCGAUAAUAUCUCGAUAUUUCCAUCGAAAUUUCCGUUUUUUACUGCCGAUAUUUCCGAUAUCAUCGAUAUUUUAGACCUUGCUUCCAACAUAACUCGUUUUGACAAAAUUUUUGACGUGAUUGACGAAAAGAACCAUAAUUACACUUUGAUAAGUUGAGGGACCCUAAUUAUAUAAAUGGUUAUUCCAACAUAACUUAUUUUGACAAAAUUUUGACGAAAUUAAUUAAAAGGACUAUAGCUACAUAUUUUGAUAAGUUGAGGGACCAAUGGUAAUGGAUUUUUAGUUGAGGGACCAUUGCUCCAAUUUGAUUACAGUUGAGGGACCAUUACUACAAUUUACUCCUUAAAUUAUAUAAUAAGCUUUGCACACACCCCACUUUCAAAAACUAGAUUAGUAUGCCGUGAUAUUUAACAAUGCCGUCAUAAACUUACUUGUUGAAUAACUCAACCCUGUAUUCCAUCUCCUUCUCUGCCAUACCAAAGAUUUGCACAAUUGUUUAAAACCAAAUUCAAGUCUUUCCAGAACACGCAGGAGAUUAUUUGAAAAACAAGAAUUUAGAACAAUAAUUCAAAACCAAAGAAAAGAAAGUCCAUCACUCAGAGUAAAAAUUAACCAUCUUGUUGCUUCCUAACUGUCUGGAAAUACCCACGUUUCAAUUUUACUAAUGUCGAAACACCACCAUCAUUGACCAAUUAGACAAAUAAGACCCAAUUCGAUUACGCCCAACUCACAGAAUACCCAGAUUCCCAACACCCAUUGAACAAUCUAACCAUGAAUUUCCAAAACUUUCCCCAAAAUCCAAUCUUGGGCAUGCAUUAAAUCCAAUCUAAAACUUGAAUUCGUUUUUGCAGAACAAAAGGUAAAAACUUUGGAACAAUGAAGCAAAAGGGUACUUACCUGUUCCUUGUCCAAAACCGUCGGCGCAUUGUGGGGGGCAGCCAUUAGAACCUGAACAAUUCGCAAAAUUAAUUUACAGACUUCUUCGAAACCGAAACAGUAUGAAGUAGCAGAGAGGGUUUAAGUAAUCUUACUCGGCGGAUGGAAUCGAACGCGCUGAGAGUGGUAGCUGUAAAUGCAGAGGGGUUUUAGGUGUCCGAUUUGAAGCCAAAGCAGGAGAAAAUGGAAAUCCCACUGAACUAUAAUGUACGAAUUAGGGUUUUAGGAGUUUGUAUAGCGUGUAUGUGCGAUGGACGGUUUUGUUUUGGGGGACUUUCAACCCGAAAAGUAGUGGAUUAUUGCCCCUUCUUUUCUCCUUCCACCACAAGUAGCGGAUAAUUUCACAAAGUCCUUACAUGGUGGACAGCCGUAUAUAUAUGUCCCUUUCUUUCUUAUUUUUUGGAUUCUUUUAUUUCUUUGCUUACUCAUAUUUCAUCGGUUGGCUCAAGUUCGGUUCACUAAAGUAGCGUGUUUCUUUGUUAUGUUAGAGUUUGAAUAUCCAUUCAAAUGAUUUAGAUUUCUUCGUGCAGACUAUCGUUUAAUUAAAAGAAAAACUCGUAUUAUGUUUACUUAUAGGAAAUGAAUAUUAGUCUCAUUGUAUAUUUGCUAACAACUAUGAAUUUGAGAGGAAAAAAAGUGAAUCCACAUUGAUUUUACAUUCUAAUACGUUCUCAUACAUGAAAAAUCAUAAGAUUAUUAUGGGGGUUGUUUAAACUCGUGGAAACGUGUUUUGAUGUUCACCCAAUAACAAUUGUUUGUUCUCGAUCCAUUUCAAGUUUUAACAAAUAGUUCGUUUAAGCAGUUAAGAGUUUUUUCUCGUGCUCUCAAAACUCGGCGUUACCUAGUGAACCAUAUAAUAUUCAAUAAUGACUUACCAUUUGAAUGGAUCGAAAAUUUCAAAUUGACGACAUUUGUGCCGGUAACCUGUGUAUUACAAGGAUCAUUGAGAAAAUACAUACUUUCACAUUGUGCCGGUAGCUUUCAUUAGCAAUGCUUCACAAUUUACAGGUACGAGGGCUUGACCAGCAUCUCCUCCGGAUCUUUCCACACUGGGGAGUCCUUAAGGGUGCGUUUGGUACGUGGGACGGGACGGGACGGAACGGGACGAGGCGUUCCGUCCCGCGUUUGGUACGCCAAAAAUGGGUGGAACGGGCUGUUCCACGGGACAGAUUUUGGGUGUUUUUGCGUUCCACGUCUGUGGAACACAAUGUUUUACCAUUUUAAGACAAAUAUACCCCAUGUCUUUUUCAAAAAUUACACCUUCGUUCCGUCCCGUCCCGUCCCGUUCCGUCCCGUCUCGUCCCAUCCCGUUCCGUCCCGUCUGCGUACCAAACGCACCCUUACUGUACAAAUAAGAUUCACAUGCGCAAAAUAUGUGCUAGACUACGCGCUGCAAAUGGAAACAAGUUGUCACCCCCAUUUAUCCAAAAAUAAUAUACUUGUUAUAGAUAUCCGUGUAGAAUAUUAUAUUACGAAGGGCGGAGAGCGUGUGUACGGCAAAGUAGGAACGGGUACAGCAACGUAGCAGCACAAGCAAGACGAUGAUUGGAACUGCAACUUACCCCCACACAUUCACAGAAGCCUUUUUCUUUCCCCUGCUGGUGUUCAUGAAAGCGCUUUGAAGUGAAAAAGCCAAGAAAUUACGAAGGCAAGGAUCAUGCAGGCAAGAAGGAAAGCCGCAUCAGUACUGCUAUUUGCCUCGUUUAUCUGGCCACUGGAAAUGUUGAAUGCAGUUACUCCACAGAUCUCGCAGGUUCUGCAAAUCAAAUAAAUAAAAUUAUGGAUAGGCAGAAAAUAACAUAUCAGUCAGACAAGACAAGUAAUUACAACCAUAACGCAACAUAAUGAAGAAACGUACCAUGAGGAUUUUGAACAAACAUAAUGAAGUGUAACCAACAGCAUACAAAUAUAAAAAAAUAUAGAAGAAAAUGCUAUACAAUCACUGUAAGUGAUUUCAAAGGCCAUCAAUCUUCUAUUUCUGUUUCUAGAAAUAAGUCACGUCGUCAAGAUGUCGUUCCAUUUGCUUACCAUGAUGAGUAAAAUGAAAUUUGAACUAGCUUGCUGUUCUUGCAUAUCUUCUCCUCAUCCUGGUUACCAAGCAAGUCAGUCUUGACCAAUCCAUCUAUGAUGUAUUGUAUUCUCAUGUGAUGCAGCUUAUCUAGAUUAUAUUUCCUGUAGCCUAAGUUUGGAUAUUUCCUUUGCAGAGGGUAUAGCGUGCAAGGUCCUAAGAACUUCACCAAAUUAUCAUCCUUCGAGUAUAGAAAAUCUCCCAAAUAUAUAAGCGAAAUAAACUUGUGACGGAAUCAAAGAAUGCAAAUGCUCAUCAUCAUUUACUAAUCCAUAUGCAUAAUGUAAACAUUUACAUCUUUAUUAGAAGCAUACAUAAAAAAUACAUGGCACACAAGAUAUCCACUUUUCAACAUAGGAGCUCAAUUCUUACAUACAGACACACUUCCUUUAGCUUGCAUUGGACCUCGCACUUUCCACUAAUGUAAAUGCCAUAGAAAGUGUGACUGUAAAAACUAUAAACGUAGAACGAUCGAUAUGUUUGAGUUCAGAUGGACUGUAAUAGUGGUGACUACAAGAUUUGUUCUUUUACUAGAUUUUCUCGUAUUUCAUAUGAGCAUACACAUUCUACUAUAUACGUGAUCUGCCUCAUUCAGCAUUCCAGUAAGAAGCAAAAUGAUAAGAACAAUUGUGACAAUUACAUCAAAAGAAAGAAGCUAAUUAGCAAGUAAUCAUUCGAAUAAGCUGAACUCACGGAAGCAGGAACCUAAACACUAUCAAGAUGGUCUCUGUUGUAGCAUGCCCAUAGUAAGAUCAUAGUUUGAAGUAUGUUAGGAUGCCACUUGUCAUCAUCUCAAUAUGACAAAUGUAAGGUUGAGAUGCUCUAGUAGUAGAUAAGAUGGUUAUAAGUUGUCGGAUGAUAGCUUACAGAGGAAGCUAAGUAGUUUACAUAUAAGGAAGUCGGUUGUAAUUGGGAGGGGGUCAUUGGAAUAAUCUCUGUGUAAUACAAGAAAGUACUAUGCAAUUGUGAAGAAGCCGAGCAAGGUUUUAACAUUGGUAUCAGCCAGUGUCGAUUCCUCUCAAUCCUUCAUUGUUGUAUGCCUCGCCGACCCCGGAACACCAUGGAAUCGCGAGUGUCGACUUUGGAAACCAUGCUCGCCGAUCUCAAAGAUGAGUUCAAGAACAGCCAAGAGAUGAUCAUGAUGCAGCUGCAAUCAUGAUGCAGAUGGAUGCAUUAUUUGUGGCUUUUAUCGUUAUUGAAAUCUUGUUGGAAUUUCGACAUUUAUUGAUCAUAAUGCAUCCAUCUGCAUCUCCGUUGUAUCAUUACCCUGUACAAAGAAAGUGGCUCGAAGUCUUGAGAAGCACAUAACCAACAAUCAAACCGCGGCAUUUGGGUGCUCCAUUAGAAAUGGUGGGACUACGACCAGGAAUCCCAGGUACAUUACGUCUUGCUACAGUUAAAAGGGACAAAUGCUCAAAAUCAAAUACAUAUUCGUGAUAUAACUUUGGCACUCUUAUUUCUGAUACAUAUUUGUGACUGAGCAGAUAAUCAUAGAUAAAAUCUUAAAAAAAAAAAUAUAUAUAUAUAUAUAUAUAUAUCACAAUUUCAACCAGAAAUUUCAAUGGCUCUGACGUCAACGUUCUUCAACUCCGCCUUCGGAACAGUGACACUCAGAACUCCAUUCUCCAUGGCAGCCUUAAUCUGAUCAACCUUUGCGUUCUCCGGAAGCUGAAACCUCCUCAAGAACUUGCCGCUGUUCCUCUCCACUCUGUGCCACUUGUCGUUUAUAUCCUCCUUCUCCACGUUCCUCUCUCCGCUGAUCUUAAGCACCCUGUCGUCUUCCACCUCCACCUUCACCUCCUCUUUUUUCAGCCCCGGAACGUCCGCCUUGAACACAUGGGCUUCGGGGGUCUCCUUCCAGUCGACCCUAGUGUUCACAAAAGCCGAAUUCUCCCGAGAAAAUUCAGGAAAUGCGGAGAGUGAUGAGGAGGAAGGGAACGGGAAAUCCUUGAAAGGGUCCCACAGAUUGAGGGAGAAUGGGUCGAAGACGCUGCUGCUUCCUCGUCGGGAGUUGGGAAUUAGCGACAUUCUGAAAAACCGAUGGGGUUGGUUUGGAUGCAGAGAAAUUUGAGAAUUAUUACAGAAUUAUUGCUUUUGCUGGACUGAUUGGAAAAGUAGCGGAUUUGAUAUAUUUAUAAGGAACCGAAGAAUUUUCUAGAACAGACUUGAGGAUGAGGCUGGAAAAGUAUGUGUGAGUUUCUCGAACUUUCUAGGAUGCUUGAGAAUAAUUGGAACUUUCUUAGGACGCUUAAGAAUAAUCCGACGUUUGUGUGAGUUACUCACACAACACGGUUGACUUCAUGAUGAUGAAUGGUGGACCCAAAAGCCUAAGUGUGGGGGUUGUAUGGGCCAUUCGAUUUAAUCGGACGGUUAAAACUGAAGAUACUGUGCAAGUUAUAAGCGGGGCGUUUGAAUCUUUGAUAUGUAUUAUUUGGACUUAUUGAUAAAUAAUAAUAUUUACAUUAAAUUAACAAUAUCAACUAAAUAUCAAUAACAUUUAACAUCUCAUGAAGUAGCUUAUCUAAAGGUAAAGGGAGUUAUAGCCCAAACAAGCAAAUUACCAGUUAAGUAAUAUGAUGGUCACUUAGUGCUACCUUUAAUGAUAUUUUUCUUUAUUUGAGAGUGAGAGGUCUUAGAUUCGAUUCUCGUCAAAAGCGAAUUCGAAUCAUAUUAUUGUUUAGGGUAAAUUGCCAAUUUAGUCCCUGAAUUAUUACCUUAGUGAAAAUUAGAUUCCUAAACUAUUUUUUUCAGAAAAAUUAGUCCCUGAAAUAUAAAAAUCUGCCAAUUACAUCCCUAAUGUUAUAUUCGAAGCUACUAUAUUCAAAUUUUCGUCAAUUUAAGUUAUAUUACUUGCAUGCGAUACACAUUGGAGGGUAGAUUGGUAGUUUUUCAUAAAGAAAUAGUGUAUGGAGUUAACUUUGGAUGAGAAAUUAAUAGUGUACAAAAUAAUACAUAAAAUAUUGUAAAACACACAUAAAAGGAUCUAAGCCUAAAAAGAAAAAUCAUCCACAGAGCCCAGUCAGUAAGGUUCUAUACGCCAUAAGAAUGAAAUAAAGCAUUUUAUUGUGCACCAUAAGAUUGGAAGAAUCAAUCUUAUACCUAGCCAAUUACCAAUGGCUGAUCAAAGUUCUAGCUCAUAAAUAUUAAGUACAAAUGUGAAAAACAAACUGAAAUCUAUAGGCCAAAUUGAUAAUAAAUAAAUAAAUAAAAAAAGAACAUCUGCACGCCCGCACCGACAGUAAAGCUAGUUUAGUCUUUAGCGGAAUUCUUUUCUCUCUUCUAUCCCCCUUUUUUUUUUUUGGUCGAAGCCCAAUUCUUUUUCAUUCACGAAGUUUCUAGCAACUUCUGUUUUGCCUUCAUUGAGCUGUUGGGUUUCAUGCUCUUUCUAGUUUUACGGUACCUGAAAUUUUCCAGAAACGUCUUUGACUCCUCAUAAAUACGUCACUAACCCCACGCCCUUCACCAACCAGUGAAGCCAAGCAAGAACUCUCCCUACUGACUCCAAUUUGAUUCCCAAGGCAGCCAAACAAAACCACAUCAAGUUUUUUGUUUUUUAGGUUUUUUUAAUAAAUUAUAAAAAAUUAUCUCAAUUAUGAAUCCAACUACAAUCUUAUAUAUCAUGUUCAAACAUUACAAUGUUAUAUGAAUUCCUUUAAAUAUUCUAUUAAUUUUAAUUGUUAAAUGAUGAGAUGCCAGGAAUGGAGCUCACUCUUUUGAUAAUUGGAAUAAAAAAUUAAUCAAUUAAUAAUAAAUUAAUAAUUUUUUAUUUACAAUUAAAAUCAAUUAAAAAAAAAACUCUCUCAGCCGCAUCCCUCCGUUACCCCCCCCCCCCCCACAUUUUCCGAGCAACCAAACAAACCAAAGCAUAUAAUUUUUUCCAGAAAAAAAUUCAAAACCCAAGUCGAAAAAUCACAAGAGAGUGCAGACCUGAUUUUUUAUCCCAAAAACAUGCAUUGAAUGUGGAUCCGGCAAUUACAAGCAGGACGCGAUUCCCAAACCUCACAAAUCAAAAUUUACAAACCCUUAAAAUCCCAAUAGAUUUACGAGUUCCCGGAGUGGGAUUCAAAUCCCACGAAACCUUCAUAGCCAUUGGACCAAAACACUAGACUAUUUCUCUACUAGAGAAAAUUAAGAUUUAAUUUUUAAUUUAAACCCAUGAUGUUAUGGGUACAAUGAUUUUUGGGCAUCGGUGGAGACUACGCGCAGACGAAGGAGAUAAGGGAAUAGAGAAGACUCGCAGACUACCUCACCGAAAAGAUCUCAUCUCCCCUCCCCAGAACAACACCUUCCACUACUCCAAAAUUCCUAGGUACUCGAUUCCACUAGCAGAGACAACCACAUCAGCAAUGGCGAUGGCGAUUAUGCAGCUUCAAAUUCUCAUGAUGCACUCGAGAGCUCCCUUGCCGAUCUUUAGAACAUUGACGAUGGAUAGACGAGGAUUGGAAAAGUCUCGAUCAUCGUCAGGUCCAGGAAUCGCGGGCGGGAAGCUCAUACGGUAGCCGGAUCUCGAGGUGGUUUCGAUGACAGAAGACUCGCUGCAGACAACCAUCAAGAAGCAACAAGAGAGACAGAAGGAGAGAUGGGGUUUUUAAUAACUUUAAUUUUUUCAGAUUAAAAAUUCUUGACUUAUUUAAUUUUUAAAUUAUGAGUGGGUCCUAUUAUUGCCAAGUCAUCAUUUAGCAGUCAAACUGAUAGAAAAUUUAAUGAAGGUGUGACAUUGCAACGAAUUUAGAAGUUGAUGUAUGAUAUUGUAAUGUUUAAUACAUGAAGUAUGAGAUUGUGGUUCGACCCAUAUUUAAAGUAGUUUUGUAUAAUUUAUCAUUUUUUUUCUUCAAAAUGUUGCUUAUCCCCACCUCUCAACAAGGCAACAGCAUCUUCGACCAAUUCUCCCUCAACUUGUGUGACCCUUUCAAGGAUUUCCCAUUCCCUUCCUCCUCAUCACUCUCUGCAUUCCCUGAUUUUUCUCGGGAAAAUCGGCUUUUAUGGACACUACAGUCAACUGGAAGGAGACCCCCGAAACCCACGUGUUCAAAACGGACAUUUUGGGGCUGAAGAAUGAUGAGGUGAAGGUGGAGGUGGAAGACAACAAGGUGCUUCAGAUCAGCGAAGAGAAGAAUGUGGAGAAGGAGGACAAACACAACAAGUGGCAUAGAGUGGUAAGGAGCAGAGGUAAGUUCUUGAAAGAUUUCAGCUUCCGGAGAAUGCAAAGGUCGAUCAGAUUAAGGCUGCCAUGGAGAAUGGAGUUCUGAGUGUGAUCGUACCAAAGACAGAGGUGAAGAAGCCUGACGUCAAAGCCGUUGAAAUCAAUGGUUAAUUAAUAGUGAAAUAAUAAGAUUAUGAAUGUUGUGUUCUUAGGAAAUAAGAUUAUGAAAUAGAGUGCCCAAAAAAGAGUGAUUUGUGUAAUUGUUUGUAAAAUAAUGACUUGUGUGUAGUUAAUUUGAUACAAAUUUGGAUUUAUGCGUUUGAAAAUAAUAAAAAUUUUAAAUGAGGAUAAUCGGAAAACAACUUUUGUAGUAAAAAUUUAGAUUUAAAUUUUUUGGUAAAGUUCAUUAGGUUUCAUGUUCGAAUGUGACAUUUAUAUUAUUUUUCUGUUACUUGUCAUUUCACUCUAUAUUUUUUCACGGGGUAUCAUACCAUUGCCAAGCCCCUUUCUCACUUCUCCCUCUUCGUCUCUCUACACCUACAUCCCGUCUUCUCUCUCCUCCGUCUCACUUUCCAUGCGCAAAACAUUUUUGUGAGUUUUUAGAUUUUAAAGCUCUGAUUGGAUCAGUUUGAAUGAAAAGUUUUAACCAAGCUUCUAAAACUGGAGAAAGGAUUUCUAGGCAGCAAAAGGCAAGACCCAUGGCGUACAAUUGAGAUUUAAAAAAAAAUGGCUUUGAGAUUUGUUGGUUAGGAUGUCCUUCCCUCAAUUGUGAGUAGGGUUGGGCAAAUACCCAUUGGUUAUGGGUAACCGUGAUUACCCGCCAAUUUAAAUUAAAUGGUUACGGUUAUGGGUAACCGUUUAGAUAAAUAAACAGUUAUGGGUAUAACCGUUUACCCGCAAAGUGUAAAUGGGCGGUUAUGGAUAUUAACCGCGGUUAUAAACGGGUAACCGUUUACCCAUUUAUUUUAUAUAUAUAAAAUUAACACAAAAUAUGUUCUCUACUAGACAAAACUUAGAUCAAUGCUAUUGACUAUAAUGUGAUUUAUAUAGCGCUGUUUUAAUUAAUUAAAAAGUAAUAAACGAUAAUCCGUGCAGUAUUUUUAUCCUUAAAUUGAGUAAAUCAAAAGAAAUUUAAGUGAGAAAAAUAAACGGGAGCGCACUGAAAUCAUUUCCCUUGCAGUAUGCAUGCAUUAGAUUUUUUCAUGUGUUUACUGUAGCUAUAUGUUGAUCUUGGAUCGAACAAACUGGAAAUCGAACAUUCUUACAGGGCUAUUGAUCCCCUACAUUUUCUUUACCCUUCCUUCAAUAUUGUUCAACAUCUUCAAGUUCUUUUCUACACGUAGUUACCGUACAAGUUAUAUAUUUCCUGUUGUCUGUGUUUCUUAUUUGUUCUAUUCCCUAAAAAUCUUUAUUUUUCUAGGGGAGAGAAUGGAAAAUGGAUUGCUCUCGUUACGUUGGCAUAUAAAUAAUCCACGUAACGGUGCCCGUCGUUGUGUCUUUUCCGGUAAUUAUUUCAAUUAUUGGAAUGUUAUAAGGACUUAAAAAUUUAAAAUACGGAAAUGGAUGAUGAAUGUACCUAUAACGGUGUUUAAUUGUCACAAAAAAUAAAAAUUAUAACAAUUUUUUUUUAAAUUUCCAAGUUGUUAAAAAAUAUGUAGACGGGUGAAAAAUGGGUAACGGUAAAAAAAUAAAAAGAUAAAUGAGUUAAAAAUGGUAAAUGGGUAAACGGGUAUUAAACGGUUACGGUUAAAUGGAUAUGCGGUUAUGGGUAUGGUUAACCGUUUAUAAAUGGUUAUGGGUAUGAGUAUAACCGUUUAAGCAAUUACCCAACGGGUAAACGGUUAUGCGGGUAUGAGCAUAAACGGUUAUGGGUAAAUAACCGCGAUUGCCCACCCGGCAUAACCGUUGCCCAUCCCUAAUUGUGAGCAGCUCUUAAUAUGCUUUCUUCGCAGGAAGGCGAAUUGGAGACAAUAGUAUGCUUUUGAAGGAGUUUCUUAAAAAAACACUUUCAAACAAAUUUGUAUAGAAUUUAUAUGCUACGACUAAUAGUAGCCCUACUAUUGUUCGAAAUAGAUUACCAAUUCUAAUUGUGAUGUUUGUACCGUAAAAUAAUGUGAUGCCUCGAACGAAUGAGGAUGGCUCAAGCCAUGUAUUGUGCCUUGAGAAUGUGGGGUUGGGAAGCAAUGCAUCCAAUUUUUCUUUCACUUUAUCCUUCUUCUUUUUUUGUUAAAGAAAGUACCAUAUGGUUCGUAAGCAAAGUAUCCAAAUCUUUUUCACUUUUUUCUUGAUAAAGAGAAAUACAAAGUGGGUUCGAAAGCAAUGCAUCUCAUUCUCUUUCCCUUUGUCUUUUUCUUGUUAAAAAAGAAUGAAAAUACCUUACUUCAGAAUCACCUCCUCUUGAGGUAAUGCUCGUUAAAUAUAUUUUUUUUGCUUCUCUAUUUAUAUUGUUAGAGAACUCUUAUUAACCUUUCCCCAUUGAAGUUAUCUGCUCAUUGCAUUGCUGAGGUAACAUAAUAUGUCCUCCUUGUGCAUGAUACCAUUCAACAUUCAUAUUUUCUAGCAAAUUCGUGAAGUAACAAUGUCAGUACCAGACACAUGAGUUGUUGUUGAAUAAGGCAUAGAUUUUAGAAUUUCACUUUUACUCUAGUGAACUGUUGCAUUGGGUUGAUUUACAAUACAGGUACGUAUGUACAGCUUGGAAACUUUAUUUCUUUUCAAUAUUUGUUGUUUUAGGUGUUUAUUUUUACCCAUGUGUGACUAAGAAACAAAAGUGUUGGUUUUACAAUAUAUUUUCUAGAAAAUUCGUGAAGUACCAGAUCCAGCAGCAGACAUAUUGUUGUUGAACAAGGCAUAGAUUUCACAAUUUCAUUUUUUUCCCUACCGGUUAGUUGCAUUUGGUUGAUUACAAUACAGGUACGUAUGUUCUUAGAAACUUCAUUUCUUUUCAAUAUUUGUUGUUUUAGGUGUUUGUACUAUAUGUUUAUGCAUUUUGAUGUUCAUCCACGUCAACUGAAAUUGAGCUAAUCCCCCCCCCCUUAUAAUCUAAUUUUUAGUUUUCUCACUCAAUACAAAAAGUUUUAAAUCAUGUCUGCUAUAUGGUGGUGAAAUGUAAACUAUUAGAAAUUUGUAUGCUGUAAAAUAAUAAUGAGUAAAUAAAUAUACAUGCAGUGAAACCGUCAAUUGAAAAUAUGACUUUACCCCUUGAAAUUCAAUUUUCUUUAACUAAAACUCAUCAUAGUAUAUUUUCCUAACAAAAACUCAUUGACUUUACCUCUUGAGAAAAAAAAAGGGCCUUCGGGUUUUUACAUAUAUAUAUUUUUUUCACUUCUCCUAUUUAUAUUGUUAGAAAGCUCUUAUUAACUCUUCCCCAUUGAAGUUAUCUGUUCAUAUAUAUGCAUUGAUGUGCAUCAUCUUUCCUCCUUGUGCAUGCUAACAUUCAUCAUUCAAAUUUUCUUGCAAAUUCGUGAAGCACCACUACCAGUACCAGACAUAUGAUUUGUUGCUGAACAAGGCAUAGAUUUCAAAAUUUCAAUUUUACUCUGUUGGACAAUUGCAUUGCGUUGAUUUACGAUACAGGUAUGUAGUACUUCUCGAAAACUUUGUUUUUAUCUUGCUUGACUAAGAAACUAAAAUGUUAGUUUUACAAUCUAGUGCCCACCAGAUAUUCUAUUUCAGGAUUCAGCUCAACAAUUUUAUUGAUUAGGUUUUGACUUCACACAAUUUUGUAUUUUUAGAUGUUUAAAAUAUCCCUAGUAACUUAUGUCAGAUUAAAAACAAAUUUUAAUAUCAUGAUUUCAUUGCAUAUUAAUAAUAAAAGUAUAUGAUUCUACGGUUUUCAUUUGUUUUAUUUUAUUUUUUUUCCUUUUUAAAUUCCCUAGUUGCUUUUCAAAUUUGCAUAAAUUAGGAUUUUUUUUUUGGUUUAAUUUUUCCGUUUUCAAAAUAUGGGAGCAUUAGUUACCAACAAAAUAUAAGAAUGUUAUUUUUCAAAAUUAUUUAAUUAUAUUCUAUAUAAAUAUGGGUAAAUUAUUUUACUACACAUAUAUAAUAACAAUAAAAUGUGCUUAAUGUAUGUAAUAAUACAUGCAAAAUAAUUUACCUACAACAUAAGGGAUGUGAUUUGGUUCAAGUUUAUUUUACCUACAUUUCACAUAUUGAUAUGGGGAAAUUAUUUUAUGUAGAUUAAAGUACCUACUUAAAGAUGAAGAAUGUGAAUUGGUCCAAGAUUUAAUUUACAAUUAUUUCAAAUAUAUAGAUAUAAGUAAGGGGAAUUUUGAUCUAGGUGCAACAUCCCUAGCAUUUAGACUUUUUUAUUAAACUAUUUUCUACAAUUUUGGUGCCACGUUUUCUAAAAUGUCCUUCUUUUUGAAAUUCAAAAUUACAUGAAGUGCCAUUGAUCCACCAAUUUAUUCAAAAAGUAGUUCCGAAAUCUAGCCUUCUUCAAACCAAAUUUAUUAUUUUUAUUAAUCCAAAACAAAGACACAUAUUAUUAAGUUAUCAACCAAUGACAUGUGCCAAAAAUUAAAAUUAAAAUAACCAAAACUAGAAUCAAACGUACCAUAAACUAGAAUUAAACGUACCAACACUAAAACUAAAUGUACCAAUCAACGAUAUAUACAAAAUAAUUCUCUCACUAAAAUGUAUACAUAAAAUAUAAACAUCCACCAUUUUCAUUGUCUUGAAGGUAAAAUUAUAUUUUAAUUUUAGGAGAAAAAAUAUUUUUUACGAAGAAAUUAUAACAAAGAGAUCAUUUGAUAAGCAUCAGGUGCGACUUUGUGGCAAGGCUUCAUAUCGUUUCGGGUUUGAACUAAGUGAUGCUUAGGCCAUCUCCAACCGAAGGGUUCAGAGGGCCAGAAGGUCGAAAAUAGCCCGAAAACCGUCUCCAACCGAGGGCUAGGCCAAAGGGCUCUGGAAUCUGGGAGGGCCCCACGGAAUCGGAGAGGGCUGGAGGGCUGGAGGGUUGGCUGCAUGCAGCCAGCCAGCCCGGGGCUGGCUAUUUUUUUUUAAUGUUUUGUUAUUCCUGUCGGUUAUAACCGACAUGAAUACAUUUAUACUAAAUAAUAGCAUGUAUUCCUGUCGGUUAUAACCGACAUGAUUUCUUAAGAAAAAAUUCAAAUGCAACGGCUACUAGACGUUGCAUUUGAUUUAUUUAUUUAUUUAUUUUCAGUUUUAUUAUUAUUUUUUAUUUACAAAAAUUUUCAUAUAACUUCUAUUUUUUCCUAUAACUUCUAUUUCACAAAAUUUAUUUCAUAUUUUUUUUUAAAUUCCAUUUUUUCCCUAUAACUUCUAUUUCACAAAAUUUGUUUCAUAUUUUUUUUAAAUUCCAUUUUUUUCCUAUAACUUCCUAAGCCAUUAUACAACAUUAAAUUAAAUUAAGUAACAUGAAACAACAUUAAACAAUAUGAAACAACAUUACAUAACAUUAACCAACAUAAAAAUUAUACAACAUGAAACUUAAAUGGAGACGGUUUUUAAAUGGGUUGAAUUUAAGUUGUAGUCUUUAAAUAAUAAAUUAUGUUUGGCCCUAUGGUCUUCGGUUGAAGACGGUUUUUUGUGACAGGGCUAAAACGAGCCAUCUGGCCCUCGGUUGGAGACGGAGGCAAAUAUGACCCUGUACUGUUCAUUAAAAUAUUAAUAUCUUGAAGAAUCUUGGAGGGCUAGAGGGCUAAAACGAGCCAUCUUGCCAACCAUCGGUUGGAGAUGGCCUUAAGCCUUAAAGUAUGAGUCAUAGAGGAAAAAUAACAAAGAUCUACACAAAACUCAAACAAAAGAUAAAGAUAGAGAAAACAAUAGAUAAGUUUUCUGGGUGGGCUCAAAACUGUCAUAAAUAGUGGGCGAUGGAGGAAGGAGGCUUGAAUUUUGAAACGAACCAUGAGGGUUGCUGGAAAAAAUAAAAAAUAAAAAAAUAAAAACUAGAGGAGGUGUGGGGUCUAUGGUAAUGGGAUGAGGAUGAAUGAAAAAACCAAUAAAACAAAAAUAUAAAGAAAUAAAAGAAUUGAAAAAACCCGAUAUAUCACGUUGUUUGCUGUAUCGUGUAAGCUUGACAAUGAGCUUAUAAUAAUGUGAUUCAAAUUCGCAUUUGACGAGAAUCGAACAUAAAACCUCUCACUUACAAGUAAAUAAAAAUAUCACUAAACUGCAAUACUAAGUGAUAAUACAACUUAGAUUUAAACAGGACAAAAAUAUAUGAUUAUUAAUGUUGUGCUGGGGUGCUUCUUUGGUUUAGGCAUCAGAGCACUGAGCGCGGGACUUACAAAAGCCACCAACAAGGAGAAGCAUUCCGGUUGUUGUCUUUGAUUUCAGAAGGAAAUGGAAAUUAUAAUUGCAAUUGCCUCAAAAAUUGGAGAGUCCUUGGUCACCAAUAGGAACAGAGUUUGGCUAUUUGGUUAAUUACCAUUCCAACCUUGAAAGUCUUAGGGGUGAGAUAAAAAAGCUUUUUGACAAGAAUGAUGGAGUGCAAAGAUUGGUAGAUGCUGCCAAAAGGAAUGGUGAAAUCAUCAAACCUGAUGUUCAGAGUUGGCUAAAGAAUGUGAACGACGACAUGGUCAAAAAAGUGUUGCAGUUUGAGGAUGAAAUUAACAAGAAAGGCGAUGUGUGUAUCGAUGGAGCUUGAGUCGGAGAGCCUAUAAGAUUAAACAAGAAGUUCUUCAGCUCCAAAACGAAGGAGCAUUUGAAAAUAUGGCCCAUCCUGCACCUUCACCAGAGAUAUGGUCAACAUUCAAGAAAGGUUUUAAGGAUUUCAAGUCCAGAAUGGCAUACAUGAAUAAGGUGAUAGAGGGUUUGAAGAGGGAACGAGUACGAAUGAUCGGGAUUUGUGGAAUGGGGGGUGUGGGUAAAACCAUAAUGGUGAAAGAAAUCAUCGUAAGAUUGGCAAAACUAGACUUGUUUGAUAAAAUUGUAAUGGCAACUGUGUCUCAAAGUCCAAGUAUUAGGAUGAUCCAGUCGGAAAUUGCAGACAAAAUAGGUUUGAAAUUUGAGGAGGAAUCAGAGCCCGGAAGAGCACUAAAGCUACGUGGGAGACUCAUGGAAAUAAAGAGGAUCCUGAUUGUAUUAGAUGAUGUCUGGACAGAGCUUAAUUUUGAGGCUAUAGGACUCCCUUGUGGAGAUGAUCAUGAAGGGUGCAAAGUUUUGUUGACAUCACGAGAUUCGGAAGUCUGCAACAGGAUGGGAAGUCAACAAAUUAUUGCUGUCCCGAUUUUAACACCAGAAGAAUCACAGGAGCUCUUUCGAGAAAUGGUAGGUGAAUCCUUCAAUGAUCCUUAUUUACGUUCCACUACAAAAGAUGUAUUGAAGGAAUGUGGAGGUUUACCUAUUGCAAUUGUAACUGUUGGAAAAGCCCUAGAAAAGAAAAACAAGUGUGAAUGGGAUGAUGCCCUUAAUCAGCUGCGAAAAUCUACCCCAGUGAACAUCCCUGGAGUGAAUGACAAAGUUUAUUCUAGCAUAAAAUGGAGUUAUGAUAGAUUGGAGAGUGAUGAAGCCAGGUCAUGUCUUUUACUUUGUUGUUUAUUUCCAGAAGAUUAUGAUAUUCCAAUUGAGUAUUUGAUUCGAUAUGGGUGGGGUCGAGGAUAUUUUAGCAACAUCUUUACUUUGGAAGAUGCAAGAAAUAGAGUGCAUUAUUUGGUUGGCCAACUAAAAAGAAGGUUUUUGUUGCUCGAUAGUGGCAAGAGUGAGGCUACAAAAAUGCAUGACGUAGUUCGCGAUGUUGCCAUAUGGAUUGCUUCAAGAGAUCCACAUGGAUUUUUGAUAAGAAGUGAUGCUGAAAAUAAAGGGUGGCCAAAUUUAGCUACAUAUGACCAUUACACUACCAUCUCACUUGUUGGCGAAUUGGAGAUUCAACAUGGUUUGAAAUGCCCAAAACUUGAGCUUCUACAGACGAUGGAAGGACGUUUUUCAGAAGGUAGCAUGGACAACAUUUGUAAGGCGAUGAAAGAACUGAAGGUUUUAGCUUUGGUGGGAAUGGAAAUGGAAGACCUAGGCUCAUCAAGAUCACUAGGAUUACUGAAGAAUCUGCGGACCUUGUGCCUAGAUGGGUCUAAUUUUGAUGGCACGUCUACUGAUGUUAUUGGGAGUUUGGAGAAUUUAGAAAUCCUCAGCUUUCGGGAAUGUGAUUCCAUGCGUGAGUUGCCGAGGGAAAUUGGACGACUUAAACAGUUAAGGUUGUUAGAUACGACAGACUGUCGGAAACUUGAGGUGAUUCCACAUGGUAUCUUAUCCAGCUUAUGUAGACUUGAAGAACUGUAUAUGCAUUGUAGCUUUAAUAAAUGGGAAAUUGGAAGAGGAAGAGAAGAAAAGGGGAUGGCAAGCAUUUCUGAGGUGAUGUCUCUGUCUCAUCAUUUGAAGGUUCUAGCCAUAAAUAUACCCAAUGUCAUCCACUUGUUGCCAAAAGACAUAGUCUUUGAAAAGCCCAACAAUAAGAUUCGGUAUAUGCCUUGCAAGAUGGACAGAAGCAGUCAAAGAAUUUUUUAGGACAACUUAUGCAUUCGAAAAUUGUUUGAUGAUUGAAAAAAGUGAUGCAAGGGAGUUGGAGGAGAGUCAAGCAGUUAGACUUUUGUUGAAAAAAUCUAAAAAUUUGACUUUGCGCAAAGUUAAGAAUUUCUCUGUCCUCACUGAUUUAGACCAAGAAGGAUUUCAAGAUUUGAAAGAUUUGGAUCUUCGGUAUUGUCCACAUAUCGAGUAUCUUGCAAAUGGAACAAGUGGGUUUUUGACCAACCUAAGAAUCAUUCAAUUGAAAUUUUGUGGUGUCUUAAAAUAUGUCUUUUCAUUAUCAGUAGCAAGAAACUUGGUACAACUCCAGGAAUUAAACAUUUAUGGAUGUGAUCAAAUGGAAGAAAUUGUGUCAAAGCAAGGGAGAGAACAUGAGGAGGAAGCCGAUAUAAUAUCUUUCCAUAAAUUAACCAAUUUGACUCUCGAGGGUCUAGGGAGUUUGGUUGGUUUCUUCCAAGCCAACAAGCUAUACUCCAACCAAGAAGAGGUAUGUCCCACUCUCCAAUCUCUAUGAGAUGAGGAGGCAGCCGAUAUGUGGAAAUUUGAAAUUAUUUAACUGAUAAUUAUUUUUCUUUUUCAGGAAAAAACGGCAAGGGUUGAGCAUCAAUCUGCAGGCAUAUUUGAAAAAGCAAUAUUUCCAUCAACGUGCAUUUCAUGGUUUCCAAGUUUAGAAAAGGUGAGAUUGGGAUUUAUGGAGUUUGAAGGCGUGCUAUUUGAUCUUAAAAUCCAUGUAGUUAUGGAUGGGCAGACAGCUCCAACUUUUCCCCAGUUACGUGGGUUGGAGAUAAUUUUUUGUUCGUUUACACAUUUGUGGAAAAACAUUCCAUCUGGAUUUCAGGGCUUCCGAAAUUUGAGAUGUUUGGAUAUAAGAGAAUGUUGUGGUCUAAAAUAUGUGUUCUCGCAUUUAAUUGCCCGAGAACUUUUGAAUCUUGAAGAGGUAAAGAUAUCUAGAUGUCCGGACAUGGAAACUAUAGUUAGAAUCAAAGAGCAAAAUGAAGAAGAGGCGACAAAACACAUGAUUUUGUUUCCGAAACUGAACACAUUUGAACUACAAUACCUGCCUCGUCUCACAAGUCUUUGUCCAGAGGGAUUUACAUUUCUAUGGUCAUCCAUAAAAAAUAUGCACGUGAACAAAUGUGAAAAUUUGAAGACAUUGGUGAAUAACUUGAAGAAGGAUUCAACAAGUCAUGAUUUCAGCACUUCUCCAACACGUUCAUCGAAUUGGUGCCCUGCUGGAUGUGGAUGCGCACCAUACUCAAGACCAAACGCCCACCGCCCCAUUGAAAUAUUGCCACGUCCAAUUAACCUGGAGGUAAGCUUUUAAAUCAGGUUCAAUUAACCUCUAUAAGUACAACUUUUAAUUAGUAUUGUAUCAUCUUGUUGAUCGUGUUUAAUUUUCUAGAUUACACCAACUAAUCUUGAAGACUCAAAUGAUGAUGAUAAUCUCGAAAAUCUUACUGUAAGUGACUGUAAUUCGAUGGAAGUGAUUUUCCAACUCAAGGGACCGAAGCAUGAAGAAAGUAGUCACUCUGUUGAAGCAUUCAAUAAAUUGAGUUCCUUGCAGUUAUAUACAUUGCCAAGUUUAACGCGUGUUUGGGAGACGGGUAGUUCACAACCGAUGUUUACGGGAAGCAGCUUCGGAAACUUGAAAUCGCUGCGGGUCUAUUAUUGCAACCAGUUGAAAUACUUGUUUUCAUCGUCCAUAGUCAAACUUCUUGUGAGUGUAGAGAACAUAGAAGUUCAGAAGUGUGAGCAGAUGGAAGAAAUCAUUGCCGCAGAAGAAGAAACAGCUGAAAUAAUUACAUUACCUAAAGUGAAGUCCAUCAAGCUUUUAAGGCUGCCAAAACUCAAGUAUUUUUGUGGUGAAGCUUAUACUUUGAAGUUGCCGUCUUUGGAGUUAUUGAAGGUUACUGACGUGCAAAACUUAAGCCUAUUAGCUCCUAAACUUACCGGCACACAUCCCCGAUUGCAAGUACGCACCGCGUUGGGAGUGGCUGAAUGGAAGGGGGACCUCAAUGCCACUCUAAGGAAUAUUUACGUCACAAGGUAUGCUUUAAUAUAAGGUUUUUAAUUUCCAAUCAUUUAUGGCAAACAGCACAAAAAUUUCGACAACAAAUUUAGGCAAAGCAUAAUCAACAGUUCAGAUUUAGUUUGACGAAAGUGUAAUCAAAAUUUAGUCAAAAAUACACAUACACACACAUAAAUAUGUAUGUGUGUAUGUGUGUGUGUGUGUGUGUGUGUAUAUAUAUAUAUAUGUAUGUGCGUAUGUGCACACUAGAGUGUAUUUAGAUAUGUUUUUCUUCUUUUGAAAACUCAAUUAUAUCUCAAGAAAAUAUCUGUCUUUUAUUUCUAACACAGGAAGGGUGAAGAUGAUGAAAUCGACAGGAAGGAUGAACACAAUUAAUCGAUCAAGCACAUCUUCAACUUCUUCUAGGUUUAGUAAAAACUGCUAUUUUCGGAAACACAUAUACAAUAAGCAUAACCGUUUCAACUUAUUUGAGUUUCAGUGAUUUCUAAUAUUCUCCAAUGCAUGCAGGACAACAAUUCAAAGAAGGUUGUGGCUUCAACAAUUCGUUUACCAUCUCAUAUGUACAAACCAAUAAAAUGUCAUUUGUUGCACCAGACUUUCAUUCCAAAAAUACAUCGUCAAUGACAUUUAUCUAAGUUCUCAUUAUUAAUGUUUGUAUCUAAGUUCGCAUUAUUAAUGUUUGUUUAUUUGCCCGAAGAAAUGAGAAAUGCUUAUGUAAAAAUAAAUACAACAACAACAACAACAACAAAGCAUUUUCCCACUAAGUGGGGUCGGCUAUAUGAAUCCUAGAACACCAUUGCGCUCGGUUUUGUGUCAUGUCCUCCGUUAGAUCCAAGUACUCUAAGUCUUUUCUUAGAGUCUCUUCCAAAGUUUUCCUAGGUCUUCCUCUACCCCUUCGGCCCUGAACCUCUGUCCCGUAGUCACAUCUUCGAACCGGAGCGUCAGUCGGCCUUCUUUGCCCAUGUCCAAAUCACCGGAACCGAUUUUCUCUCAUCUUUCCUUCAAUUUCGGCUACUCCUACUUUACCUCAGAUAUCCUCAUGCCCAAUCUUAUCCUUUCUCGUGUGCCCACACAUCCCACGAAACAUCCUCAUCUCCGCUACACCCAUUUUGUGUAUGUGUUGAUUCUUCACCGUCCAACAUUCUGUGCCAUACAACAUCGUUGGCCUUAUUGUCGUCCUAUAAAAUUUUCUCUUGAGCUUCAGUGGCCUACGACGGUCACAUAACACGCCGGAUGCACUCUUACACUUCAUCCAUCCAGCUCGUAUUCUAUGGUUGAGAUCUCCAUCUAAUUCUCCGUUCUCUUGCAAGAUAAAUCAUAGGCAGCAAAAAUGGUCGCUUUUUGUGAUCUUCGCUAGAUUGCUCCGGUCAUUAGUGUGGAUAAGUAUAUAAAUGAAUAGAGAUAGGAAAGCAAACACAAGAUGUACGUGGUUCACCCAAAUUGGCUACGUCCACGGAAUAGAAGAGUUCUCAUUAAUUGUGAAGGGUUUACACAAGUACAUAGGUUCAAACUCUCCUUUAGUGAGUACAAGUGAAUGAUUUAGUACAAAUGACAUUCGGAAAUAUUGUGAGAGAAUGAUCUCGUAAUCACGAAACUUCUAAGUAUCGGAGUGUGGUAUCGUCUUGACUUGCCUUAUCUGUCUCAUAGGUAGAUGUGGCAUCUUCUCUGGAAGUACUCUUCCUCCAUCCAGGGGUGGUAUCUUUAACUGGUGGAGAUGCACAAGGUAAUGUAUCAAUUUCACUUGAAGCUUACUUGUAGUUUCAGGCUUGGUCAAGCGCGAUACAAACCAUGUAGUAGGAGUCCCCCAAGUCGCCGAGCUAGGGGAUCUACUGAAAGAGGUGACAGACAAGGUAAGCAAUCAGAGCUCCGGCUGAUUGUUCACCUUCUCCCCAUCUUGCAGCAGCAUGAAGGAUAAAGAGAAGAAAAAAUGAGAAGAGAUGAUAUGGGAUACUUUUGCUUUUGAAGAAGUAACUUUCCACAGGCUUAUUCUUGAACUGAGCUGGAGGGUUUUCUGGUUUCCUCCAGAGCCGACUGAAGAAUUUGAGGGUCAAAACAAGUCCAUCAAAUCUAGAGUACGUUCGACCCUGCUGAUAUGGGAUACUUUUGCUUUUGACAGAGUAAUGGAUGUAUCGGAACGUGUGCUGUUACGCUUGUCUCCACAUGCUUCCUUGUAUCCUUCGCACUUGCCCUAUCUGUUCCUCAAGCAGAUGCGGUAUCUUCCCUGGAAACAUAAGAUGUUGAAGAUGAGUACUCGAGAGCAAUGUCAGGUAAGUAAUCAGGUAAGGGGUUCCAGGCAGUCAGUUCCUGGCUGGAAGCUUGAUUCCAAGUGCUGACUGAUUACUCUCUUUCUCCUUGUCUUGCAGGUAAAAACAAGGCCAAAGGAAAAGACAGGGAAAAAGCAUGAUAUGGGAUACUCUUGCUUUUAAUCUUGAUGAUAUGAGAUAUUCUUGCUCUAGUAUAGCUUGUUUGCAGAGGUAUUAUCGGGGGGAAAGAAAGCUGAAUAUUUCGAAAGGCUUCGUUGGGAGUGCCCUCUCAGAUAUGAGGAAGGGUUGAGCAUUUUUGCAGGUCUGCCUGUCCGUUGGGGAUGGAGGUCGACAUAUAUAGGAGUCUCCCUAACAACAAGUAGUAAUGCUAUUCCUUUACCCUGCUUGGUCAUAGCACGGUAGUGGGAGCUGCCAGCUUCACAUGUUUUAACUCUGUCAGAGCACUUUGAAAAAGUGGUCUGUGGUAUCUGGCUCUCGAGAAGUCUUCGACAGAAUGCCCAUAAUUUUCGCAAAGCUGAGUGUGUGUGUGACAGGUGCUGAUAAGGCUAGAAAAGUAGGUGUCUCUUCGAUUUCUGAGAUCGGCCCUCGUGGUCUCUGAGCAGCCCAGCUUUUGAGAAAUCGAGCGUCUCUUCGAUUGAUUCGGAGAACGAUGCAUCUUCGAUUUUUAAGAAAGCAAUCAUGCUGGGGGUCUGGCUCUCGAGAUUUGGGGAGCAGUGUCACUUCGAUUUUUGAGAAAGUAAUCAUGUUGGGAGUCUGGCUCUCGAGAUUCGGAGGGCGGUGCCUCUUCGAUUUUGGAGCAAGCAAUCUUGUUGGGAGUGUUUUCUCGAAUGUGAGUAAAGGUUGGGCAUGUUUGCUAGUCUACCUUGCCACGAAGCACAGAGGUUGACACACAGGGAUUUUCCAAUUAUCCAGCAAUGGUACUGUUCCUUUACCCUCUCUUCGAUUUUUGAGAAAGUAGUCAUGUUGGGAGUCUGGCUCUCGAGAUUCGGAGGACGGUGCCUCUUCGAUUUUGGAGCAAGCAAUCUUAUUGGUAGUGUUUUCUCGAGUGUGAGUAAAGGUUGGGCAUGUUUGCUAGUCUACCUUGCCACGAAGCACAGAGAUUGACACACAGGAACUUUCCAAUUAUCCAGCAGUGGUACUGUUCCUUUACCCUUGUGGGUAAUAAUAUGGUAGCUAGACCUUCAAAAUUUAUGGGUCUAAACUUGUUAGUGCUGUUUCUUUGCUAUUCUUUUACCUUUCUUGGCCAGAGCGAUGUAGUGGGAGCUGCAAGCUUCACGUGCUCAACUUUGGCAGAGAACUUUGGCAAAGUUAUCUGUGGUACCCAUGAGCUAUUGUUGCGUGUGGGAAGUGGGUGAUUGAACAGUAAGAUUCAUGUGUUUUCUACUUCCUCAGAAGUCUUCGACAGAAUGCCCAUAAUUUCCGCAAAGCUGAGUGUGCGUGUGACAGGUGCUGACAAGGCUGGAAAAGUAGGUGCCUCUUCGAUUUCUGAGAUCGGCCCUCGUGGUCUCUGAGGAGCCCAGCUUUUGAGAAAGCGAGCGCCUCUUCGAUUUCUGAGAUCGGCCUUCGUGGUCUUUGAGCAGCCCAACUUUUGAGAAAGCAAACGCCUCUUCGAUUUCUGAGAUCAACCCUCGUGGUCUCUAAGCAGCCCAACUUUUGAGAAAGCAAACGCCCUCUUCGAUUUCUGAGCAGGCGCCUCUUCGAUUUCUGAAAGCUCCGUCGAGUGCAGAUUUUUAUAGGGGCUGGCAUUAAGUUCCAAAGCACACUUGAAUCUCCACCAGUAGAAGCUCCAUUCUUGCACUUCUAAGAUCUUGAUUUGUCCGACCUCUUCUCUCUUCAACACCUUUGAAAAUGUCUGGCCCCUCCGACCGUCGUUUUGACUUGAACCUUGUUGAAAGAGGCAGCCCCGCCUUCUCCAGACAACAUAUGGCGCCCAUCCUUCGUCUCCCCUACUGGUCCUCUUACCGUUGGGGAUUCCGUGAUGAAGAAUGAUAUGACCGCUGCGGUGGUGGCCAGGAACCUUCUCACUCCCAAAGAUAACAGACUACUUUCCAAACGGUCUGAUGAGUUAGGCUGUUAAGGAUUCUCUGGCUCUCAGUGUUCAGUGUGCAGGUUCUGUGUCUAAUAUGGCCCAACGCCUAUUUGCUCGAACCCGCCAAGUUGAAUCAUUGGCGGCUGAAGUGAUGAGUCUCAAACAGGAGAUUAGAGGGCUCAAGCAUGAGAAUAAACAGUUGCACCGGCUCGCACAUGACUAUGCUACAAACAUGAAGAGGAAGCUUGACCAGAUGAAGGAAACUGAUGGUCAGGUUUUACUUGAUCAUCAGAGAUUUGUGGGUUUGUUCCAAAGGCAUUUAUUGCCUUCGUCUUCUGGGGCUGUACCGCGUAAUGAAGCUCCAAAUGAUCAACCUCUGAUGCCUCCUCCUUCUAGGGUUCUGUCCAGUACUGAGGCUCCGAAUGAUCCCCCUCCGGUGCCUUCUCUUUCUGGGGCUCUACCGACUGCUGAGACUUCUCCUAAGCAACCUUUGUGAAGGCUCCCUCUUGUUUGUUUAUUUUGACUCAUGUAUAUGUACAUAUUUGUAGCUUAUCGGGGAUAUCAAUAAAUAAGCUUUCCUUCAUUUCAACGUAUUGUGUUAAAUACACCAAAGCCUUCUUCGCUAAGUUCUUUGAAUUUUCUUUUGUUGAAGCUUGUAUGUUGAAGCUUUCUGAGUGGAGCAUGUAGGUUGGGGUAGUGUUCCCUUAAUUUCCCGAGUGAGGAAAACUUCUCGGUUUGAGACUUGGAAAAUCCAAGUCACUGAGUGGGAUCGGCUAUAUGAAUCUUAGAACGCCAUUGUGCUCGGUCCUGUGUCAUGUCCUUCGUUAGAUCCAAGUACUCUAAGUCUUUUCUUAGAGUCUCUUCCAAAGUUUUCCUAGGUCUUCCUCUACCCCUUCGGCCCUGAACCUCUGUCCCAUAGUCGCAUCUUCUAAUCGGAGCGUCAGUAGGCAUUCGUUUACUAAUUCAUAUGCAUAAUUUAAACAUUUUCAAAUGCUUAUCAUCAUUUACUAAUUCAUAUGCAAAUUUAAACAUUUUCAUAUUCAUUAGAAGCAUACAGAAAAGAUACAUGGCACACAAGAUAUGUACUUUUCGACGUAGGAGCUCAAUUCUUGUAUACAGACACACUUCCUUUAGCUUGCAUUGGACCUCGUACUUUCCACUAAUGUAAAUGCCACAUCAAAAGUGAAAGAGCGAUUCCGGAAACCAAUUACAUCCAUGUGCUUGCACUUCAAUGCAGAAACAGAAUAAAACAUAAUCCUAAAGUUUUCGGACCAUCAUUAAACACGCAAGCAUAAUAAACAUUCACAAUCCAGCAAAUGGGUGUUCAUAAUUUCAAGCAGAAACAAAAGUCAAAGAAAAUAAUGAAUUAAACUCUGAAAAAUUUUGUACUCAAGUAUCUCCCGUGGUCUUGAACCAAGUCUCAGCACAUUGCUUAUAAGCAGCACCCAAAUCCCCCUUGCAAGAACACCCCAAGUCAAUCGGGACCCCAGAGGCAAGGUCGGUCCCACCACCUCCCUCCAAACCCAAGUGGCAAAUCCUGCAAUUUCUCUAACUUUACUCAAAUGCACCACCUUCUUCACCUCCGAAACCCCGCUCUCUCCACUGAACAGCACUGGAUGUCGUCAGAGUCAUCCGAGUCUGACGCACCGCUGCCUCUGGUGGCCAAAAGGCGGUGGUGGGUUGUCUCGGGAGCUGACAUUCGUGAAACCCAGAAAGAGAAAUGGCAUGAAAUCAACGCUCAAACCACCACCACGUCCACCCUCUUGACCUCGCGAGCUCGAACCCGAGCUCCGUUUCGUAGGAAACCAAAACUAGAGGCUCUAGUUCGAAGCUCCGACGAGAAAGAAACUUCCCGACGAAGUUCCCGACACUUUUCCGACCGCUCCACACCGUAUUGGAAGAGUUGGAAGCCACCACACAACUCCCUAACGUCCCUGGGUCAAGUUUGACGCAAUCCCCAACUCGAAUACACCCGGCUUCGAAGCUUUGGGUUUUUUUGCGGAGACUUUCAGGCCAAUUUCAGUACAUGUACGUCUGCUUUUUGGAGUUCCAAGAGGUAUAAACUUGUUCCUUGUGCUUCAUUUCCAUAUAAAGAACGUAAAAAAUGGUUGAGAAAUGAGCAAGUUAUGGCCUUUUGAAAUUGUCCUCAGUUCCCGUCGAUUUCAGGGACCUUCCGGCGUGUUUUUGGCUAAAUCACGGCGAGUUAGCCGUUGCUAUGGGUACCAAUCUGUUCAUCUCAUUCCGAGGUAUCCUUUCCAUUCUGAAUCACUCAAUUUAGUUGAGAUAUGUGGAAGUUAUGAUGAUUUAAAAAUUUCCCAGAAAACCGGUGAUAAACUGCAUAAUCCGGCGACUCCGCGACCGGAACCUGGUAAAAAGUAGAUGAAAAAACGCAGUUCUAAAACAACUAAAACACAUAAUUGCAUAUCAUUCCUAAAACACAGUGAAAUUUGUGAGAGUGGCCUAAAUAGAAAGAAAAAGAUAUGAAAUAAAGUUCCUUUGAAAUCGUAACCAGUAAAAGACCCGAUCAUGUUCAGGAAAGGUAACAUCACAUAUCUAACUUAAACUAGGGAAUGUCAUACUUAAUGUGAUCAUAACUAAUAACUUUUAUUUUUUACAAACUGCUAAUAACUUAUAGAGUAAAUUUAAGCAAUUGUCCCUCAACUUUAGUAAAAUAGGAGCAAUGGUCUUUCAAUUAAAAAUCUAUUACUAUUGGUCCCUUAACUCAUCAAAAUGUGUAGCUCCCUUAACUCAUCAAAAUGUGUAGCUAUGAUCAUUUUCUUUAACUUCAUCAAAAUUUGGUCAAAAUGAGUUAUGUUGGAAAGACCAUUGCUACAAUUGACUUAAAGUUAGAGGGACCAUUUCUCCAAUUGAAUUAAAGUUAAGGGACUAUCUCUCUAGUUUGAUUAAAGUUGAGAGACUAUUGGUAAUGUAUUUUUAGUUGAGGGAUUAUAGUUGCACGUUUUGAUAAGUUGAAGGACCAAUGAUAAUGAAUUUUUAAUUUAGAGAUCAUUGUUCUGAUUGAGUUAAAGUUGAGGGAUCAUUACUAAAAUUUACUCUUAACUUAUAAAGUACCAAGUAUUUGAAUUUUUAAAUUAACCUGGUGACAUUCAACUGUCGAUAUUCCCCGGUUCUGGCAUCCACACCAAUCAAUGUUGUAAUUCUUAAUCCUGUAGUUUGUAAGAUUAUCUUUCCUACCUAGAAUGUGAAUAAUCUUUAUAUAACUACACUUAUAUAUGCUCUAAAUUUACAUUUAUGUAGUACGGGUACAUUCUGCACAGCACACCCUCACUACUGGUUUAAAUUACUUAUAAGCUUCGGUUUUAUUUAUUCAAAUUUUUGCUCAUCAUCUAUACUUUAUGACUUUCGUCAAUUUCCAGGUGUCGGCUAGUACGCCUUGACUUCAGUUGGGGUGUGUCAAAGUUUGUGAAGCACCACUUCCAAUUCCAAGCAUAUGAUUUGGUGUUGAACAAGGCAUAAAUUUCAUAAUUUCACUUUUACUCUGGACAGUUGUAUUGUGUUGACUUACAAUACAGGUACUACAUAUUUCUCGAAAACUAUUUCAUUCCAAUAUUUGUUGUUUUAGACGUUUGUUUUUACUCUGCCUGUCCAAGAAAUAAAAGUGUUGAUUUUACAUUCUAGUACCCACCAUAUACUAUAUUUCAGCUGAGCUCCAAUACUAAGAAACCUAAGGAAACCAUCACCUAUUAAAAAAUAAUCAACUAAAAGUGAGCUAAUCCCCCUUAUAAUCAAAUUUUUAUUAUUUUCUAAACCGAAAAAAAAAAUAUGGAUUGGGGUAGCUAGUAGAAAUGAACAAAUAAAAUAUCAUGUGACAGUGAGUUUGGGAACCAUACAAAUGCAUGUGUUAUUUUUAUCAUGCUACAUAGAAAGUUUGAAAUCGCUUCUGUGAUGCAAUGGUGAAAUGUAAACUAUUCAAAAUUUGCAUACUGUAAAAUAAUAAUGAUAAAAUAAAAAUACACAUGCACUAAAAUGAUCAAUUGAAAAUAUGAUUGUACCCUCAAAGUUCAAUUUUCUUUAACUAAAACCCACCAUAGUAUAUUCUCCUAGCAAAAACUUAAUAACAAGGCUCCAACUCAGAAAUUUUCUUAAUUAAGUUUGACUUUUGCACAAUUUUGUAUUUUUGGAUGCCUAAAAUACACCUAAUAACUUAUAUCGGAUUGAACACAAUAUUUAAUGUCAUGAUUUCAUUGCAUAUUAGUAAUAUAAUGAUACGAUACUAGGGAUUUCAUCCGUCUUAUUUAUUUCCUUUUAAACUCCUUAGUUGCUUUUGGUAUAUACAUGAAAUUAGGAUUGCUUUUGGUUUAGUUUUUCCCUUUUCAAAAUGUGUGAGGAUUACGACAUGAUUGUAAUACCAUACACGUGUAAGAUGAAUGACAUGUUUGUAGAAUGAUACGUGUAAUAUUGAUCAUACACAUGUAAGCUAAAUAAUAUUAUGAUACACUAGCUAGCCGCAACUAAUGUAAGCUGAAUAAUAUGAUCAUUCACUAUAAUGUCUGAUAUUAAUUCAUAAAAUCUGGUUUUCCCCUAAACGUUACGGAAAUCAUAUUUAUCUAGGCAUGCUUAAUAUUUGAUAAAGAAAAAACAUUUCUUAAAUAAAUGUCCACUCACACUUCCGGCUAGCUCUCCCUUGAGGAGCCUUGUCUACCAAAUAGGUAAGUUCAAGCAACUUCAAGAGAGAGUUUCCUCCACAUUAAGUCUUAAACAUCUACUGGACAGCAGGCAAUUCAAAACCAAAGCUGCUGAAUACAACUAGAAUAAACAAGGAAUCGGGCUAAGCUAUUGUCUUCAUCAUAACAUGAUUUUGGCCCCCAUUUUCUAAUUUCGUUCCACAUUUUCACAUUCUUUCCAUGAAUUUUAUAAUUCCUAUGCAACAGAGUUCAUUCAUUGCCUAUUCACAACAUUACAAGGUUCUACAGAGUUCAAUCCCACACCAUGUUAUAGACAUGCUUCAACUAUCAACCUGGAACGUAAUCGUUAGGGUUUCAACAACUUCAGAGAUACAACAAUUACCAUAAGUCUCAUCUCCGACAUUCAUACAGAAAAUCGAAUACAAUUCGAAAUCAAGAAUUAAUCCCAAAACUGAAAGUUGAAAAUUCGGAAAAAGAACUUACAUUGGAGAACAGCCCACGAGAAGAGGAUCAUUUCUACGUCUUAGGUCGAGGUCCAAUUACUGCGAUAUUGGCCGGAAGUUGGAUGGAAAACCCUGGGUCACCGUUUCUUAAAUUGGAAAUUGCGGAAAACCGCCUACGAAUUUAUAGAAACGAACUUGGGGAUUGGAUACAGGACGGCAAGAGCAUUCAGGAUGUGUAGUUUGACAGCCUUUGGUGACCUGUGGACGACAGAGCUGUUGCGUUGGCAGUCGUCGGCUUGGGCCGCUGUUGCAGCGUGUGAAAGAGAAGAGGGAGCGAGGAGAGACAAUGGGUUUCUCCCACUUUUUGGAUCUUAAUUCUUUUCCACAUUUUUUUAUAUAGAAUAAACCAUAUUAUUUAUCACUAAAAGUGCGUUUGGUAUGUAAGAUGGGACGGAACACGUUUUGAUGAUAAUAAUAGCUAGAAGUAAUAAUGUAAUAUAGUUCAAAUUCGUUUUUGAUAAUAAUCAAAUAUAAAAGAGAAUUGUUAUUAGCAUUCCAAAAAUCUCAUUAUACACUCCUCACAAGUGUAUUUUUCUUUCUAAUUAUAGAAAGUUUGGAGUGCCAAAUAAGAUUUUUAAAUUGCUAAUAACAAUUUCCUAAAUUCUCUCACUUAUAAAUUACAAGUAAAGAAAAAUACUAUUAAAAUUUUUCCACUUUUAAUACACAUCUAAAUAAAAAGAGACAAAAUGAAAAGGAAAAGAAAUAAAAUAAUUUGAAAUAGAAAUAAAAAUUAAGGGUAAAUCUCAUAUUACUACCCUCAUGUUUCAUGGUUUUCAACAUUUAGUACAUCAAGUUUUUUCGUCCCAGAGUCAUACCUAAAGUGUAAAUUUUGGGACAGUCUCAUACAUCCGUUAGUCAAACUGUUAAGUCUCCUGUUAACUGAUGACAUGGCGCCCAUGUGGACAAUAACUGAGUUCCACGUGUCAUUAAGUGGUCCACGUGGUUUUUUUUUUUUUAGAGAAAGAGUUUUAAAAAAAAAUUUCCUGCCCAAAAUUUUUAACCCAUAAUCGUGUACCUUACAUUUUUCCCGCCAAAUUUUUUUGGAAAAAAAAUAAAAUUAAAUAGGGAAAAAACCCCAACUUUCAACUCUAAAUCUACAAAUUCAAUUCCAAAAAAACUUUGAAUUCUAACUCUGCAAAUUCAUCAUUUAAACUACCAACUACCAACAAAGUUCAAUUGUCAACAACUUUCAAUUCAUAACAAAUUUCAAUAUACACCCUCCAAUUCACACGAAAGUAUCAAAAGACCACAACUUUAACAACUAAUGGGUCAAGGUGUUCUUCCAAAAACCAAAAUAAGAGUACCAAAAACACCAAAGAUAUGUCCAAAACACUAAAAUCUGUCAGAAAGUUGUUUCCAAAAAACCUAAGGGCAUAUUCAACUAUAACAAAAUGAACCCUUAAACAACCUAAAGCAUUAAAGCAACAUCAUGGAACAUUCCUCCUCCUUUUCUAACCUCUUGCGGUAGACUUUGAAGUGGUUUGAGAGGCUUGAGUUGGCUGAGAUAAAGGUUGUGGAGCUUUCUGAAUGCAUGUUGGCUGUGAUGACUGAGAGGGUUAUGAUACCUUAGAUGUUGAGGCCCAAGUAAUGAACCCAAAUAGCAUUAGCAUUGACAGAUACUACACUUCACAAAUAACAAAUUCACUUAAGAAAUGAAAAAUCAACAAAAAAAUAUCUAAAUUAUACCUCAUUUUUCUUGCUUUUUCUUCCUUUUCUAGCAGUUGAAGGAGGAUGAGUGGUUAGGCAUCUGGCCUUGUUGUGUCCCGAGUCCUUGCAAACACUACACUUCACACUUUUUUUGCCCUCUCUUGCUUAACUUGAUUCAUUUUCAUCAUCCUCCCUAUUCUCCUCUUUUUUGGUUUCCCAGGUUGCCUUUUAAAAGUUGGAGGAAGAAUGCAUUUGUUUUCAGAUGGCUCCUAAAAUUUCAUGCCUUGGAUGGGUUGAAUCAAGUUUUCGUAAGCUUCAAAGUACUUCUCCUUCUUGUACCAAGAGGAAACAAAUUCCUCAGGUUAUCUCCUUGCAUAAUAGAUGGCCGAGCAACCAUGUAUACAAGGAAAGUCUGUCAAAUCUUAUCUUCUACAUAAGCAAGUGCAACCAUUCAAAUCCACCACAAAUAUAUUGCCUCUGCCUUCAUCCACUUCAAAAUUUUCUCCUAGUGUGUGAGCUUUUCAGUUUGUACUCCUCCAACAUCUUCUGGAUUUUUUGGCAGAUAGCUUCUUUAUCCUUCCACAUUGCAUCUCUUCUUAACCAUAUCCUCUUCAUCAAUAAAACUCUUAUAGUUUCCAACAUGGUAAUAAUAGGCUUGUCCCUAGACCUUAGGAUAAAAGAAUUAAAGCUCUCUCAGAGGUUGUUUAAGAGAAUGUCACACUGAGUGUGUGUCUCAAAGUGUGAUCUACUCCAAUACAAGGCUGGUCUCUUUACCAACCGUUUAUAAGCUUCGACAUUCAACCUAUUCACCUCAGUCAUACUCUCUCUAAAAUCAGUGAUGGUUAUUACGUUGGCAGCAUUCCACAAGGCAUCCUGUAAUCAUUUCCCUUUAAACCCAUCUGCCUUGUAGUUGGUGUAUAAGUGCCUAACACAUAACCGAUGAUUACAAUUAGGAAGCACUUUCUCAAAAGCUGGUAUUAAACCUUUUUGUUUGUUAGAAAUGAAAGUCUAAGCACGCUGAUUCACAAUUCCCAAGUCAGCAGCUAGCAGCUCCAGAAACCAAACUCAACUGUCCUUGUUCUCGAGCUCUACUAUGGCAUAUGCAAUAACCCAAGUUUGGUUAUUUGCAUCUAUUCCCACUGUAGACAGUAACUGGCCCUUGAACACUCCCUUCACGUGACAACCAUCCAACCCUACAAGCUGCCUAUAUCUAUUCUUAAAUCCAUUUUUGCAAGCCCUUAAACAAAUAUAAAUCCUCUGAAAUAUCACAUGAGCAUCAUCAUAGGGCAGCACCUUCAUCUGAACUGUACUACCCGGGUUUGUCCUCCUAAGCUUAUCACAGUACUCCCACAACUUUGUGUAUUGAUCCAUGUUACUCCCCUCAAGGAUUUUCAAACACUGUGCUAUCACUCUGUAUGCUGUCUUAAGGUGGAUCUCAACCAUUCUUGCCUCCUUCAUUGUCUCUAUAAAUGUAGUGAUGGGCAUGCUUGGGUUGAGUCUGAACUUGUCUACAUACCUCUUCACAAGCCAUGCCACUUUGCAGUUAGGAUUUUCCCUCCAAAUCCUCGGACAUUCCUAUUUCCCAACAUAGGUUUUCACUUGCAUUGAAUCUUCAUUGUACAUCCUGGAAGCAUACAAUCUCCAUAUACAGUUUUUCUCACACCUUGCACUAAUAUUCCAUUUCUCAUUCCUUUUUAGCUUAAUAGAAAGUGCACCAUGCUUAAUGGAGUGAGACCACACUGCCUCUCUCAACUGUGUAGCAUCUUUGAACUUCAAUCUCUUUUCAAACUUUGGAUCAUCUUUGUCAGCUUCUUCAUUAAACUCAGGGUAGAUGACAUUCUCAUCACAUUCUGAACCUGAAUCGUCAACACUGUGCAGGCCAUCUAAGUUUUGUCUCUCAUCAUCAAGGAGAACGUCUUCUACAUACCUUGCAUUAAUAACGUCUUAUGGAUGUUGAUUCCCAAUCCCUUCACCCCUUUCAGCAUCUCCAAUAACACUUUCUACAGCCCUAUCAUCUACUGCAAGACGAUCAUCAUCUUCCUCUACAUUUACUACCACAAACAAUGCAUAUUUGUUAAAAACAUAAACUUUGCAAAAAUAAUUGAAUACUAAAGUUAAAAUUGUUAAAAUAAAUGUUUCAAAAUUUUACCUUUAUUAGCUUCUACUUUGGCCCCUUCAUUAACUUAUUCAGCUUCGUGACCUUCUUCCGUUUCAUCACUUUCAUUAUCAGCAUUGAGAUGACCAUCUUCAGCCUCAUCUCCAUUUCCUUGUUCUCCCUCAGUUGCUUCAGCCUCAUGUUCAUCAUCACCAUUGUAUGCUAUGUCAUUCAAAAGACAUAGCCGUUUUUCUAAGUGAUCCGCACCCCUUUUUGCUCUACCCUUCUUCAGUUUUGAUCUACUUCCCUUUGUAAUCGAAAUCGCCACCCUCGAUUCCUCAAUAUCUUCUAUAAUGACACCUUUUUAAUAUGCCACUCUCAUCUAGAUUCAUCAAAAGCUUAUGUUUCAAGGCAGCUUGCUUUGGACUUAGAUGUUCUAGGUACAUUUCUAUUUACCUAGCCCCUGGAACAUACUUGCACAUUUCACCCACAUCUUGGUCCUGUUCAAUAAGCCUUAAUCCCUCCCUAUAAGACAUCCCAAGAAUCCUAUAGUGAUACAACAUAAACCCAUCAUAUCCUAACUCCUUAACCAUUUCAUCAAUCUCGAAAAAAGACAUGAAGUCUUUGUCUACGUAAUCAAACUAAGCCUCAAACCCUCCUGUAUAUGCAUUUUCAGACCACUUCCCACCGUGGUUGAUUUUAAGGCUAAAUAAUUCGGGCAUGCCUGCAAAGUCAAGGAGAAAGGUUAAAAUAUCGUAAAAUUUUAAGGUUUUAAAACCCAAAAAGUUAACCUAAAACACUAGUAGGACCAUGAGGAAAAAUGGUGAAAACAAAACCAUGGGGAUCAUGAAUACAAGGUUUUUUAAAGGUUGCAAUUGGGACCACGAUUGAAGACAAAACCACAUGCAAAUUGAAAACAAUUAACAAUGCAGGAAACCCACUACAAAACACAAUUCCAGAAACCAUAGAAAAAAAGGGAUUGGAACUAACAGAUCCCCCUAAUCCCUAAAAUUCAAAAUUGAAAAAUCGGAAAACCUAAACCCAUAUCAUCUACACUUCGAAAAAAGGUAGGUUACUUACAAUAAACUAGUGUUUCACCCACUUCAAUCCUCCUUUUUUCCCACCCCAUCGCCAGCGAUGGCUUCACGACAACCUUGCCCAGAAACGGUGCCUCUUCUUUGAUGUGCAAAGGUGUGCGCAACGUACGACGGCGUGUGAGGUGGAGUGACGGCGAGGUCGAGUGAUGGGGAGUUUGGUAGGGUUUCGGACGGAGAUUGGGGGUCGCGAUUUAUGGGGGAGUGAAAAGUGGUUUUCACUUUUCACUUUUUCACUUUUACCUAAUCCCCUCUAAAAAAUAAAUAAAAAAUCCACAUGGACCCUUAAUGACAUAUGGUGCCCAAUCAAUGUCCACAUGGGCACCACGUCAUCAGUUAACGGGAGACUUAACAGUUUGACUAACGGAUGUAUGAGACUGUCCCAAAAUUUACACUUUAGGUAUAACUCUGGGAUGAAAAAAACUUGAUGUACUAAAUGUUGAAAACCACGAAACAUGAGGGUAGUAAACUGAGAUUUACCAAAAAAUUAAAGGUAAACUAACAACAUAAGGUAAUCAGCCAUGGUAAUACAAAAUUAUUAUAAAACUUUGUAGGGCUGUGGAAUCUUCAUUUUAGUUCUGAAUUUCGUUCUGCUUGCGCUCACACGUUCAUAUUGAUGAGCAUUACGAGAAAAUAUUACGAUGAUAUGUCAUACGUGAGUUUUCGCUGAAAAUUUUUUUUGAUGGAUUUUGCAAUAUGGCAGCCAUGAUUUGCAGAGCCCACCAUCGUAAGGCAGGCGAAUUGGAGAUAAUAUUAUGCUUUUGAAGGAGUUUCUUAAAAAUUACCAUAGAAAUAAUGGUCCUCCUAGAUGUGCCUUGCAGGUGGACAUUCUGAUAGCUUAUGAUACCUUGUUGGAAAAUGGGGUUACUAGGAUUAGGCUGGUUCAUAGUUCGAUUCCAUUUAAUUGUAAUUGGAAGAAGAAAAAAAAAUUACUAAAAACACUUUCAAACGAAUUCGUACAAAAUUUAUAUGUUACGACUAAUAGUAAGCCUACUAUUGUUCAAAAUCGAUUACCAAUUCUAAUUGUGAUGUUUGUACCGUGAAACAACGUGAUGCCACGAAGAAGAUGGCUCAAGCCAUGUAUUGUCCUUUGAGAAGUUGGGGUUGGGAAGCAUUGCAUCUAAUUUUCUUUCACUUUAUCCUUUUCUUGUUAAAGAGAAUACCAAAUGGUUCGUGAGCAAAGCAUCCAAAUCUUUUUCACUUUUUUCUUGAUAAAGAGAAACACAAAAUGGGUUCGAAAGCAAUACACCACAUUCUCCUUCACUUUGUCUUUUUCUUGUUAAAGGAGGAUGAAAAUACCUUACUUUAGAAUCACCUCCUCUUGAGGUAUUGCUUGUUAGAUAUAUUUUAUUGCUUCUCUAUUUAUAUUGUUAGAAAACUCUUAUUAACCCUUCCCCAUUGAAGUUAUCUGCUCAUAUAUUUGCAUUGUUGAGGUAACAUAAUCUGUCCUCUUUGUGCAUGAUACCAUUCAACAUUCAUAUUUUCUAGCAAAUUCGUGAAGUAUCAAUACCAGUACUAGACACAUGAGUUGUUGCUAAAUAAAGCAUAGAUUUCAGAAUUUCAUUUUUGUUCUGCCGGACAAUUACAUUGAGUUGAUUUACAAUACAGGUACAUAUGUACAUCUUGGAAACUUUAUUUCUUUUCAAUAUUUAUCGUUUUAGGUGUUUCUUUUUACCCCUGUGUGACUAAGAAACUAAAGUGUUGGAUUUACAUUAUAUUUUCUAGCAAAUUCGUGAAGCACCAGGUCUAGUACCAGACAUAUUGUUGUUGAACAAGGCAUAGAUUUCAGAAUUUCAUUUUUUUCUCUGCCGAACAGUUGCAUUGGGUUGAUUUACAAUACAGGUACGUAUGUACUUCUUAGAAACUCCAUUUCUUUUCAAUAUUUAUUGUUUUAGGUGUUUGUACUAUAUGUUAUUGUGUUUUGAUGUUCAACCACGUCAGCUAAUCCACCCUUACAAUCGAAAUUUUUAUUUUUCUCAUCGCAAUACAAAAAGUUUGAAAUCGCUUCCGCUAUAUGGUGGUGAAAUGUACACUAUUUGAAAUUUGCAUAUUGUAAAAUAAUAAGGAGUAAAUAAAUAUACACAUGCACUGAAACCAUCAACUGAAAAUAUGACUUUAUCCCUUAAAAUUCAAUUUUCUUUUACUAAAACUCAUCAUAUUAUAUUUUCCUAACAAAAACUCAAUGACUUUACAUGUAUAUUUUUUUUUGCUUCUCCUGUUUAUAUUGUUAGAAAGCUCUAAUUAACUCUUCGCCAUAGAAGUUAUCUGCUCAUAUAUAUUUGCAUUGAUGUGCAUGAUCUGCCCUCCUUAUGCAUGCUAACAUUCAGCAUUCAAAUUUUCUAGCAAAUUUGUGAAGCACCACUACCAGUACCUGACAUAUGACUUGUUGCUAAACAAGGCAUAGAUUUCAAAAUUUCAAUUUUAAUUUGCCAGACAAUUGAUUGCGUUGAUUUACGAUACAGGUACGUACGUACUUUUCGAAACUCUAUUUCUUUCCAUUAUUUGUUGUUUUAGACGUUUGUUUUUACCCUGCCUGACCAAGAAACAAAAGUGUUAAUUUAACAUUCUAGUACCCGCCAAAUAUUGUAUUUCGGCUGAGCUCCAACACUAUGACUAGGCGCCAACUCAACAAUUUUAUUGAUUAGCUUUGACUUCACAUAGUUUUGUAUUUUUAGAUGUCUAAAAUACCCCUAGUAACUUAUGUCAAAUUAAAAACAAAUUUUAAAAUCAUGAUUUCAUUGCAUAUUAAUAAUAAUAGGAUAUGAUGCUAGGGUUUUCAUUUGUUUUAUUUUUUUCCCCUUUAAAUUCCUUAGUUGCUUUUCAAAUUUGCAUAAAUUAGGAUUUUUUUUUUGGUUUAGUUUUUCCGUUUUCAAAAUAUGUGAGCAUUAGUUACCAACAAAAUAUAAGAAUGUUAUUUUUUUUCCAAAAUUAUUUAAUUAUAUUCUAUAUAAAUAUAGGUAAAUUAUUUCUCUACACAUAUAUAAUAACAAUAAAAUGUGGUUAAUGUAUGUAAUAAUACAUGCAAAAUAAUUUACCUUCAACAUAAAGGAUGUGAUUUGGUUCAAGAUUUAUUUUACCUAUAUUUCACAUAUAGGUAUAGGUAAAUUAUGAAAGAUUCAUUUUUUUUUUAAUUUUUUUUUAUUUUUAUUUUUGUCUUUUGGCUUAACAUAUAUAGAUAAGUAAAUCAUUUUUUGUCAUUUGGUUUGAUAUAAAGGAUGUCAUGUGUCAUUUGGUUCAAAAAAAUAUAAGUAAAUUAUUUUAUGAAGAUUAUCAUUAUAUAAUAAUAAUAAAAAGGAGAAUAUAUAUAUAUAUAUAUAUAUAUAUAUAUAUAUAUAUUGUUUCAAUUAUGUAAAUAGUUUGUAAUAUGAGGUUAUUUCUUUGUCUACAUGUCAAUGGAUUUAGAUUCCGUUUACAAGAGUUAAUACCAAACAUACAAUUUCAGUUGCCCUUGGACAGAAGCCACUAAAUGAGUAAAGGACAACGGGACGAAACAACCUUCUACCUGGCCUAUGUACCUUGCCACUUUCAAUAAAAACAGGUGUGUUUCAAUUUGAUAUUUAAAUAUAUGUGGAUUUUGGGCUGCCCAUUGUGUGACUUUACCGAACUCCCCCUCCCAUUAAUGUAAAAAUAUCGAUGUACUAAAAAAUAUAUAUGUGGAUUUUUGUUUAAAAAGUAAAAUUACAAAGGUCUAUUUCUAAAGAACCCUAUGUAUCAACAACAAUUUCAACUAAUUCAAGUCCAGCAGCACAAUAAACUCAAAUAAAAAUUCAAUUAUUUUAAACACAGUGAUGAUCUUAUAUUCAAAGAUAAUUUUGAUCUAGGUGCUUGAUUUUUGAAUUUGAUAGACCCAACAUCCCUAGCUUUUAGACUUUUUAUUAAACUACUUUCUACAAUUUUGGUGCCACGAUUUUUAAAACGUCCUCUUUCUAAAAUUCAAAAUAACAUGAACUGUCAUUAAUCCACCAAUUUAUUCCAGAAACAAUAUCCAAAGCUCCUAAAUCUAGCCUUCUUUAAACCAAAAUUAUUAUUAUUACUCCAACAUAAAAAUACAUAAUUAUUAAGUUAUCAAUCAAUGAUAUGUACCAAAAAUUAAAAUUAUACAUACCAAAAACUAAAAUGAAACGUACCAUUAACUAAAAUAAAACAUACCAAAUACUAAAACUAAACAUACCAAUCAAUGAUAUGUGCACAACUGAACAUACCAAAAAACAAAAUUAAGUAUGAAAACCAAUAAUAAACGUACCAAUAAUGUAUACAAAAUAAUUCUCUUAAUAAAAUGUAUAUAUAACAAUUUAAAAAAUAUAAACAUCCACCAUUUUCGUUAUCUUGAACGUAAAAUUAUAUUUUAAUUUUAGGAGAAAAAAUAUUUUGUACGAAAAAAUUAUUAAAAAGAGAAUUGGAUAAAUAUAUUGAAUGAAAAACCAAGAUUAUCUCCAAAAAAAAUCGCUUAACUAAUUAAAGGACAAAUUAAGAAACCAAUAUACAGUGAGGUAUAUGGUAAUGGCAUGAGGAUGAAUGAAAAAACAACGGAAUAAAAAAAAAUAAAAAAAAAUUAAAACUAAAAAAUGGCCACGAUAUAUUCCGUUAUCAUAUUGUGAAAUCUUACAAUAUUGGGGACAUCGUGAUAUUAUAUGAUAUCUCGCAAAACAGUUUUCGUGAUGUGAUACUAGCUAAUUGUAAUACUUUUGUAAUAAUAUAGUACUAAAAACUGAAGUAAACAUACAUGUAAUAGUUCAUUUGUCACACAAGUCUAUACUUGUCAUGGAUAUUUUUUGAUAGAUCUUUGUGACUCAUUUCGAACUAAUACUAACUAAUUGUUAGUCAAGUGAGAAAUUUUCUAAUUAGAGAAAAAGGGCCUAAAUUUGAAUCGUAACUCCAGCUUUGAUAAAAUAAAAAUAAAAAUAAAUACCACUUAGAUUUAAACAGGACAAAAAUAUCUAAUAUUGUGUUGGGGUAGUGCUUCUUUGGUUUUAGGUAGUAGAGCACUGAGCACGAGACUUAAAAAAGCUACCAACAAAGAGGAGCAUUCAAGCCAUGGUCUUUGAUUUCAGAAGGAAAUGGAAAUUAUAAUUGCAAUUGCCUCAAAAAUUGGAGAGUCAUUGGUCGCACCAAUAGGAACAGAGUCUGCCUAUUUGAUUAAUUACCAUUCCAACCUAGAAAAUCUUAAGCGUGAGAUAAAAAAGCUCUGUGACAAGAAAAAUGGAGUGCAGGGAUGGGUAAAUGCUGCCAAAAGGAACGGUAAAUUUAUCCACCCUGAUAUUCAGAGUUGGCUAAAGAAUGUGGACGAAAUGAUCCAAAAAGUGUCGCAUUUUGAGGUUGAGAUUAACAGGAAAAGGCGAUGUAUGUAUCGAUGGAGCUUGAGUCGGAAAGCCUAUAAGAUUACACAACAUGUUCUCCAGCUCCAAAACGAAGGAACAUUUGAAAAUGUGGCCCAUGCUGCUCCUUCACGAGAGAUAUGGUCAACAUUCAAAGACGGAUUUAAACAUUUCAAGUCCAGAAUGGAAAACAUGAAUGAGGUGAUAGAGGGUUUGAAGAGGGAAUAAGUAAGAAUGAUCGGGAUUUGUGGAAUGGGGGGUGUGGGUAAAACCACACUGGCGAAAGAAAUCAUCAAAAGAUUAGCAGAACUGAACAUGUUUGAUAAAACUGUAAUGGCAACUGUGUCUCAAAGCCCAAGUAUUAAGACGAUCCAGUUGGACAUUGCAGCACAAAUAGAUUUGAAAUUUGAUAAGGAUUCUAAGUCCGGAAGAGCACUAAAGCUGCAUGACAGACUCAUGGAAAUAAGGAGGAUCCUGAUUGUGUUAGAUGAUGUAUGGACAGAGCUUAAUUUUGAGGCUAUAGGACUUCCUUAUGCACAUACUCAUAAAGGGUGCAAAAUUUUGUUGACAUCACGGAAUUUGGAAGUCUGCGAUGCGAUGGAAAGUCAACAAAUUAUUGCGGUCCCAACUUUAACAACAGAAGAAUCACGGGAGCUCUUUAGAGAAAUCGUAGGUGAAUCCUUCGAUGAUCCAGAUUUCCAUUCCAUUGCAGAAGAGGUCGUGAAUGAAUGUGGAGGUUUACCUAUUGCUAUUGUAACUGUUGGAAAAGCCCUAGAAAAGAAAAAGAAGCACGAAUGGGUUAAUGCCCUUAAUCAGCUGCGAAAGUCUAUCCCAAAGAACAUCCCUGGACUAGACGACAAAGUUUAUUCAAGCAUAAAAUGGAGUUAUGAUGGAUUGGAGAGUGAUGAAGCCAAGCCAUGUCUUUUACUUUGUUGUUUAUUUCCAGAAGAUUAUAACAUUCCAAUUGAGGAUUUGGUUCGAUAUGGGUGGGGUCGAGGAUAUUUUAGCAGCAGCGAUACUUUGGAAGAAGCAAGAAAUAAAGUGCAUUCUUUGGUUGACCAACUACAAAGAAGGUUUUUGUUACUAGAUGGUGGCAGGAGUGAGACAAUAAAAAUGCAUGACAUAGUUCGCGAUGUUGCCAUAUCAAUUGCUUCAAGAGAUCCACAUGGAUUUCUGAUAAGAAGUAAUGCUGAAAAUAAAGGGUGGCCAAAUUUAGCUACAUAUGACCAUUGCACUACAAUCUCACUUGUUGGUAAAUUGGAGAUUCCAGUUGGUUUGAAAUGCCCAAAACUUGAGUUUCUACAGACGAUGAAAGGACGUUUUUCAGAAGGUAGCAUGGACAUCAUUUGUGAUGCGAUGAAAGAACUGAAGGUUUUAGCUUUGGUGGAAAUGGAAGACCUAGGCUCAUCAAGAUCACUAGGAUUACUGAAGAACCUGCGGACCUUGUGCCUAGAUGGGUCUAAAUUUGAUGGCACGUCUGCUGAUGUUAUUGGGAGUUUGGAGAAUUUAGAAAUCCUCAGCUUUCGGGAUUGUGAUUCCAUGCGUGAGUUGCCGAGGGAAAUUGGACGACUUAAACAGUUGAGGUUGUUAGAUACGACAAACUGCGAGGAACUUGAGGUGAUUCCACAUGGUAUCUUCUCCAGCUUAUGUAGACUUGAAGAGUUGUAUAUGGUUAAUAGCUUUAACGAAUGGGAAAUUGGAAGAGGAAGAGAAGAAAAGGGGAUGGCAAGCAUUUCUGAGGUGAUGUCUCUGUCCGAUCAUUUGAAGGUUCUAGCCAUAGAGAUACCCAGUGUCAUCCACUUGUUGACAAAAGACAUAGUCUUGAAAAGCCCAACAAUAAGAUUCCUUAUACGCUGUGCAACAUGGGUAGGGCAUUUUUCGGAGAUGAGUACUUAUGCAUUCGAAAAUUGUUUGGAGAUUAGUGAAAGUGAUGCAAGGGAGUUGGAGGAGAGUCAAGCAGUCAGACUUUUGUUGAAAAAAUCUAAAAAAUUGUAUUUGUCGGAGGUUAAGAAUUUCUCUGUCCUCACUGAUUUAGACCAAGAAGGAUUUCAAGAUUUGAAAGAUUUGGAUCUUUGGUAUUGUCCACAUAUCGAGUAUCUUGCAAAUGGAACAAGUGGGUUUUUGACCAACCUAAGAUUCCUUAAAUUGGGAAGUUGUGGUGUCUUAAAAUAUGUAUUUUCACUAUCAGCAGCGAGAAACUUGGUACAACUCCAAGAAUUAAACAUUGAUGGAUGUGAUCAAAUGGAAGAAAUUGUAUCGAAGCAGGGGAGGGAACAUGAGGAGGAAGCCGAUAUGAUACCUUUCCAUAAAUUAACCAAUUUGACUCUCGAGGGUCUAGGGAGUUUGGUUGGUUUCUUCCAAGCCAAGAAGCUAUACUCCAACCAAGAGGUAUGUCCCACUCUCCAAUCUCUAUGAUAUGAGGAGGCAGCCGAUAUGUGGAAAUUUGAAAUUGUGUUAACUGAUAAUGAUUUUUCUUUUUCAGGAAACAACGGCAAGGGUUGAGCAUCAAUCUGCAGGCAUAUUUGAAAAAGCAAUAUUCCCAUCAACGUGCAUUUCAUGGUUUCCAAGUUUAGAAAAGGUGAGAUUGGGAUUUAUGGAGUUUGAAGGCGUGCUAUUUGAUCUUAAAAUCCAUGUUAUGGAUGGGCAGGCAGCUCCAACUUUUCCCCAGUUACGUGGGUUGGAGAUAAUUUUUUGUUCGUUUACACAUUUGUGGAAAAACAUUCGGUCUGGAUUUCAGGAUUUCCGAAAUUUGAGAUGUUUGGAUAUAAGAGAAUGUUGUGGGCUAAAAUAUGUGUUCUCGCAUUUAAUUGCCCGAGAACUUUUGAAUCUUGAAGAGGUAAAGAUAGCAAAAUGUCCGAACAUGGAAACUAUAGUCAGAAUCACAGAGCAAAAUGAAGAAGAGGCGACAAAAUACAUGAUUUUGUUUCCGAAACUGAACACAUUUGAACUAGAAGACCUGCCUCGUCUCACAAGUCUUUGUCCAGAGGGAUUUACAUUUCUAUGGUCAUCCACAAAAAAAAUGCACGUGAAAAGAUGUGAAAAUUUGAAGACAUUGGGUGCUGUAAUUCCACAAAGAAAGAAGUUGGAGAAUAACUUGAAGAAGGAUUCAACAAGUCAUGAUUUUAGCACUUCUCCAACACGUUCAUCAAAUUGGUGCCCUGCUGGAUGUGGAUGCGCACCGUAUUCAAGACCAAACGCCCACCGCCCCAUUGAAAUAUUGCCACGUCCAAUUAACCUGGAGGUAAGCUUUUAAAUCAGGUUCAAUUAACCUCUAUAAGUACAACUUUUAAUCAGUAUUGUAUCAUCUUGUUGAUCGUGCUUAAUUUUCUAGGUUACACCAACUAAUCUUGAGGACUCAAAUGAUGAUGAUAAUCUCGAAAAUCUUACUGUAAGUGACUGUAAUUCGAUGGAAGUGAUUUUCCAACUCAAGGGACCGAAGCAUGAAGAAAGUAGUCACUCCAUUGAAGCAUUCAAUAAAUUGAGUUCCUUGCGGUUAGAUAGAUUGCCAGGUUUAACGCGUGUUUGGGAGACGGGUAGUUCACAACCGAUGUUGACAGGAAGCAGCUUCGGAAACUUGAAAUCGCUGGAGGUUGGUUUUUGCAACCAGUUGAAAUACUUGUUUUCAUCGUCCAUAGUCAAACUUCUCGUGAGUAUAGAGGACAUAGAAGUUCAUAACUGUGAGAAGAUGGAAGAAAUCGUUGCCGCAGAAGAAGAAACUGAUGAAACAAUUACAUUACCUAAAGUGAAGUCCAUCAAGCUUGAAAGUCUGCCAAAACUCAAGUAUUUUUGUGGUGAAGCUUAUACUUUGAAGUUGCCGUCUUUGGAGUUAUUGGAGUUUGAUGACGUGCAAAACUUAAGCCUAUUAGCUCCAAAGCUUAUUGCCACACAUCCCCGAUUGCAAGUACGCACCGCGUUGGGAGUGGCUGAAUGGAAGGGGGACCUCAAUGCCACUCUAAGGAAUAUUUACGUCACAAGGUAUGCUUUAAUAUAAGGUUUUUAAUUUCCAAUCAUUUAUGGCAAACACCACAAAAAAUUCGACAACAAAUUUAGGCAAAGCAUAAUCAACAGUUCAGAUUUAGUUUGACGAAAGUGUAAUCAAAAUUUAGUCAAAAACCAUAUACACACACACACACACACAUAUAUGUAUAUAUGUAUAUAUGUAUGUGCGUAUGUGCACACUAGAGUGUAUUUAGAUAUGUUUUUCUUCUUUUGAAAACUCAAUUAUAUCUCAAGAAAACUUCUGUCUUUUAUUUCUAACACAGGAAGGGUGAAGAUGAUGAAAUCGACAGGGAGGACGAACACAAUUAAUUGAUCAAGCACAAAGGUUAACAUGUCUCCAUCUUCAACUUCUUCUAGGCUUAGAAACUGCUAUUUUCGGAAACACAUAUACAAUAAGCAUAACCGUUUCAACUUAUUUGAGUUUCAGUGAUUUCUAAUAUUCUCCAAUGCAUGCAGGACAACAAUUCAAAGAAGGUUGUGGCUUCAACAAUUCGUUUACCAUCUCAUAUGUACAAACCAAUAAAAUGUCAUUUGUUGCAUCAGACUUUCAUUCCAAAAUACUAUUUAUGUUGCUUAUUUUAUGCAUGUAUAAUAAAUUUCGAGUGUGAUUGUUACUGUUUGUAUCUAAGUUCGCAUUAUUAAUGUAUGUUUAUUUGCACCAAGAAAUGAGAAAUGCUUAUGUAAAAAUAAAUGAAUAAGAUUAAACAAGAAAAACUUUACGCUACUCAAACUUGCAAACACUCAAACUACAAGCAUUAUGAAUAAACACGGAAUCAGGCUACGCAAUUGCCUUCAUCAUAACAUGAUUUUGGCCCCCAUUUUAUAAUUUCCUACCACAUUUUCACAUUCUUUCCAUGAAUUUUAUAAUACAUAUGCAAAAGAGUUCAAUCUAGGGGCUCCAAAAAUAUCACAGACAGAACAAUUAACACAAAUCGAAUAAAAAUUUGAAAUCAUGAAUCGAUCCCAAAACUGAAAGUUGAAAUUUUUGAAAAGAACUUACAUCGGAGGACAGCCCACCGGGACAGGAUCAUUUAUACCUCUUGGGUCGAGAAUAUUGGCCGGAAAACCGCGGUCACCGUUUCUUUGAUCUGAAAUUGAGGAAAUUUGGCUACGAAUCUGUAGAAACUAACUUGGGAGUUGGAAAGAGGACGGAAAGAGGAGUCUGGAUAUGUAAUUUGACGGCCGUUGGUGACCGGUGGACGAAAAUAAACUUCAUGCGAAAACAAGACCAGAUUGAGGUAAGAAAGAAAAAUACAUACGCAGAAAUAACAUGUCAGUCAGGCAAGACAAGUAAUUGCAACCAUAACAGAACACAAUGAAGAAACAUACCAUGAGGAUUUUGAACAAACAUAAUGAAGUGUAACCAACAGCAUACAAAUAUCAAAAAUAUAGAAAAGAAUGCUAUACAAUCACUAUAAGUGAUUUCAAAGGCCAUCUUCUAUUUCUGUUUCUGGGAAAAAGUCAUGUCGUCAAGAUAUCAUUCCAUUUCCUUACCAUGAUGAGUAAAAUGAAAUUUGAACUUGCUUGCUGUUCUUGCAUAUCUUCUCCUCAUCCUGGUUACCAACCCAGCAAGUCUUCACCAAUCCAUCUAUGAUGUACGUACGUCAUUGUAAUAUCAUGUGAUGCAGCUUACCUAGAUUAUAUUUCCUGUAGCCUAAGUUUAGAUAUUUCCUUUGCAGAGGGUAUAGCGUGCAAGGUCCUAAGAACUUUACCAAAUUAUCAUCCUUCGAGUAUAGAAAAUCUUCCAAAUGUAUAAACGAAAUAAACUUGUGACAGAACCAAAGAAUGCAAAUGCUUAUCAUCAUUUACUAAUCCAUAUGCAUAAUUUAAACAUUUUCAUAUUCAUUAGAAGCAUACAGAAAAGAUACAUGGCACACAAGAUAUGUACUUUUCGACGUAGGAGCUCAAUUCUUGUAUACAGACACACUUCCUUUAGCUUGCAUUGGACCUCGUACUUUCCACUAAUGUAAAUGCCACAUCAAAAGUGAAAGAGCGACUCCGGAAACCAAUUACAUCCAUGUGCUUGCACUUCAAUGCAGAAACAGAACAAAACAUAAUCCUAAAGUUUUCGGACCAUCAUUAAACACGCAAGCAUAACAAACAUUCACAAUCCAGCAAAUGGGUGUUCAUAAUUUCAAGCAGAAACACCAAAAGUCAAAGAAAAUAAUGAAUUAAAUUAUGAAAAAUUUUGUACUCAAGUAUCUCCCGUGAACUUGAACCAAGUCUCAGCACAUUGCUUAUAAGCAGCACCCAAAUCCCCCUUGCAAGAACACCCCAAGUCAAUCGGGACCCCAGAGGCAGGGUCGGUCCCACCACCUCCCUCCAAACCCAAGUGGCAAAUCCUGCAAUUUCUCUCAACUUUACUCAAAUGCACCACCUUCUUCACCUUCGAAACCCCACUCUCUCCACUGAACAGCAUUGGAUGUCGUCAGAGUCAUCCGAGUCCGACGCACCGCUGCCUCCGGUGGCCAAACGGCGGUGGUGGGUUGUCUCGGGAGCUGACAUUCGUGAAACCCAGAAAGAGAAAUGGCGUGAAAUGGUAAAGUGUUAAAGUUGCGGCAUUCGGAGAUCAAACAUGGUGGGGUUAUAGAGCAGGUGGAGAUGUUUUUUCUCUAUCCUCAAUCAAAAUAUCAAUCUGCAGGCAUAUUUGAAAAAGCAAUAUUUCCAUCAAAGUGCAUUUCAUGGUUUCCAAGUUUAAAAGAUGUACGUUUGGAAUUUAUGAAGUUUGAAGGCGUGCUAUUUGAUCUGAAAACCCAUGGCCAGACAACUCCAAUAUUUCCCCAGUUACGUGAGUUGCGGAUAUUCGAUACUUCGUUUACACACUUGUGGAAAAACAUUCCGUCUGGAUUUCAAGGCUUCCAAAAUUUGAGAUAUUUGCACAUAAGUUAUUGUUCUGGUCUAGAAUAUGUGUUCUCGCAUUUAAUUGCCCGAGAACUUUUGAAUCUUGAAGAGGUAGAGAUAUCAACAUGUCUGGACAUGGAAACUAUAGUCAGAAUCACAAAGGAAAAAGAAGAAAAGGCGACAAAAGACAUGAUUUUGUUUCCGAAACUGAACACAUUUGAACUAGAAGACCUGCCUCGUCUCACAAGUCUUUUUCCAGAGGGAUCUACAUUUGUAUGGUCAUCCACAAAAUAUAUGCUGGAGAAUAACUUGAAGAAGGAUUCAACAAGUCAUGAUUUCAGCACUUCUCCAACAUGUUCAUCAAAUUGGUGCCCUGCUGGAUGUGGAUGCGCACCAUAUUCAAGACCAAACGCCCACCGCCCCAUUGAAAUAUUGCCACGUCCAAUUAACCUGGAGGUAAGCUUUUAAAUCAGGUUCAAUUAACCUCUAUAAGUACAACUUUUAAUUAGUAUUGUAUCAUCUUGUUGAUCGUGUAAUUUUCUAGGUUACACCAACUAAUCUUGAGGACUCAAAUGAUGAUGAUAAUCUCGAAAAUCUUACUGUAAAUGACUGUAAUUCGAUGGAAGUGAUUUUCCAACUCAAGGGACCGAAGCAGGAAGAAAGUAGUCACUCCAUUGAAGCAUUCAAUAAAUUGAGUUCCUUGCGGUUAGAUAGAUUGCCAGGUUUAACGCGUGUUUGGGAGAUGGGUAGUUCACAACCGAUGUUGACAGGAAGCAGCUUCGGAAACUUGAAAUCGCUGGAGGUUGGUUUUUGCAACCAGUUGAAAUACUUGUUUUCAUCGUCCAUAGUCAAACUUCUCGUGAGUAUAGAGGACAUAGAAGUUCAUAACUGUGAGAAGAUGGAAGAAAUCGUUGCCGCAGAAGAAGAAACUGAUGAAACAAUUACAUUACCUAAAGUGAAGUCCAUCAAGCUUGAAAGUCUGCCAAAACUCAAGUAUUUUUGUGGUGAAGCUUAUACUUUGAAGUUGCCGUCUUUGGAGUUAUUGGAGGUUAUUAAUGUGCAAGACUUAAGGCCAUUUGAUUCUAAGCUUGUUGACACGCAUAAUCCCCGAUUGCAAGUAAAACCCACAUUUCGACAGGAAUGGACAAGGUAUGCUUUAGAUUAAUGUUUCUAAUUUGCAUUCACUUUUGUGUCCACCUGAAAGACCGCAUCAUCAAUAUACAACCACUGAACCAACAAAGAUGACGAAAUCGACGGCAAGGAUGACGAUGACAAAAUCGAUGGCAAGGAUGAAGAUGACGAAACCAACAGGGAGGACGAACACAAUUGAUUGAUCAAGCACAAAGGUUAGAAUGCUUCCAUCUCCAACUUCUUCUAGGUUUAGUAAAAACUGAUGAAAAUUAUCUAUAUAGUACUCACAAAAAUAUUCUACCAUGUUUUAUAUAAUAUAUACAUACAUGUAUAGCACUUAAAAAAAUUGAACAGUUUGGAUCUAAAACCACAAUCUGCUACCUGUUUCAUUUUUUCGAGGUACCUAAUAGCAAUUAAGGUGAGAGGAAGAAGCAUUUCAGAUUACCAACUGCCUCAAGAGAAACCUUUAUCAGAAACACAUAUACAAUAAACAUAACCGUAGUGCUAAGUGGCCUAAAAAUUAAUUUAUCCUUAAACCGCUAUUUUUGGAAACACAUAUACAAUAAGCACAAGCGUUUCAACUUAUUCCAAUUUCAGUGAUUUCUAAUAUUCUCCAAUGCAUGCAGGAAAAGAGUUUAAAGAACGUUGUGGCUCCAGCAAUUCGUUUACCAUAUCAUAUGUACAAACCAAUAAAAGGACAUUUGUUGCACCAGAAUUUCAUUCCAAAAAUACUAUUUAUGUUGCUUAUUUUAUGUACCAUAAAUUUCGAUUGCGAUUAUUACUGUUUGUUUCUAAAUUCGCAUCAUUAGUGUUUGCUUAUUUGUGCUCGAGGUUGAUUAUACACGUGUAAGCUGAAUCACAUGUUUGUAGAAUGGACAAGCUGAAUAAAAUCUGUUUGCCCCCUAAAUGUAAUGGAAAUCAUAUGUAUCUAGGCAUGCUUAAUAUUUGAUAAAGAAAAACAUUUCUCAAAUAAAUGUCCACUCACACCUCCGGCAAGCUCUCCCUUGAGGAGCCUUGUCUACCAAAUAGGUAAACAUCUACUGGACAGCAAACUGCUGAAUACAACUAGAGUAAACAAGGAAUCAGGCUAUGCAAUUGCCAUCAUCAUAACAUGAUUUUGGCCCCCAUUUUCUAAUUUCCUACCACAUUUUCACAAUCUUUCCAUGAAUUUUAUAAUUCCUAUGCAACAGAGUUCGUUCAUCGCCUAUUCACAACAAUACAAGGUUCUACAGAGUUCAAUCCCACACCAUGUUAUAGACAUGCUUCAACUAUCAACCGGGAACGUAAUCGUUAGGGGUUUCAACAACUUCACUGAUACAACAAUUACUAUAAGUCUCAUCUCCGACAUUCAUACAGAAAAUCGAAUAAAAUUCGAAAUCAAGAAUCAAUCCCAAAACUGCAAGUUGAAAAUUUGGAAAAAGAACUUACAUUGGAGAACAGCCCACGAGAAGAGUAUCAUUUCUACCUCUUGGGUCGAGCUCCAAUUCCGGCGAUAUUGGCCGAAAACCCCUGGGUCACCGUUUCUUAGAUUUGAAGUUGAGGAAAAUCGCCUACGAAUUUAUAGAAACUAACUUGGGGGAUAGGAUAAGGGACGGCAAGAGCAUUCUGGAUGUGUAGUAUGAGAGCCUUUGGUGACCAGUGGACGACAGAGCUGUUGCGUCGGCACUCGGCAGUCUUCGGCUUGCUGUUAAAUGGGGCUCCUGUUGCAGCGCAACGCAAAAGAGAAGGAGGAGAGAGGAUACGGGAGAAGGAGAGAAAAUGGGUUUCUCCAACCUUUUUCAUUAGUUCUUUUCCACAUUUAUUUAUGGAAUAAACGAUAAUAUUUAUCAUCAAAAGUGUGUUUGGUACGUGAGAUGAGAAGGAACAUGUUUUGAUGAUAAUAAUGGCUAAAACUAAUAUAGUUCAAAUUUUUUUUAGUGAUAAUUGAAUAUAAGAUUUCUCUUACAAGUUACAAAUAAAAAUGAAUAUCAUUAAUUUUUUUUCACUUUUAAUACACAUGUAAAUAAAAAGAAACAAAAUGAAAAUGAAAAGAAAUAAAAUAAUUUGAAAUAGAAAUGAAAAAUAAAGGUAAAUUGACAGCAUAAGGUAAUCAGCCAUGGUAAUACAAAAUUAUUAUACUAUCCUUAAACAUUGUAGUGCCAUGGAAUCUUCAUUUUAGCUCUGAAUUUCCUUCUGCUUACGCUCACGCGUUCAUAUUGAUGAGCACUACGAAAAAAUAUUAAGAUGAUAGGUCAUACUCAUACGUUCGUUUUUGUUGAGAAUUUUUUUGAAGGAUUUUGCAAUAUGGCAACCAUGAUUUGCAAAGCCCACCAUCGUAGAGCUCGAUAUCGGCUUGACUUGUGGAGCCACCAUCGCAAAGAAGAACCUGGAAAGCUCAAUCCUUGUCUUUUUCUUAUAUAAGUGUCAUUUUGGUGAACCAAAUGUUCCGAUUCCAACAUCCAAAAUACCACAAUGUGAUUUUUUUUCAUACUACAAUUGGAUUGCAUCUUAAAAUUAUGAAGUCUUGGAGCAUUGGUCAUGCCAUCAUGCUGAUUUGUGUUGGAUUUCGUUAGAGAUCGUAAUUAAUCAAUCACCCUUUUUGUGUCUCCCUUCAAAAGCUCAAAUUGAAAUCUGAACUCCCUAGCAAAUAAGAGCCCAAUUUGACAACCAAAAUCUUCAUCGUUCGAGCAUCAAUGUUCUCUUAAAUUCACUACGAGCAAACCGCCAUGAAAUCUCCUUCAUGGACAUCUCAUAAAAUUAGAACGAUACAAAGAAGAUUAGUGUGACUCCUAAGCUAGGAUUACACGUAUGAAUCGUAAAAUAGUUCCUCCUCCACUAUUUGAUUCUCUCUUUCACUGGCUAACAAUAUUUUGCUCUACCUUUUCACCCUAAGUAAGAAAUGAGCAUUUUGUUAGCAUCUUUUUGAAAAUUUCAAAUUUGAUCCUAAUAUAUCUCUUUUGCACUAUUUGACUGAACGACAAAUUUUGAUUGUCUAAAUAUUUAUAUCAAAAUACAAAUAAUAUUGAUAUUAUAUAUUUAUAAUGUGACUGGAAUUGUAGUACCCAACAUAUCUAUCUUGAAAUAAAUUUUGUUGUCUAUGAAGUGGCCAACUCGACCCUCUCCUAUACUCUUUGAGUUUGUAUAAAUAUAUCAUUGUUUAACAAUUGACAUUCAGUACUGCGAUUUAGUGAUAUUCAUUAUCAGGUUCGAAUCUUAGGAGUAACGAGUUUGUGUAAAUAUAUCAUUGUAUUAAAGAAAAACAAAAAAAUAAAAAAUAAAACAAAAUAUUUUUUUUUGGUCUGACAAAAACACGAAAAUGCCCUUAAUGCCCAAAGUGACCCCACUACUGACACACCCCGAUCCAGAGGAUCCAGGCGUGCUGGCCGUCACGUGAGCGUGACGUAACCAUAAGUGCGACACGGAAGCGAAACAACAACAUACAUAAGAAGGAAUUCAAACCAAACUCUAGCAGAACAACCUACUAGAAUAACAGGACGAGUUAUAAUGUAAACACAUAAAUUCAGAGCAUAGGUUUAAGUGCAGUCAAGUAGGACUAAAAUAAAAGUACAUCGCUCUCAGGUGAGUCCUACAUGUCAAGAGUUUGUCAGAAAGCCGAAAUAAGACCUCGAGAGUCACAAACUGCUAACUAGAACCUGGAGGGGCGCAAAACAAAAUGAGUGGGUCAGUAAAACCAAAGAGUUUUCCAAAACAGUUCAUUUAAAACAUUUCUAACCCCUCACCGUAAAAACCUGUAUACUUCCCCAGAAAAUAGUAUAUAAACAUAUAUAUAUAUAUACACGCAACAUCAAAACUCAACUCAUAUCCAUCAUUACAACAUCUCAGAAAUGAUAUGCCAUGCACAAAAUAUAAUCAGAAUGCAUCAAUAUCAAUCAGGUGAAAUAAUACAUCAACCGGAGAUCCUACAAUGGUCAUGUACGGCUGAUUCUAAAGCUCAACAUCUAAUCCAACCGGAGUCACCUCGGUGACCUGUACGGUCCAACUCUGCACGUCACUCGGAACUACAUAUAGUAGUCUGUACGAUGACAGGUGUAUAAAUACGCUCUAGUGCUUCUCUCAUCAAUCAACAGCGCGCAUAACUAAGGUCACCCACUAGUCGGAAUCACAUCUAGUGAUAUGUACGACUAGCAUGUCAGAACCCUCACAUGGUCUGUACGACAUCCACCUACUUGGAUCCAAGACGAGCGUGCGGUGUGGUGAAUAACAAUAUAAGCACUAACACCUAGGUGCAACUUAUGAGCUUUCAAUGCAAUUCAUAUAAAAUAACUCAGCUGAAUAAUAAUAAAACUCACAUGUGCGUCCACCGCGUCAAUUCACAUAUAUAUGCAUCAAUUAUCAAACUAAAUAUCUCAACAAUUGCAUGCAUGGCAAAUAAAUUCAUAAUUUUCACAUAAACGUAUUUUCUGGGAAAAACAGUUGUAUAUAGGUAAUACGAAAUCAGAACUGCCCACUCACUGAUAAGUCGAUGGAUCGUAACCCCCGUGACGUCCUUGGAUGCACUCGUCCUCGGGAUAGGUGUCACCUAUAUGCGAAACAACUAUAAAAACGUUAAUUUUAAACACAUAACCAUUAAUUCGAAAUAACUUCUCAUACGAUGCUCAAUUUGGGUAUAUGAAUAUACCACAUCGACCUACUCGACGUCACGGACGUCGAGGAAUUUUUAGAAAAAAUUUUAGGCUUGCCACGCGCCCCCACGCGCCGUGGGUGGCACAGGUCCACGCGCCCCCACGCGCAUCAUCUUCAACCUCAGCUCGCCGGACUGGUUUUUCCGGCGGUCGGUUUCUGGCGAACUUUGAAACUCUUUGUUCUCCUUCGUUUCUCAACCAUUUUCUUCGUAUUUUAUACCAAAAUGAAGCCCCAAACAUGUAGAAUCACGAUAGACUAGUUUAAGGCUCUAAAAAUCAAGAAAUCUCACCAGAAAAUUUCCAAGAAAAUCGGCCAAAGUUGAACCACGUGAUCCUGACGUCCAAAUCCUUCAAACGAAGUACUCCGAGCCUCCUUGGGACCUUACUAAGCUCACUACAAGCUUAGAAUUCCCUAAAAAUAAACAUUUUACGUUUGCAUGAAUAGUGACCAAAAAUGAAGGUUCGGGUUUCACGUGAUUCCGAGGAUUUCACUUCCUAAAACUAGUACCAAUCAACUUAAAAUGACUCAAGGAUGAAGAUGCAUACCUUGGUUGCCUCGAUCCACCGAGAUUUGGGAGGUUUUGGGUGUGUCCGUACGUAUGGGUGUGUGUGAGAGAGAGGGAGUCGAGAUGGAGGAGAGAGAGAGAGGCUACAGGAAUGAGAGGGAGAGAGAGAGGGUUUGUGAUGUCCAAAAACAAUCCCCACCAUCCAUUUUACAUCCCUAACCAAAAUAACAAAAAAUCAAAUUAAAGUCAACUUAUCUUAUUAUUUUCUUCCAACACAUUACUAAGAUUAGACUAAAAUAAUGUCACACACCCAAGUACCUUAAUGCCCGUUAAGGGCAAUUUCGUCAUUUCACAUUCCCGUCAAAUGUACCUCCGGGACGGGCUGUGACAACUACCCUGCCGCUGCCUACAAGUUCCUUCCUCGCCCCCGUUUCUACGUCCAAUUAAUUAAUCUGGAGGUAAGCUUUUAAAUCAGGUUCAAUUAACCUCUAUAAGUACAUCUUUUAAUUAGUAUUGUAUCAUCUUGUUGAUCGUGUUUAAUUUUCUAGGUUGCACAACCUAAUCUUGAGGACUCAAAUGAUGAUGAUAAUCUCGAAAAUCUUACUCUAAUUAACUGUAAUUUGAUGGAAGUGAUUUUUCAACUAAAGGGACCGGAGCAUGAAGAAAGUAGUCACUCCGUUGAAGCAUUCAAUAAAUUGAGGUCCUUGCGGUUAGAUAUAUUGCCAAGUUUAACGCAUGUUUGGGAGACGGGUAGUUCACAAUCGAUGUUCACAGGAAGUAACUUCGGAAACUUGAAAUCGCUACGGGUCGUUGCACCGAUGAAAUAAUUACAUUACCUAAAGUGAAGUCCAUCAAUCUUAAAUGUCGGCCAAAACUCAAGUAUUUUUAUGGUGAAACUUAUACUUUCAAGUUGCCGUCUUUGGAGUUAUUGGCGGUUACUGACGUGCAAAACUUAAGCCUAUUAGCUCCAAAGCUUAUUGCCCACAUCCCCGAUUGCAAGUACGCACCGCGAUGGGAGUGGCUGAAUGGAUGGGGGACCUCAAUGCCACUCUAAGGAAUAUUUACGUAAUCACUUAUGUGUGCAUAUGCGCACACUAAAAUAUGUUUUUUUUUUUUUUUUUUUUUUUUUUAGAAACUCGAAUUAUAUUUCAAGAAAACAUCUCUCUUUUAUUUCUAAUACCGAGAAGAAUGAAGCUGACGGAAUUCUACUAGACACCAUAUAACGAGGAUGUUAACAAUCACAAAAGGUUGUGGCUUCGGCUAUUCGCUUACUUUCAUAUGUACAAACCAAUAAGAUGUCAGUUCGCCAAAAAAAAAAAAAACCAAUAAGAUGUCAUUUGUUGCACCAGAAUUUCAUUCUAAAGAUUCUGUUUCCGUUGCUUACUAUAUGUAUAAUUAAUUUCGAUUGCGAUUAUUACUGUUUGAAUUCAUCUCUCGACUGCCUAUGGGGACGUCAAGGUGGACACCAAAAUGGAGGCGCGAUGACCUGCAUCCGGAAAGUGACGUAGCCAUAACGUGCAUGCAAAUAUAAUUUAAUAAAAUAACUUCAAAUGAUCUACUGAAAAAUCGGCAUAGUCUCCUUUGGAAUUAGGUUUUGGCCCCCAAAUUUAAAACCUGCUGAAAAAGUUAUAAUUAUUUCAAAACCACAUCCCCGUCACCUAAUGGGUUAUCAACCCUCUACUACAUGCACGUAUACUCCAAUAUACUUACUGGUGGUUAGGCCUGGCAAUUCCUGACACGAUCCGAUAACCCGACACGACACGACACGAAAUUAACAGGUGUCCGGGUCGACACGAUAACGAAACGGAUCAUUAUCGGGUAACCCGAUAAGCACCUGUUAAGAUAACGGGUUUGUUCGGGUAUACACGUGGGUAACACGAUACACGAUAAGCAAAAUAUUAAUUUAAUAAUUUAUAACCCUAAAAAAAUACUAUAAUAAUUAUAUAUAUAUAUAUAUAUAUUAAUUUAACAAUUUUAUACCCCUAAAAACUAUAAUAAUUAUAUAUAUAUAUAUAUAUAUAUAUAUUAAAUUAACUAUAAUAAUUAUAAUAAUUAUAUAUACUAUAAUAAUUAUACCCAACAUAUUAACUAUAAUAAUUAUAUAUAUAUUAAAUUUUAUACCCCUAAAAUCUAUAAUAAUUAUACAUACAAAAUAAAUAGAUUUAAAUCUACUUAAUAAAUAAAUAUAUAUAUAUACACACACACACCAUUGAACUUCAUGGAAUACGAAUUAUACAAAACUAAUUUCAACGAUCCAACCGUCAAACAUGUUUGUAUAUACUUCGUAUAUACUUCGAGAUUGCAUACGCCAAAAAUUGCAAAAAACAAACAUUUAGAGAGCAAAUAACAUGACAAAACUUUUCGACGGUUAUAAACGAAAAAUCACGAUUUAACAGUCAUUUUAACUCCGAUUUUGAUGAUUUUUUACAACCACACUCCUUGACCCUAUAUGAAUACAAUGAUUGAAUUCGAUCUUCAAUUUAAAAUAUUUACACUAGUGGAUACCACAAAAUCUUAUGUUAUACUUAAUAAAAGUAUGAAUAAACUCUUAAGUAUUAGUGAAUCUAUUGUUUUGAUGGGAUACUCAUUCUACAAAACUAGUUUCAAUGAUCCAACCGUCAAACAUGUUUGUAUAUACUUCGAGAUCGCAUACGCCAAAAAUUGCAAAAAACAAACAUUCAGAGAUCAAGUAAUGGGACAAAAGUUUUUCGACGGUUAUAAACGAAAAAUCACGAUUUAACGGUUAUUUUAACUCCGAUUUUGAUGAUUUUUUACAACUACACUCCUUGACCCUAUAUGAAUACAAGUAAUGAAUUCGAUCUUCAAUUUAAAAUAUUUACACUAGUGGAUACCGCAAAAAAUCUUAUGUUAUACUUAAUAAAAGUAUGAAUAAACUAUUAAGUAUUAGUGAAUCUAUUGUUUUGAUGGGAUACUCAUUCUACAAAAACUAGUUUCAAAGAUCCAACCGUCAAACAUGUUUGUAUAUACUUCGAGAUCGCAUACGUCAAAAAUUACAAAAAACAAACAUUCAGAGAUCAAUUAACGGGACAAAAACUUUUCGACGGUUAUAAAAAGAAAAAUCACGAUUUAACGGUCAUUUUAACUCUGAUUUUGAUGAUUUUUUGCAGCUACACUCCUUGACCUUAUAUGAAUACAAUGAUUGAAUUCGAUCUUCAAUUUAAAAUAUUUACACUAGUGGAUACCACAAAAUCUUAUAUUAUACUUAAUAAAAGUAUGAAUAAACUAUUAAGUAUUAGUGAAUCUAUUGUUUUGAUGGGAUACUCAUUCUACGAAACUAGUUUCAAUGAUCCAACCGUCAAACAUGUUUGUAUAUAUACUUCGAGAUCGCAUACGCCAAAAAUUGCAAAAAACAAACAUUCAGAGAUCAAGUAACGGGACAAAACAUUUUCGACGGUUAUAAACGAAAAAAUCACGAUUUAACGGUCAUUUUAACUCCGAUUUUGAUGAUUUUUUACAACUACACUCCUUGAUGAAUAUGAAUACAAUGAUUGAAUUCGAUCUUCAAUUUAAAAUAUUUACACUAGUGGAUACCACAAAAUCUUAUGUUAUACUUAAUAAAAGUAUGAAUAAACUCUUAAGUAUUAGUGAAUCUAUUGUUUUGAUGGGAUACUCAUUCUACGAAACUAGUUUCAAUGAUCCAACCGUCAAACAUGUUUUUAUAUAUUUCGAGAUCGCAUACGCCAAAAAUUGCAAAAAAACAAACAUUCAGAGAGCAAGUAACGGGACAAAACUUUUCGACGGUUAUAAACGAAAAAAUCACGAUUUAACGGUUAAUUUUAACUCCGAUUUUGAUGAUUUUUUACAACUACACUCCUUGACCUUAUAUGAAUACAAUGAUUGAAUUCGAUCUUCAAUUUAAAAUAUUUACACUAGUGGAUACCACAAAAUCUUAUGUUAUACUUAAUAAAAGUAUGAAUAAACUCUUAAGUAUUAGUGAAUCUAUUGUUUUGAAUGGGAUACUCAUUCUACGAAACUAGUUUCAAUGAUCCAACCGUCAAACAUGUUUGUAUAUAUUUCGAGAUCGCAUACGCCAAAAAUUGCAAAAAAAAAAAAAACAUUCAGAGAUCAAGUAACGGGACAAAACUUUUCGACGGUUAUAAACGAAAAAUCACGAUUUAACGGUUAUUUUAACUCCGAUUUUGAUGAUUUUUUACAACUACACUCCUUGACCUUAUAUGAAUACAAUGAUUGAAUUCGAUCUUCAAUUUAAAAUAUUUACACUAGUGGAUACCACAAAAUCUUAUGUUAUACUUAAUAAAAGUAUGAAUAAACUAUUAAGUAUUAGUGAAUCUAUUGUUUUGAUGGGAUACUCAUUCUACAAAACUAGUUUCAAAGAUCCAACCGUCAAACAUGUUUGUAUAUACUUCAAGAUCGCAUACGUCAAAAAUUACAAAAAACAAACAUUCAGAGAUCAAUUAACGGGACAAAACUUUUCGACGGUUAUAAAAAGAAAAAUCACGAUUUAACGGUCAUUUUAACUCUAAUUUUGAUGAUUUUUUGUAGCUACACUCCUUGAACUUAUAUGAAUACAAUGAUUGAAUUCGAUCUUCAAUUUAAAAUAUUUACACUAGUGGAAACCACAAAAUCUUAUAUUAUACUUAAUAAAAGUAUGAAUAAACUAUUAAGUAUUAGUGAAUCUAUUGUUUUGAUGGGAUACUCAUUCUACGAAACUAGUUUCAAAGAUCCAACCGUCAAACAUGUUUGUAUAUACUUCAAGAUCGCAUACGUAAAAAAAAAUUACAAAAAACAAACAUUCAGAGAUCAAGUAACGGACAAAACUUUUCGACGGUUAUAAACGAAAAAUCACGAUUUAACGGUCAUUUUAACUCCGAUUUUGAUGUUUUUUUACAACCACACUCCUUGACCCUAUAUGAAUACAAUGAUUGAAUUCGAUCUUCAAUUUAAAAUAUUUACACUAGUGGAUACCACAAAAUCUUAUAUUAUAUACUUAAUAAAAGUAUGAAUAAACUAUUAAGUAUUAGUGAAUCUAUUGUUUUUGAUGGGAUACUCAUUCUACGAAACUAGUUUCAAUGAUCCAACCGUCAAACAUGUUUAUAUAUACUUCGAGAUUGCAUACGCCAAAAAUUGAAAAAAACAAACAUUAAGAGAUCAAGUAACGGGACAAAACGUUUCGACGGUUAGAAACGAAAAAUCAUGAUUUAACGGUCAUUUUAACUCCGAUUUUGAUGAUUUUUUACAACUACACUCCUUGACCCUAUAUGAAUACAAUGAUUGAAUUCGAUCUUCAAUUUAAAAUAUUUACACUAGUGGAAACCACAAAAUCUUAUGUUAUACUUAAUAAAAGUAUGAAUAAACUCUUAAGUAUUAGUGAAUAUAUUGUUUUGAUGGGAUACUCAUUCUACGAAACUAGUUUCAAUGAUCCAACCGUCAAACAUGUUUGUAUAUAUUUCGAGAUCGCAUAUGCCAAAAAUUGCAAAAAACAAACAUUCAGAGAGAACGUAAUGGGACAAAACUUUUCGACGGUUAUAAACGAAAAAUCACGAUUUAACGGUUAAUUUAACUCCGAUUUUGAUGAUUUUAUACAACUACACUCCUUGACCUUAUAUGAAUACAAUGAUUGAAUUCGAUCUUCAAUUUAAAAUAUUUACACUAGUGGAUACCACAAAAUCUUAUGUUUAUACUUAAUAAAAGUAUGGUAUAGUACUAUUGUUUUAUUUUUUUUCAUAAUUAUUUUGGUAAACUUCUCAUAAUUUGAAUAAUUUUUAAUGUUUGGUUUUUCUAUGCUUAGUUUAUGCAGAAGAUAGUUAUGACGUGGAAAACCUUACUGAAAAGGUCAUCAACAUAACUCUUGAAGGCAAUAGAUCAAGCCAAAGUUCCAAUGCAAUUUCAUGAUGAUCGAUGUAAAUCGAUGAUUUUGUAAAUUGAGGUUUAAACUUUUGAGAAAGAUUUCAUAACCUUGAAAACAAAAACUGUUUCAUUUUGCAUAUCCUUGCACAUAUAAAAUUUGUAAUAGAUUAGUAGUGUAUGUAUUAUUUUUUUAUUAGGCUCUUAUUUUCGAGUGUAGAUGUAGUACUUAAACGACAAAUGUGUUUUAAUGUUUUGAAGUAAUAUUUAUGUGGCAAUGUGUGGUAUGUGCAAAUUUAAGAAAAAAAAAAUAUUUUUCUUAACGGGUCAUAACGGGUCGGGUCACUUUACCCGUUGGGUAAAGUGACACGACCUGUUAAGGACCCGUUAAGAUAACAGGUGUGACACGACACGACCCAUUAAGAUAACAGGUGUUAUACGAAAACGACACGAACACGACUGACACGACCCGUUUGCCAGGCCUACUGGUGGUAUAGCAUACAAUUUCAUACACUAGUGAUAACUAGUGUAAGCUGAAAAUUUAACCAUACACUAGUCAUAGUUAGUGUAAGAAAUGCAAAAGAUUGGGGAGAUGCGAAAGAACUCAUCUCUGGUCCUGGAAAUAUUGCAUACAAUAUUGCUCUACCAAUUAAACCAAAUCUUAUGACUCUAGUGACAAGCUAGAAAGCCACAAAAGAAUAAACAAGGAAUCAGGCUAUGCAAUUUCCUACCACAUUUUCACAUCAACGUGAUUGUUAGGGGUUUCAACAACUUCACAGAAUAACCACAAAUCUCAUCUCCGGCAUUCAGGCAGAAAAAUCAAAUAAAAGUUUGAAAUCAAGAAUCAAUCCCGAAACUGAAAGUUGAAAUUUUGGAAAAAUAACUUACAUCAGAGGACUUUCCAUGAGGAGAAGAUCAUUUUUACCUCUUGGGUCGAGGACAUUCCACGAUGAGCCUGCAUAAAUGAACCAAUUAAACAAAGAAAUGAAAACCGAAUAACUCGGAAGCUAAAGUAUCACAGAUAGAAAAUUGCAUAUACCUAACUAAAAAUGCACAACCUAACGAGAUGUGGUAGUCUAAGUGUAUAACACAAGGGUGAGAAGUACUCUAGUGCUCACAAACUGAAGCCACAAGACUACCAGAUAAUGUAGCUUCAGAAAUAUCAUUCGUUCUUUUGCGCACAAUCAUACAUGCUCAUCAGAACAAAGUAUGAUCUCCAACGGAAAUAGAAGUGACACAGGUGAAAGUCAAAAUAAACAAACAAAUAAUAGUGAACGAGAAGGCCCUAAAGAAUUGCUCUAACUAGGAGACAAGCUUAAAUUAUUCAGAUAAUAAGCCUUGCACAAACCCAACUUUCAAAAAACUAGAUUAGUAUGCCGUGAUAUUUAACAAUGCCGUCAAAAACUUGCUUGUUGAACUACUCAACCCUGUAUUCCAUCUCCUUCUCUGCCAUACCAAAAAUUUGCACAAUUGUUUAAAACCAAAUUAAGGUCUUUCGAAAACCCACCAGAGAUUAUUUGAAAAACACGAAUUUAGAACAAUAAUUCAAAACCAAAGAACAGAAAAUCCAUCACACCAGAGUAAAAAUUAACCAUCUUGUUGCUUCCUAACUCUCAAGAAAUAUCCACGUCUCACUUUUACUAAUGUCAAAACACUGCCAUCAUUGAUCAAUUAGACAAAUAAGACCCAAUUCGAUUACGCCCAAACUCACAGAACACCCAGAUUCCCAACAUCAAUUGAACAAUCUAACCAUGAAUUUCCAAAACUUUCCCCAAAAUCCAGUCUUGGGCAUGCAUUAAAUCCAAUCUAAAACUUGAAUUCAUUUUUAGAGAACAAAAAGUAAAAACUUUGGAACAAUGAAGCAAAAGGGUAAUUACCUGUUCCUUGUCCAAAACCGUCGGCGCAUUGUUGGGGGCAGCCAUUAGAACCUGGACAAUUCGCAAAUUCGCAAAUUAAUUUACACAAACUUCUUCGAAACCGAAUGAAUUAGCAGAGAGGGUUUAAGUAAUCUUACUCGGUGGGAUGGAAUCGAACGCGCUGAAAGUGGUAGCUCUAAAUGCAGAGGGGUUUAAGCGUCCGAUUUGAAGCGAAAGCAGGAGAAAAUAAAAAUCCCACUGAGCUAAUAAUAUACGAAUUAGGGUUUUAGGAGUUAAUAUAGCGUGUAUAUGCGAUGGACGGUUUUGUUUUUCGGGGGGAUUUCAACCGGAAAAGUUAGUGGAUUAUUGCCCUUUCUUUUCUCCUUCCCAAAGGCCCUGUAUGGUGGGCCGUCGUAUAUAAUUGUCCUUUUCUUUCUUAUUUUUUGGAUUUUUUUAUUUCUUUUCUAACUCAUAGAUCAUCGGGGCUCAGGUUCAGUUGAUUAAAGUAGUAUGUUUCUUUUGUUAUGCUAUAGUUUGAAUAUUCAUUCAAAUGAUUUAGAUUUCUUGGUGCAAAGUAUCAUUCAAUUAAAGAAAAAACUCGUAUUAUGUUUGCUUACAACCAUUGUAUGUUUGCUAACAACAAAGGAUUUGAGAGGAAAAAAACGUGAAUCCACAUUGAAAGGAAAAAAAUAUGUGCUAGAUUACGCACUGCAAAUGGAAACAAGUUGUCACCCCUAUUUAUCCAAAAAUAAUAUACUUGUUAUAGAAUAUUAUAUUACGAAGGGCGGAGAGCGUGUGUACGGCAAAUUAGGAACGGGUACAGCAACGUAGCAGCACAAGCAAGACGAUGAUUGGAACUGCAACUUACCCCACACAUUCACAGAAGCCUUUUUCUUUCCCCUGCUGGUGUUCAUGAAAGCACUUUGAAGUGAAAAAGCCAUGAAAUUACGAAGGCAAGGAUCAUGCAGACAAGAAGGAAAUUCAUAAUGCAGCGGCCAUGCCACAUGGUUCAGGUUUCAACCUGGAUCAUGGGUGGUGCUGGUACUGAUGCGGCUGUGGCAGUACUGCUAUUUGCCUCGUUAAUCUGGUCACCUGAAAUGUUGAAUGCAGUUACUCCACAGAUCUCGCAGGUUCUGCAAAUCAUAUGAAUAAAAUUAUGCAUAGGCAGAAAAUAACAUAUCAGUCAGACAAGACAAGUAAUUACAACCAUAACGCAACAUAAUGAAGAAAUGUACCAUGAGGAUUUUGAACAAACAUAAUGAAGUGUAACCAACAGCAUACAAAUAUAAAAAAUAUAGAGGAAAAUGCUAUACAAUCACUGUAAGUGAUUUCAAAGGCCAUCAAUCUUCUAUUUCUGUUUCUGGAAAAAAAGUCAUGUCAUCAAGAUGUCGUUCCAUUUGCUUACCAUGAUGAGUAAAAUGAAAUUUGAACUAGCUUGCUGUUCUUGCAUAUCUUCUCCUCAUCCUGGUUACCAAGCAAGUCAGCCUUGACCAAUCCAUCUAUGAUGCAGCUUAUCUAGAUUAUAUUUCCUGUUGCCUAAGUUUGGAUAUUUCCUUUGCAGAGGGUAUAGCGUGCAAGGUCCUAAGAACUUUACCAAAUUAUCAUCCUUCGAGUAGAGAAAAUCUCCCAAAUAUAUAAGCGAAAUAAACUUGUGACGGAAUCAAAGAAUGCAAAUGCUCAUCAUCAUUUACUAAUCCAUAUGCAUAAUGUAAACAUUUACAUCUUUAUUAGAAGCAUACAUAAAAAAUACAUGGCACACAAGAUAUCAACUUUUCGACCUAGGAGCUCAAUUCUUGCAUACAAACACACUUCCUUUAGUUUGCAUUGGACCUCGCACUUUCCACUAAUGUAAAUGCCACAGAAAGUGUGACUGUAAAAACUUUAAACGUAGAACGAUCGAUAUGUUUGAGUUCAGAUGGACUGUAAUAUUGGUGACUACAAGAUUUGUUCUUUUACUAGAUUUUCUCGUAUUUCAUAUGAGCAUACGCAUUCUACUAUAUACGUGAUCUGCCUCAUUUAGCAUUCCAGUAAGAAGCAAAAUGAUAAGAACAAUUGUGACAAUUACAUCAAAAGAAAGAAGCUAAUUAGCAAGUAAUCAUUCGAAUAAGCUGAACUCACAGAAGCAGAAACCUAAACACUAUCAAGAUGGUCUCUGUUGUAGCAUGCCCAUAGUAAGAUCAUAGUUUGAAGUAUGUUAGGAUGCCACUUGUCAUCAUCUCAAUAUGACAAAUGUAAGGUUGAGAUGCUCUAGUAGUAGAUAAGAUGGUUGUAAGUUGUCGGAUGAUAGCUUACAGAGGAAGCUAAGUAGUUUACAUAUAAGGAAGUCGGUUGUAAUUGGGAGGGGGUCAUUGGAAUAAUCUCUGUGUAAUACAAGAAAGUACUAUGCAAUUGUGAAGAAGCCGAGCAAGGUUUUAACAUUGGUAUCAGCCAGUGUCGAUUCCUCUCAAUCCUUCAUUGUUGUAUGCCUCGCCGACCCCGGAACACCAUGGAAUCGCGAGUGUCGACUUUGGAAACCAUGCUCGCCGAUCUCAAAGCUGAGUUCAACUAACAGCCAAGAGAUGAUCAUGAUGCAGCUGCAAUCAUGAUGCAGAUGGAUGCAUUAUUUGUGGCUUUUAUCGUUAUUGAAAUCUUGUUGGAAUUUCGACAUUUAUUGAUCAUAAUGCAUCCAUCUGCAUCUCCGUUGUAUCAUUACCCUGUACAAAGAAAGUGGCUCGAAGUCUUGAGAAGCAACAUAACCAACAAUCACACCACGGCAUUUGGGUGCUCCAUUAGAAAUGGUGGGACUACGACCAGGAAUCCCAGGUACAUUACGUCUUGCUACAGUUAAAAGGGACAAGUGCUCAAAAUCAAAUACAUAUUCGUGAUAUAACUUUGGCACUCUUAUUUCUGAUACAUAGUGACUGAGCAGAUAAUCAUAGAUAAAAUCUUUAAAAAAAAAAAAUAUCACAAUUUCAACCAGAAAUUUCAAUGGCUCUGACGUCAACGUUCUUCAACUCCGCCUUCGGAACAGUGACACUCAGAACUCCAUUCUCCAUGGCAGCCUUAAUCUGAUCAACCUUUGCGUUCUCCGGAAGCUGAAACCUCCUCAAGAACUUGCCGCUGCUCCUCUCCACUCUGUGCCACUUGUCGUUUAUAUCCUCCUUCUCCACGUUCCUCUCUCCGCUGAUCUUAAGCACCCUGUCGUCUUCCACCUCCACCUUCACCUCCUCUUUUUUCAGCCCUGGAACGUCCGCCUUGAACACAUGGGCUUCGGGGGUCUCCUUCCAGUCGACCCUAGUGUUCACAAAAGCCGAAUUCUCCCGAGAAAAUUCAGGAAAUGCGGAGAGUGAUGAGGAGGAAGGGAACGGGAAAUCCUUGAAAGGGUCCCACAGAUUGAGGGAGAAUGGGUCGAAGACGCUGCUGCUUCCUCCUCCGGAGUUGGGAAUUAGCGACAUUCUGAAAAACCGAUGGGGUUGGUUUGGAUGCAGAGAAAUUUGAGAAUUAUUACAGAAAUAUUGCUUUUGCUGGACUGAUUGCAGAAAUAGCGGAUUUGAUAUAUUUAUAAGGAACCGAAGAAUUUUCUAGAACAGACUUGAGGAUGAGGCUGGAAAAGUAUGUGUGAGUUUCUCGAACUUUCUAUGAUGCUUGAGAAUAAUUGGAACUUUCUCAGGACGCUUAAGAAUAAUCCGACGUUUGUGUGAGUUACUCACACAACACGGUUGACUUCAUGAUGAUGAAUGGUGGACCCAAAAACCUAAGUGUGGGGGUUGUAUGGGCCGUUCGAUUUAAUCGGACGGUUAAAACUGAAGAUACUGUGCAAGUUAUAAGCGGGGCGUUUGAAUCUUUGAUAUGUAUUAUUUGGACUUAUUGAUAAAUAAUAAUAGUUCCAUUAAAUUAACAAUAUCAACUAAAUAUCAAUAACAUUUAACAUCUCAUGAAGUAGCUUAUCUAAAGGUAAAGGGAGUUAUAGCCCAAACAAGCAAAUUACGUACCAACAGUUAAGUAAUAUGAUGGUUACUUAGUACUAUAUUUUAAUGAUUUUUUUUAUUUGUGAGUAAGAAAUCUUAAAUUCGAUUUUAAAUUUUAAAGCUUUGAUUGGAUCAGUUUGAAUGAAAAGUGUUAACCAAGCUUCUAAAACUGGAGAAAGGAUUUCUAGGCAGCAAAAGGCAAGACCCAUGGCGUACAAUUGAGAUUUAAAAAAAAAUGGCUUUGAGAUUUUGUUGGUUAGGAUGUCCUUCCCUCAAUUGUGAGCAGCUCUUAAUUUGCUUUCUUCGCAGGCAGGCGAAUUGGAGACAAUAGUAUGCUUUUGAAGGAGUUUCUUAAAAAUUACCACAGAAACAAUGGUCUUCCUAGAUGUGCCUUGCAGGUGGACAUUCUGAUAGCUUGUGAUACCAGGUUGGAAAAUGGGUUACUAGGAUUAGGCUGGUUCAUAGUUCGAUUCCAUUUAAUUGUAACUGGUAGAAGAAAAAAAAACACUUUCAAACGAAUUUGUAUAGAAUUUAUAUGCUACGACUAAUAGUAGCCCUACUAUUGUUCGAAAUAGAUUAUCAAUUCUAAUUGUGAUGUUUGUACCGUAAAAUAAUGUGAUGCCACGAACGAAUAAGGAUGGCUCAAGCCAUGUAUUGUGCCUUGAGAAUGUGGGGUUGGGAAGCAAUGCAUCCAAUUUUUCUUUCACUUUAUCCUUUUUUUUUUUUUUUGUUAAAGAAAAUACCAUAUGGUUCGUAAGCAAAGUAUCCAAAUCUUUUUCACCUUUUUUUUUGAUAAAGAGAAAUACAAAGUGGGUUCGAAAGCAAUGCAUCCCAUUCUCUUUCCCUUUGUCUUUUUCUUGUUAAAAAAGAAUAACCUUUGUCUUUUUCUUGUUAAAAAAGAAUAAAAAUACCUUACUUCAGAAUCACCUCCUCUUGAGGUAAUGCUCGUUAAAUAUAUAUUUUUUGCUUCUCUAUUUAUAUUGUUAGAGAACUCUUAUUAACCUUUCCCCAUUGAAGUUAUCUGCUCAUUGCAUUGCUGAGGUAACAUAAUCUGUCCUCCUUGUGCAUGAUACCAUUCAACAUUCAUAUUUUCUAGCAAAUUCGUGAAGUAACAAUGUCAAGACCAGACACAUGAGUUGUUGCUGAAUAAGUCAUAGAUUUCAGAAUUUCACUUUUACUCUAGCAAACUGUUGCAUUGGGUUGAUUUACAAUACAAGUACGUACGUACAUCUUGGAAACUUUAUUUCUUUUCAAUAUUUGUUGUUUUAGGUGUUUAUUUUUACCCAUGUGUGACUAAGAAACAAAAGUGUUGGUUUUACAUUAUAUUUUCUAGCAAAUUCGUGAAGUACCAGAUCCAACACCAGACAUAUUGUUGUUGAACAAGGCAUAGAUUUCACAAUUUCAUUUUUUUCCCCUACCGGUUAGUUGCAUUUGGUUGAUUACAAUACAGGUACGUAUGUUCUUAGAAACUUCAUUUCUUUUCAAUAUUUGUUGUUUUAGGUGUUUGUACUAUAUGUUUAUGCAUUUUGAUGUUCAUCCACGUCAACUGAAAUUGAGCUAAUCCCCCCCCCCCCAUAAUCGAAUUUUUACUUUUCUCACUCAAUACAAAAAGUUUGAAAACACAUCUACUAUAUGGUGGUGAAAUGUAAACUAUUAGAAAUUUAUAUGCUGUAAAAUAAUAAAGAGUAAAUAAAUAUACACAUGCACUGAAACCAUCAAUUGAAAAUAUGAAUUUACCCCUUGAAAUUCAAUUUUCUUUAACUAAAACUCAUCAUAGUAUAUUUUCCUAACAAAAACUCAUUGACUUUACCUCUUGAGAAAAAAAACAGGGCCUUCGGGUUUUUUACAUAUAUUUUUUUUUAACACUUCUCCUAUUUAUAUUGUUAGAAAGCUCUUAUUAACUCUUCCCCAUUGAAGUUAUCUGUUCUUAUAUUUGCAUUGAUGUGCAUCAUCUUUCCUCCUUGUGCAUGCUAACAUUCAACAUUCAAAUUUUCUUGCAAAUUCGUGAAGCACCACUACCAGUACCAGACAUAUGAUUUGUUGCUGAACAAGGCAUAGAUUUCAAAAUUUUCAAUUUUACUCUGUUGGACAAUUGCAUUGCGUUGAUUUACGAUACAGGUAUGUAGUACUUCUCUUAAACUCUAGUUAUGUCCAAUAUUUGUUGUUUUAGGCGUUUGUUUUUAUCCUGCUUGACUAAGAAACUAAAAUGUUAGUUUUACAAUCUAGUGCCCACCAGAUAUUCUAUUUCAGGAUCCAGAUCAACAAUUUUAUUGAUUAGGUUUUGACUUCACAUAAUUUUGUAUUUUUAGAUGUUUAAAAUAUCCCUAGUAACAUAUGUUAGAUUAAAAACAAAUUUUAAUAUCUUGAUUUCAUUGCAUAUUAAUAAUAAAAGUAUAUGAUUCUAGGGUUUUCAUUGUUUUAUUUUAUUUUUUUCCUUUUUAAAUUCCUUGGUUGCUUUUCAAAUUUGCAUAAGAUUAAAUAAGAUGUUCUUGACCUCCAAAACAAGGGCUUUGAAAAUGUGGCCCAUCCUGCACCUCCACCAGAGAUAUGGUCAACAUUCGAAAAAGGUUUUAAGGAUUUUAAGUCCAGAAAGGCAAACAUGAAUGAGGUGAUAGAGGGUUUGAAGAGGGUAGAAGUACGAAUGAUUGGGAUUUGUGGAAUGGGGGGCGUGGGUAAAACCACAAUGGUAAAAGAAAUCAUCACAAGAUUGGCAAAACUGAACCUGUUUGAUAAGAUUGUAAUGGCAACUGUGUCUCAAAGUCCAAGUAUUAGGACGAUCCAGUCGGAAAUUGCAGACGAAAUAGGCUUGGAAUUUAAGGUGGAAUCCGAGCCCGGAAGAGCACGAAAGCUACAUGAGAGACUCAUGGAAAUAAAGAGGAUCCUCAUUGUAUUAGAUGAUGUAUGGACAGAGCCUAAUUUUGAGGCUAUAGGGCUUCCUUAUGGAGAUACUCAUAAAGGGUGCAAAAUUUUGUUGACAUCAAGAGAUUCGGAAGUCUGCAACAGGAUGGGAAGUCAACAAAUUAUUGCAGUCCCGACUUUAACAACAGAAGAAUCACAGGAGCUCUUUCGAGAAAUGGUAGGUGAAUCCUUCAAUGAUCCUGAUUUACGUUCCACUGCAGAAGAUGUCGUGAAGGAAUGUGGAGGUUUACCUAUUGCUAUUGUAACUGUUGGAAAAGCCCUAGAAAAGAAAAACAAGCGUGAAUGGGAUGAUGCCCUUAAUCAGCUGCGUAAUUCCAGGCCAGAGAAUAUCCCUGGAGUGAACGACAAAGUUUAUUCUUGCAUAAAAUGGAGUUAUGAUAGAUUAGAGAGUGAUGAAGCCAGGUCAUGUCUUUUACUUUGUUGUUUAUUUCCAGAAGAUUAUGAUAUUUCAAUUGAGUAUUUGGUUCGAUAUGGGUGGGGUCGAGGAUAUUUUAGCAGCAUCGUUACUUUGGAAGAUGCAAGAAAUAGAGUGCAUUCUUUGGUUUACCAACUAAAAAGAAGGUUUUUGUUGCUAGAUAGUUAUGUGAGUGAGGCUACGAAAAUGCACGACGUAGUUCGUGAUGUUGCCAUAUCAAUUGCUUCAAGAGAUCCACAUGGAUUUCUGAUAAGUAAUGCUGAAAAUAAAAGGUGGCCAAAUUUAGCUACAUAUGACCAUUACACUACAAUCUCACUUGUUGGCAAAUUGGAGAUUCCAGUUGGUUUGAAAUGCCCAAAACUUGAGCUUCUACAAAAGAUGAAAGGACGUUUUUCAGAAGGUAGCAUGGACAUCAUUAGUGAUACGAUGAGAGAACUGAAGGUUUUAGCUUUGGUGGAAAUGAAAGACCUAGGCUCAUCAAGACCACUAGGAGUACUGAAGAACCUGCGAACCUUGUGCCUAGAUAGGUCUAAAAUUGAUGGCAUGUCUACUGAUGUUAUUGGGAGUUUAGAGAAUUUAGAAAUCCUCAGCUUUCGUGGUUGUGUUUCCUUGCAUGAGUUGCCGAGGGAAAUUGGACGACUUAAACAGUUAAGGUUGUUAGAUACGACAGAUUGCAGGAAUCUUGAGGUGAUUCCACAUGGUAUCUUCUCCAGCUUAUGUAGACUUGAAGAGUUGUAUAUGCUUAAUAGCUUUACGAAAUGGGAAAUUGGAAGAGGAAGAGAAGAUAAGGGGAUGGCAAGCAUUUCUGAGGUGAUGUCUCUGUCUGAUCAUUUGAAGGUUCUAGCCAUAAAUAUACCCAGUGUCAUCCACUUGUUGCCAAAAGAUAGAGUCUUGAAAAGCCCAACAAUAAGAUUCGGUAUAUGCUUUGGAACUGGGCAAUGCGUUUUUGGAAGAUGACAAUUUAUGCAUUCGAAAAUUGUUUGGUGAUUGAUGAAAGUGAUGCAAAGGAGUUGGAGAGUCAAGCAGUUAGACUUUUGUUGAAAAAAUCUAAAAAAUUGAUUUUGAGCAAUGUUAAGAAUUUCCGUGUCCUCACAUAUUUAGACCAAGAGGGAUUUCAAGAUUUGAAAAUUUUGCUUGUUUUGAAUUGUCCAACUACCGAGUAUCUUGCAAAUGGAACAAGUGUGACCCAGCAAAAACUCUUUCCUCUCAUACAGUCAGUUAGUCAGCUUGCAGAUAGCUUUUUGAGCAACCUAAGAUUCCUAAAAUUGGCAGAUUGUGGUAUCUUAAAAUAUGCAUUUUCACUAUCACUAGCGAGAAACCUGGUACAACUCAAAGAUUUAUAUAUUUAUGAAUGUGAUCAGAUGGAAGAAAUUGUGUCAAAGCAGGGGAAGGAACAUGAGGAGGAAGCCGAUAUGAUAUCUUUCCAUAAAUUAACCAAUUUGAGUCUCUGGGGUCUACCGAGUUUGGUUGGUUUCUUCCAAGCCAACAAGCUAUACUCCAACCAAGAGGUAUGUCCCACUCUCCAAUUUCUAUGAUAUGAGGAGGCAACCAAAUUGUGGAAAUUUGAAAUUGUUACGAAAUGCUUAAGUUGGUGUAUAAUUUUUCUUUAACUGAUAAUGAUUUUUCUUUUUCAGGAAACAACGCCAAGGGUUGAGCAUCAAUCUGCAUGAAUAUUUGAAAAAGCAAUAUUUCCAUCAAAGUGCAUUUCAUGGUUACCAAGUUUAGAAAAGGUAGGAUUUGUUUGGAUUAAAACUUGACUUUGGGCUCAAGAUAGAAGCUGGCCCAAAAGGAGGCCUGAAGGAAUAGAAGAUCAAGGCCCGGCCGAAACCUAGGAAAGCAGAGAAGGGCUUUUUCUGACUUGAUACAAUUCAUAAGGACCACUUCCUUACCUACCCAAGGACCAAGUGGUAUAGACUGACCAGACUGCACAGCCCAUAAAGUACUUUAUGGUGGCAUUACAUGUAAAAAAGCUGAUGAGUCAUUACCCUCAAACUGCAUUCGGGCAAGGCUGCUGCUACAGGAGGCCAAACCAAGUUGUCUAUAAAAGGAGGAAGAGAAGACAAGAAUAAGGACACUCAAUCAAACAAACAAAUACAAGCCCAAACUCUGCUCAAAAACCAUAUUUGCCUUCAAAACGAAGCUGUAGUCAGCCCAAGCCUUCAUCCCAUUCGGGACAAGCCUUUAUCCCCCGCGGGAUAACCUUCUCUUCAAACCUUUGUAAUAGCUCUGCUACCUUGUUCGAACUUGUUGUAGUAUCGAUUCACUUUUUGUAUCUCCCUCUCCCCCCUCUCUCCCUCUAAGCUUUCAGACCUUUGACAAAACUACAAAGAUAAGGACCUGUAAGACGAUCAGCCUUAACUGAUAAGGUUUAACCUUGCCCGACCUUCUUUGCUUUGUCUUUGUCUUUUCAUUCUUUAAAGCCUAGCAAUAUGUUGUAUACUUCCAGUUAUAUGCAAGUUGUUUCUAGCAAAAUAAUGAUGAAAAGGCUUUCUCAGUAUUUGGAUCCGAUUUGAAUAUAUCUUCAGUGCUCAAAUCAGAUCCAAGUCCUAAGCCCUCGGGCAUGUAAAUCUGAUCAGUUUAAAAGUCCUUAGCCUCAAGGCAUAAAAAAGAACUUUAUGUGGACUUAACCCAUCCACGACAGUCCUUGAUAAACGAGAAGUCCGAAGUUACUUGGGGCGCAAGUAAUCGACCUACCUCUUGGUUUUGUUUCUAUUAUAUUAUGAUUAUCAUAGAACGCUUAAAUAUGGAAUAGAUUCUGAUAGGAAGCCUCAAGGCCUACACCUAAGGCCCCACAAAGGCACCUAUUUGGAUUCAUUCUAUUCUGCGGUCUAGACUGUUCGAAGAACGAACUCUAAUGGGAAGCCUCAAGGCCUACACCUAAGGCCCCACAAAAGCACCCAUUUGGGUUCGCUCUACCUCUCGGACUCGGGUAAUCAGAAGUAUAAUGGUGAGAAGACUUCUGCAAUCAUAAAGAUCAAAUAUGAUGUGUUCGAGCACUGGUUUAGUUUGAGAGAAAGCCUCAAGGCUUACACCUAAGGCCCCACAAAGGCACAUGUCAUGUCUAAACACGGUUUCUUGGGCAUAUACAUAUUCACAACUAAAACUCGACAUCCAUUCGACAUCUACCAUACUGAAGAUGGCAGUGGCACGCCUGAGCACCUCAAAAGUUAAUCUUGAUUGUGAGCCUCAAGGCCUAUACCUAAGGCCCCACAAAGGCACCUUUCAAAUUAACUCUGUCAUUCUCUUUCAGCACUGCCCGACGAGCCUUGCCCGAAGAGUCUUGCCCGAUCAAGACUUGCCCGACAAAGCCCGAUAGGAAAGCAGAAGCCCGACAGCAGCCCUCAACCGGCGCCAACCUCCCGGGGAGCUGUGUGCUUGUUGGCCAGGAAGACAUCCCCGACGGAAAUUCCUGCGACGAACAGGAUUGACAUAUAUUAUGAUGUUUGACGGCGUGAUAUUUGAUCUUAAAAUCCACAUAGUUACGGAUGGGCAGACAACUCCAAUAUUUCCUCAGUUACGUGAGUUGGCAAUAAGGAGUUGUUCAUUUACACACUUGUGGAAAAACAUUCCAUUUGGAUUUCAGGGUUUCCAAAAUUUGAGAUAUUUGAAAUUAAGAUAUUGUUAUGGUCCAGAAUAUGUGUUCUCGCAUUUAAUUGCCCGGGAACUUUUGAAUCUUGAAGAGGUAAAGAUAUCAAAAUGUUCGGACAUGGAAACUAUAGUCAGAAUCACAGAGGAAAUUGAAGAAGAGGCGACAAAAUACAUGAUUUUGUUUCCGAGACUGAACAGAUUUGAACUAGUAGACCUGCCUCGUCUCACAAGUUUUUGUCCAGAGGGAUUUACAUUUCAAUGGUCAUCCACAAAAGAUAUGCACGUGGAAAAAUGUGAAAAAUUGAAGACAUUGGGUGCUGUAAUUCCACAAAGAAAGAAGUUGGAGAAUUAUAAGUCUGAGAAGGAUUCAACAAGUCAUGAUUUCAGUACUUCUCCAACACGUUCAUCCAAUUGGUGCCCUGCUGGAUGUGUAUGCAUACCAUAUUUAAGAGCAAACGCCCACUGCUCCAUUGAAAUAUUGCCACAUCCAAUUAAUUUGGAGGUAAGCUUUUAAAUUAGGUUCAAUUAACCUCUAUAAGUACAACUUUUAAUUAGUAUUGUAUCUUGUUGUUGAUCAUGUUUAAUUUUCUAGGUUACACCAACUAAUCUUGGGGACUCAAAUGAUAAUGAUAAUCUCGAAAAUCUUAUUGUACAUGACUGUGCGUCAUUGGAAGUGAUUUUCCAACUCAAGGGACCGAAGCAUGAAGAAAGUAGUCACUCUGUUGAAGCAUUCAAUAAAUUGAGGUCCUUGCGGUUACAUAAGCUCUAAGUUUAACGUGUGUUUGGGAGACAGGUAGUUCACAGCCGAUGUUCACAGGAAGCAGUUUUGGAAACUUGAAAUCGCUGCAGGUCGAUUUUUGCAACCAGUUGAAAUACUUGUUUUCGUCGUUCAUAGUCAAACUCCUUGUGAGUAUAGAGGAAGUAGAAGUUAAGAAGUGUGAGCAGAUGAAAGAAAUCGUUGCCGCAGAAGAAGAAACUGAUGAAAUAAUUACAUUACCUAAAGUGAAGUCCAUCAAGCUUCAAAGUCUGCCAAAACUCAAUUAUUUUUGUGGUGAUGCUUAUACUUUGAAGUUGUCGUCUUUGGAGUUACUGGAGGUUAAGAAGGUCCAAAACUUAAGGCGAUUUGCUCCUAAGCUUGUUGACACACAUCCCCGAUUGCAAGUACGCACAGCGUUGGGAGUGGCUGAAUGGAAGGAGGACCUCAAUGCCACUCUAAGGAAUAUUUACGACACAAGGUAUGCUUUAAUGUAAGGUUUUUAAUUUUCAGUCAUUUAUGUGCGUAUUUAAUGUAAGAAUGCGAGCUGGAUGGAUGAAGUGUAAGAAUGCAUCCGGCGUAUUGUGUGACCGUCGUAGGCCACUGAAGCUCAAGGGAAAAUUUUAUAGGACGGCAAUAAGGCCGCGAUGUUGUAUGACACAGAAUGUUGGGCGGUGAAGCAUCAACACGUACACAAAAUGGGUGUAGCGGAGAUGAGGAUGCUUCGUGGGAUGUGUGGGCACACGAGAAAGGAUAAGAUUGGGAAUGAGGAUAUCCGAGGUAAAGUAGGAGUAGCCGAAAUUGUAGGAAAGAUGAGAGAAAAUCGGCUCCGGUGAUUUGGACAUGUGCAAAGAAGGCCGAAUGACGCUCCGGUUCGAAGAUGUGACUACGGGACAGAGGUUCAGGGCCGAAGGGGCAGAGGAAGACCUAGGAAAACUUUGGAAGAGACUCUAAGAAAAGACUAAGAGUACUUGGAUCUAACGGAGGACAUGACACAAAACCGAGCGCAAUGGCGUUCUAGGAUUCAUAUAGCCGACCCCACUUAGUGGGAAAAGGCUUUGUUGUUGUUGUUGUUGUUGUAUGUGCGUAUUUAAAGAUGUUUUUUUUUUUAAAACAUCUAUCUUUUAAUUCUUGAUGUAUACGUGGGAUUUCUAAAGUUUUUACAAAAGACUGAAUAAUAGCGUACAUAUAUUAAUGUAUAUGUGUGUGUAUAUGCGAGUAUGUGCACACUAAGGUGUGUGUGUGCCUAUAUAUAUAUAUUUUUUUUUAACUCAAUUGUAUCUCAAGAAAACAUCGUCUUUUAUUUCUAAUACAGUAAGGAUGAAGAUGACGAACUCGACAGUGAGGAUGAAGAUGACGAACUCGACAGUGAGGAUGAAGAUGACGAAAUCAACGGCGAGGAUGAAGAUGACGAAAUCGACAAUGAGGAUGAAGAUGAGGAAAUCGACGGCGAGGAUGACGAUGACAAAAUCGACGGCAAUGAUGAAGAUGACGAAAUGAACAGGGACGACGAACACAAUUGAUUGAUCAAGCACAAAGAUUAGCAUGUUUCCAUCUCCAACUUCUUCUAGGUUUAGUAAAAACUGAUGAAAAUUGUCUAUAUAGUACUCAAAAAAAUAUUCUACCAUGUUUUAUAUAAUAUAUACAUACAUUUAUAGCACUUAAAAAAAUUUAACAGUUUGGAUCUAAAACCAGAAUCUGCUACCUGUUUCAUUUUUUCGAGGUACCUAAUAGCAAUUAAGGACCUUUGUCAGACACGUAUACAAUAAACAUAACCCUAGUGCUAAGUGGCUUAAAAAUUAAUUUAGUCCUUAAACCGCUAUUUUUGGAAACACAUACAACAAGCACAAGCGUUUCAACUUAUUCCAAUUUCAGUGAUUUCUAAUAUUCUCCAAUGCAUGCAGGAAAAGAGUUUAAAGAACGUUGUGGCUACAGCAAUUCGUUUACUAUAUCAUAUGUACAAACCAAUAAAAGGACAUUUGUUGCACCCUAAUUUCAUUCCAAAAAUACUAUUUAUGUUGCUUAUUUUAUGUACCAUAAAUUCCAAUUGCGAUUAUUACUGUUUGUUUCUAAAUUCGCAUCAUUAGUGUUUGCUUAUUUGUGCUCGAUGUUGAUUAUAUUCUUGCAUUUCCAUUCAUAAUGAUAAUUUGGAAGUCUUGUCUCUAGCUAACUAAUAUUUGCAUUUCAAUUGAUAAUGAAAAUUCUAUGAUACCAUACAAGUGUUAGCUGAAUGACAUGUCUGUAGGAUGGAAAGCUGAAUAUACUGUAAUAUUGAUCACACACAUAUAAACUGAACAAUAUUAUGAUACACUAGCUAGCCGUAACUAAUGAAAGCUGAAUAAUAUGAUCACACACUAUAAAGUCCGCUAUUAUAGAAACUAACUUGGGGAUUGGAUAAGGGACGGCAAUAUUGGCCCAAUUCCGGCGAUAUUGGCCCGAAAACCCUGGGUCACCGUGUCUUAGAUUUGAAGUUGAGGAAAAUCGCCUACGAAUUUAUAGAAACUAACUUGGGGAUUGGAUAAGGGACGGCAAGAGCAUUCUGGAUGUGUAGUUUGAGAGCCUUUGGUGACCAGUGGACGACAGAGCUGUUGCGUCGGCACUCGGCAGUCGUCGGCUUGCUGUUAAAUGGGGCUCCUGUUGCAGCGCAAAAGAGAAGAAGGAAAGAGGAUACGGGAGGAGAGAAAAUGGGUUUCACCCACUUUGUACAUUAAUUCUUUUCCACAUUUUUUAUGGAAUAAACGACAUUAUCUAUCAUCAAAAGUGCGUUUGGUACGUGAGAUGAGACGGAACAUGUUUUGAUGAUAAUAAUGGUUAGAAGUAAUAUAGUUCAAAUUCAUCUUUGAUGAUAAUCGAAUAUAAAAUCCCUUACUUACAAGUUACAAAUAAAGAUGAAUGCCAUUAAUUUUUUUUCCACUUUUAAUACAUACCUAAAUAAAAAGAAACAAAAUGAAAAUGAAAAGAAAUAAUAAUUUGAAAGAGAAAUGAAAAAUAAAGGUAAAUUGACAGCAUAAGGUAACCCCACUACCCCGCUGCUGCCCGCAAGUUCUUUCCUCGCCCCUGUUUCUACGUCCAAUUAAUCUGUAGAAACUAACUUGGGAGUUGGAAAGAGAACGGAAAGAGGAGUCUGGAUAUGUAAUUUGACGGCCGUUGGUGACCCGUGGACGAAAAUAAACUUCAUGCGAAAACAAGACCAGAUUGAGGUAAGAAAGAAAAAUACAUAGGCAGAAAUAACAUGUCAGUCGGGCAAGACAAGUAAUUGCAACCAUAACACAACACAAUGAAGAAACAUACCACGAGGAUUUUGAACAAACAUAAUGAAGUGUAACCAAGAGCAUACAAAUAUCAAAAAUAUAGAAAAGAAUGCUAUACAAUCACUAUAAGUGAUUGCAAAGGCCAUCUUUCCUCGCCCCUGUUUCUACGUCCAAUUAAUUAAUCUGGAGGUAAGCUUUUAAAUCAGGUUGAAUUAACCUCUAUAAGUACAUCUUUUAAUUAGUAUUGUAUCAUCUUGUUGAUCGUGUUUAAAUUUCUAGGUUACACAACCUAAUCUUGAGGACUCAAAUGAUGAUGAUAAUCUCGAAAAUCUUACUCUAAUUAACUGUAAUUCAAUGGAAGUCACAUAAAAUUAUCAGAUUCCACAAUAGUAUUGGAAAUAACCUUUAGUCCUUAAACAGCUAUUUUCAGAAACACACAUUUCAGUGAUUUCUAAUAUUUUCCAAUGCAUGCAGGAGUUUCCCGAAAGAAAAAAAGAAGGUUGUGGCUUCGGCUAUUCGCUUACUUUCAUAUGUACAAACCAAUAAAAGGUCAUUUGUUGUACCAGAAUUUCAUUCCAAAGAUACAGUUUCCGUUGCUUACUAUAUGUAUAAUUAAUUUCGAUUGCGAUUAUUACUGUUUGAAUUCAUCUCUCGACUGCCUAUGGGGACGUCAAGGUGGACACCAAAAUGGAGGCGUGAUGACCUGCAUCCGGAAAGUGACGUAGCCAUAACGUGCAUGCAAAUAUAAUUUAAUAAAAUAACUUCAAAUGAUCUACGGAAAAAUCGGCAUAGUUUCCUUUGGAAUUAGGUUUUGGCCCCCAAAUUUAAAACCUGCUGAAAAAGUUAUAAUUAUUUCAAAACCACAUCCCCGACACCUAAUGGGUUAUCAACCCUCUACUACAUGCACGUAUACUCCAAUAUACUUACUGGUGGUAUAGCAUACAAUUUCAUACACCAGUGAUAACUAGUGUAAGCUGAAAAUUUAACCAUACACGCUAGUGUAAACUGAAGAUAAAACCAUACAUUAGCUGUAGCUAGUGUAAACUGAAAAAUAUAAUCAUACACUAGCCGUAGCUAGUGUAAGCUGAAUGGGCAUGCUCAUAGUAGGGACAAGAUGACUAUACUGUAGUAUAAAUCAUAAACGUGUAAGCUAAAUAAAAUUAUCAUACACUAUAAGGUCUGGUAUUAAUUCAUAAAAUCUAUUCUUCCCCUAAACGUAACGGAAAUCAUAUGUAUCUAGGCAUGCUUAAUAUUUGAUAAAGAAAAACAUUUCUGAAUAAAUGUCCACUGACACCUCCGGCUAGCUCUCCCUUGAGGAGCCUUGUCUACCAAAAAGGUAAUUUCAAGCAACUUCAAGAGAUAAUUUGACCACGUUGCGAAAGUAUGACACCAAACGGUUGAGACCCAGAAGACAUCCAAGAGUUUUUGGAGAAACAGAACGCUCACUGAAGAUAUGUGUUCUAUUUCUAUAGCACGUUUACCCCAAACAAAACACAGGUUAUGGAAAGGAAAAUAACAUUAAGAAAUGCAAAAGAUUGGGGAGAUGAGAAAGAAGUAGUCUCUGGUCCUGGAAAUAAUGCAUACAAUAUUGCUCUACCAAUUAAACCAAAUCUUAUGACUCUAGUGACAAGCUAGAGAGCCACAAAAACCCCAAGUCCUUGCAGGGAACCCAAAACCAAAGCAAACUACCGAAAUGAACCCGAUUCGAGCCAAGAAAUGACAAAUGCUUAUGUAAAAAUAAAUUAAUCAAAUCAAACAAGAAAUGACAAACCCCGAUUCUAGUUGAAUACAACUAGAAUAAACAAGGAAUCAGGCUAUGCAAUUUCCUACCACAUUUUCACAUCAACGUCAUUGUUAGGGGUUUCAACAACUUCACAGAAUGACCACAAAUCUCAUCUCCGGCAUUCAGACAGAAAAAUCGAAUAAAAGUUCGAAAUUAAGAAUCGAUCCCAAAUCUCAUUUUUACCUCUUGGUUCGAGGUCCAAUUCCUGCGAUAUUUGGCCGGAAGUUUGCCGGAAAACCCGUGGUCACCGUUUCUUUUGAUCUGAAAUUGAGGAAAUGCCGCUUCGAAUUUGUAGAAACUGACUUGGGGGUUGGAAAGAGGACGGGAAGAGAGAAUUCUGGAUGUGUAAUUUGACGGCCGUUGGUGACCGAUGUUAGCAGACGUCGCUGUUGCAAUUACAUCAAACCUUCAACUCCACCACUUCAUCUUCUUCGUCAAGACCUAGAUGGACGACAACGUCGUACACAGAGUCUUCCAAGAAGGAGGCCAUGGCUAUUUCCAACAAUGACCCUCCACUUUCUCUUCCUCCGACGUCGUUUCAUUGAUUUUGAGAUCUGGGUUUUGUUUGCGGUGUGAGGUAUUUUAAAAUCUGGCAUCGUGGAGCUUGCUGGAGAAGAAGAUGUGGGCUGAUAUUGUUCGAAUUCAGGGACCCCCAACUCGAAUUGUAAAGCUUGGUUAUGGUUUUGGGAAGGGGUGUGGGCUGGCGAGCGCUGUAAUGAGAACCGAGUCGUCCGAAUCCAAGCAUUUCUUCUUCAAUCCCGAUUCUUCCCAAAGAACCACAACUAAGGUCGACACAAUCCCACCGUUGGAUAGGAGCUGCACCCAAUUCCUUUGCCCACCCUCUUUGAAAUCGGUAUCGCCGCGUCGCUUCUUGCCUUCCCGGACCUUGGUCAGCUUCGACAAUGUAAAGAACACCCGCAACAGAGCUCCACCAUGGCCAGGUGGGUGGGAAGAACAAGCGAGAGAAGAAACGACAUUUUUCGUUUUUCAUUUUUUUUCUUAAUUUUUUUAAUAUUUAAUUAUUUUUAUUUGCCACGUCAUACAAAGAUGUGGACUCUAUAUUUACUAUGUCAACAUUUAAAGGUCAAAUUAACGGUUUGAUUGACGGAUAUAUGAAAUUGAAAUAAAUUAUUAGUAAUUAUAUGAGUUUGAAAUAUUUAUAAAUGUUGUAUGAGGUUCUAAUUGCAUUUUUGAUAUGAGUAAUUAUAUGAGUAAUUAUAUGAGCAGAUGUGAUAAAAUGUAAUUUAACCUAAAAAUAAAAUGAAAAAUAAAAAAUAAAGGUAAACUGAAAGCAUAGUUAAUCACCCAUAAUAAUAGGUAACAUUAUCAUAUUGCCCUUUGUUGAUGCACAAAACCGGAGGUUUUGGAACAACGUAAAUCCGACCGUGAAUCUACAUAAAAUGUAAAUAACACAAGAGUUAUCGUGGUUCACCCCAAUGUUUGGGCUACGUCCACACUGAUUGUAUUAUAUUUCUCUGAGAAGUGAGGGGGAGAGAGAGCUCUAGAAGUGAGAGCGUUGAAAGGGGUGAGAAGGCUCCAGAAAUGGCCUCUAAGAGUGAGAGUGAGGCCUCCCUUAAUUGUUAGGGUGAGGAGUCCUUUUAUAGAAUAAGGGCUCCUCACUUAUUACAUAUUUGCCCCUUCCUUUAUCACAUAAUUAUAUUUAAGUCCCCCGAGUAUUUCUACGAUAUCUAAAUACGAGGCCCUAAAUAUGGUAUAAACAGUAGUCCCCUAAGUCUUCAGUCAAGAGAGUCUUUUGGCUGGAGACUUGAAAUUCAGUCCAUGUGUGGGCCGAAGUAACUAGAUGUCGUCUUGAACUGGUACUUGAUAUGAGGCGGUGCUCAAAGUGAAAUGAUGCUCAACUAUAAGUAGCACAUGUAGCGAGGCUGCUCGGCUUGUGGCUUAUGUUGCCUUAGUUAGCUCGGCUUGUGGCGCUUGAAGGUGAGGGGGUCCCUUUUAUAGAAUAAGGGCUCGCUCCUCAAUACAUAAAUGAUGGGCUAGAGUUGAUGCUCGCGGCGAGGCAGUUGCUCAGUAGGCGGCGAUGCUCUCUAAUGGUGGUGAGUGGAUCCUUUUUAUAGAAUAAGAGCUCGUUCCUCAAUACAUAAGUGAUGGGUUAGGAGUAAUGCUCGCGGCGAGGCGGUUGCUCAGCUAGCGGCGUUGCUCUCUAAUGAAGGUGAGGGAGUCCCUUUUAUAGAAUAAGGGCUCGCUCCUCAAUACAUAAGUGAUGGGCUAGGAGUGAUGUUUGCGGCAAGGCGGUUGCUCAGCUGGCGGCGUUGCUCUCUAAUGAAGGUGAGGGAGUCCCUUUUAUAAAAUAAGGGCUCGUUCCUCAGUACAUGAAUAAUGGGUGCUCUCUAAUGAAAGUGAGGGAGUCCCUUUUAUAGAAUAAGGGCUCGCUCCUUAAUACAUAAAUAAUGGGCUAAGUCCCCCAAAUAUUUUUCAUGAGGCCCAAUAUAUGGUACAUAAUGUAGUCCCCCAAGUCUUCGGUCAAUAGAGUCUGUUGGCUGGAGACUUCAAAUUGAAUCCAUGUAUGGGCCGAAGUGGUGGUUGUUCGGAGGCGGUAUUUGUAUACCCUGCACUGAAGCUUUGUAGGUGAAGCUUUGCAAGUGAAGCUUUGAAGCUAGAGCUCUGUAAAUGAAGCUUUCGAAGCUGGAGCUUUUAUAAAUGAAGCUUUUGAAGCUAGAGCUCUGUAAAUGAAGCUUUUGAAGUUGAUUGACAUGAGUGAUGCUCAUGAAUGUUUAUGUUGAUUGACAUGAGUGAUGCUCAUGAAUGUUGUCAUGAGUGAUGCUCAUGAAUGUUAACAUGAGUGAUGCUCAUGAAUGUUGACAUGAAUGAUGGUCAUGAAUGUUUAUGUAUGAUUGUCAUGAGUGAUGCUCAUGAAUGUUUAUGUAUGAAUGACAUGAGUAAUGCUCAUGUAUAAUUUGGAAUACUGGGCGUACUUUUGAUCACCUAGUUGGUGGCAUGAAGAAGAGUAGGGGUUGUACAUUUCAUCACCUGGUUGGUGGCAUGAAUGGCUAGUUGCCAAAUGAUAUUAGAGUACGGGUUGUACAUUUCAUCACCUGGUUGGUGGUAAAAGCGGCAGGUUGCCGAAUAAUUUUGGAGUACUGGGCGUACUUUUGAUCACCUGGUUGGUGGUAAUAGCGGCAGGUUGUCGAAUAAUUGUGGAGUACUGGACGUACUUUUGAUCGCCUGGUUGGAGCUAUUUUGGGCUUAUGGGCCUUCGCCCUUUACACAACAUUCCAGCCCAUUUAUUUUGGGCUUUGUCGUUUUUUUUUUUUUUUUUUAUACCCUCUGAUGGGGUUUAUACAGAUGUCUUCGAAAGAUAAGAAAAAUAAAUUACAUCAUACAAGAAAAGGAAAUCACUAGCAGGGUGUUUUAUUCCUUGAUUUUGCUUUCUCUUUUGCUUUCGCUUUCUUGGAUGACCGCUCUUUUUAGGAAUAAUGGUGCUCGGUGUCUUGUCAAUCCAACGUCCCAAGGUACUGACAUAAGGAGAUGCUGGGACCUUGUAAUGGGAUGGUAACAGCUUGACAUCAUUAGACAUCUGAAUUCCUUUAUCAUCGUGGUCGCGGGACCACUUUGCAGCUGUGUGUUUAAAGAAACCUGCUUUACCUUUACUGCUUUUGUUUCUGUUUCUUUUGACAAGCUGAUGGACGGACAGGAUGGCAUGGGUCGGAUUUAGCACAUGCGAAAAGUUAUUCCUUUUGUCCAAGUGGGUUGUUGAAGAUAACCCAUUACUGCAUUAUUCUCAGGGCUGUGAUGAUGAUGCAGUUGAAGAUUGUGCAGAGAUACGGAAGACCAAGAAGAAGACUUGGCUCUCAGCUUUGUACGAAAUGGGAUUAUCACUGCAAUACGCAAGCUUUGCAGUAGAAACAUAUAAAACUCCCAUGACUGGACUGAUGUGGACAAGUAACAUGCAAAUGAAUUUUGAAGUUGCUCCUCGGGAGUUGUCUUAAAGGUUGAUCGAAAAAUCUUCUCGUAACCACCUUCUGCUAGAACCUUUGUUCCUAGUGCAAUUCUUCCCAUGGCAGCAUCAGCAAAACUGGGGCUUGUUUUUAAGAGCUGCCACGUGUUUCCGGCGAGGUCCUCCGCCUUCUUCGUAGGUUCCCCCACCGACUUCCUCCACCUCCCAAACACGUUCCGCACAGUCUCCACCGAAUCUUUGAAUGAGAGAGAUUGUGAGAGCGUCGGGGAGGGAGCCACGUAAGUAUUGGAUCCCUGAUGGGAAGACUGAUCCGACGUGGCAGCGUGCGACUUAGACAUCAAUUCUGGGUUGGUGCUUCUUCACGCUGUUUACGAACCUAUUGGAGCCAUCCCUCUUCUUCGCCACCACUCGCUGGACGGAGCACGGUCAAGGACUUGCCGAUAUUCUCCUUCCCGCUUCCAUUGUCUCAUCUCAGAUUCAUUCUUCUUUGCUGCCAAAGCAGCUUGUAUGCCUUGCUCAUGCUUCAUACUUGUGUACAUCUGAAGAUGGUUUUUAACGUGUGAUAUGUUAAGGCCCUUCACAUUCAUGGUCUGUAAAACCAUCUUUGGAGUGGCUCUUUGAUCUCCGCCAAGCCUUUCAACCGAGUAGAUGACGACGGGGAUGAUUUCGACAAGCUGCCGAUCAUCUGACGAUGACUGGCGCGGGCCGGAAAAUGAUGGUGGUAGCCGUGGACGACUAGAUGCUUCCCUUGAGCUGUGCUUCUAUUAGGAGUAACACCAUCAUCGUCGUCAAAUGAUGACGAGUGGGGUUUCUGACCACCUGCUCCGAGUAGCUCUCUCCGUGUGUAGAUUCCCGCUCAUGUGAUGACUGGGGACCAUCGAAGCCGGCGGCGGCGGGUACCUCAGAUUAUCCGUGGAUUUUUUAGAGAGGUUGAAAAGACAGGGAUUUGAGGAGAGAGAGAGAGAGUCCUCAUUUCGCUAUCUUGAGCUCUAAAAUCCAUGGAUUUUUUUAUAUUAGUUUGUAAGAAAAAUGAGAGAUAGAAACAGCAUCUUCAGCAUGACUGCUUGAACAUCUCUAUGGUUUUAGAGAGAGAGAGAGAGUGGUGUUCUUGGUUUUUUGUGAUUUUUGCAGAUUCACAGUGGAGGUGAAAAAAAUGAAAGAGAACCGACACAACUUUUCGUAUCGAUUCCCACAGACGGCGCCAAAUGUUGAUGCACAAAACCGGAGGUUUUGGAACAACGUAAAUCCGACCGUGAAUCUACAUAAAAUGUAAAUAACACAAGAGUUAUCGUGGUUCACCCCAAUGUUUGGGCUACGUCCACACUGAUUGUAUUAUAUUUCUCUGAGAAGUGAGGGGGAGAGAGAGCUCUAGAAGUGAGAGCGUUGAAAGGGGUGAGAAGGCUCCAGAAAUGGCCUCUGAGAGUGAGAGUGAGGCCUCCCCUAAUUGUUAGGGUGAGGAGUCCUUUUAUAGAAUAAGGGCUCCUCACUUAUUACAUAUUUGCCCCUUCCUUUAUCACAUAAUUAUAUUUAAGUCCCCCGAGUAUUUGUACGAUAUCUAAAUACGAGGCCCUAAAUAUGGUAUAAACACCCUUAUACAUUUUUGAUAUGAUAUUGCCCUUAUACUCUAUAGUUAUGUAUAAGCUCUAUUUUAACUUUGAAUUUUGUUUUGCUUGCGCUUACUCUUAAGUAUUAACAAAUACUACAAAAAAAUGUUGUGAUAAUACGGCAUAUGUGUCACUAGCUCAAAGGUUAACCGAAGUCAACACUUUCUCUUCUAAAGACAUUUUCGUAUAUAAGUGAUUAGUGACUACAAGAUUGUUCUUUAACUAGAUUUCUCGUAUUUCAUAUGAGUAUACGCAUUCUACUAUAUACUGAUGAAAUUGAGGUUCCAUCAUGAAACCAAUUGGCAAUAUGAGGGGUAGCCCGAUACCUUUGAGUUCAGAUGGAUUGUAAAAGUAAUGACUACUAGAUUGUUCUUUUACUAGAUUUCUCGUAUUUCAUAUGAGUUUACGCAUUCUACUAUAUACUGAUGAAAUUGAGGUCCACUAUAAAAUCAAUUGGCAAUAUGAGGAGUAGCCUAAGAUCAUAUAAGCACAUAGCAAACAUUAUCCCUCACCGAUGUGGGACAACUCUCAACACACCCCCGCAUGUGUGGCUGAUAACUCUCAACACACCAUCGCACGUGUGACGGAUUUUCAAGCCUACACGUGGACAACAACUGGGUGACGUGGAGCGAGUGUGGCCGUUGGGCUUCACACAUGGACAACCUUGCUGUGAUACCAUGAUGAAAUUGAGAUUCCACCAUAAAACCAAUUAGCAAUAUGGGGAGUAACCCAAGAUCAUACAAGUACAUAACAAACAUUGUCCCUCACUGAUGUGGGACAACUCUCAACAUGCCCCGCACAUGUGACGGAUAAGUCUCAACAUAUACGUGAUCUGCCUAAUUCGGCAUUCCAGUAAGAAGCAAAAUGAUAAGAACAAUCGUGACAAUUACAUGAAAAGAAAGAAGCUAAUUAGCAAGUAAUCAUUCGAAUAAGCUGAACUCUCGGAAACAGGAACCUAAACACCACCAAGAUGGUAUCUGUUGUAACAUGCCCAUAGUAAGAUCAUAGUUUGAAGUAAACCACAUCAAAAGUGAGAGAGCGACUCCAGAAAACAAUUAUAGUCAUGUGCUUGCACUUCAAUGCAGAAACAGAAUAAAAUAAAAUCCUAGAGUUUUCAGACCAUCAUUAAACACCCAAGCAGAAGAAACAUUCACAAUCUAGCAAAUGGGUGUUCAUAAUUUCAAGCAGAAACACCAAAAAUCAAAGAAAAUAAUGAAUAUUAAAUUCAGAAUUUUUUUGUACUCAUGUAUCUCCCUUGAUCUUGAACCAAGUCUCAGCGCAUUGCUUAUGCGCAACACCCAAAUCCCCCUUGCAAAAACACCCCAAGUCAAUUGGGACCCCAGAGGCAGAGUCGGUCCUACCACCUCCCUCCAAACCCAAGUUGCAAAUCCUGCAGUUGUUUUCAACUUUACUCAAAUGCACCACCUUCUUCACCUCCAAAAGCCCACUCUCCAAAUCCACCUCAUUCACUGAACAAUCCGACCCACAGGACUUUCUCCAGACAUUGCUGGAGUCAGACAUUGAGUGCCAAGACUGGUUAUCAUCGGAGUCAUCCGAGACCGACGCACCGCUGUCUCCUGUGAUCGAACGAUGGUGGUCGGUUUUCUCGGGAGCUGACAUUCGUGAAACCCGGACAGAGAAAUGGCGUGAAAUGGUGAAGUGUUAAAGUUGCGGCACUCGGACAUCAAACAUGGUGGGGUUAUGGAGUAGGUGGAGAUGUUUUUAAUAUAUCCUCAAUCAAAAUAUCAAAGUCUCCAUCCUCCCUCGAUCACUAUCUUUAUUUAUGUGUCAGUUUCGAACAAUGACUAAGGGUGCAUUUGUUGUACUGGACUGUCUCGGAUUGGACUAACUUCAAGGGCUAAGCUGGACUGAUUUAGUGAAGUAUUUGGUGCAGUGUCGGACUAAAAAGCAUGACUCAUGUAUUAUAUUAUUAAAUUUAUAUUUACAAUAUUUUAUCAUUAAUUUAAUCUAUAUAUACUAAUAUUUUAUUAUUAAAUUAUCAUUUUCCCUUCUAGAAUCUCUUAAUUUUGUGUCCGCCCACUACAUCCUCUCAUCUUUCCCUGCCAUUUCAUAUUCCUCUCAUUUUUUUGUCCACCCACUGCAUCCUUUCCCUCUCUUAUUUCUCUGCCAUUUCAUCUCCCUCUCUCAUUUUUUUUGUCCGCCCACUGCAUCCAUCCCCUCUCCUUUUUCUCUGCCAUUUUAUCUGUGCCACUGUCUCUUUCCUCUUUCCCUUUUCUGGGUUCAAUUUUUCUGGGUUUUCUGGUUAUGGGAAGCAGGGAAAAAGGAGAUGUGAGGGGCAAAGCGGAGUAGAGGUAGCAAUGGAAGAGGUCAAGGAGGAUGGAGCCUGAAGUCAUUGCUGUUGAAAAUUGAAGUCUAGGAGGAAAGAGUCCAAUCGGAGGGCACGACUGAUGAGCUUGGUAUGAGCAGGGUGCGACCGAUGAAGCUCUUGAGUUCUCCGAUUGAAGUUCGAAUCAAGGUCUUUGUUCAUGAUUUAGGGUUGGUAAUGAAAAGAGAGGGAGAGAACGCGAGCAAAGAGAAGAGUAAGGGACGCAAGCAGAGGGCGACGAAGGGAUUAGCUAGUCCUAUGGUUCUCGACGUCUCUCUCUAAGACCGUCUAGCACGGUCCUUAGUCGAGGCAAGUCUGGCUUACUCCCACUAAAGCUAGUCUUGUGAAGUAACAAACAUGAGACUGGACUAACUAUUACUCUAGUCUAGUCCAAAGAGGGCUAGUGAAGGGAAACAAACAUGGCAUUAGCGAACAAGAGAAUGAGGAGUUCCGAAGCAAAUGCGAAUUAUGAGGAUGGUGGGUGGGGGCAGACUGCUCCGAUCAGAGAUAUUUGUAGGAUUACAAUAAAAGACUUGCAAUCUUUUAAGGCUGCCAGUUGUGUUACACUCACAGUCAGACACAUAUACACAGAGACAAAACACGAGUUAGACUUCCAAAAGACUUUGAGUUAGAGUUAGUAAAUUUAUGUAGGAUGGUUCGAGAUUUCAAAUUGAAAAUGAGAUUUCUACUUUUUAAUUUUAAUCUUAAUGUUCAUCUUAAAUUGCCACUUAGUACUACAAUUUAGUGAUAUUUCUCUUCAUUUGUAAGUAAGAGGUCUUAAGUUCAAUUAUAAUCAAAAGCGAAUUUAAACCAAAUUAUUGCUAGCACAUUGUAAGGGUGAGUUCAUCCCUUUUUUUUUAGUGAAACCCAGACAGAGAAAUGGCUUGAAAUGGUGAAGUUUUAAAGUUGCGGCACUCAUACAUUAAACAUGAUGGGGUUAUGGAGUAGGUGGAGAUGUUUUUAAUAUAUCCUCAAUCAAAAUAUCAAAGUCUCCCUCCUCCCUCGAUCACUGUCUUUAUUUAUGUGUCAGUUUCGAACAGUGGCUUUAGUGAACGAGAGAGGAAGGAGUUCCGAGCAAAUGCGAAUUAUGAGGAUGGUGGUGGGGGCAAACUGCUCCGAUCAGAGAUAUAUUUGUAGGACCACAAUAAAAGACUUGCAAUCUUUUAAGGCUGCCAGUUGUGUUACACUCACAGACAGAGACAAAACACGAGCUAGACUUCCAAAAGACUUUGAGUUAGAGUUAGUAAAUUUACGUAGGAUGGUUCUGUAUGAGAUUUCAAAUUGAAAAUGAGAUUUCUACUUUUUAAUUUAGACGAUCUGCACCAAAAAUUCUGAUCUCAAUGUUUAUCUUAAAUUGCUACUUAAUACUACAAUUUAGUGAUAUUUCUCUUCAUUUGUAAGUAAGAGGUCUUAAGUUCAAUUCUCGUCAAAAACGAAUUUAAACCAAAUUAUUGCUAGCACAUUGUAAGGGUGAGCUCAUCCCCUUUUUUUUAGUGUAAAUAAUAUCACUUGUUAAAAAAAUAAAAAUAAAAUAAAACCUUUUUGAAGUAUUCUUUUAAAAGAAUAAUACUUGCAUUUCUCCUUUGAAAAUGAGCUCAUUCUCCCCUACUUGCAAAUAGCAUAUCUUCAUUGUAGCAAUUUCAUAAUUAUAACCGUUCGAUUUCUUAAUUUUCCUUUAAAGAUCAUCACUUUCAUUGGAAAUGGAAAUCAUAUAGUCAUUCAUAUGCCACUCCGAUCAUUUUUUUUUUUUGAAGGUACGCAUUUUGAUGGAAUAAAUUCAUCCCACAAAGAAAAUGCAAAGUAUUAUUAUUUUUAAAACCUGAAAUUGACAAAAAUGACUUAUGAUUGUAAACAAUGAUGAAAACUGAGACCAAAUUGGUUAAAUCGAAAACGUUAACAUUGAAAUUUUACGUCACAGAAUGUAAAAUAAAGAUUACAAAAUCUGAUUAGUUCAUUUUUCUUUCAGCAGAAUUAUGCCAAUUUCGUUUUUGCAAUUGCCGUGAACCUCAUACAUUCAAUAACGAUAAAAGCCACAAAUAAUGCAUCCAUCUACAGCUCCUUCGUAUCAUUACCCUGUGGAAAGAAAAGUUGCUCGAAGUCUUGAGAAGCAACAUAACGAACAAUCAUACCGCGGCAUUUGGGUGCUCCAUUAGAAAUCGGUGGGACUACGACCAGAAUCGUAGGUAUAUGUAUUUGAAAAAAUGUCUUGCUACAGUUAAAGGGACAAGUACUCAAAAUCGAAUACAUAUUCGUGAUAUAACUUUGGCACUCUUAUUUCUGAUACAUAUUUGUGAGUGAGCAGAUAACAUAGAUAAAAUCUUUAAAAAAAAUCAGAAUUUCAACCAGAGAUUUCAAUGGCUCUUAUUUGUGAUACAUUUAUUAAGUAGAUGAUUUGUCCUAAAACAAACACAACCUCAAACAACUAAAGUUUAGAGAACAAACUCUGAGUAUCAAGAGUACUUGACUCAUCUCACUCUUUGCAUAAAACAUUUAAAAAACCAAAUGCCAAUUAUGAAAGUGGAAAACUGAAGUACUUGGCAAGGUUUUUCUUUUUAUCCAGACAUUCAAGAUGGUAAACAAUAUUUUUGAAAUACCAUUAAAAAAACAGAGUAUACUUUUAGGCAAAUAUUGUUCAAAAACCCAAAUAUAAUUCAUGAUACCUCAACAACAACAACAACAACAAAGCCUUUUCCCACUAAGUGGGGUCGGCUAUAUGAAUCCUAGAACGCCAUUGCGCUCGGUUUUGUAUCAUGUCCUCCGUUAGAUCCAAGUACUCUAAGUCUUUUCUAAGAGUCUCUUCCAAAGUUUUCCUAGAUCUUCCUCUACCCCUUCGGCCCUGAACCUCUGUCCCGUAGUCACAUCUUCGAACCGGAGCGUCAUUCGGCCUUCUUUGCACAUGUCCAAAUCACCGGAGCCGAUUUUCUCUCAUCUUUCCUACAAUUUCGGCUACUCCUACUUUACCUCGGAUAUCCUCAUUCCCAAUCUUAUCCUUUCUCGUGUGCCCACACAUCCCACGAAGCAUCCUCAUCUCCGCUACACCCAUUUUGUGUACGUGUUGAUGCUUCACCGCCCAACAUUAUGUGCCAUACAACAUCGCUGGCCUUAUUGCCGUCCUAUAAAAAUUUUCCCUUGAGCUUCAGUGGCCUACGACGGUCACACAACAACACGCCGGAUGCAUUCUUACACUUCAUCCAUCCAGCUCGUAUUCUAUGGUUGAGAUCUCCAUCUAAUUCUCCGUUCUCUUGCAAGAUAGAUCCUAGGUAGCGAAAACGGUCGCUUUUUGUGAUCUUCGCUAGAUUGCUCCGGUCAUUAGUGUGGAUAAGUAUAUAAAUAGAGAUAGAGAUAGGAAAGCAAAACACAAGAUGUACGUGGUUCACCCAGAUUGGCUACGUCCACGGAAUAGAAGAGUUCUCAUUAAUUGUGAAGGGUUUACACAAGUACAUAGGUUCAAGCUCUCCUUUAGUGAGUACAAGUGAAUGAUUUAGUACAAAUGACAUUAGGAAAUAUUGUGGGAGAAUGAUCUCGUAAUCACGAAACUUCUAAGUAUCGGAGUGUGGUGUCGUCUUGACUUGCCUUAUCUGUCUCAUAGGUAGAUGUGGCAUCUUCUCUGGAAGUACUCUUCCUCCAUCCAGGGGUGGUAUCUUUAACUGGUGGAGAUGCACAAGGUAAUGUAUCAAUUUCACUUGAAGCUUACUUGUAGUUUCAGGCUUGGUCAAGCGCGAUACAAACCAUGUAGUAGGAGUCCCCCAAGUCGCCGAGCUAGGGGGUCUGCUGAAAGAGGUGACAGACAAGGUAAGCAAUCAGAGCUCCGACUGAUUGUUCACCUUCUCCCCAUCUUGCAGCAGCAUGAAGGAUAAAGAGAAGAAAAAUGAGAAGAGAUGAUAUGAGAUACUUUUGCUUUUGAAGAAGUAACUUUCCACAGGCUUAUUCUUGAACUGAGCUGGAGGGUUUUCUGGUUUCCUCCAGAGUAUAAGGCCGACUGAAGAAUUUGAGGGUCAAAACAAGUCCAUCAAAUCUAGAGUACGUUCCACCCUGCUGAUAUGGGAUACUUUUGCUUUUGACAGAGUAAUGGAUGUAUCGGCACGUGUGCUGUUACGCUUGUCUCCACAUGCUUCCUUGUAUCCUUCGCACUUGCCCUAUCUGUUCCUCAAGCAGAUGCGGAAUCUUCCCUGGAAACAUAAGAUGUUGAAGAUGAGUACUCGAGAGCAAUGCCAGGUAAGUAAUCAGGUAAGGGGUUCCAGGCAGUCAGUUCCUGGCUGGAAGCUUGAUUCCAAGUGCUGACUGAUUGCUCUCUUUCUCCUUGUCUUGCAGGUAAAAACAAGGCCAAAGGAAAAGACAGGGAAAAAGCAUGAUAUGGGAUACUCUUGCUUUUAACCCUGAUGAUAUGAGAUAUUCUUGCUCUAGUAUAGCUUGUUUGCAGAGGUAUUAUCGGGGGGAAAGAAAGCUGAAUAUUUCGAAAGGCUUCGUUGGGAGUGCCUUCUCAGAUAUGAUGAAGGGUUGAGCAUUUUUGCAGGUCUGCCUGUCCGUUGGGGAUGGAGGUCGACAUAUAUAGGAGUCUCCCUAACAACAAGUAGUAAUGAUAUUCCUUUACCCUGCUUGGUCAUAGCACGGUAGUGGGAGCUGCCAGUUUCACAUGUUUUAACUCUGUCAGAGCACUUUGAAAAAGUGGUCUGUGGUAUCUGGCUCUCGAGAUUCGGAGAACGAUGCCUCUUCGAUUUUUGAGAAAGCAAUCAUGCUGGGGGUAUGGCUCUCAAGAUUCGGAGAGCAGUGUCUCUUCGAUUUUUAAGGAAGUAAUCAUGUUGGGAGUCUGGCUCUCGAGAUUCGGAGGGCGGUGCCUCUUCGAUUUUGGAGCAAGCAAUCUUGUUGGGAGUGUUGUCUCGAAUGUGAGUAAAGGUUGGGCAUGUUUGCUAGUCUACCUUGCCACGAAGCACAAAGGUUGACACACAGGGACUUUCCAAUUAUCCAGCAAUGGUACUGUUCCUUUACCCUCUCUUCGAUUUUGAGAAAGUAAUCAUGUUGGGAGUCUGGCUCUCGAGAUUCGGAGGACGGUGCCUCUUCGAUUUUGGAGCAAGCAAUCUUGUUGGGAGUGUUUUCUCGAAUGUGAGUAAAGGUUGGGCAUGUUUGCUAGUCUACCUUGCCACGAAGCACAGAGGUUGACACACAGGGACUUUCCAAUUAUCCAGCAGUGGUACUGUUCCUUUACCCUUGUGUGGUAAUAAUAUGGUAGCUAGACCUUCAAAAUUUAUGUGUCUAAACUUUGUUAGUGCUGUUUCUUUGCUAUUCUUUUACCUUUCUUGGUCAGAGCGAUGUAGUGGGAGCUGCAAGCUUCACGUGCUCAACUUUGGCAGAGAACUUUGGCAAAGUUAUCUGUGGUACCCAUGAGCUAUUGUUGCGUGUGGGAAGUGGGUGAUUGAACAGUAAGAUUCAUGUGCUUUCUACUUCACCAGAAGUCUUCGACAGAAUGCCCAUAAUUUCUGCAAAGCUGAGUGUGCGUGUGACAGGUGCUGACAAGGCUAGAAAAGUAGGUGCCUCUUCGAUUUCUGAGAUUGGCCCUCGUGGUCUCUGAGCAGCCCAGCUUUUGAGAAAGCGAGCGCCUCUUCGAUUGAUUCGGAGAACGAUGCCUCAUCGAUUUUUGAGAAAGCAAUCAUGCUGGGGGUCUGGCUCUCGAGAUUCGGGGAGCAGUGUCUCUUCGAUUUUUGAGAAAGUAAUCAUGUUGGGAGUCUGGCUCUCGAGAUUCGGAGGGCGGUGCCUCUUCGAUUUUGGAGCAAGCAAUCUUGUUGGGAGUGUUUUCUCGAAUGUGAGUAAAGGUUGGGCAUGUUUGCUAGUCUACCUUGCCACGAAGCACAGAGGUUGACACACAGGGACUUUCCAAUUAUCCAGCAAUGGUACUGUUCCUUUACCCUCUCUUCGAUUUUUAAGAAAGUAGUCAUGUUGGGAGUCUGGCUCUCGAGAUUCGGAGGACGGUGCCUCUUCGAUUUUAGGAGCAAGCAAUCUUAUUGGGAGUGUUUUCUCGAAUGUGAGUAAAGGUUGGGCAUGUUUGCUAGUCUACCUUGCCACGAAGCACAGAGGUUGACACACAGGGACUUUCCAAUUAUCCAGCAGUGGUACUUGUUCCUUUACCCUUGUGGGUAAUAAUAUGGUAGCUAGACCUUCAAAAUUUAUGGGUCUAAACUUUGUUAGUGCUGUUUUCUUUGCUAUUCUUUUACCCUUCUUGGUCAGAGCGAUGUAGUGGGAGCUGCAAGCUUCACGUGCUCAACUUUGGCAGAGAACUUUGGCAAAGUUAUCUGUGGUACCCAUGAGCUAUUGUUGCGUGUGGGAAGUGGGUGAUUGAACAGUAAGAUUCAUGUGUUUUCUACUUCCCCAGAAGUCUUCGACAGAAUGCCCAUAAUUUCCGCAAAGCUGAGUGUGCGUGUGACAGGUGCUGACAAGGCUGGAAAAGUAGGUGCCUCUUCGAUUUCUGAGAUCGGCCCUCGUGGUCUCUGGGGAGCCCAGCUUUUGAGAAAGCGAGCGCCUCUUCGAUUUCUGAGAUCGGCCUUCGUGGUCUUUGAGCAGCCCAACUUUUGAGAAAGCAAACGCCUCUUCGAUUUCUGAGAUCAACCCUCGUGAUCUCUAAGCAGCCCAGCUUUUUGAGAAAGCAAACGCCUCUUCGAUUUCUGAGCAGGCGCCUCUUCGAUUUCUGAAGCUCCGUCGAGUGCAGAUUUUUAUAGGGGCUGGCAUUAAGUUCCAAAGCACACUUGAAUCUCCACCAGUAGAAGCUUCAUUCUUGCACUUCUAAGAUCUUGAUUUGUCCGACCUCUUCUCUCUUCAACACCUUUGAAAAUGUCUGGCCCCUCCGACCGUCGUUUUGACUUGAACCUUGUUGAAGAGGCAGCCCCGCCUUCUCCAGACAACAUAUGGCGCCCAUCCUUCGUCUCCCCUACUGGUCCUCUUACCGUUGGGGAUUCCGUGAUGAAGAAUGAUAUGACCGCUGCGGUGGUGGCCAGGAACCUUCUCACUCCCAAAGAUAACAGACUACUUUCCAAACGGUCUGAUGAGUUAGCUGUUAAGGAUUCGCUGGCUCUCAGUGUUCAGUGUGCAGGUUCUGUGUCUAAUAUGGCCCAACGCCUAUUUGCUCGAACCCGCCAAGUUGAAUCAUUGGCGGCUGAAGUGAUGAGUCUCAAACAGGAGAUUAGAGGGCUCAAGCAUGAGAAUAAACAGUUGCACCGGCUCGCACAUGACUAUGCUACAAACAUGAAGAGGAAGCUUGACCAGAUGAAGGAAACUGAUGGUCAGGUUUUACUUGAUCAUCAGAGAUUUGUGGGUUUGUUCCAAAGGCAUUUAUUGCCUUCGUCUUCUGGGGCUGUACCGCGUAAUGAAGCUCCAAAUGAUCAACCUCUGAUGCCUCCUCCUUCUAGGGUUCUGUCCAGUACUGAGGCUCCAAAUGAUCCCCCUCCGGUGCCUUCUCUUUUCUGGGGCUCUACCGACUGCUGAGACUUCUCCUAAGCAACCUUUGUGAAGGCUCCCUCUUGUGUGUUUAUUUUGACUCAUGUAUAUGUACAUAUUUGUAGCUUAUCGGGGAUAUCAAUAAAUAAGCUUUCCUUCAUUUCAACGUAUUGUGUUAAAUACACCAAAGCCUUCUUCGCUAAGUUCUUUGAAUUUUCUUUUGUUGAAGCUUGUAUGUUGAAGCUUUCUGAGUGGAGCAUGUAGGUUGGGGUAGUGUUCCCUUAAUUUCCCGAGUGAGGAAAACUUCUCGGUUGGAGACUUGGAAAAUCCAAGUCACUGAGUGGGAUCGGCUAUAUGAAUCUUAGAACGCCAUUGUGCUCGAUCCUGUGUCAUGUCCUUCGUUAGAUCCAAGUACUCUAAGUCUUUUCUUAGAGUCUCUUCCAAAGUUUUCCUAGGUCUUCCUCUACCCCUUCGGCCCUGAACCUCUGUCCCAUAGUCGCAUCUUCUAAUCGGAGCGUCAGUAGGCCUUCUUUGCACAUGUCCAAACCACCGUAACCGAUUUUCUCUCAUCUUUCCUUCAAUUUCGGCUACUCCUACUUUACCCCGGAUAUCCUCAUUCCUAAUCUUAUCCUUUCUCGUGUGCCCACACAUCAUCCAACGAAGCAUCCUCAUCUCCGCUACACCCAUUUUGUGUACGUGUUGAUGUUUCACCGCCCAACAUUCUGUGCCAUACAGCAUCGCCGGCCUUAUUGCCGUCCUAUAAAAUUUUCCCUUGAGCUUCAGUGGCAUACGGCGGUCACACAACACGCCGGAUGCACUCUUCCACUUCAUCCAUCCAGCUUGUAUUCUAUGGUUGAGAUCUCCAUCUAAUUCUCCGUUCUUUUGCAAGAUAGAUCCUAGGUAACGAAAACGGUCGCUCUUUGGUAUUUCUUGAUCUCCGAUCCUCACCCCUAACUCGUUUUGGCCUCCAUUUGCACUGAACUUGCACUCCAUAUAUUCUGUCUUUGAUCGGCUUAGGCGAAGACCUUUAGAUUCCAACACUUCUCUCCAAAGGUUAAGCUUUGCAUUUACCCCUUCCUGAGUUUCAUCUAUCAACACUAUAUCGUCUGCGAAAAGCAUACACCAAGGAAUAUCAUCUUGAAUAUGUCCUGUUAACUCAUCCAUUACCAACGCAAAAAGGUAAGGACUUAAGGAUGAGCCUUGAUGUAAUCCUACAGUUAUGGGAAAGCUUUCGGUUUGUCCUUCAUGAGUUCUUACGGCAGUCUUUGCUCCUUCAUACAUAUCCUUUAUAGCUUGGAUAUAUGCUACUCGUACUCCUUUCUUCUCUAAAAUCCUCCAAAGAAUGUCUCUUGGGACCCUAUCAUACGCUUUUUCCAAAUCUAUAAAGACCAUGUGUAAAUCCUUUUUCCCAUCUCUAUAUCUUUCCAUCAAUCUUCGUAAGAGAUAGAUUGCCUCCAUGGUUGAGCGCCCUGGCAUGAACCCGAAUUGGUUAUCCGAAACCCGUGUCUCUUGCCUCAAUCUAUGCUCAAUGACUCUCUCCCAGAGCUUCAUUGUAUGACUCAUUAGCUUAAUACCCCUAUAGUUCAUGCAAUUUUGUACGUCGCCCUUAUUCUUGUAGAUAGGCACCAAAGUGCUCGUUCGCCACUCAUUUGGCAUCUUCUUCGUUUUCAAAAUCCUAUUGAAAAGGUCAGUGAGCCAUGUUAUACCUUUGGAUUCAUUUUCAUAAGGAUUCAACGUGAUCAUGGAGUGCUGGCUGUCGACUACCUGACGCCCUCCCCCUCCUCCUUUAUCCGGGCUUGGGACCGGCCAUGUAAGACAUAAGCGGAGUUAUAUUGGUGGAUGUGAUCAAAUGGAAGAAAUUGUGUCGAAGCAGGGGAGGGAACAUGAGGAGGAAGCCGAUAUGAUAUCUUUCCAUAAAUUAACCAAUUUGAGUUUCUGGGGUCUACAGAGUUUGGUUGGUUUCUUCCAAGCCAACAAGCUAUACUCCAACCAAGAAGAGGUAUGUCCCACUCUCCAAUCUCUAUGAUAUGAGGAGGCGGCCGAUAUGUGGAAAUUUGAAAUUGUGUUAACUGAUAAUGAUUUUUCUUUUUCAGGAAACAACGGCAAGGGUUGAGCAUCAAUCUGCAGGCAUAUUUGAAAAAGCAAUAUUUCCAUCAAAGUGCAUUUCAUGGUUUCCAAGUUUAGAAGACGUAUAUUUGGUUGAUAUGAAUUUUGAAGGCGUACUAUUUGAUCUGAAAAUCCCUAUAGUUAUGGAUGGGCAGACAACUCCAAUAUUUCCCCAGUUACAUAAGUUGGAGAUAUUCAUUUGUUCAUUUACACACUUGUGGAAAAACAUUCCAUCUGGAUUUCAGGGCUUCCAAAAUUUGAGAUAUUUGGAAGUAAGUGGAUGUUGUGGUCUAAAAUAUGUGUUCUCGCAUUUAAUUGCCCAAGAACUGUUGAAUCUUGAAGAGGUAAAGAUAACAGCAUGUCCGAACAUGGAAACUAUAGUCAGAAUCACAGAGGAAAAUGAAGAAGAGGCGACAAAAUACAUGAUUUUGUUUCCGAAACUGAACACAUUUGAACUAGAUGCCCUGCCUCGUCUCACAAGUCUUUGUCCAGAGGGAUUUACAUUUCUAUGGUCAUCCACAAAAAAUAUGCGCGUGAAAAGCUGUGAAAAUUUGAAGACAUUGGGUGCUGUAAUUCCACAAAGAAAGAAGUUGGAGAAUAACUUGAAGAAGGAUUCAACAAGUCAUGAUUUCAGCACUUCUCCAAGGAUUCAACAAGCUGGAUGUGGAUGCGCACCUUAUUCGUGACCAAACGCCCACCGCCCCAUUGAAAUAUUGCCACGUCCAAUUAACCUGGAGGUAAGCUUUUAAAUCAGGUUCAAUUAACCUCUAUAAGUACAACUUUUAAUUAGUAUUGUAUCAUCUUGUUGAUCGUGUUUAAUUUUCUAGGUUACACCAACUAAUCUUGAGGACUCAAAUGAUGAUGAUAAUCUUGAAAAUCUUACUGUAAGUGACUGUAAUUCGAUGGAAGUGAUUUUCCAACUCAAGGGACUGAAGCAUGAAGAAAGUAGUCACUCCGUUGAAGCAUUCAAUAAAUUGAGUUCCUUGCGGUUAUAUACAUUGCCAAGUUUAACGCGUGUUUGGGAGACGGGUAGUUCACAACCGAUGUUGACAGGAAGCAGCUUCGGAAACUUGAAAUCGCUGCGGGUCUAUUAUUGCAACCAGUUGAAAUACUUGUUUUCAUCGUCCAUAGUCAAACUUCUUGCGAGUAUAGAGGACAUAGAAGUUAGGAAGUGUGAGCAGAUGGAAGAAAUCGUUGCCGCAGAAGAAGAAACUGAUGAAACAAUUACAUUACCUAAAGUGAAGUCCAUCAAGCUUGCAAGUCUGCCAAAACUCAAGUAUUUUUGUGGUGAAGCUUAUACUUUGAAGUUGCCGUCUUUGGAGUCACUGAAGGUUGAUGACGUGCAAAACUUAAGCCUAUUAGCUCCAAAGCUUAUUGCCACACAUCCCCGAUUGCAAGCAUACACCGCGUUGGGAGUGGCUGAAUGGAUGGGGGACCUCAAUGCCACUCUAAGGAAUAUUUACGACACAAGGUAUGCUUUAAUUUAAGGUUUCUGAUUUUCAAUCACUUAUGUGUGCAUAUUUAAAAAUGUUUUUUUUUUUUAACGUCUCUCUUUUAAAUCUUGAUGUAUACGUGGAAUUUCUGAAGUUUUUACAAAAGAAUAUAUAAUAGCAUACAUAUAUUAAUGUAUAUGUGUGUGUGUAUGCGAGUAUGUGCACACUAAAGUGUAUUUAAAUAUUUUUUUUUUUUGAAAACUCAAUUAUAUCUCAAGAAAACAUCGUCUUUUAUUUCUAAUACAGUAAGGAUGAAGAUAACGAAAUCGACAUUGAGGAUGAAGAUGACGAAAUCGACAAUGAGGAUGAAGAUGAAGAUGACGAAAUUGACGGCAAGGAUGAUGAUGACAAAAUCGACGGCAAGGAUGAAGAUGACGAAACCAACAGGGAGGACGAACACCGUUGAUUGAUCAAGCACAAAGGUUAGCAUGUUUCCAUCUCCAACUUCUUCUAGGUUUAGUAAAAACUGAUGAAAAUUAUAUAUAUAGUACUCAAAAAAGUAUUCUACCAUGUUUUAUAUAAUAUACACAUACAUGUAUAGCACUUGAAAAAUUGAACAGUUAAUAUAUACAUACAUGUAUAGCACUUAAAAAAUUGAACAGUUUGGAUCUAAAACCACAAUCUGCUACCUGAUUCAUUAGUGUUUGCUUAUUUGUGCUCGAGGUUGAUUAUACACGUGUAAGCUGAAUCACAUGUUUGUAGAAUGGACAAGCUGAAUAAAAUCUGUUUGCCCCCUAAAUGUAAUGGAAAUCAUAUGUAUCUAGGCAUGCUUAAUAUUUGAUAAAGAAAAACAUUUCUCAAAUAAAUGUCCACUCACACCUCCGGCAGCUCUCCCUGAGGAGCCUUGNNNNNNNNNNNNNNNNNNNNNNNNNNNNNNNNNNNNNNNNNNNNNNNNNNNNNNNNNNNNNNNNNNNNNNNNNNNNNNNNNNNNNNNNNNNNNNNNNNNNNNNNNNNNNNNNNNNNNNNNNNNNNNNNNNNNNNNNNNNNNNNNNNNNNNNNNNNNNNNNNNNNNNNNNNNNNNNNNNNNNNNNNNNNNNNNNNNNNNNNNNNNNNNNNNNNNNNNNNNNNNNNNNNNNNNNNNNNNNNNNNNNNNNNNNNNNNNNNNNNNNNNNNNNNNNNNNNNNNNNNNNNNNNNNNNNNNNNNNNNNNNNNNNNNNNNNNNNNNNNNNNNNNNNNNNNNNNNNNNNNNNNNNNNNNNNNNNNNNNNNNNNNNNNNNNNNNNNNNNNNNNNNNNNNNNNNNNNAGUUCAUUCAUCGCCUAUUCACAACAAUACAAGGUUCUACAGAGUUCAAUCCCACACCAUGUUAUAGACAUGCUUCAACUAUCAACCGGAACGUAAUCGUUAGGGUUCAACAACUUCCAGAUACAAAAUUACUAUAAGUCUCAUCUCCGACAUUCAUACAGAAAAUCGAAUAAAAUUCGAAAUCAAGAAUCAAUCCAAAAUGAAAGUUGAAAAUUUGGAAAAAGAACUUACAUUGGAGAACAGCCCACGAGAAGAGUAUCAUUUCUACCUCUUGGGUCGAGGUCCAAUUCCGGCGAUAUUGGCCGGAAACCCCUGGGUCACCGUUUCUUAGACUUGAAGUUGAGGAAAAUCGCCUACGAAUUUAUAGAAACUAACUUGGGGGAUAGGAUAAGGGUCGGCAAGAGCAUUCUGGAUGUGUAGUUUGAGAGCCUUUGGUGACCAGUGGACGACAGAGCUGUUGCGUCGGCACUCGGCAGUCUUCGGCUUGCUGUUGAAUGGGGCUCCUGUUGCAGCGCAGCGCAAAAGAGAAGGAGGAGAGAGGAUACGGGAGGAGGAGAGAAAAUGGGUUUCUCCCACCUUUUACAUUAAUUCUUUUCCACAUUUUUUUAUGGAAUAAACGAUAAUAUUUAUCAUCAAAGUGUGUUUGGUACGUGAGAUGAGAAGGAACAUGUAGGAAAACUAAUGAAAAUGACUUGAAAAUUUUGAGUUUUAAUGAUAAGGACAAAAUAAAGAGUAAAGUGAAUACUACCGGAUUGACUUUUUAGUGUAAAAAUGUGGUUUUUCGUUAAAGUGAACAGUACUGGGUGCUUUUCGUUAAAGUUCCCAACAUGUUUUGAUGAUAAUAAUGGUUAGAAGUAAUAUAGUUCAAAUUUAUUUUUGGUGAUAAUUGAAUAUAAGAUUUCUCUUACAAGUUACAAAUAAAAAUGAAUAUCAUAAAUUUUUUUUUCACUUUUAAUACACACGUAAAUAAAAAACAAAAUGAAAAUGGAAAGAAAUAAAAAUUUGAAUAGAAAUGAAAAAAUUAAGUAAAUUGACAGCAUAAGGUAAUCAGCCAUGAAUAAAAUAUUAUACCAUCCUUAAACAUUGUAGUGCCAUGGAAUCUCAUUUUAGUCUGAAUUUCCUUCUGCUUACACUCACGCGUUCAUAUUGAUGAGCACUACGAGAAAAUAUUAAGAUGAUAGGUCAUACUCAUACGUUCGUUUUUGUUGAGAAUUUUUUUGAAGGAUUUUGCAAUAUGGCAGCCAUGAUUUGCAAAGCCCACCAUCGUAGAGCUCGAUAUCGGCCUAACUUGUGGAGCCACCAUCGCAAAGAAGAACCUGGAAAGCUCAAUCCUUGUCGUCUUUUUCUUAUAUAAGUGUCAUUUUGGUGAACCAAAUGUUCCGAUUCCAACAUCCAAAAUACCACAAUGUGAUUUUUUUCAUACUACAAUUGGAUUGCAUCUUAAAAUUAUAAAGUCUUGGAGCAUUGGUCAUGCCAUCAUGCUGAUUUGUGUUGGAUUUCGUUAGAGAUCGUAAUUAAUCAAUCACCCUUUUUGUGUCUCCCUUCAAAAGCUCAAAUUGAAAUCUGAACUCCCUAGCAAAUAAGAGCCCAAUUUGACAACCAAAAUCUUCAUCGUUCGAGCAUCAAUGUUCUCUUAAAUUCACUACGAGCAAACCGCCAUGAAAUCUCCUUCAUGGACAUCUCAUAAAAUUAGAACGAUACAAAGAAGAUUAGUGUGACUCCUAAGCUAGGAUUACACGUAUGAAUCGUAAAAUAGUUCCUCCUCCACUCUUUGAUUCUCUCUUUCACUGGCUAACAAUAUUUUACUCUACCUUUUCACCCUAAGUAAGAAAGUAAGAAAUGAGCAUUUUGUUAGCAUCUUUUUGAAAAUUUCAAAUUUGAUCCUAAUAUCUCUUUUGCACUAUUUGACUGAACGACAAAUUUUGAUUGUCUAAAUAUUUAUAUCAAACUACAAAUAAUAUUGAUAUUAUAUAUUUAUAAUGUGACUAGAAUUGUAGUACCCAACAUAUCUAUCUUGAAAUAAAUUUUGUUGUCUAUGAAGUGGCCAACUCGACCCUCUCCUAUACUCUUUGAGUUUGUAUAAAUAUAUCAUUGUUUUAAAAAUUGACAUUCAGUACUGCGAUUUAGUGAUAUUCAUUAUCAGGUUCGAAUCUUAGGAGUGACGAGUUUGUGUAAAUAUAUCAUUGUAUUAAAUAUAAAUAAAAAUAAAAAAAAUAAACAAAAUAUUUUUUUGGUCGGACAAAAACACGAAAAUGCCCUUAAAGCCCAAAGUGACCCCUCUACCCUGCCGCUGCCUGCAAGUUCUUUCCUCGCCCCUGUUUCUACGUCCAAUUAAUCUGGAGGUAAGCUUUUAAAUCAGGUUCAAUUAACCUCUAUAAGUACAUCUUUUAAUUAGUAUUGUGUCAUCUUGUUGAUCGUGUUUAAUUUUCUAGGUUACACAACCUAAUCUUGAGGACUCAAAUGAUGAUGAUAAUCUCGAAAAUCUUCCUCUAAUUAACUGUAAUUCGAUGGAAGUGAUUUUUCAACUAAAGGAACCGGUGCAUGAAGAAAGUAGUCACUCCAUUGAAGCAUUCAAUAAAUUGAGGUCCAUGCGGUUAGAUAUAUUGCCAAGUUUAACGCGUGUUUGGGAGACGGGUAGUUCACAACCGAUGUUCACAGGAAGCAGCUUCGGAAACUUGAAAUCGCUGCGGGUCGUUGCACCGAUGAAAUAAUUACAUUACCUAAAGUGAAGUCCAUCAAUCUUAAACGUCGGCCAAAACUCAAGUAUUUUUAAGGUGAAGCUUAUACUUUGAAGUUGCCGUCUUUGGAGUUAUUGGAGGUUGAUGACGUGCAAAACUUAAGCCUAUUAGCUCCAAAGCUUAUUGCCACACAUCCCCGAAUGCAAGUAUACACCGCGUUGAGAGUGGCUAAAUGGAUGGGGGACCUCAAUGCCACUCUAAGGAAUAUUUACGUAAUCACUUAUGUGUGCAUAUGCGCACACUAAAGUAUCUCGCAAUGUGCACACUAAAAUAUGUUUUUUUGUUUUUUUUUUUUGGAAACUCGAAUUAUAUCUCAAGAAAACAUCUCUCUUUUAUUUCUAAUACCGAGAAGAAUGAAGCUGACGGAAUUCUACAAGACACCAUAUAACGAGGAUGUUAACAAUCACAAAAGGUUGUGGCUUCGGCUAUUCGCUUACUUUCAUAUAACGAGGAUACUGUUUCCGUUGCUUACUAUAUGUAUAAUUAAUUUCGAUUGCGAUUAUUACUGUUUGAAUUCAUCUCUUGACUGCCUAUGGGGACGUCAAGGUGGACACCAAAAUGGAGGCGUGAUGACCUGCAUCCGGAAAGUGACGUAGCCAUAACGUGCAUGCAAAUAUAAUUUAAUAAAAUAACUUCAAAUGAUCUACUGAAAAAAUCGGCAUAGUUUCCUUUGGAAUUAGGUUUUGGCCCCCAAAUUUAAAACCUGCUGAAAAAGUUAUAAUUAUUUCAAAACCACAUCCCCGACACCUAAUGGGUUAUCAACCCUCUACUACAUGCACGCAUACUCCAAUAUACUUACUGGUGGUAUAGCAUACAAUUUCAUACACUAGUGAUAACUAGUGUAAGCUGAAAAUUUAACCAUACACGCUAGUGUAAACUGAAGAUAAAACCAUACAUUAGCUGUAGCUAGUGUAAGCUGAAAAAUAUAAUCAUACACUAGCCGUAGCUAGUGUAAGCUGAAUGGGCAUCCUCACAGUAGGGACAAGAUGACUAUACUGUAGUAUAAAUCAUACACGUGUAAGCUGAAUAACAUGUCCGUAGCAUGGACAAGUUGAAUAUUCUUUAAUAUUAACCAUACACAUAUGCGGAAUGACAUGUUUGUAGUAUGGACAAGCUGAAUAUACUGUAAUAUUGACUAUACACGUGUAAGCUAAAUAAUAUUAUCAAACACUGGUUAUGGCUAGCUAGUGUAAGCUGAAUAUGUUCAUACACUGUAAGGUCUGGUAUUAAUUCAUAAAAUCUAUUCUUCCCCUAAACGUAACGGAAAUCAUAUGUAUCUAGGCAUGCUUAAUAUUUGAUAAAGAAAAACAUUUCUGAAAGAAAUGCCCACUGACACCUCCGGCUAGCUCUCCCUUGAGGAGCCUUGUCUACCAAAAAGGUAAUUUCAAGCAACUUCAAGAGAGAAUUUGACCACAUCGCGAAAGUAUGACACCAAACGGUUGAGACCUAGAAGACAUCCAAGAGUUUUUGGAGAAACAGAACGCUCACUGAAGAUAUGUAUUCUAUUUCUAUAGCACGUUUACCCCAAACAAAACACAGGUUAUGGAAAGGAAAAUAACAUUAAGAAAUGCAAAAGAUUGGGGAGAUGCGAAAUAACUCAUCUCUGGUCCUGGAAAUAUUGCAUACAAUAUUGCUCUACCAAUUAAACCAAAUCUUAUGACUCUAGUGACAAGCUAGAAAGCCACAAAAGAAUAAACAAGGAAUCAGGCUAUGCAAUUUCCUACCACAUUUUCACAUCAACGUGAUUGUUAGGGGUUUCAACAACUUCAGAGAAUUACCACAAAUCUCAUCUCCGGCAUUCAGGCAGAAAAAUCAAAUAAAAGUUUGAAAUCAAGAAUCAAUCCCGAAACUGAAAGUUGAAAUUUUGGAAAAAGAACUUACAUCAGAGUACUUUCCAUGAGGAGAAGAUCAUUUUUACCUCUUGGGUCGAGGACAUUCCACGGUGAGCCUGCAUAAAUGAACCAAUUAAACAAAGAAAUGAAAACCGAAUAACUCGGAAGCUAAAGUAUCACAGAUAGAAAAUUGCAUAUACCUAACUAAAAAUGCACAAUCUAACGAGAUGUGGUAGUCUAAGUGUAUAACACAAGGGUGAGAAGUACUCUAGUGCUCACAAACUGAAGCCACAAGACUACCAGAUAAUGUAGCUUCAGAAAUAUCAUUCGUUCUUUUGCGCAUAAUCAUACAUGCUCAUCAGAACAAAGUAUGAUCUCCAACGGAAAUAGAAGUGACACAGGUGAAAGUCAAAAUAAACAAACAAAUAAUAGUGAACGAGAGGCCCUAAAGAAUUGUUCUAACUAGGAGACAAGCUUAAAUUAUUCAGAUAAUAAGUCUUGCACAAACCCAACUUUCAAAAAUACUAGAUUAGUAUGCCGUGAUAUUUAACAAUGCCGUCAAAAACUUACUUGUUGAACAACUCAACCUGUAUUCCAUCUCCUUCUCUGCCAUACCAAAAAUUUGCACAAUUGUUUAAAACCAAAUUAAGGUCUUUCGAAAACCCACCUGAGAUUAUUUGAAAAACACGAAUUUAGAACAAUAAUUCAAAACCAAAGAACAGAAAAUCCAUCACACCAGAGUAAAAAUUAACCAUCUUGUUGCUUCCUAACUCUCAAGAAAUAUCCACGUCUCACUUUUACUAAUGUCAAAACACCGCCAUCAUUGAUCAAUUAGACAAAUAAGACCCAAUUCGAUUACGCCCAAACUCACAGAACACCCAGAUUCCCAACACCAAUUGAACAAUCUAACCAUGAAUUUCCAAAACUUUCCCCAAAAUCCAGCCUUGGGCAUGCAUUAAAUCCAAUCUAAAACUUGAAUUCAUUUUUAGAGAACAAAAUGUAAAAACUUUGGAACAAUGAAGCAAAAGGGUACUCACCUGUUCCUUGUCCAAAACCGUCGGCGCAUUGUUGGGGGCAGCCAUUAGAACCUGAACAAUUCGCAAAUUAAUUUACACAAACUUCUUCGAAACCGAAUGAAUUAGCAGAGAGGGUUUAAGUAAUCUUACUCGGCGGGAUGGAAUCGAACGCGCUGAAAGUGGUUGCUGUAAAUGCAGAGGGGUUUAAGCGUCCGAUUUGAAGCUAAAGCAGAAGAAAAUAAAAAUCCCACUGAGCUAAUAAUGUACGAAUUAGGGUUUUAGGAGUUAAUAUAGCGUGUAUAUGCGAUGGACGGUUUUGUUUUUAGGGGGGGACUUUCAACCGGAAAAGUUAGUGGAUUACUGCCCUUUCUUUUUUCCUUCCACCACAAGUAGUGCGAUAAUUUCACAAAGGCCCUGUAUGGUGGGCCGCCGUAUAUAAUUGUCCUUUUCUUUCUUAUUUUUUUGGAUUUAUUUAUUUAUUUUCUAACUCAUAGUUCAUCAGGGCUCAGGUUCAGUUGAUUAAAGUAGUAUGUUUCUUUUGUUAUGCUAUAGUUUGAAUAUUCAUUCAAAUGAUUUAGAUUUCUUCGUGCAAACGAUCAUUCAAUUAAAAGAAAAACUCGUAUUAUGUUUGCUUACAAGAAAUGAAUAUCAUUCUCAUUGUAUGUUUACUAACAACCAAGGAUUUGAGAGGAAAAAACGUGAAUCCACAUUGAUUUUGCAUAUCUAAUACCUUCUCAUACCAAAAAAAAAUCAAGGUAUAAGAUUAUUAAGGGGGUUGUUUAAACUCAUGGAAAUGUGUUUUGAUGUUCGCCGAAUAACAAUUGUUUGUUCUCGAUUCAUUUCAAAUUUUAACAGAUGACUCGUAACUUAAGCAGUUAAGAGUUUUUUCUCGUGCUCUCAAAACUUGGCGUUACCUAGUGAAUCAUAUAAUAUUCAAUAAUGCCAUACCAUUUGAAUGGAUCGAAGAUUUCAAAUUGACAACAUUUGUGCCGGUAACCUGUGUAUUACAAGGAUCAUUGAGAAAAUACAUACUUUCACAUUGUGCCGGUAGCUUUCAUUAGCAAUGCUUCACAAUUUACAGGUACGAGGGCUUGACCAGCAUCUCCUCCGGAUCUUUCCACACUGGGAGUCCUUAACUGUACAAAUAAGAUUCACAUACGCAAAAUAUGUGCUAGACUACGCACUGCAAAUGGAAACAAGUUGUCACCCCUAUUUAUCCAAAAAUAAUAUACUUGUUAUAGAUAUCCGUGUAGAAUAUUAUAUUACGAGGGGCGGAGAGCGUGUGUACGGCAAAGUAGGAACGGGUACAGCAGCAACGUAGCAGCACAAGCAAGAGGAUGAUUGGAACUGCAACUUACCCCCACACAUUCACAGAAGCCUUUUUCUUUCCCCUGCUGGUGUUCAUGAAAGCACUUUGAAGUGAAAAAGCCAUGAAAUUACGAAGGCAAGAAUCAUGCAGGCAAGAAGGAAAUUCAUAAUGCAGCGGCCAUGCCACAUGGUUCAGGUUUCAACCUGGAUCAUGGGUGCUGAUGCGGCUGUGGCAGUACUGCUAUUUGCCUCGUUUAUCUGGCCACUGGAAAUGUUGAAUGCAGUUACUCCACAGAUCUCGCAGGUUCUGCAAAUCAAAUAAAUAAAAUUAUGCAUAGGCAGAAAAUAACAUAUCAGUCAGACAUGACAAGCAAUUACAACCAUAACACAACAUAAUGAAGAAACGUACCAUGAGGAUUUUGAACAAACAUAAUGAAGUGUAACCAAUAGCAUACAAAUAUAGAAGAAAAUGCUAUACAAUCACUGUAAGUGAUUUCAAAGGCCAUCAAUCUUCUAUUUCUGUUUCUGGAAAAAAGUCAUGUCGUCGAGAAGUCGUUCCAUUUGCUUACCAUGAUGAGUAAAAUGAAAUUUGAACUAGCUUGCUGUUCUUGCAUAUCUUCUCCUCAUCCUGGUUACCAAGCAAGUCAGUCUUGACCAAUCCAUCUAUA